CCACAAUUCCAUACAAUCCCCUUAGGGCCCGUUUGGUUCGAGUUAUGUAAUAUUACAAAGUAUCUCGACAUAUCCAGGUAUUUUGGAUUUCGGCGUGAGAUUACUACUAAUGUUACAUUAGAGCGUUUGGUUUAAUACAGUAAUGUAAUACUAGAUUACAGUGUUUAUAGCAUUAAUAUGUUUGGUUCAGUUUAUAAAAUUUAGUAAUCCUGACAUAAAAGUAUAGUUUUUUUCAAAAUUGCCCUUGUUGUGGUCAUUUGAAUAUUAUUUUUUGCGGAAAUGACGAAUGGAGGGAAGGAGAUCGUGAUGAUUAUUUGGGAGGACGACGCAAUAGAAGAUGAUAGGUGUUCGUGAGAAAGAGAGAGAGAGAGAGAGAGAGACGUCCAGAGAGAGAGAGCGAGAGAAAGCGGCGUGCGAGAGAGAGGGCCAGGGGAAGGCGAGAUAGAGAUGAAAAUAAUGCUGUUAAUUAGAUUUGGGGUUGUUGGAGGGUAAAAUUGUCAUUUUACAUAAUAUGUAGUAUUAACGGGUUUCAGUAAUGCAAGAUACACGACCUCCCUCCCAUUAAUAUUUUCGAUGUAAUCCUGCUCGAUUUGUAACCCUACAUUAACAACUAGAUUACAUAGCGGAUUAACCAAAUAUAGUUAUCCUGGCAGGAUUGUCUGUAAUCCUGCCAGGAUAACUCGAACCAAACGCACCCUUAUUGCCAUUCAUGCAGGAGUGCAGAGGAGUGGUCCGUUACAAUGGAGCAAUUAUUAUUAUUAUUAUUAUUAUUAUUAUUAUUAUUGUUGUUGUUGUUGUUAUUAUUAAUCUUAAAAAGAAGAAGAAGAAGAAGAAAAAGACCAACUUGAGGGAAGAAUUUAGAAUUUAAAAUUUAGAAUUUAGAGGUGGUGGGGCCCAAGAAAUAAAUAAUAAAAAGAAAUAAUAGUCAGUCUUAAUAAGCGCUAGCUUAAGAUUCGAAAGAGGCGAGUCUUUGGAUUCCACAUGCCCGUAUGACGGAAGACACCUGCGAUAAGACUAAACAGCCCCAGAGGCUAAUGCUAUAAUACCAUACAAUAUUCUUACCUCUCUCUCUCUCUCUCUCUCUCUCUACACAUUUGUGUGUUUUAUUCCAACAUUGCUUGGGCUGCAAUAUUACGGAAGCAAUGCUUGAUUAUUCGUGGUUAGAUAGGCUCCUGCCAAAUUGCAAAUGCAUCACCAAUCAGUCUCUAAAAGAGAAAAUAUUGUUUUAUCAAUAGUUAACAUCAAUACUAUUGUAUAAUUAAACUUUUAAUUGCCCUCUACGAGAAAUUAGAUAAUGAGCAAAUAAUUAUAUGCAGGGGAAACCAAAUCAUCAAUUAUAUACUGUGGGAAAAUCAUAACCUCGUCCUACAAUACUUGCUUGAAUUGGAAGUUUACCUUGCUAAUUAAAACAUGUUACAUGUGCUUCCUUGUACCCCCAAAAAAAAAAAGAAAAAGGGUUAGAUGCGCAACAAAAUUUUGGAAAUUCACGAGUGCUUUGCUUGUUGCUGCUACUCAAAUUGAUCAAAUAUUUCUCGCAUUUCUUGCUAGGGAUGGCAAAUUCAUCAAUUUCCUGGGAUAAGGUAUCAGAAGAAAGAGAUUUUCUUCAAAGAGUAAAUCUUCUGUGCAUAUGUAUAUAUAUUUCAUCAUAUAUGUAUAUAUGCUUUUUUUUCUAUCACCUGCGGCUUGUUGGUUUCUUUCACUAUAUAUGGUUCAUGGUCUCUUUCGGUUAAUUAGUCUGAUUAGCCCUGUCCUUAAUGCCUCCGAUAUACCAAGAGGAUUGCUUCUUUAUAAAGCAGCACGUCUUCCACGGAAGUCAUUAGCGGCUACUUCAAGCAUUAAGUAUCUGUACAGUUGCUUGAACAAGAGAAUUUCAUUUAAUCAAGUCAUCCACUCCAUUUCCUUAAUUACCUUAAAAUAUACAUGACCUUUUAUAGAAAAUUUAUGCAGAAGAAAAAUGCUACUUGUGCCCCGCCCCCUACAUAUAGAGGUGAGCAUCGAACACCCUGCUGAUUCUAGGAUUUACUAACUCGUUUUAAUUUUUUAGUAUUAAAAGAUUAAUUGAUAAUAGAUAAUAAUCUUUUAAUAAGUGGAGUGUAAGAUUUAUACCCGGCUCUAUGAAUAUGUGCACAUGGUACUGGUCUAGGUUAAGUUUUCUCAAAUUAUGAGGUGCGGGACAAUGUGAUAUUCAAACUUUAAUUUAUUAUAACUUUUAGUUUGAACUUUUCGAAUUAUUAGAAUAACUUCCGGCACGCUAAUAUUUAGUCAGUUAAAUUAGAUCACGAAACUUCAUUAUAAAAUUCGAAGCAAAAAUUAUUAUAAAGUAAAAAUUAAUAACUCGAAUGUUAAGCAUCCUAUCGUUUGAGUAACAAAGAGUAAUUUAGCUACAGAGAAAAUAAAGCACUCACCAAUGAGAACCCUCGACUAGACUUAAAAGAGGGAAGAGGAAAUUUUUUUUAAAAAAAAGAAGAGGUUUAAUAAUACAUGAAACGUCAAAAGCAACAUGACACGCAUCGUAGACUGAUCUGGUUUGACUAUAAUUAGGUGGGACUUGUACUUGAAGCAUUAAGCACAUGAAUUCAGAUCUUGACCUUCUAACGUGCAACUUCACGGCUUGUAAGGUUAUGUUUGGGAUACAACUUGUACUUCUUUUAUACAGUUUAGCGUCUUCGCCUUGCGCGAUUGUUUAUCAAAAAUGGAAAAAAUGCAUCCAAAUAUGCAUUGUUCCACUUAACUGUGUAAAAUUUUAUUCACAAAAAAUGGAUCAGGCAUUCAUGCAUGGAGUUCAAAAAUACGUUUAUAAGAGGUAGUAAUUAAUGCAUAUAACUUCAAGGAGUACACAAGCUUAAUUCCAUUGAAAGAAAGAAGAUACAGGAACUAACAGCGAAUUCAGAACACGAACAACAGUAAUAUUGUCUUGAUAUUUGUAGUAGCCCAACUGAUCUGUAAUGUGGCUUGCAGACGGAGAAUUUUACAUUGUUUAAUUUGUGCACAUCUUCGAGCAAUUGCUCAAUAUUUUAUUUAAUGAAUUGGUUGCUAGUACGUGCCAAAAGCCCAAAAUGGCCCCAUUAGGCAACAAGAUCACAUGGCAAGGACUAAUAUUAUCAUCAUUCACAGUGCUUGCUAGCUCUUGUGCUUUUAUGGUACUUGAAAACCUUUUUAGAUGCUUCAACUUCAAGGGGACACGGUUCACUACUUCUAGGAAUAUUUUUGUAUAUCUUUUCUACAUCCAAGAAAUUUUGAGAUGUUGCAUUAAUAUGUUUUUUUUGUCAAAAGAGAUUCAGUAGUUUCUUGCUGCAGUAGAAAAAAAACCAGCAUCCUUUGAGCCUUUAACUUUAGGAGCCAGUUGAAUCUCAUUUCAGCUUCACGCCAUGUCAAUAGUUCUGUAGUCUUUGCACAUUCACCAUGAGGUAUAUUCAAAUUGUUGUGAAAGAGAGGCCGAACAGAUAGUUAGCAAGCUCAACGAAAUAUUUCCUAUUCUUUCCAAUUUUGAAGAAAAGUAGGCAUAGGCUUGUAAUUUCGCUCAGGAAUUAAACAAACUUACUACAAAGGGGGCAGGAUAUCUGGCGUUAAAAGGCAUAAUUAUUCGGAUUCGAUGGAUGCUUUUUAAGGUUAAUAACUUACGUUGGCAUGCCAGUUCAAGCCACUAAUACUUAUCACCGGAUCAAUUAAAUUGAGUUUAUAAUCUACCUGAAAUUAUUCCUACAACCAUGGUAAUUAAUAACACAUGCCUAAAGUGGUAUCGCAGAUGAACCAGCUGUACAUAUCCAUCCACUACCCUUUUCAUUUUUCUGGGGGACGAAAAGAAAGAACUCGGACUCGGAAACUGACAGAAAACUGUAUGCUCAGCUCAAAGAGGAUGUUUUUGUUAGAGUUUUCACUUUUGGGAUCUAAAAGGCCAUUUCACAUUCUUGCUGAUUCCGGGUACGUCAAAAUUGAUCAUCUGUUGUUAAUAAAUCCCAGUGCAGCGUGUAUAAGCUAGCGGUAGUAAGUGGCAAAACAAGCUAAUUUUGAUAUCGGGAGGUUUAAAAAGAAGCACGCAAAGGAUGGGAGGAAAAAAAAGAAAGGAAAUGUGGUGGAUAAGAAGUGCCUUCUCUGCUCUGCUAUGCUCUGUCACUUGAAAGUAAGCCUAAUGCUUUGGGAUCCAAUGCCUAGAGAGAGAGAGAGAGUAAGAAUCGAGGGAUAAUUUUCUAUAGGGGAAGGAGAGAGGCAGCAAGACCAAAACAAUCAACAGAAAGAAUCUUUGGUAGAAGAAUAAAAUGAACUACUAAUGUUUAAAAAAUAUCUAUGACGUGCCCAGAUUGCUUUUUCUGGGAGUUCCAAGACAAGAAAAAGUAACCUGCUUUUUGGAAUUCAAAUAUUUUGUCUGGUAACUGGUAAGCCAAUUUUAUCAAAUUUGACCCAUUAAUUUAGCUCCAAUUUGAUCCUAAACUGCCUAAUGAAAAACAUUUGAUUCACCUGGCAAGAAUGAUAAAAGAGUAAUUACAACAGCAGCUUUCUUAAAAGCAUAAGAUACAAAAUAUAUCCUACACUGUGACUAGCUCCCGUUGGUUUUCAAAUCUUUAACAUAAACCCGAAAGUGCAUAAUCAACAUAUUAAUUAAUUGAAUCCACCAAGCUAUUGACUUUCAGUAUUUUGAGUGCGUUUGCUACCGUUGUUCAAAUACAAAACCAGCCCCUAUGGGCCUUCUCCCAGAAAGAAAUUACGAGAAAAAAAAAAAAAGGCCCAGAUGUAGCAAGCUAUAAGCAGCUUGCUAUAAGGCUUUAUUAUUACCACAUUUUGGAAACUCUUUUGCUUGCAUUGGGUGCUGCACAAGUACAUUUGUGUAGGGCACCCACAUCAACUUUCCAUUUUAUCUUAUCUUUCAAUUGCUGGAAACUAUUUAUUCUACUUAAAAAAUAAUAAAUUGUAAUUUAAUGGAAGUUCGUGAUAAAAUAUAUAUAUAUAUAUAUAAUGGAACAAAGGAUGAUAUUAUAAUUACAGUACACUGAUUCAGCGGUUAUAUAUCAGUCAGCACACAGUGAAAGCUUGAAGAGAGAGAGAGAGAGAGAGAGAGAGAGCGCUAGAGCGCCACACAAUUACGUACAUACCGCAAUUCUCUGUAGAUUCUUUCUCUCAAAGAAAAACAAACAAGUCUCUGUAGAUUUGGUGUGAGCAUUAUAAAUGGUUGGCACGCAUGUGAGUUGCAAUGGAUCACCAUCUUCUUAAUCUUCCCUCGGCGGCAUUGGGCAUAGGGCAUAGGGCAUAGGGCAUAGGAGAGCUUUAAUGAGUGCGAGCCCUCCUCCUUCGUAGGUACUCCCACCAAUCCACCAUUAGGAUGAUUUAUACAUGCAAUGUAAGAUGGGUCCAGCAGUUUGUAAACUUUACCCAAAUAAGUGCUCCAGUUCCAUGGACCACACGGACUUAGGCAGCAGCUGUAUAUCCGCCACCUAACCUGCCUACCUACCUGCCUACUGACCGCUAGAGGAUCAUCGGGUUGAUGUUGAACAGUACGCGAGGCGAAAGUUGCAUAUGCACCUAUAUAAGACAUGCACGAAACCGAAAAAUUAUGACAAUUCGAGCCCUUAUUUAUUUAUUUAUUUUGGUGAAAUGAUGAUCAUCAGCUUCUUUUGGAAAUUGUGAGGAAUCGGCAACCAAAAAAAAUUUGCCAAAAUUAAUUUCAUACCAAUAUUGAAAUUUCCAGUGGUUCUUUGGCCAAGUACUUUUGAAAUAUUUUUUCUAUUUCAAAAUGGCAGCAGCCUAGCAAUAAUUAGACAAAAUGUGUAUCUAUGAUGGCGAGGAAAUGAAAUGCUCCUCAUAUUUUUCAAAAGCAUAAUUAAGUUUCAAAUUGAAACUUGUCAUCUACUUUACGGUAAAUAAGUAUUGGUAGGAUUUUAUUGUUCGUCGUAUUCGUAAAGAUUACUAAGAUAUAACGGAUCAAUUUCAAGUACACAGAAGAUGAAGUGUGGUUUAUGGUUUGAAUUAACAAGUUAAACAGCCGGCCGAGGGACUUGAUCCAGUCGAUAAUCUCCAAUUAAUCAACGGAAACACGCAAGCAAUUUGAUGAUUGUCAAAUGCUGCUGACAGCACCUAUUCAGAUGUUUAAUCACCCUUCCUAAUCCGUCCUACUUUCCUUAAUUCAAUAUUAAUCCUUGUCAUUCCGUGAACAACAAUUUAUUUUAUAUUUUUUUUAAAUAAAUAAUUAGUUACUGGACGGUGGGGAUUAAAAUAUGGGUACGGGAUGAACGGCUCGCAAUACGCAGUUCGCAGCGUUUAGGGAUGCACCGGGUGCAAGCAAUUCUAAAAGUACCUCCGCGACUUGUCCGCGUGCGCACGAUGCAUCGUAGGUCAUCCGUACCAAAGGCUAGGUUAAAGGAGAGAGAAAGAAGUUAGGCGAUGCGGAGGUACGUACGUACUACAAAAGUGUACUACUGGUAGAGUAAGAACUCGGGUCCAGUGCGCCAGCGAGGGCAUAUGGCUCGCGUCGCGUGUAGUACUAGUACGAUCGUCGAGUUGAUUUGGUUAGCUAAUUAGAGUACGACCCAAGCCACAAUCGACUUAGUUCAUUUGUACUUGCUAGAUGUUGUACUCCCACCUAGCUUAGCUGGCUCGAUAGUAGUAACGAGAGAGAGAGAGAGAGAGAGAGAGAGAGGGAGUACAUGUACAGCGUCCUGCCACAGAAUAUGGUUUGAGGAUCAUCAGCACCUCGCUUCCGUGUGUGUGUGUGUGUGUAUAUAUUGGUGUAAAACACCCGGGGCUCAGCCACUUGUAAUUGCACAGUAAAUGUAAUUGACCCACCCCAACAGCCACUUCAGAAGAAGAAGAAGAAGAAGAAGAAGAAACCCAAAUAGAAAGGCGAAGGUAAAGAUUAAUUUGCAGGGCAAUGGAUGUUGAGGUAAGUAUUAAAGAAGCGAGCUAGAAGGGGAAUUGAGCAGACGGGGACGAGGUCGGGCAUGCGAGGGGUUCAGUCCGCAUAGAAAAAGAUUCCCUAUGCGGGUGCCCUUCCCAUGCACUGCCUCUUCCCUGGCUCCUCUCGAUCUCUCUCUCUUGCUCUCUGUGGAUCUCUCUCCAUCUCUCUCUCUGAAUCUCUCUCUCUCUCUCUCCCCCCAAUAUUUUAUGCUUCUGUUGUUCUUUUUCUUAUUGAUUGUCACUGCAGGACUGGCUAAUCGUUCAUUAAUUAAUGUGCUCCUUUUUUUCUUUAAUUCGUUAGAAUUUAGAAAAGAAAACAAGCUAGAUAGAUCGACCCCUUUCCAGUUUCCAGGUACGUCGUUACUAUUGAUUCUGACGCAGUAACUGGGUGGGGCAGUAUGAAUUGCAGUACUGCAAUUGGGGGGACCGGCAAUCGAUCGCCAGAAAGAACGCGCGGGGACUAUUAUUCCCUUCCCUUUAAAUGUCUGUUUUGUGAUUCGUUCAGUGCGUGCGAGAGUUGUAAAUCUAUAUAUUACAGUCAUAAUUAAUUUAUGUAUUCUAUCUACAAAACCUUUUUCUUUUCUUUUAUUUUUUCCCUUUUUUUUGAGGAAGUUUUGUGCAUGCUACGCCUGAUAUAUGUUAAUGUUGAAUGUACGGUUAUUUGAGAAAUUGAAAUUUGAUCUUUGAAUGCAGGUCACCAAAAAAAAAGAAGAAGAAAAAAAGUAUGUACUUAAUAAUUAAGAUGUGGCGUAUCAAAUGUACCCACAUUUUGGGAAGAUUGUAUUUAGAAUUUUGUGGUGUAUAUAUAUAUAUAUAUAUAUAUAUAUAUAUAUAUAUAUAUAUAUAGACGACUUGCUUUAUUAUGAGAUGAUAUCAUUUUGUUUGGUAAUGUACAGUUCGUUAUAAUGCACGGAUAAAAUGCAUUUAUCACAUAACAUGUACUCCUGUAAUUCUUAAGCGCGAUUAAAGAGCUACUAGCAAUUUCGUAUUUGCUGUCACGUUAUAAAAGUGCUGUUGUAAAAGAAUUCCCACGGCAACUUUGCCAGUUUGUAGCAACAGAUGAAUAGAUUAUUUUAUAUUAUAAACUCACGUAAUUUUUUUUUUCUAUCUGUAGCAGAACUAGGGGGUAAUCUGGGCCGUGCCGGUCUGGCACGGCUCACAUUACCCGGGCCGAUUCGGGCCCAGCGUCGGCCCGGACCAUCCAUGUUAUGAAUCCGGGCCGUGCCGUGCCGCCUGUUCAUUUAGGGUUAAAGGCCCGGCCCGGCCCCUGGCCCGCCCAGCCCGGGCCGGGCCUCGUGCCAGCCCAGUAAUAGGGCUUUUGUCCUGUCUUCUUUGUCCUUUUUUGUAUUUUUUAAAAAAAUUAUUUUUUUGAAGAAAAAGAGAUAAAUAAUUUUUAACUUAUAAACUUUUGAUUUAAUGUUUUUAAUUUACACAACUAUGCCCAAUUUUUUUGAAACUCUUUUAAAAAUUUUAUAAAUUUUUAAAAAAUUAAACACUAACAAUAAAUUUAAUUUUUUAAUAUUAUUAAUUAACAUUAUAUAAAAUUUAAAGCUUAGAGAUAAAUAAUUUUCACUUUCAAUUUUAUAGAUUUUUAAUAUAAAUAUUUUAAUUUACAUUUGUUUGAUCCAAUAACUAACUUUAAUAUAAAAUUAAUAACUUUUUUUCCAUAAUUUUUUAUUAUUUGAAGUGAACUUGAUAUUCUAAAAAAAAUAACAAAAAGAUAUAUAAAUUUUGAAUUAAUCAUAUUACAUAAUUACAUGAGAGAAAAGUAUAAAAAUUUAAAAAAUCAAAAAUAUAUAAAAAAAAAAAAAUUAAAUUUUUUGACCCUUUGUUUUGAAAAAAUAAAAAUAAAAAGUAUUUUUUUAAAACAAGGAACGGCUAAAGUGCCGUUGAGCCCAUCUUCCAAGGUUAAGUUUCUGCAAGAUCAUGUGGCUACAGUAGCCCUACAGGCUAUACAGCCUACACUCUAUAGAUAGGUCCAUAGGGUUUAGGGUAGGCCCAUGUUGUGAUCCUUGUUUUUCUAUGCCCCAUAGUCAUGGCUUGUGGAUUUAAACCACCGGGCCGUGCCCGGCCGACAUCUGGCACUGCGCGGCCCAGGCCCGAACGGGCCGUGCCGUGCCGGGCCCGCAGGCCACAAAAACUCAGCCCGGCAGGACCUGGAGUGCCAGGCCGGGCCGGCCCCCUAAAGAUGCUACAGUAACCGUGCCGGGCCACGGCCCGGCCCGUUUACAUCCCUAAUGCUGCAGAACCUCCAAUAUUACAGAAAGUUCCUUUUCUUCCUUUCGAAAUAGAGAAGUACUGUGCUUGUUGAAUGGUUUUGGUAUUAAAACCAAAUCACUUGGAGCAAAAAAAAAAAAAAAAAAAAAACCUAAUAUCUAGAUUUAAAAAUUGCUGCCGUAAUAACUGGACUUAAUGGAGGCCAAUUAACCUUAGCAAUGAUUUGGGCCGAGUCAGAGCAGGGCUUUCCUUCGCUGGCGCACGACAAGGCCCAGUAAAAUUAAGAGAAUACCUUGGACCAGAAUAUAGUGUUUCAGGCCCAAUUAAUCACCCAUGGGCUAAGUACCACUAUAUUCUCUACAUGCGCCUCAAUAACUAGAAAAUUGACUUGUAUUAUUGUUUGCUCAUGUCAUUAUUGCAUUUAAUUUUUCUUCUAUUUCAGUGCAAUUUGCCGCGUGGAUCUGAAAUUUAUAUUUGUUGAAAUUCGGCUUAUGUUGAAAAAAAAAAAAAAGGAAAGAAAAUCUCGGUGGACACUCGUCUUUCAAGAAACUAAGGUCCGGGUCAGAAUAGUAAGUAUAAUAAUAAUAAUAAUAAUAAUAAUAAUAACGCGAUUGUUAAUUGUAGCAAUUAUCUGAUUUGAUUUUGACCCGAAAUUUGUAUAUUUGCCAUCCGUGAUGAUAUUUGAAAGCGUGGCUAUACAACUUAAGUUGGCCUCAUGUUUCUUAUGUGUCAGCUAAAUUUGUAAGAUACAUUGCUUUCAUCUGUUGUUGGGAUUUCCCAAUCUCUCACCAUCCCAUUUAUUUAUCUUUUUCCCUUUAUUUAUUGUAGGCAAUACCUACAAGAUAGCUAUCACAAGGUUAUGCGUACUUGCACUACGCACAACAUAACAACCGGGAGGACGCACAAUAUUAGUAAAUAAUGAUAAUAUAUUAUAAUUAUUAUUAUUAUUAUUUUUCAGUUGGACAAUGUGAUGAAAGCAGUGACAGACUGAUCAAAAUCAAGCGCCGAGAAAUGUCCAAACAAAAAAAUUGUACGGCCAGGUGAUAAAAGCAUUGUGAUCCACCGCAUCAUCAGGACCGUCCGCUCUGAUAAAUUAUAGCAUGGGAUUAUUUACAGUAUAUAUAUAUUUGAAUAUUAAAUUGUUAAACUUAAUUUAGAUGUGGUAAAACUGAGUUGAUCGAUAUCUGAUAUAAUAAAUGCAUAAAAAAUUAGCCCUGUAAAUACGUUUGACCACAGCAUGACACCAAACCCAAUUAAACACCCGAGAGUUGGAUCUAACGGAUCGUCGGAACCGUCCAUUAAAUUGAACGAGCCAAUUAUUGGGUGUCACCCGCGGCGGGACAGCUUUGGCCGGCAAAAUCGCUGGCGUGCAGUCCAAUCAGAUCUUCUAUUUCAAAAAGUAUUGAUUGAUAGAUAUAGACUUUUGAUUUGUCACAAAAUACGAACGAAUAUACUACUUGUACAUCUCAUCUCAUCUCAUCUCAUGAAGGAUAAAAAUUCUACACUCUUUUUUAUAUCUUAAAACAUAAAAGAUAUUUAUUAAAUCUGGAGUAGAAGUAAAAUUUAUAAGAUAAGUAGAAAAUCGUAGUCAUAAAAUUAGACUUCUAGAUUUACACCUACAGCGUUUCUCAAAAAUUGUACUCGUUUUUACAAGGAUUAAAUGAAUAAGCGGCCAUGUCAAGUGCAUUGAAUUUGCUAUUUAAAAUAAUAAACUGGGCCAGCGAGUUUAAGUUACCUGUUACCCCUUUAGAAGGAAAAAUAAUAUAAUAAUCUGAUAAUAGAAAAUAAGUUAAGACUGGUUUAAUAAGAGAUUUGAUUGAUUAAUUAAAGCAAGCGCUUGUCUUUUAUCAUCCGGAAGGAAAUGCGAAGAAAAUUAAUUCCACGUCAGAAAACUACCAUCUCCCUCCUGUUACUGAACUGAGAAGCAUCAGUGAUCAGUCUCAGUCUCUCUCUCUCUCUCUAUCUCUCUCUCUCUCUCUCUCUCUGCGUGUUUCUCGAUCUUCUCUCUCGGUAGCUACCUACCAACCUGUGAUAACUCCCUCUCUCCUGCCCCCUUCUUCUUCACUCCUCUUUCCUUCCCUUGUGAGCCACUCCCCCCUCUUUAUCCCUCCUCCUCCUCCUCCUCCUCCUCCUCGGUUCAAUCCAAUCCAAUCCAAUCCAAUCCAAUCCAGGGUUUCGGUGUUGGGGAGAGUGGCUUGGGAUAAGAUCCAGCCCCAACCAGCCUUGCGUGUGCUCACCAGUGGGGGCCGGAUUGUAUCUCUAGCCACCAUAAGAAUUUCUCUCUUCGGAAUUAGAGGUAUUGAACUGGGGGAGUUUUUCGUAGAUGGAUGAGAUGAUGAUGGUUCGCGAGUCGAUGCCAUCAUCUCAAUUUGUUUUUCAUGUCUUGUUAUAACAACUGGGUUCUUCCCUUUUUUUUUCGCAUUUGAUUGAUUGCAAUGUGGGUUGAUUUAAUGCAGGGAAUUGAAUUUAAUCCGAAAGGAAGCUCCUUUUCUUUGUUCAUAUUCAUAAUCACCUUCGCUUUUGUUUUUGCUGUUCUUUGGUUCCCGUUUGAACUGUUUUUACUGGGGACAAGGAACAAAUGAUAGAUUCUACAACCAUAACUUUUUUUUUUUUUUUUUUUUUUUUUGAGGUUUAAUUUUGUAUGCUGUCUUAUUUUAGAUCCUGUGGCUAAUAGUUUUGAUAUUUAGUGAGCAUGGUAGAGAGAGAUUUGAAAAGUUUGAAAGUGAUAUUUUUGGCAAUAUUGAAGCUUAAUAUAUCUUCUGAAAGUUGUGCCUUGCGUGCGUGCUUUGGCACAAAUUUGUUCUCUCCCUGUUGACGCCGUAACUUUGAGAUUUGUGAUAAUCUGGGAAGCGUGUGGGUGAUUGCAACUUUCAAUGCUUGUACAAUACAAUACUUUCUGUCGUUCUGAAAGUUACAGAUGGGCGGGCGGUAUGCGGAUUUGGAGUUUUUCAAAAAUCAGUUCAUAUGGGGGGACAUGUUUAUGUUUGGAACUGUUAGAAACAUUAUUUUCAUGCAGUCUGGCGCAAUGAUGCAUUUUUAGAUUUUAGGAUCUACUAUUUCUUGUAAACAUGCAAGGAUGUCUCUGUGAGAUUAUUUAUCUGUUUAACUUUCUUUUUUUUCCCCCUCUUAACCCCUGCUUUUUUAGGCAGUGCAAAUGAAAUGGUAUCUGAAUCAGUUCGUUUAAAUCCACAACUACUUAUCUACCAAUUUGUUGUUGUUCUUCUUCUUGUCUUAAAACCUUUUUCCUUCUCUUUUCUUGGUGUAGGUAUUUGACAUUGGAAAUAUGUCGUCGCCCUCUCUAAAAGAGUAUCUAUAUGAGGACACGUUCGUCUUUGGUCUUAGACUAUGGGUGGUAAUUGGAAUAGUUGUCGGUGCUUCCAUGUUGGUUAUUCUUUCUGUCCUAGUAAUAUGUGUUACGAUUCGUAAUCAUAGACGAUUGAGAAGAGCCACCAGCUACCUCCCCAUCAACCAAAUCCCCGCGGUGUCAAAGGAAAUCAAGGAAGUGAGAGUUGACCAACCCUCAACUAACAACUUCGCCGCUAAUAAUGGAAAUAAUGGAAUCCUACCAACGAACCCUGACAAUUUUAGAGAGAAGGAAUCGGACAAGCUCAUGGUUCAAUUGGAAUUGGCAGAAUCAAAACAAGGAGACGACAAUAGUGAUUCUAGUUCUUUUCGUCAUGCGGAUAAAGAACCUAGCUUCCGUAUAACUGAUCCUUCACCUUUUAUUGGUCUACCGGAAUUCUCUCAACUUGGUUGGGGUCACUGGUUUACUUUGAGGGAUCUAGAACUUGCAACCAAUCGGUUUUCAAAAGAUAAUGUUCUUGGGGAGGGUGGUUAUGGUGUUGUUUACCGAGGCCAGCUUAUUAAUGGAACUCAGGUCGCUGUGAAAAAGCUUCUUAACAAUCUGUAAGCUUCCUUUGUUGCAUUUCUUUCGACGUUUUCUAGUGCUUGCAUUUUGAGCUCACUAUAUGUCAAGCCUUUUUGCACAUAUAUAUAUAUAUAUAUAUUUCUUUUUCUUUAUUCCCCAUUUUCCUAUACAAAAUGUGUUCUUUGGACUUCCAGAGGGCAAGCUGAGAAAGAAUUUAGAGUGGAAGUCGAGGCGAUUGGCCAUGUCCGCCACAAGAAUUUAGUUCGCCUUCUUGGGUACUGUGUGGAGGGCACUCAAAGGUGAGAGCUCUUCUUUCCAUUCACUCCAGCUGAAGAACCUGUUUUGCCUCAUAGUUGCCUUUACGGCUUUCACUUAUGCUGCACCUAGGUCAUUUCUUAAACCUUGGGCGUCAUUUUUCUUUUUCUUUUUCUUUUUUUUUCCUUUAGCUUGUUCUGAGGUUUCCUUAGACCUAACAUUCAUUCGGUCUGAUGAAGAACGCCAUGGCUUCUAGUAGACAUUAAUACGUCUUGCUUGCUGUUUGUAUUGAUCGAUAAUCAGGAUGCUUGUCUAUGAGUAUGUCAACAAUGGAAACCUUGAACAGUGGCUCCAUGGAGAUAUGCAGGAGAGAGGUUGUCUUACUUGGGAGGCUCGUAUGAAGAUUCUAUCAGGCACAGCUAAGGCGUGAGUUUUUCUUGAUUUUGCUACUUUUAUUAUUAUUAUUUUUUUCUUUCUCAGCAAUCACUCUGAUUUUCUCACAAUUCUUUUGAUUGUGAUUUGUGUUGUCAAACAGCAGUUCUAACAGGAAUUUCUUUACAAAGCCUUAAAUACUAUAUUAAGUUUUGGAUCAGCUGGACAGUCUCAUUAUUUUACUCUCUUGUUUCCACGUUCAUAAAGCUAUAAUUUCUCUAAUUUGAUUACAAUUGGCUUGUGUGUUUGGCAGUCUUGCUUAUUUACACGAAGCGAUUGAACCAAAAGUUGUGCACCGCGACAUCAAGUCUAGCAAUAUUUUGAUCGAUGAAGAGUUCAAUGCCAAAGUGUCAGACUUUGGUUUAGCCAAGCUGCUUGGUGCUGGUAAAAGUCAUAUCAAUACUCGAGUUAUGGGUACCUUUGGGUAAGACUAUCUAUGCCACAUUUUCUGUGUCUUUCUUAAUGUAAAUAGGGUUAAAUUCAACGAUAACGAUAAUCCUUUUCUGUUGUAAAUUUUCUUUAACUGAUUCUUUGGCAGUUACGUGGCACCGGAGUAUGCAAACAGUGGGCUUUUAAAUGAAAAGAGUGAUGUUUACAGCUUCGGGGUUGUUCUUCUAGAGGCAAUUACAGGGAGAGAUCCUGUGGACUACAGUCGCCCUUCAAACGAGGUAUCAAUGAUUUAUCAUGUGAAGUUCUUAGAUGUAAAACAAAAUUUUUGAAUUUGGAAGGUAUUAACUGCCUCUGCAUUUCCAAAGAAAUUUCUCACGUUCAUGAUAUUCUGCAGUGAAUAUAAGAUCCUUUUCUUUGUGCACACUAGAAACUAACUUAUUCUAUUCCCAUUAUCUGUCGCCUUGAUUAACCCAAUGUCAUCCAUAUCUGAAGAAUAGAAAGCACAAAUUGUUGCGUCUAUCUAAGCCUUCAGAUAAACUUUCUUAAUUUGAUUUUUUGGAAAGUCAUUCUGAUUUUUUGAAACAGUAACUUGCCUCUUUUUUCAACUUCUCCAAGUUGUUAGGGUUAUAAAUAUUUGAGACUACACAGCUAUCUUCAAAUGUUGCUAUUAAUCUUUAAAUUUGCUAUGAUAUAUGCUUUUCUUCCGUGGUUAAAGAAAACUUCUUCCUGUCCUUUUCCAUUGAUUAUAUUGAUUCCAUUUUAUGUGGAGUGCAGGUUAAUUUAGUUGACUGGCUUAAAAUGAUGAUCGCAAAUAGACAUUCAGAGGAAGUGGUGGACCCAAAUUUAGAGAAGAGACCCUCUAUAAGGGCUCUCAAACGGGCCCUUUUGACCGCUCUCAGGUGCGUUGAUCCAGAUGCGCAGAAGAGACCCAAAAUGACUUUGGUGGUUCAGAUGUUUGAAUCCGAUGAACCAAUGCCACGCGAGGUUUGACGUACUAUUUACUUUUUCUUUGAAAGGCUAGCUAACGAUAAACUAUGAUUGCUUUUUUCUUUUUCUUUUUUUUUCUUUAUAAGUGAGAUAAACAGGUUGCCUCUAAUAUGGUAACGAGUAAUUCCGCACCUUUAAGCUGAAAAUCGUGGUUUAUUGGAUCGGAUACUAAGUAGUGAUCUAAGUUCUAGACCAGUAAUUUAGUCCUCGCUAAUGCUGUCACUGAGUAAAAGCCCAGAGUUCUACUGUACAUUCUCAUGCUAUUAUACCCAUAGCCUCUUUGAUGAGAUUUAAGGCUUUAAGCUACCGGAUUUAACUAAUAAAAUUACACCUUUCACUCAUUCCUAGUCUUUAUUCCGUAUGAAUGUGAGUUUGAACUAAACUGAGUAUGAUUUUUACAGGAUCGGAGACAUCGACAAAAUCGAUCUGGAAGCAUGGAAACUGGAUCUCAGAGGGAGAAUUCUGAGACAGACAAAAGCGACAAUCCCGAUUCAAAACCUAGCAGCAGAAAGAACAGAACAUAUUAUACCAACUGAUUUUUUUUUCUUCAUGUUUUACUUAAUUGUAUAUUUUUUUGUGUAGAGGGAAUUGUUAUGGUGUGCUGUAUGGUGCUUCAGAACUGUUUGAAAAUUAUAUCUACAGUUUUCUAUAUCUUGAGAACUAUGGUGUUGUAUGGACUGGGGAUAUUGUUCCAUCAAUGUCGCACAGCAGUUUGAAGAGAAGUUUAAUUUUACGUUCAAAUUUUAUUGCAGAAAGUGUUGCCACCGCUUAUGGUUUUCUUCUGAUAUGGAUUGUCUAUUCUGCUUGAAGACACCAUUAUUUGAGAAAUAGUAAAAUUAGAAAAUUACUGAGUUUAGGCCUUUUCUUAAGCCAGAGAGGAAGCAUAAAGUGUUCCUGAGUUGGCUUGUUUUUGGAAGAUUGCUUACCAUUUUGACAUUUAAUUAUUUACGGAGCCCAUCAUUUACAAACCACUUUAAAAUAUAGACCCUUCAACCAAAAUAUGGCACAUUCGACCUUCGUUUCUCUAAUGAAUAUCCACUUUCAUGUAGUUUCCAAAGAUGAUACAUAAACUGAACAUCCAUUUGAAUAGGAUGAUUAAGCAAACCAAAUCAUCUCAUCAAGUUUAUAAAUAGCAAACAUAUGAUCAAACUUGAAAUGACGUGCGCACACACAAAAUCAUCUCAUAAAAAGUUUACGUUCAGCCAUAGCAGGUCAAUGAAAGCUACAGGAAAUAAGCAAUCAUCCACAAACAGAAUCCUGGUGCAGAAUUUACAAAAUAAUAUAAGGCUAAAAUCAAGGUUUUCUUCACGGAUAUAUAUUGUAAUCUGCGCUUGACCCCUAGUGACAAUUAAAACCUACAGAUAAACCUUUAAUUUACACAACUAUAGCACUUUACACUAUUCCAUAAGAGGACAAAGUGCAAAUUUUAUAAUAAAUCAAGGAAUUAUUUGGAAGUUUUGAUUUGAUCAUAAAGAGAUCAAACUGCAAAUCGAGAUACUUCCGUCAAAGGUCUCUGAUAGAUUAACCUAUAGAGAUCAAGAUGUUAUUCACACACUAUUAAUAUAAUAAGCAUACAUGGAUAUACAAGGAAAGAUCCUCAUACCUUGUUGGGAAACUCCACUCAAAAAAAAAGAAAACAUACAAAAAAAGAGAGAGAAAAGAAAAAACUUGUUGGCAAGCAAUCCCCAAUUGUGAAGCACUACAAGAAGCAAAAGAAGAAGACAGAAGAAUUUCACACUCGUGGAGCCUCGGCAGAAGGGCCAGACCGAACAUUCAACAGAGGCUGGAGAGCUUUGACAACUAUGCUCAUGUUGGGCCUGAAAUCAGCUUCAUACUGUAUGCAUAGAGCAGCUACCGCAGCCAACUGUUUCGAAAUAACGAAAAUAAUGAUUAGAAACUUGCCAUUAUGGCACUGUUAAAAGUGGGUGUGACAAUAGUGUGGAUCAGCAAAUCACUCUAAAUGAGGAUAAAUAAAAUUUAAAAAUUCAAUCCUUGUGUACAGCACUUUUGUCUGAAUCCUGAAAAAGAAGGAUCGAAAUAAACAAGACAUCAUACAAGAACCUUCCAAUGUUUUCAGAAUCUUAAAUCAAAUGAUUGCUAUAGAGCGAGCAUGCCCAAGUUUGUCCAAAGACCUGAAAACGAACUCAGAAAGCUUACCUUUGCAACAGCCUUGGGAGGGUACUCACUGCCUAGCCUGGGGUCCACACAUUGCCUCACCUUAUCUUCACUAAGUCUUGGCGCGGCCUGCAAAAAUGGCCAACUGUUUACUCAUCUUUGAUGAACAACCGGUGUCUAGACAUUGAGCAGGACGAGGUAAAAGAGAGAGCCAUAAAAACAGAGGAGAGAUGAUUACCCAUGUCACAAGACUCUGCUGACCCCGUGGUAACGUAUGAUCAACCGGUUUACGCCCAGUCAAAAGCUCCAAAAGGACCACACCAAAGCUGUAAACGUCACUCUUCGUGCUAAGCUGCCCAGUCAUUGCAUACCUAGAGCCAAGAAGGACAAAAAACAUUAGUGGAGAUUACAUAUACUUCAAAAACCUGAAUUGCUGUAUGUAUACCCUUUCCCCUACGGAUAUGCUUUUCAUUGAAAAUUUCCAAUAAAAAAACAACUCCCCUCGUCAAUCAUCCUUCAACGGGAGAUAAUUGUAUUUUUGUAAGAAGCUGGAGUUUCAAGCCCUAUUUAUGAAAAUUCAUAUUUUACAGGGUAAAUGUGUUAGUUGAUGACUUUGCAGGGAUAUGUAUGUAAAAGCCCCUUGGGCAUGUGUGAUCGACCUCCAAUGAUCAAGUAUAUGUUCCUUAGUAAUAUUUUUGAACUUUUAACUCAAGAACUGAGAGAACAUACUCUGGAGAAUGAUAGCCAAAAGUUCCAAGAACACGAGUAGAGUGGAGGCGUGCAGCCAUGUCAGGAGACUGAUUCGACAAGUCAAAAUCGCCUAUUUUUGCGACAUAGUCCUCAAAAAGAAGUAUAUUGCUGGAUUUGAUAUCACGGUGAAUGACUUGGGGUUGCGCUUUCUCAUGUAGGUAUUCAAGUCCCCUAGCGGCUCCCACAGCAAUUUUUACACGCUGUGCCCAAGAUAAAACUGGACCAGGUUGUGCUCCUUUCACACCUUUCCUCCCUAUAGUAUAUGAAUCACAUAAUAGUUUUGCUUUAAAAGAUGAUUAGGGAAGACAACAGUAUUGUAGUAAGUCACCUCCGAAGGGAUGGACCCUUUUGCAACAACAAGGCACUAACCGAAAUAUGGUUUUUCUUUUUUGCAUGUAUACCACAUGUAAAUAAGCAUAAAAGAGUGGAUAUCCCUGCAAGUGUACUGCUGAAAACCGUAUUUAUUUACACUCCCCUGUCAGAGACUCAGAGGAUAUAUGCAGAAAACCAAUUUGCAUAGAUACCCCCUCCUGGGGGCCUGCGCACAGAUAAGCAAGAUUGCCAAGGGGCACAAGUAGUUACCAACUUAACAGGCUAGGCUACUAGUGCAAUUUCAUAAUUUGCAAGAUAUGUAUGCAAAUUGCAAAAUAACCCUUUACUAAUUGGAAUUUUUAAGAACACGAUACGAUAACUCUUACCGUGUAGAAUAUCAUGAAGGGACCCCAUCGUCGCAUACUCGUAAGCAAGUACACGGAGAUUUCCAUCAACACAAUAACCGAGCAGCUCAAUGACAUUUUCAUGAGUUAACCUUGAGACCAUGGACACCUGUGAAAUCUUCCGUAAGCAACUGAUUUAGGUAAAGAAAAGUAUUUAAGUUAAACAAAUGGGAAAACGAACCUGCGUGAGAAAUUCUUGAUCGGGCUGCUUGCUGGCAUCAAGCUUUUUAACUGCAGAUUUUCUUCCGUUUCUCAAGACACCAUAGUAUACUCUGGCAUAAGAGCCUUCUCCAAUUAAAGCAUCAUUGCUAAAAUUUUUCGCGAUUUCUUUUAUUUCCUCAACAGAAAUGGAAGGAACUUCAAUAGGCUGCAUUCUCACAGGUUGAGGAGCCCUCGGGGCAGGAUGUGAUGCAUAACUAGCUCCAUAAUUGCCUGCAUGAUGAGCGCCAUCUUAAAAUCAAAGGAACGUAUCAACCAAAAAGAAUUUACUACAUGUAAGCACAGAGUUUAGAACAGAUACUAUAAAACCAUAGGAGGCUCUUCCUAGAAAGAUCCAAAAAAGGGACCUUUAUAUAUACAUAUGCAUGUAUAUUCCAGAAUCCCUGCAAAAUCAUUUUUAUUUUUUCGUGAUUGCUCUCAUAAAAUGAACUUUCGAUGCAAUUUCUUAAAAAAAUAGCCUUAUCUUAAUUGCCGAGUUCAAAUCAUCCAUUUAAUGGGGAGAAGUUGGUUGGCACCAGAAAAAGUUUUCCAGAAAAGGGCACUUUUGUACAUAGCGGAACCGGCAGAAGAGACAACAUAAUUGUGCAGGACAGAACUCCCAUAUUCGGAUGGUACUUCGCCGAAUCACCACGAACAUGAUCGCUAGAAUAUAUAACCAUGAAAUCUUUCUUAGGGCCUAUUUGCUUGGUCGGAUCUUCUACAAAAGUGCCGUUUCAGAACAGCUACUCAAAGAUGCAUUGAUUUUUUUUUUUCUUUUUUUGCUCAUUAAAAUCUCUCCAAUUUAUAUGGCUUCUUGCCACAUCGGAAUCAAAAGCUUCAUACAGGAGCUUUUGCCUUCGAGACCAAGAGCUUAUUUCAGAGCUUCAUGCCACAACAAAAGCACUGGAGAUGCUAUCUGACAAAUGAUAGUUUUUUUUUAUAUCUUUUCCUCCCCUUUAUGCUCCUUGGAGUAGAUAAGUUAUUCCGAAAGGCAGGUCAAACAAAGGCUUCACUACAAUAAUCAAGUCGCAAUAACAAUAAAUCGAUACUACCUGUUGCAUGGCUUGCCGUAGAGGGUCCAUCCUGAUCCGCUCGCUGUCGUCUAUCGUUUCCAGAGAAACAGGAGAAACACAUGACCGUCCAAAGUUAAAUGAGCUCCCCCCUGCAAACCAACAUUUGCACAAGUUACCGACGAACGAAGGCACGCAUCUGCAAAGCCAAGCAGCACCAUGACACUAUCCCGCCUACUAAUUAAGCUGUCGAUGAUCUACUAAUAAGAGUUGCUUAAGUGUAUAGAUAGCUAAGCUUGAUCUCAAAUAACAAUGACCCUCCCGUUAGAAACCGGUUGCAGUGAACUGCACUAAUAAUGCGAGGAUUACCGCGGAUAGAGUCGACUUGAAUUUAAUAGGUCACAUUUGCCUACAUUACCUUGAUGUUCUACAAGAGAAUAAACUAAGCGGAAAGAUUACAGGGCAAAAAGGGAGGGAGCAUGAAUUGUGCGGAGUAGUCCGUACAUGAUAUAUAAUUUCGGGGAAUCGAAAAGGAGCAACCGCGUGCUGAGAGUAAAUGAGAUGAAAAAGUGGGUGGAAUUGGCGCAUAACAAAAUCACAACCAGCAUGAAUCACAGAUAGAGAGAGAGAAAGAGCAACAGGAUCGCCCGCAUAAUCGAUACGAUCGGAUAAGAACAAAGAGAGUCUCGCGCAAUCGAUCUCUGACCUUUCUCGAGGCGCCAGCGGCGGGAGGGGAAGUAGAUCGAGGAGGAAGAAGAAGAAGAUGCCAGUACUCUCGCCGAUGGAUCGAAAGAAAGCCUUCUGAAACCUCAAAUAUUGUUUUUGACUCGUAACUUGGAACCUUCAAUGGGUUUUCGGUUUUGAGUCCCUGUCGCUCUCUUCAGUAUUCAUUUUUUUUUGUCUUUUGCCGUCGCGUGCAGUUACGCCGUCCGUGACCGCACCAUCGGAGGUGACCUCACCGGCCUCGAGACCGACUGGGUUCGUCCGUCGGCGCAGCGACCCGCAAAACAACAACCGCCGAGUCGGAUCAGACCAGAUCAAUUCGCUGCCGCCGCUGCUGCUGCUGCUGCUGCUGCUGUUGUCCAGGUGCCGUCACGGAAUGGCCCUCCGAUAUUUUGUUCAAGAUAAUAACGAUCGUGACCUGAAAAAUACUGGCCUCUGAUCUCAGAUCGUACGGACCACACGAGUCAAGAAAUAUUCUGAUAUUUUCCUCUAGCCAGCUGGCAGAUUCUUAUUGGUCCACGCUGUACUGCUAUAAUAAUAAUGAAUAAUGAAUAAUGAAUAAUUAUUAUUAGUAUUUUGAGUGCUCGUAUUAUUGGGCGUGGGGCCUAAGUGAAGGGUGGUCGUAGGGAGCCAGCUCAGCGGCACGAUGUGCGAUGGUGCUGGUGGAGGAGGGCGGCAGGUUGGUCUGCACUCUCUGUACAAAAAAUAAAUAAAAGAUUGCCCGUACUUAGUCUAGCAGACCGGUCCAAUCAGAAUGCAGCAACUGCCUAAUGCCCCGCCACAAAUUAACUAAUGUCGUUUAUAUAUAUAUAUUUUUUAACUUAAUGAUUUUAUUAAUUAAAUCAGGUAUAUUAUUGAAUUUAACGAUCUUUUUUUAUUAAAGUUAAUUAGUCCAAUGACUUUUCAACUAAUGGAAUUAUGAUUUUUGUCUACUUGAGGCAGGAUGGACCUUGUUUCAACAAGUGUUGGCUACAUAAAAAAUAAGUUAGAACUCUAUCUUAAAAUUACAUGUAGUUGAUAGGCCACCAUAACGUAAUAUUUUUACAAGAAAAUACAAACCAAAAAAUGUUCAACAAUUGAAACACGCAGAAAGAGACAUGGUAACUUAUUGAUCUUCGUAAUUAACAAGAGUUUAUUGUGUUGCUCUUGGAUUAAUAUUCUAGCUUACGCUAAUUUUUUCUUUUUUCAGCUUCUACUCAAAUUUUGAUUCCAAACUCGAAUGAAACUAAACCUUCCAACUUUGCUUGGAAAUGUGCUACAAUGAAAAGUCGCGUUUGAAAUGUUGCUAAAGUUCUUUAAGCUGUUGUAUAUGGUAAAAUUUGAUUCCUUGGAGACCUAUUCAAUUAAUGUACUAUAUAUGAUGAUUUAUUUAAUAAACGACCACCUAGCUAGAAGUUAGCUAUACCUGCUGCAGAAGGGUUGAAGCUUCUCAACGAACAACAGUAAUCAAACUUAAAAGUUAUUGGCUUUUAUUUUUUUUGAGAAAAAAGUAGUACGCUACCCGCUUCAUUCAUUAGAGAGAUGAAUUAAGCUACAAGUGUGGGGCAAUCCGGCCCUGAGAAAAAAAAAAAAAAACUAAACUAAACAAAACGAGGAGGAGGUCCCAUUCUUGCACAAGAAGUUUGAGUCUGUACCGCAAGUUCAAGAUUUGGUAGGAUAUUUCGAAAGAUUGUAUCGUUUCUGACCUUCUAAAUAAUCCACCAGCAACCUACUAAAAGUUAUUGAUAUAUUAAAAGUAAAAGUUUGCACAUGUACGGACCGUCCCCAGUGCAAGUUGUAAAGAAUUUCGCGGUUGAUAUCCGAGAUCUUAAGUUCAAAUUUUAAUUGAUUUACAUUUUCAGCUAAGUUUAUUUCUAAACGAAGCGGGUAACAUAUUACCUAUCUCUAAAAAAAAAAAAAAGUUUUGCAUGACUGAGCCAUGAGUCAACUAAUUAUUGAUCUCGAGUGCGGGCACAACCUGAGUGGUCUACAAACAUAACUAAGAAAAUUAUUAGUUAUGUUUUGCGAGUCUCAGCAUAGGCCUGAAUCGUAUCAUCUGUGGACCGUCUAAUUCACCCGUCCACCAUGUUAUCACGGCUUACACAGUCACCUGCUAACCGGUCUACAUUCCCUUAUCAUUCUUUCAGGUGCAGCUACUUUCGUUCAAAAUUUCAAGCCCCAUUGCACAACCUAUCAACGAAGUGGCCCGCGACCAAUGUGUGGGCUGGGUCUAGGGAAUAAUUUCUUCUCUGUUAGGAUAAAGGGGUGCGACUGGAUGCAGUGCAUACGGUGGAUGCCGUUCACACGUGGAAACACAUUAAAGCCCCCCCUCCUCUCCUCCCCUCUUUCUUUUUUGUCUGGUCCAUAAUAUUUAGAAAUAAAAUAAUCUCCAAAGUUAUAUAUAUUGAAAACACGGGAUCACUUUCUCCUCCACUUUGAUUGGUUCUAUAAUUAGCAUACAUGAUCUACAGGAUCAAAGACAUAAUUUUUAAUAACUAAUCAUUUUUUCAAUUAGCACAUGUACGGUUUCAAAACUGCUGAUAUUUAUGACUACUUAAUCAAUAUCUAAUUAAUAAAUAAAUUUUUCUUAAAAAAAUAUUUAUCCUCCGUGAAUAAACUAGGUGUAAUUUCAUAGAUCUAUAAGUUUAAGAUUUGAAUUCUUAGGAGCCACUGAUGAAAGUAUGAAAUUAUUGUUUGGCUUGGCCUGGGCCGGUGGACUAGGUGCAGCCAAAAAGAAAAAAAAGAAAAAACUGUACUAGCUCAAGCUUGGUUUUUACCGUACAAUUAUUUUAUUGGUUUAGGUACGAAAGCGGUCAACUUGUUGGAGAAUAGACCCGGUAAAUGGAGCGCCAUGUACACAUGUACGAGAAAAGGAGAUUUAAUCAUUCAUUUAAUUGCCGCACCGAAAUUUGUACCUAACUGUGCACGGACCUCACCUCGGUAUUGGUCGUCCCCACCAUAAAAAUUAUUAUUUAUUAGACUGACUCUGUAGUACACUUUCUGAGUCUAAAAGUUGGGUGGGAGGAUGAGAUGGGAGAGAGAGAGAGAGAGAAAGAGAGACUGAGAGAGAGAACGCGUUCAUUUUGUUUCGACAGCGGGCUUUUCGGAGGUUCUCUUUAUCCCUCCCCCCUCGUCGAUGAAAACUUUCGCGCUGUCGAUUUGAUCGUGCGUUCUCCUCGUGUGGAUGCCUCAUAAUCUUAUUCGAAGGAUUUUUUUUUUUUUUUGUCUUUUAUUUCUCCCAAUUUUUUUUCCCCAUUUGUGUAUAUUUUUCCUGGUUUUCACGAAAUUAGGGAGCUCGGGGGAGGAAUUUGGCUCUAAAACUCGAAUCUUUUGGACUUUUGCGUUACUGUCGACGGUUUCUAGUGCUGAUAUUUUGGAGUAAAUUUGGACUGCACGAGGCCGAGACUGGGAGCAGAUGGUAUUUUGCAGUGGAAUGAAGUGAAUUGGAUGCUCGGGAGGAUCGUGGGGUUAGUGGAAUCUGAAGCACUGGAUCAGCUACUGGGGGCUAGGGUUUUGUUCUGUCCAAGUGCUGGGGCUCGGGAGUUUGAUUAGUCGUUGAGUGCGUCCUUUUCAGAUAGUUGUAGGUGGGUAUGUGGAUUUCACUUGCUUGGAUCCGCGGGUGCGUGGGCGUGAUGUUUCUGGAUUUCUGGGGGCGGAGUGAGGCCGAUUAGAGCGCGUUUGGACUCACUUUCCCACCUGAACGUCUGGGGCAAAAUUUGAUUUGAUUUUUAUUUUUUUUUUCUUUUUCGGUUUGGGAAUUGUGGGGAAUUUGGUAGUGUCUCGGGCGUUUGGGUGUCGAUGGAGGCUAAGAUUGGGAGUGGAAGCCACCUUUUGAGUGGAACUGGGAGGAAGAGUUUCGAGUGGGAUUUGAAUGAUUGGAAGUGGGAUGGCGAGCUCUUCGUUGCCACUCCUGUGAAUGGUGUACCUCCAGGUGUUGCAAACGGUGCGCCUUUAAUUUGCUCGUCUAGUUGCUUGAGAGAGACUGAUCUUGGAAUUGGCGGGAAAGGGAAAGGGAAAGGAGAAGUCGAGAAGAGGCGAAGAAUCGUUCCGGUGGAAGAAGGCGAGCCGUCGGAUGGAGAUGGAUCUCUUAGCUUAAAGCUUGGCUGGAAUGCUUAUCCGACUGGGGAGGUUGAUAUUGCUAAGAGUGAGGAAGAGGAGAGCGGGAAGAAGACUAAGUUACCAGGGAGUACUUCUAAUGGCCCGGUUUGCCAGGUGGAAGGAUGCGCGGCCGACCUUAGCCGUUCGAGGGACUACCACAGGCGGCACAAGGUUUGCGAGAUGCAUGCCAAGGCAAGCACGGCCGUGGUAAGGAAUGCCAUCCAGCGUUUCUGUCAGCAAUGCAGUAGGUAGGCAUUCGUCGUGACGUGUUUCAGUCGAACAAUCUGUUAACUAUUGAUAUAAUAACCUCUUGGUAAUCUAGGCAAUGCUAUUCUCAAGGUUUAUGCCCUAUUUCAACUGCAUAGUGUAUACCCUAUUUAGGAUUAUGCAACCUGUCCUGCCUCAAAGUGUUACUCAUUUUGGUUGCUCUUUCCAGUAAGCCCUCUGCAAUUUCUUUGUCUAGGUUUCACCUUCUACAAGAAUUUGAUGAGGGGAAGCGAAGCUGUCGACGGCGUUUAGCGGGUCACAAUAGACGGAGGAGGAAGACUCAUCCUGAUAGUACUAGUGGCGGGGCUUCCUUGAUAGACGAUAAGUCUAGCAGCUAUCUAUUGAUAAGUCUGCUAAGAGCCCUCUCCAACAUGCAUUGUAAGUCUACAAGGAUUAAAGUAUUACCUGUUUCUUCAAUUCCUGUUGCUGAUUCUUCUCCUUCUUCUUCUUCUUCUUCUUCUUCUUCUUCUUUUCAUGCUGGCUUUUUAUUGACGGAUUGGAUUCUUGCUGUGACUGAAGAAUACUCUCUGUUGUUUAUUAACUUAUCAAAAUUAUAUGUCUCCCAUCUUUUCACAUUGUAUUCACAGCUAAUAACUUCGACCGAACAGAAGAUCAGGACCAAUUAUCUCAUCUUCUAAGAAACCUGGCAACUCUUGCUGGCUCAUUCGAUACUAGAAACCUUUCUGGAUUGCUGCAACCAUCUCAAAGCCAGCUGCCACUCGGGGCCAGUUCCGGAAUGUCCUUAGAAGCAACUAAUAUGGUUCCAGAUUCUUCUCCUGCAUCUGAAUCUACUGGACCAAUGUGUCCUCCCUCUAAAAUAACUUGUGUUAAUGGAGGUCAGGGUCCUCAGAUCUCAGAAAAUUUUCUAUCUGAUGCUGUACCAAAGGAUUGUUCUCAUCCAACAACAAAUACAAUGACAAAUUCUCCAGGUGAGAAUUGGGACUGAUCAUCAUAUUUCUCAGUUGAUACAAUAUUUAGUUUGUUUUGCAUAUGUACCCCUCAAAGUAUACAAAUCUGUGCAUAUAACCCUGCAAAUAGGAAACUCGUGCCAAUAAACUUAGAAAAAGCCCAUAUUUGCAUAUAUGUCCUUUGCUCAACUGUUUGUCACAGAACUUCAACUUAGCAAAAAACUUGAAAAAUAACUAUUAUAACCCUGUAUUUGUUUGCACUAAUACCCCUAAAUGUAUGCGAGACAUUUAGCCAUGCGAAUGGCUUCUAAUUGUGAAGAUUACUGAUGCAAAACGAGGGACAUGUUCUUUUGUCAUGGCUUUAGUGAAGCUUAAGCGAAGUUGAACUCUGAUGAAGUAAAUGUUUUAUCAGUUGUAUGAAGGGGAAUGUAUGCAAAUAAGGUAUAUUGUUAAGGGGAUAUGUGCAAGUGCACUCUUUAGCAGGGUAUACACAAAAUACAUGUGUUGUUAGGGGUACAUAUGUGAAAAAACUCAGAUAAAAGGACAAACCCAUAGUUCCUAAUAUACUUCCUGCAGAGUCUACUGCAUGCAGAGUGCGUUUGAAUGAUUUUGAUCUGAACAAUGCAUAUAAUGAUAUACAAGACUGCGGAGUAGGAUGCGAAAAGUCAAUUAUUCCUUCAUGUGCAGAAAAUAGUUCUCCAAAUUAUCUAUCGCAGACGAGUGGUAAUUCAGAUUCAAUCUCCACCCAAUCACUAUCUAGUUCUAAUGGAGAUGCGCAGGUAUUCCAUUAUAUUAAGUUCCCUGAUAACCUUUUUCUAAACAUAGCUAUAUAAUGGCAUUUUUAUCUAAUGAAUAGCUUCCACUUUUUCCAAAAAAACUGUGAAAAAAAGUUUUUUUUUUUUGGAAAAAGGAGGACUCAAAUUUGUCAUUGAAUGUACUUCAAUGCUUUAUUGGCUUUCUAUGUUAUCCUUUGGCUUACAUAUCUUUUAAUUGCAGUAUCAAACAGAUAGAAUCGUGUUCAAGCUCUUUGGAAAAUAUCCUCAUGAUCUUCCUCUUGUUUUACGAACACAGGUAACUUUUGUAUCUUUAUGUAAAUCUUAAUCUGAUGAAGUGAGCAUCCGAAUUUGCUUAUUCAAUGCUGGAUUUCAGAUCCUUGACUGGCUAUCCAACAGUCCUACCAAUAUUGAGAGCUACAUUAGACCUGGUUGUGUUAUUCUGACGGUAUAUCUUCGGCUAUCGGAGCCUCUGUGGCAGGAGGUGUGCUUGUGCUCUCUUGCAAUUUAAAUUUGGGUAAAAUGUAUAAGUAGUCCCUGUAUUCACAGCUUAGUCCUGAAAUUUUCAAAAAUAUUUUAGUCCCAUAUUAUUACAUAGAUCACAAUCGAUGCCACCGAAAACAUCUGGUAACUGUUAAGCUAUGUGCUCAGUAGAUGUCCUUUCUGCUCUAGAAUGACCUUUUAACCUUGUUUUGACUAAAAUGAUAGAAGAAAGUCAUUUUACAUGAUAAACAGGAAAAAUGGUAAUCCGGUAGGGGAACAAUAAUGUGCUUAGCACAUGAUUUAAUGGAUGUUAGAUAUCCUCAAUGGGGUCAGAGAUUCUAUCCCUAUAUAUUGGAAUAUUUAGGAGCUAAAAUGUUUGUUUGGAAAGUCAGGGGACUAAGUUGCAAUAGCGUGGAAGUACAGGUACUAAGUGGUACUUUUUACCCUUUAGAUUUAUCAGAUAGGCUACUUAUAUGCUUCUUAUUACUUGGUGGUGUUCACUUUGCAAGCAGCUUUGUGAUUAUCUGAGCUCCUACCUGGAUAGGCUUUUGAAUAGCUCUACCAACAACUUCUGGAGAUCAGGAUGGAUGUAUGUUAAGGUGCGGCACCAGAUUGCAUUUAUUUAUAAUGGUAUGUAUGAUUUGCUUAGGUGUACAUUGAUGAUUUUAGUACGAUGCAUCAUUGACUUGCAAGAUGAAAUAUGCAAAGAAAUUAUCAUAUUUAUACUUGCUGCAGGUCAAGUUGUCCUAGAUGUGCCUCUUCCUCUCGGAUGUCCAGAUAAUUCUGGGAUUUUAUGUGUGAAACCUGUUGCUGUUCCUCAUUCGACAACAGCUGACUUUACGGUGAAGGUUUUUAGCCUAGCUCGUUCAACCACAAGGUCACUUAUUCUUCAUCCUGCUUACUUUCUUAACUUUCCGACAAAGUGCUCUCUUCCUUUUAGUUUAAACAUUUCUUACUUGUUUAUUCGUGUUGCCUGUUGUAAUUUGUUUUCAGGUUGUUUUGUUCUUUUGAAGGGAAGUACUUAGUUCAAAAAAUGACAGUAGUUUUAACUGAGGAAAGUGGUGCGGAUUCUGAGCAUGAAGAAUUGGUGUGUCUAAGCUUCUGUUGCUCUCUCCCUGAUGCAAGUGGGAGAGGAUUCAUUGAGGUGCUUCUUGCCACAAUCUACUGUUUCAGGUUUUUUUCAGAUAUAUUACAUAUAUACCCCUGUGAACUCAUCUGUUUACGUUGGUCCCUGUAAAUAGUCUUAUUUGCUUUUUCUUUUUUCAACACUGCCAUUGGGUCAAAUGAAAAUUCUGAUCUCAUAGGGGUGUAGUUAUGAAAAUAGAUGAUUUGGCAAUCCUUUACUUCUUCAUUCUCUUUGUAGUAAAUAUUCCUCCAAUCUGUUCCUUAAAUUCUCCACUACCAUCCUUUUUAGGUCGAAGACCGUGGCCUCAGCAACAGCUUCUUCCCAUUCAUAGUAACAGACCAAGAGGUAUGCUCCGAGAUUCGUACACUAGAGACUAUAAUCGAGAUAGCCACGAAUAACAAUGAUUCCCAAGGAAGAGAAGACAAAGAAAAUUCUAGAAACCUAGCUAUAAACUUCUUGAACGAACUAGGGUGGCUUCUCAGAAUGCACUUCCUGAUGUCCAGGCUUGAAAAAGUGGAGUUUCAUAGAGAAGCCUUUCACCUGAGCAGGUUCAGUUGGCUUAUUUCAUUUGCCAUGGAGCACGAUUGGUGUGCAGUUGUGAAGAAGCUUUUGGACAUUUUAUUUAGUGGAACAAUUGAUUUGGGUGCUCGUUCUCCUCGAGAAAUCGCUCUUUCAGAAAAUCUGCUCCACCGAGCUGCUGGAAGAUGCUGUAGAGAUAUGGUUGAGCUUCUGCUUAAGUAUACGCCAGAAAAGAGCUUAAAGGAGAGCAGCAACGAGAGAUUACUCUUUAGACCAGACUUUCUCGGACCUGAAAAUAUAACUCCGCUACAUAUUGCUGCAGCUGGUCGUGGUUCUGAGAGUAUAGUGGAUGCACUGACUGAUGAUUCUGAAAUGGUAAUAAUUUGCUGUCUACUGUUUUUUCCCAUGAUUUAGUCAGGUUUUUUGCAUAUUAAUCCCUCAGGUUUUUGGAUAUCGAGUACAAGUCCCCUGAGUCUUGUUAUACAUGAUAGUCCCUUGAAUCAUUUUUCUUCUCUGCAUCUCCUUUUGUCAAAGUUAUUCUGUCCUCUCUCUCUCUCUCUCUCUCUCUCUCUCUCUCUCUCUCUCUCUCUCUGCGCGCGCGCGUGCGCUUGCGCUUGUGUGCGUCUGUGUUUUUGUUGUACUUUUAUUUAUCUAAUUAAUGCCUUUAUCUUAUCUCCGCUUCCAGGUGGGAAUAAAUGCAUGGAGAAAUGUGCGUGACUCCGUAGGUUACACUCCGGAGGACUACGCGCGAAUGCGAGGACAUGAAUCUUACAUACAACUGGUCCAAAAGAAACUCAAUACAAAAAUAGGAAAGCACUAUUUUGUAGUAAAUAUUCAUAGUGACAAUCACCCGAAAUAUACUGAUGCAGAUAAACCCUUCAAACCUUCCUUUGGAAUUGCCAAGAGCAAGUUAAUGAGACCAAGCCAAAAGCCUUGCUGCAAUCUCUGCAGCCGGCAAUUGAUGGCUCAUCACAAUUCAAUGGCCCGGACUUUGUUGUAUAGACCAGCUAUGCUCGCGAUGGUCGGUGUUGCCACGGUGUGUGUUUGUGUGGGCAUAUUGUUCAAAACUAUGCCUGAAGUUUUCUUUGUAUCCCCUUCAUUUAGGUGGGAAUUAUUAGGGUAUGGAUCAACUUGAGGGAGAAGUACCAAAAGGAUCGAUUGAUAUGGUUAGGGUAGUGUGGGAAGUUUGUUUAAGAUGAGAGCAACUGUGUAAUAUAUUUUCGGACAGUGCUGUCCUAUAAUAAAGCAGAAUCAGCUUAUUCUUCUUCUUGCAUUUGUUGUCGUUGUCAUUUUCACUUUUCUGUUACGAAGACUUGUGAAGCUCCAUUUUAUUCCUGAAGUGUAAUAUAGUGUGUCCUUUGGAGGGCUUACUGAUUUUGUUUUUGUAUUUGUUUUUAUUUUUUUUCCCCCUUUUUUCCUCCGUUUUACCGGUGGAAUCCUAUUUAUAUGCUUCGUGCUGCUCGGAUACUGAAAAAAAUCUGUAAUCUAUAUCACAGUUUUUUUUUGGGAACGCCAUGUAUUCAUUAAACUGAUAGUUAUGAUGACCAACUUAGGGUGCGUAUGCAUUUACUCCGUACAGCUUUGUGCAGGAAAUCAUAAUCUUUUGUAUUUUGAGUUUUGAGGGGCGGUGAUUUGCAUUUUGACGAGAAAUUAAAAAUCAUCUGUAGUCAUUUUGCAAAUCAAUGAGAUAUAACUUAAAAAAGAGAAUAUUGGGACGCCUCAGGCUUUUUAAACAAACUUUUGCUACUUGCGGAACAGAUUAACAGGCAGUCUAGGGACUGGUGGUGGUGUAAUUUGCUCUUGUGAGACAGAUGAGGCACCUGACCGAGGGGAACGAUAAUAAAAGUACCGAACAAAGAUAUCGAGCGCUAUCUACUCCGCCGCUGCAGCUGCGUAGUGUGAAGUGUGAACACUCCAAUGGCGUCCGCUUUCUCGCUCUCCUCCUUCCUCUCUCCUCCUCUCCCCUGCCCUUCUCGAAACGAGCAUAGCUCGCAUUUGGCUUCCGCUAGGGUUUCAGUGCGGUGCGCCGCCCCCCUCGGAUAUCGUCCGAGGAGGAGGGAGCCCUCCCACCCGGCCACCCCCUCCUCCAGCAGCCGACGCGGCGGCGGCGGCCGCGCCUCCGGGCGCGGCGCUGCUGUGGCGGCGCCGCCGAAGCCGAAGCCGAAGCCGAAGCCGACGCCGACGCCGACGCCGGCGCCGGCGCCGAGGAAGCGGCACUGGAAGGAGGGGGAGUUCCCGGGCGCGUCGGAGGGGUCGGCGCCGCGGCCGCCCCCGAGGACGCCGAUCAAGAACCUGAAGAAGAAGGCCGACGACCGGGCGGCGGCGGCGGCAUGGGCGUGCACGGUCACCGAGGCACUCGCCGACAGGAUCCAGAAGAGGCAGUGGGAGGACGCUCUCGAGGUCCCCUUAAUCAAACCCUAACUUCCUAAUUUUGACCACUCCUCCUGGUGUUUUACUUAUUGGGUACCUGGAGGAUAGUGUCCGGGAAAAGCUAUGCUGUCAUUAUCGUCGUUAUUUGAGUAUUUGAUGAUGCGAAGAAGGCGUUUGAUCCUUCGCUAUAGAUCGAAGUUGUUGUCUACUCAUCGUUACCUCUCUGUCUCUCUUUCCCUGAAGCUUCCCUCUAGUCCCACUCUAUAGUUAAAAAUGUGUCUUAUUUGAGCACAAUAUUAGGAGUAAGUGCAUUUAGUAAGAUUAGUAACUACUGCAUUUUGGAGUAACUGGAUGGAAUCAGCUUCCAUGCAUAGCGGCACAAGUUGUUGCUAACAUGAAGAGAUAAAUUUAUUGUAUCAACAAAGUUCAGUAUGAAUUCAAGUUUUCAGAUGGUGGUGAAAUGAUGUCCAAUGGUCUAUCAAUUUGCUUUAGAUCUCCCGAUGUUUAAGAACUGAAUUAAUCAAAGUUGGAACUUUUGACUUGUUUACACAACAGACAUGAGGGAAAUUUGAGAGCUAGAAACUUGCAUGCUUACAUAACAUAUUUAUGUGGUUUCUGUUAUGGUAAUAAUUCGCCCUGAGCUGAAGGCUCGAGGUUGUGUUUUUUGUACUUGCAUAAUUCGUGUUAUCAACUUUUAAAAGUUUGUCAAUAUUUCCGUUGCGUGUAUAUAUAGGAUAUCAAUUUCCUCUUGUGGACAAAGUUUCUUGUUUCUUUGUUAGGUUAGAUUUAGUUUGGCCUCUGCUUCCAUCAUUCCAUUCACUUAAUUCUUGAGUACAAUUGCGUUGUUUGAGUCUCUCUCUCUCUCUCCCCUUCCCCUUUGUAAAUUUCUCAUACUAUUCUGUUUCCUUUCUUAGGUGUUUGAGAUGCUCAGAGAACAACCGUUCUACCACCCAAAAGAGGGCACAUACAUGAAACUUCUCAUACUCCUUGGAAAAUCAGGACAACCCGCUCGUGCGCAGCAACUCUUUGACUCGAUGAUAGAAGAAGGAUUACAACCAACUUCGGGACUAUACACUGCCUUGCUCGCAGCAUACUCUCGCAAUGACCUCCUCGACGAGGCAUACCAAGUCCUCAACACAAUGAAGACCCUCCCCCUCUGCCUACCGGAUGUCUACACCUACAGCACACUCAUUAAAGCCUGUGUCGAUGCAUUGAGAUUUGAUCUGGUUGAUUCCCUAUACAAAGAGAUGGAUGAGAGGUCGAUACAUCCCAACACAGUCACUCAAAACAUAGUUCUUAGUGGUUAUGGCAAAGCUGGGAAAUUUGACGAGAUGGAAAGAGUUCUCUCUGGAAUGCUUGAAAAUAGUUCUUGUAGACCUGACAUAUGGUCCAUGAACAUCAUUUUAGGCCUAUUCGGUAACAUGGGCCAGGUCGAAAUGAUGGAAAAAUGGUAUGAGAAGUUCAGGGAAUAUGGAAUUGAGCCUGAAACCCGGACCUUUAACAUUUUGAUCGGUGCCUACGGAAAGAGAAGGAUGUAUGAUAAGAUGUCUGCAGUUAUGGAAUACAUGCGCAAGCUGGCUUUUCCGUGGACCACCUCAACCUAUAACAACGUGAUCGAAGCAUUUGCUGACGUAGCAGAUGCGAAGAAUAUGGAGCUCGCAUUUGAUCAGAUGCGUGCCGAGGGGAUGAAGGCGGAUACGAAGACCUUUUGUUGCCUGAUAAAUGGGUUUAGUAAUGCGGGCUUGUUUCAUAAGGUGGUAAGCAGUGUUAAACUGGCUGAGAGGUUAGAGAUUACAAAGAAUACUAUGUUCUUUAAUGCAGUGAUAUCGGCCUGUGCCAAGGCGGGCGAUUUGAUAGAGAUGGAUAGGGUAUUUAAGACUAUGAAGGAUAGGCAUUGUGAGCCAGAUGCUAUGACGUACUCGAUUUUGGUGGAGGCAUAUAAGAAAGAAGGAAUGAGAGAUAAGAUUUAUGAUUUAGAGCAGGAGAAUCCAGGUUUGGUUGGGACUGUAGUUGCGGCUUAGUGGAAUUAUUGCAGAUCUUUUUAUCAUUCUGGACAUUACUCUCGCACCCAAAUGUCGAGUUCGGGAGUUAGUCGAUCAGUGAUGCUGGCUUAAAUUCAAGGCUAAAGCCAGGUUUGCCGAAGGAUAAAGAUUUUUGAAGUCUGCCAAUUAUGUUUAUGAAAGGUUUGAAGGUUUUAUGCGUGUUUUCCUAUGAAUCUGUGGGACUAUUAUCUGGCUGAUCAUUUUUUAAUUGUUGGUAACAGAUAGAUGCUGGAUAAAGGAAUGAUGAUCUGAUCUUUAGGUCCAGAGAUUAACAUCUGUCUCCUUUUGGUCUCAGCAUUUUAUUUACUUUUCUUUCUUUCUUUCUUUCUUUCUUUCUUUCUUUCUAUUGGGUGGUUUGUGUAUAGGAAAGUUGUUGACAUCCAACCGUAAGAAUUGUGUCUGUGCUAAUGAGAAUUUCCUUAAAACUGUAUUUUGUGCUCCCAAAUUUUCAAAUUGCUUAAAUCUGCAGCUUUAGUUAAAAGAACCAACGCAGGAGUCUGAAUUCCAAAUGCAAAAAAUUUUAAAUUUUGUCGUGCUUCUUCUGCUCCCAGCUCGCGUGGGAGUCGUUGACCACUGUUGGCGUUGGUACGAGCCGAACCGCACAAAAUUGAUAAAAAGGCUUGUUGGGCUCCAGGCUGUUGGCUGGUCCGUCUGGGCCGGGCUUUGGACUUGUCAUUAGCAGACCGGACCGGACCGGACCUCAUUAUCCAACAGAAGUCUACCAAAAGCAAACAACUACCCAAACAGCUCAAACUAGUUUGCCGACCAAUUCGGGGGAUUAAUAAUAGAAGGUGAAGUGCUGCUGCCUUUCUCUGAAAAAUAAUAAUAAUAAUAAUAAUAAAUAAUAAUAAAUAAUAAUAAUAAUAAUAAUAAUAGAAGGCGAUGAUAAGAAUACUCUUACCCGCGACUUCGUCCCAUGGCGUGAACGAAACGAAACGAAACGUAACGAAAAGAUAAACGUUAUUAGGCCGUUCUCCGCGCGCCACGAAUCGACGAGAAGAAUAAAACAGCGCGGAUCGAGACCAUUUAUCUCCUCCUUUUACCCUCCCCCGACCCACAGAUCACCCCGAAACCCUAAUCCCUCUCCUCCUCCUCCUCCUCCUCCUCCUCCUCUCUUCCUCUCGAAUCCGCAGCAGGAUGAGGCAGAUGCUUCCCUUCAAGGAGGAGUUCACCUUCGGUAUGCCCCCCGCUUCCCUCCAAUUCCUCAUCAAUUUCCUCAAAUUUGCCCAAUUUCAAUAUCUUCGUUGCGUGCUCAAUGCCCUGCGAUUUUUAUUUUUUUUUCCCAACCCUUGUUUCUGAUCCAAGUUGAUAUGUGGCAGAGGAGCGGCUCCAGGAAUCGAAGGACAUCCUCGCCAAGUAUCCCGAUCGAGUGCCGGUGAGCUCGUUCGUUCGAUCUUUCGUUCGUUCGUCCUUUCCCUCCUCCCCCCCUUUCGCCCUUUGUUGUUAAUUAAUCAAAUUUUGAGUUGAUUUUGUAGGGAAAUAGUGCUCGUUCUGUUGUGAAACUUAGUUAUUUGUUUGCCUACCAUGUUGGGAUUAAAAAAAAAAAAAAGUUGGAAAUUUUCUACUUGGAUGUUUGAAUUAAUUUUUUUUGUGUACAAAAUUGGUUCUGGGGGUUCUAGAUGCGUAAACAAGCUGAAUAAUCUCACUAACUGUAGCUGCGUGCCUUGUGUGACUGUGAUUAACAGAUGUUGCUGGUUGUGCUUAGACAUACUUUUCGUGACGAGUAACAAUUGAAUUGCAUAGAUAUUGCCAUUUUGUUGUAUGCUGUGAAACCACUCGAUCUUUUCCAUCCCUCGAUUGAAUGUGUCCUUUUGCAUCAAUGAAGUAACUAUUAUUGAAAGCUGACCUAGUUUUUUUUUUUUUUUUUUUUCGUAAUUGUCUUUUCCAAGGUUGUUGUUGAGAGAUUUUCAAGGACUGAUCUUCCAGAGAUGGAGAAGAGAAAGUAUGUCGCUACUUAGACUUUGCGAUGCAGCAGUUAAUCUACGUCCUUUUUGUUUUCUUUUUGUGUUUUUUUUUUUUUUUUUGGUUCUCCUUGUGUUGGUGCUGUUCUCAUAUAGUCAUUCUUCAUUACUUUGUUAAGACAGAAUCGUUAUGUCUCUCGUGAUUAUCUUUCUCUGCUUUAAGCAAACUAUAUUGUCGAGGAAACUUUUUCCAACCGACUUGGCCCUGUGAAUCUGAUGGUUCCCAACCUUCAUAUAUGGGUAUAUUCGUAGGUGUAUGCAGAAAUAGACAUGUAUAUGCCCCUUUACAAUACUUAAGUUGUAAUGUUUGAAUGCAGGUUUCUGGUCCCUUGCGACAUGACCGUCGGGCAGUUCAUUCACAUUCUAAGAAGCAGGCUGCACCUUCCUUCUGGGAAAGCACUUUUCAUUUUCAUUCAGGAUACUUUGCCUCAAACAGGUAAUUUCUCUUUCUAUUUUAUAUUCCGCCAUCACAAUUUUCUAGUUUUUGAGAUCUUGAGUUAGUUUUAUAAUUUGUUCAAAAAUGUGUUUCGAUAACAGCAAGCAUCAUGGAUUCUAUGUACCAACAAUACAAAGAUGAGGAUGGAUUCCUUUACAUGUGCUACAGCAGUGAGAAGACCUUUGGAUGAGUCUCACUACUUCGGUAAUUAAGUGGUUAUAUUUAUAUACAAAUGCGUACUAAUAUUGGUCAUCUUCUAUUAGAAAUUGCAAUGCAAGUAUCAUUAAAACUGUGUCCAAACUGUGUUCUGAUACAUUUUCUUUGCUCAAAUUGUGUAUAUAUAUAUAUAUAUGUAUAUCUAUGUACAUUAUUGAACUUAGCACACAUCCUUCGUCUAUCAGAUAGUAAAUUAUUUGUCGUGAUCGAUUCUGUCAUCGAAAUGUACCUGUUCAUUUUUCGAAGAAAAUGAACGAUGGGAAGUACGCGAAAUAAUAGGUAGAUAGUAACAUAUGGAUGGUGAAUAUCAAGUCGAUCUCUUGCUGAUCAGCAUCAAGCUUAUUAACUCUAGGGCUGUGUUUGGUUUCGGUAUAAGUAAGAACGGCUUAUUUUAGGUAUAGGUUAAUAGGUAUAAGUCAGGUAUAAACAGGAAUUAGACUAAUUUUGUAUUUGGAUAAAAAUUGGGUUGCUCUUUGAAAUAAGAUAAAUAGUGUUUGGAUGGUUAGAUUGGAACAAAAGAAUUAAGAGUUAUAAUUUUAAAUUAAAGUUAUUUUAUAUAAUUAAUUAACAUCAAAAUAUUACUUAAAAAUAAAUUAAUAAAUUUAUUAGCUAUGCGUAUUGUAUAAAAUAAUGAACAUAUAUUAAUUAAUUAAUUAUAAAAAAUAAUUUAAUUUUUUAAUUAGUUAGUAAAUUAUUUUAGUUAGAUUACUAGUAAAAAAAUUAAUUAGAUUAAUGCAAAUAUUAAUGAUUGAUCAAUAUAAAUAUUAGUUCAUAGAUAAACAUAUUUAAUUAGUAAUAAUUAAUUAGCUAAUUAAUUAUAAGUAAUAAAUAAAUAAAUUAUUUUAUUAUUUAAGCAAUGGAUAAUGAUUUAAAUAUAUUAGUUAAGUUAAUUAAUGAUUUAAUACCAUAUUAACAUUGAAUUUAGAUUUUAAUUAAGCUUGUUUCUGCUUUGGAACAAGCUUAUACCGGGUUAUAUCAACUUAUUCCAUGGACCCGAGAACUGCUGAUUUGGAGUGCGAAAAUUUUUAUUUGGGGACAAAGAGAGAAACAAGGGUUUAUUCCCUCUUUGUUUCCAAAUCAAACACUGCCUAGAUGACUCUGCUGCAGAUGAUGCCGUGCCAUAUUGCCAUAUCACCUGAUAUAUAGGAUCUAUAGUUCUUGAAUCAAUUCAAUUUCAGCCUAUGCCCGAAAUUAAUCAUAAAAUCAGCCAUACACCUUCCCUUUUCAUAGCUGUAUAACACUCCAUAACUUGGAUGCUAAUCACUUGUUACUCAAGUAACUCCAUUUCAGCAAAUUUUCUUCUGUCAAACUAGAGGUCUAUUAUUAGUUAGCUAUUCCUUAGCAAAUGCAAAUUGAAAUAAACAGUAAUCAGUGAAUAUUAUUUUCAUCUUCAUAUUAAUGUUGCUAAAAGAGCCAUGGAGGCCGAAUAUUUUGCAAGCCACUGCAGCAUUCAGCUGUUGGUUAGACCCCAAAUUCGCUACUCAGGCUACAAAUCCAACUCAGUCAAUCAAAUUGCCUUCAAAUGUAACUAACCUAUAAAUAAAACUCUUAUCCUUAAUUAUCUCGACUCUUCUCAUAACUUGUUAUAGCGUUGUAAUAUGCUGAAUGAUCCAAAUUAGAGAGGCUAAAAUUGAAUAAUAAGGUGUUUGCGAAUCAAUUAAAGCUGUGUUUUCUCGGUGAAUUUUAGUAUCCAACUAGCUAAAGAAUUAAUGCGUAGUUAUCGAUAUAAAGCAGAUUGAAAUAUAUUAAUUGCUCGAGAGAGAAUAACAAAAUUUGGAUACUCCAUUCCUCAUAAAACUCAUAAAGAGUUAUUACUACAAAGGACUCGCGCUUAUUACAUUAAGCAUUCAACUGGCAGUUGAAUUAAUGUAAUUAUCAAAGCAAAAAAAAACCAGGAGAGAGCUGUGCUCUCGGUGAGAAGGGUACUGCAAGAACAAAGAACUAUACUACCCUACCACUAGGUUCUCUUCAAAAGCUUUUCUGGCUCUUGAAGUACACCUGGAAGGGGAACUGCACGGCGCCAUCGCCAUCGCCCACCGAGAUGGUGUGCUCGCCAGCCGGCAGCGCAACGUAGGCUGACCCUGUCACGAUGCUCAGGCUCCGGCAUGACUGCAGCUUGAAGCUCGCCACCUCGCUCUUUCCGGCCGCCACGAACACCCUCUGGAACCCUAUCACCUGUUUGAUCGGGGCUCCGAUGAUUCCCUCUGGCGCGGUUGCAUACAGCACCACCACGUGGCUCCCGUCCACAGUUCCGGUGUUUGUCACGAGCACGUCGAUCGCCACAUCAUCGUCAUCGCACGAGAGAUCCUCGACAAUUGCAGCCUGGCACGGUGGUAUGUAGGCCGAGGUGUUGUACUGCAGCUGGUGGCAGUGGCGGCCGAGCCCGAGCUCCUUCUCGACUGACCUUUGGGUCGACACCACCGUGUAGAUGAAGUUGGUGUAGCUCAACCCGAAACCGAAGGGAUACACCGUCGACCCGUUGUAGAACUUGUAGGUCCGCCCAGGAAAACCCAGGUCGUCGUUCGGCCGGAGCUGCAUGGAUGUCAUCGGGAGCUGCAUCACGUAGUCGGCUGUGUACCAUGUUACUGGAAGCCUACCACCCGGAUUGUAUUUUCCGUAGAUCACGUCGGCGAUCGCAUUCCCUCCCUGCUCACCUGGAUACCCGACCCAAAGGAUCGCAUCAAUGUCAGACGAGCUCUUAAACUCGUCAAUGUUGACUCCGCCAGCUGAGAGGAUGACGAGGACAACGGGGCCCUUUGCCGCGCUUGCAACCUGGCGGAUGAACAGGUUCUGGUAGCCGGGGAGGUUGAGGUUGGACCGGUCGUUGGACUCCGCCUCCACCGACAGAUCGAGGCCUGCGAAGAUGAUUGUGGCAUCAGCGGUCUUUGAGAUCCGAACUGCCGGGAAGAUGUACGUCAAGUUGAGGCACGCGACGUCGAGGCAGCCGGGCAGGUACGACACCUUGGCGUACCGCGAGAGGCCGUCGAGUGGCGACGAGUAGCUGCAUGGAGUGCCUUCAUCACAACAACAACAACAAGAAUAAGAAGAAGAAAAAGGAAAUAUUAUUAUUUCAGGUAAAAUACUGGAAAAAAAAAAAAACCCUCAUCAGAGAAGACAGACCAAAAAAAAGAAAUAAAGAAUGAUGUAGUACGUACCUGCAUAGUUGCCGAGCAUAACAUGUGUGGCAUUGGCGUGAGGGCCGACGGCGGCGAUGUUCUUGUGCGCGGUGGUGUUGAGGGGAAGAACAUUGUUCUCGUUCUUGAGAAGAACAACUCCCUGCCUUGCUGCGUCGGUCGCCAGUUCGACGUGCUCCGCAGAGCAGAUGUUGUUUUGGUUCAACGAGUCGUAGGCCGGCUGCCCGUCGAACAAUCCGACGCGCAUCAGAACGAUGUAGUUGUUGAUCAGCGCCUUGUCGAUGUCGGCUUCUUUCACGAGCCCGUGGCGCGUAGCAUUCUCCAGGUACGUUUGGUAGAAGGACAUGCAAUCCAAAUCCAAACCUGCAUUUCAAUUUCCAAAAACAUUUGAAAGAAAAUAAAAUCACUAACUGAUGAUUAAUUACGAAAGAUUUUGUUAAUUUUGGAUUUAAGAGUGCCUACCUCCUUUCAAAACCUGAGCUACGGCAUCCUCCGGAGUGUCUGCCAAGUACUUCUGUUGGUCGACUAUGACCUCAAUUGAGUCGCAAUCAGCAACAAUAUAGCUACGGAAAGAGAAAGAAAAAUAAUUUUUUUUUUUAAAAAAAAAAAACAAAGUCCACCAAAAAGUAAAAUCAAACCCGAAAAUAGGAUGCAUGCAAUUUAUUAUUUUUAUUUAUAAUAAUAAAGGAAAUAGAAUUGAUUGAAAAUACCCAUGAAGAUUCCAAUCUCCUCUAACAGUUCCCCGGAGAAGGCGUGCGUCGGUGCACGUGGGGAUGCCGUUGACGCUGUUGUACGAGCACAUCACACUGCUAACAUCCCCAUCCUUCACGCACAUCUCGAAGGGACGCAGGAACGUCUCGACCAUAUCUUGUUCGGUCACCUUAAUUAAUUAAUUAAUUAAAAAACCAAAACAAAAUUAAUAAUUAAUAUCGCCGUCGAAAUGAAGAUGAAGAUGAAAAAUAAAAUCAAACACACAGGAUUAUUAAUUGGAUUAAUUAAUUCUGCUUACGUUUGCGCUGUAGUGGUAGCGAUCGAUGAAGAAGUUUCCGGGCGCGUACCAGGCGUCGACGUCGUAGGCGGCGUAGUGCUUGCAACAGGCGGAGACCUUGAGAGGGCGGGUGUUGAGAUCGUCGGUGGUCUCGAAGCCCGUCACGUCCUGCAGGCCGCGGACGUAGUUGACGGCGUAGCGCCCCACCACGAAGGGGUCCUCACCGGGGGUCUCCAGGAUGCGGCCCCACCGCGGGUCGCGGACCACGUUGAUGUUCGGGCUCCAGAAGGUGAGCCCGGCAACACCUAGGUUGUGCAUGGCCCUCGCCUCUGUCGAAACAGCCUAUACAUACACACGUGUAUAUAUAUAUAUAUAUACACACACACACACAUACAUGAGCAUGCAUGCACGUACCCAAAAAAAAAGAGAAAAAGAAAAAAAAAAUCUCGAUUAAUUAAUUUUUAUUCAUCGGAAGCCAUUAAUUAGGAGGAGUCAUUAAUUAUACAGUUAGAAAAGGAAAUUAAUUAACCUCGCCGAUGGUCUUCCAGAGGGUCUCGUUGAAUGCGGCGGCGGAGGUGAUGGGAGUGGGGAAGCUGGUGGCCCCCGGCACGAUAUUACUGAACUUGGAGCCCCCUCCGACGUCGGAGACGCCGUGGAGCGCCUCCGACCACCAGUUGUACUGGGGGAUGCCGAGGCGCUGCACCCCGGUCGCCCCGUUCCCCGUCUGCCCCACCUUCUCUGCCAGCGUCAUGCUGUCCACCAGCCGCUUCGCCCGCACCGCGUACGGCAGCGACUUGUUGCAGAACCCGAACUGCGCCAUGUUCAGCCCCAGCUGCUCGAACCGCUGCGGGUCGCAUAUGUACUUGUACGUGUACAGCGGCGCGUUUGGAUUCGAGUUCGAGUUGUCUCCGUGGGAGACGGCGGCGAAGAUCGUAACAAGGAGGAGGAAGAUCGACUGAGGAGAUGAAUUAGAACAAGGAGGAGCCAUUGCUAACAAACAGUACUAGCAGCAGCACAAUUAGAUAAAGAAAGAGGAGUUAGCUUAGCUAGCGCGGAAGAUAGAAAAAUAGAUAAUAAAUAAAUAAAACAAGCUGGUAGGGAAUGAGUACGUAGUAGUGAUGUGGAUAUGGAUCGGUGGGGUGGUGUUUGUAUUUAUAGAUGAGAAGGGUCAGGGGGACGUGGAAUAAUGACGCCACGCACCUUAAAAAGGUACGUAGGCGUAAAUUGAGAUUUCAUUUCAAAUUGUGCACUCUGUAUUGUGUAUGUAUGCGUAUUUCCCUUAACUAACAAAGAGAAAAUUAUGCUUGCACAGAUCUUUGAUUUGCUUCGCUUUUUUUUUUUUUUUUCCAUUAUCUAUUUUUAUAUAUAUAUUUGGGAAACUAACCGCAUCUAUAUCUACGCGCGUUAACAACAUUUCAAAUUCAAAAUCGUAUCGUAACAAACCCCUAUUUCUUCAGAUUUUAAGAGAAAGAGAGAUCAAUUUGCUCGGAGAGUCAAAAAAAAAAAAAAAAAAAAAAAAAAAAAGAAGGAGAAAAAAGAGAGAGAGAAGAGCGCGCAACAGACUCUUCUCUCAUUUGUAAGAGAAUCUCCUUCAAAAUUUGAAAUUUUCAAUCAAAUUUUACGAAAUGCACUAAGUCCACGUCAACACGUCGCCAGAUACAACACCUCAAACUCAAACCUAGUUUCGCAUGAUCUUCUCCUUCUCCAUUACAUUUGGUUGCUUACAUUAUAAAUUAUCCGUCUCGUAUAUCUCUUUGCUGCAUUCAUCGUCAUUGUCGUCGUUGUUACAAACGUACGUAUAUUCAUUGGGCCCCUGGACCCUCCCAUUCGCAAGACGAAGGAAACUGAAGCACCCUACAAAUUAUAAUCGCAACAAGCACGCACGUAAUGGCAGCAUCCUCCUUAUUCCCUCGGCUGCUCUUCCUGCUAUCCUUUACACUGUAUAUUCCCCCCUCCUCCUCCUCUCGGUCCGUUCCUCCGGCUACUGCUGCCGCCACAGCUGCAACACCUGCGGCAUUGGCAUCGGCAUUGGCACCGGGCCUGCCGCCCUACAAGCCCGGUCCCAUCACGACCAAUGGAAAGAACUACACCAAGGCCUGCGACCCCGCCCGGUUCGCCGACCUGGGCCUGGACAUGGCUGACUUCCUCUACUGCAACUCCUCGCUGGGGUACGCGGAGAGGGUGAGAGACCUCGUCGGCCGCAUGACGCUGGUGGAGAAGAUCGCCAACCUCGGGGACCGGGCGCAGGGGGCGGCCCGGAUCGGGCUCCCCAAGUACGGGUGGUGGUCGGAGGCCCUCCACGGCGUCGCCUCCACGGGCCACGCCACCUACUUCGGCGACGUGGUCCCCGCGGCCACCAGCUUCCCCAAUGUCAUCCUCACCGCCGCCGCCUUCAACGAGACGCUGUGGAAGGCGAUCGCGCAGGCGAUAUCGACGGAGGGGCGGGCCAUGUACAACUUGGGCCACACUGGGCUGACGUUCUGGAGCCCGAACAUAAACGUGGCGAGGGACCCCAGAUGGGGGAGGGUGCUGGAGACCCCCGGAGAGGACCCCUACACGGUGGGCCGCUACUCCGUCAACUUCGUGCGGGGAAUGCAGGACGUGCAAGGCUCAGAGACCACGGACGACCCCCACACCCGCCCUCUCAAGGUCUCCACCUGCUGCAAGCACUACGCCGCCUACGACCUCGACAACUGGUUCGGCGUCACCCGUUUCGACUUCGACUCCAGGGUACCUAUACCUAUACCUAUACAUAUACCUGGGUCGAUGCGUCCAUCCGUUCAAAUAUAUAUAUACACAUCAUCAUUGAAUGAAUGAAUGCAAAAAUGAAUUAAUCUCAAUCAUGUUGAAUUAAUGCAUGCUGCAGGUCACUCAGCAAGACAUGGUGGAGACGUUCGUUCGCCCGUUCGAGACGUGCGUCCGCGAAGGCGACUCGAGCAGCAUCAUGUGCUCCUUCAACCGCAUCAACGGCAUUCCGGUCUGCGCAGAUCCACAGCUCAUGUCGCAGACCUUCCGCGACGAUUGGCAGCUCCAUGGGUAUGUAUACACACACACGCGCACACACAAACACAUAUAAGCUAACCCAUGCACGCAUCUUAAUUAUCAUGAUCAAGCCCAAAUUUAUUCAUGCUACAAUUUCAUUCGCUUUUUUAGUUACAUUGUUUCCGACUGCGACUCUAUCGAGGUCAUCUAUGAGCGCCAGAAGUGGCUCAACGGCACACCGGAGGAGGCCGUUGCCCGCGUUAUGAAAGCCGGUACAUUCUAUGCUUAAUUUGUACUCCUUUUAACAUUAGCCUGCAUGCGUAGAUUGAAUCAAUCCAUCAAUUGUUAGUCCUGAUCGAUCACACAAAAUGCUCACCUCCUGUAUAUAUUCUGCAUCGCCUAUAUGUAUAAAUAUAGGCUUGGAUUUGGAUUGUGGGUAUGGUCCGCUCAACUACUACAUGAACUUCACCGAGUCUGCGGUGAAGCAAGGGCUGGUCCGCGAGUCGGACAUUGACAAUGCAUUGAAGAACCUGUACAUGCUCCUCAUGCGGGUUGGAUUCUUCGACAACAUCCCCGCUUUUGAGCCCCUCGGCACAAAUGAUAUUUGCACUGAAGAGAAGAGGGAAUUGGCUGUGGAUGCUGCGAGGCAAGCCAUUGUGCUUCUGAAGAACGACGACAACACGUUGCCUCUUGACGCCAGCAAGUAUAAGAGCAUCGCCUUGGUCGGUCCCCAUGCCAAUGCCACUGAAGCCAUGAUCGGAAACUAUGCAGGUAUUUCAUCAAACACCUUUCUUUUUCACUUUAAUUACCAUGUUCCUUUCCCACAUGGUACGUUCAUUAAUUAGGUGUUUGAUUAAAUUCAACAUUGUGAAAAACAGGCAUCCCGUGCCGCUACCUAUCGCCGCUCGACGCCUUCUCCACGGAUGCAGACUCAGUCGAGUAUGUGCAAGCCUGCGAUGUGAAGUGCACGAACGACAGCUUGUUCGGCCCAGCCGUUGCGGCUGCCAAGAAUGCGAGUGCGACCUUCAUUUUCGUGGGGCUCGAUCUCUCGAUUGAAGCCGAGGAGAGAGACCGCAUGGACCUCCUCCUCCCAGGUAGCCAAACCGAGCUCGUGAACAAGGUCGCAGAUGCAUCUGCGGGUCCUGUCAUCUUAGUCAUCCUGUCUGGAAGCUGCCUCGACGUCUCAUUCGCGCAUGAAAACCCUAAAAUUGGUGCCAUUAUCUGGGCCGGCUACCCUGGCGGUGAAGGUGGUCAAGCCAUUGCCGACGUAGUCUUCGGGCGGUACAAUCCGGGAGGGAAGCUACCGAUUACUUGGUACAAGAACGAAUACAUUGAACAAAUCCCGAUGACUUCGAUGCCGCUGCGCCCUGUCGACGAGUUUGGGUAUCCGGGGCGGACCUACAAGUUCUUUAAUGGAACUGCACUGUACCCAUUCGGGUACGGGCUCAGUUACAGUAACUACACUUACGGUGGAGUCCGGUGCUUUUCGAGCUCCGUAACUAUCAGCCUCGACUCUACCGAGUUCUGUAAGCCGCUUUCCUACAAGGAGGGAGGGAACGCAAGCACCUGCCCGGCUCUCAAGAUUGACGAGCUACCUUGCAAGGAGACGAUGGAGUUCGAUGUCGGGGUGACUAAUCACGGGACAAGAGGUGGCAGCAACGUGGUGAUUGUGUACUCGAAACCGCCUGCGGAGGUGGCGGAUGCGCCACUGAAGCAGGUGGUGGGGUACCAGAGGGUGUUCGUGCCGGCCGGUGGGACGGCAAAGGUGCAUUUCAGCCUCAACGCGUGCAAGGCACUUGGGUUGGUCGAGAAGACGGCAUAUACCGUUCUGCCUUCAGGCACGAGCACCAUCGUGGUUGGUGACGGCGAUGUGGCUGUGUCAUUCCCCGUUGAGGUUCAGUUUCAGCUGUAGAUUGUGAGGAGCCAGCUAGGGUUUUCUUUCUUUCUUUCUCUUUCUUUAUCCUCCUCUCCCACCCCUCUUUUAAGGUAGCUAGUUUGAAGUACGAAGAAGAAUCUUUGAUUCAGGCUGUAUGCAUGUGUUUGUUUGUUUGUUUGUUUGGUUCGGAGUAUGCCGUUCAAUGAAGAGGUUGAAUGGCUUUCGUAAGGAACUUCUGGUUCCUCUGUUGUUUCCUUGAGGAGGCCUCUUUUGGCAAUAAAAACUCUAUUUAAUUGAGGCUGUUGUUUCUGUAAACUUAAUAAAAAAAAAGGUGAAAUUUCAUUUAUUGCACAUGCACACACAAAAAGAGAGAGAGAGAGAGAGAGAGAGAGAGGACAAUAACAUAUAACAGAACAUAACUGACAUACAUGGACAUAUAUAGCAGACGCAAGCAACGACUACUGCUGGGGUGGGCCUAAUUAAUAGAGAUCACACCAACUUACGGGGGAAGGAAAAGCCAACUAUCUAAUCUUCAAAACACCAUAACUGAAACACAGAUUCUACAAAGCAAACUCAAGAACAACACACUAUGAAACCCCCACAACACCCUGUCUAGCUGCUUAAUCAACCUGACUAACAGCAGUUCAGCAACUCAAGAACCACCUUCUUUUAAUUUCAUGGCUUUGUGCCCCGACCUGCAGGAACAAUAGGGUUGUCGCCGAUGCCCGGGAUGGUCCCGAAACCGGGCUGCGAUCCGAGCCCAAACUGCGGGCCCAGUGGGACCAGACCGACCGGCACGCCGCCGAUGAUGCCGCCAAACCCACCAAUGAAGUUUUGCGGCUUAUAAUUAGGCUCAGUAGGCUUAAUGGCUGGCAUGUUUCUUCCCUCAAGGCAUGCAAGAAAGAAUGCGAAAAAGAGAGCAAGGACCAGAGCACUCUUUUUCGCAGACCUCUCCAUCUGCUCAACUGUAACCCUAUAAGUUGCUAGUUUUGCACGGGCAGUGAGUGUUUCUAGUGAACAGCCCUUCCCAUUUUAUAGCCCCACCAAACUGAUAUAUCGGGUUUCGGAUCCAAAAUAUCAGAUCCCAUUACCUAUAGAGGUUUCUAAACAAAAACUUGAUUCACUAUUUAUCAUAUAUUUAAUUAUAUCUGUAAGUUCUCAUUGGAGCCAAUAGCUUAUUGGAUUCGGAUUUGGAUUCUCUACGGACAAGAUCCGAACCCAACAGGUAGGUGUUAAAACUUAAAAAAGACGCAGCUAGUUGGUCUCACCAACCUUUUAGUAGGACAUAAAUUAACUUGCUCAGGGGCUCGGGGACUGUUCGGUAGCAUUUAAAGCCCUUUUAAAGUGCACUUCGUAUUGAGCACCGUCUUACCUCCCUCAGUUGACAUGUGAUCUCCUUCUUCCCCCCCAAUUCAGGCAAUUCUCAUUCGAUAUAAAUGAACUCUGUGGCCUCAACCACCUCUUGUAUCUUUUGAUUGCAUUUGCAUUUGUAGUGACGAGUUUCGUUAUCACCUGGCGUUGGCCAUAACUCGCUCUAUCCAGAUUAGUAGAGAGUUGCGGCAGUACAGAGCAGCAGCCUAUAUAUAUAUAUAUAGAGAGAGAGAGAGAGAGAGAGAGAGAGAGAGAGAGAGAGUGUGUGAAGGGAGAAAGUGUUGUGUUACACCUGGUGCAUCCAUACAACAAUCUUGUGCACCACCCUUUAUCCGACCUCAAUCCUAUAUUUCUAUUACUCUUUCAAUCCAAAAUCAUCCGAUUUUUAGAAAGAAAAAAAGCUGCAAACACAAGAUAAUUAUAAUUGAAAUAUAAGAUGAAAUGAAUAACUAGUAAAGACCAAUGGACAUGGACGUGGACGUGGACGAUAGAUGCAUUUGGUGUAGGCAAUAACUUCUCCACAAAGAGGUGCCAUAUUUGGUAAUAAAAAAAAAAAAAAAAAAAAAAAAAAAAAAAAAAAAAAAAAAGUAAAAUAAAGGGCCAUGAGGAAGUAUAUUGAUAUAAGAUUAAAUUUCCAGUAAUUAGUAUCCAACUACCAACCAGCUGUUUCUGUUCCUGGAUAUCUGAAACAUACAAGUGGGAAUUUAAUGGAGGCCUCCCGACUUAGCAGUGAGCAGUGAUGUAUGGGAAGAGCUUCAUAUUUAAGAUACGGAUAAUAUGCUUGUAUUAAUAUGUCAUAUACCAAUGCAAGAGCUUAUACACUAACUGGCUCUGGCUAUACGGCAUUUAAAAAGCUAAAAUACAAAGAUCACUAAGCAAUGAAAAAAUUAAUUGCUUCAAGAAAAAUGAGGGAGCAGCAAAUUUUCAAGCUUCUCCAUAUAAACAUCCAAUAUGCAACUCUUAACUUUUCAAGAAUAAUAAGUGCAGCCACAAUAAGUUUGUUCCCGCAUUUGUUUUGGAAAUAAUAAGCACAAGAUAGGAUUAAGAUUUUCACUGAUCUCAUCCUUGUAGUGAUUGCACAAUAAGCUACUAGAUUUACUAACAUCACUUCAGACUAACUAAAUGAUAUACUAUCAGCAUAGCAAGGAUUAUGUUGCCAAAAUAGUAUGACGAGUAUCUACAAACAGAUAACAAAGUUGGAUUAUCUCAAUGAAAAAACAAAAGCUGGUCACACUUUUCUUGUUCCAUUCAUCAUUUACUUGAUUGUUUUCAAGUCUAUGACCACCUCACCUCAGUUUCCUUAGCAAACCUAAAGAUGUUGGAUAAGGAAGUAUUGAAUGCAGUAUAGACAUAAUCUGACAGCUUGGAUACGAAGGGUCAUCAAAGUGAAAGAACAGCAUAAAAGACAAAAACAAAAUCCACAGAAGAAAAAUUAUAGACCCUUAAUUAAUUAUAGACGCUUAAUUUCACCAAUGACAUCAAUGCUAGAUGAAUAAAAACAAGGCCGGAGUAGCUUAAAUACCAAUAGCUCUUUACGGUUUUCGUUUGCAUUAUUCUGUUCUUAGUAUACUGCAACUGACAUGGUCCUUAAUGCCAAACACACACCUUUUUCGAGAUGAAUUCGCUAUUUUAAUUGCUUCAGAAAAAACAUAUCAUUACCUGAUUAAAGAUUUUGACAAAGGGUUUUUACAUAUCGAACCUGUGCUUAGCAAUAAGCAGAUGAUUCUCAGGAGAGAUGUUUGAUGGGACAUAGUUUACAAGUCGGGCAUCAAGCCCUUGUUCUCUUAGCCACAGUAGCCUCCCUGUAUCAAUUAUUUCUUUGCACAAGAAACCCAACGCAGCUCUUUCCCCUGCUGGUAUACUCCGAAUAAUUUUCUCGAUACCUCCACCCUCUAGAUCAGCUUCUUUCGUCUCACUGCAGUUUAGUAGAUCAAACUUAACUCUCCAACUUUAAACGAUAGCAAGGCUUAAUACAGUCUCUGAACUGUAUUCGAAGUUCAAUUAUGUCCUCAGAAAUUCACUUUUAAAAAGUUAGUCAGAGAGGUUUGUUCAACAAUUCAGUCCAUUGUCUGGAAAAAGGGUGACAUGUGACAUGGAAUUUUCUUGGCAGCAAGCACGCCUGCCAUGGUAUUUUCAUCAGACUUUUGACUAACGGAACUAGUUAAUUUACCCGGAGCAAACUUCAAGACAAUUGUUAGAACCGAAACUCUGAGAACAUAAUUGAUCUUGAGAUUGAACUUUAGGGUUUAAACUUGUUGAUUAACAUAAAAUACUGAAAGCAUUGAAUUUGUACGCGACUGCAAAGACCUGCAUAUGUCGAACAGUAUCUUUCUCCACAAUUUUCAUUUCCGAAAAUUAAAUUAGAAAGAUGCAGAAGAAUCAGUUGCUAUGUUUAUAGGAGGGCAUCAAAAUGAUCAGAAAAAUAUAUAUUCAAUCUGAGCUAUAAUCUGACACCAAUGUUAUGGUUGUUGUUCCAUCCUCUUGAACAAGCUUGGCAACCCAAAGUAGUGUUCUUACCUGACUGCUAGAUGUUUCUCUGCCUCUUCCACAUCAGGAAGUUCGCAACUAUGAUCGCCAUCUACAGCCCAGCUGCUAAACCAUGUCAUAGCAUGGAAUUCCUCCUUCGUAAUCCCCAUAUUCGAGAGGAAUUUUGUAUCUGCAAUGCGAUAAAAUGAAUGUGCAGAUUGGAAUAACAUUGUAAACAACAUUAAGCAAAAAAGGCUUAAAAUUAUGAAUUAGUAAGAUUCCAUUGGCAAAGAGAAAUUACUUGUAUAAUGCUUCCAUUGGCAAAGAUGGUGGCAGCAUGUUGCGAGAGCAAGGCCUUGCAAAUAACAAUUAUUUGGAAACUCAUUCCUCGGAUUAUAUUGUUUACGUAGACAGCACCUUAUCGUCAAAUCUAUAAAGAAAUUCAACAACUUAUUGACCCAUUUUAUCUCCUUGUGAAUUAAUAAGCUUUAUCAGUUAAAUUACACAAACAAAUUUCUAAGUCCUUUUACUGUUUUUUUUUUUUUUUUUUUUUUUCAUAUACACCACAGUAUAUAUGUAAAUUUACAUUAAUACCCCUGAAAAGUAGGUGCUGACAUGCGUGCCUCGAAAUACCUUGCUUAUUUGUAUCCUUGCUCCUUUACUGGUAUCAAUAGCAAAAACAAUAUAUAACUCUGGCAGGGGCAUGCAAAAGCAUAAAUAUUGUUUUAAGGGCAUGCAUUCACAUACUUGUAGGGGUAUUUGUGCAAUUCUGUAUAUUUGCAAGUUUACAUAUGAAAAAAUUGUACCCUUAACUACAGUUUUUGCAUAUAAUGUUCACCUGUUGCAGGUCCGCAGAGAUGCUUCCCGGUAGCUAGGUAUGGAAGACCCUUCAAUGAUUCUACUGCAUGCAAGUUCAAAUCUUCAACUGCAAAGUAAGAAUUUGAGCCAAUAUAUCACUGUUCUAGCAUCGGCUAAUUAAUUUUAGUAUCGCAUAGGCAAAGUCACAUAUAGUUAUCACUUGUAAGCACAUAUAUGUGCACCCUAGUGUAGUGUAAUUCCAUCAACUCCUAAGUACAGCUGUAAGGUAAAUUGGAAAGGGAAAAAAAAGCAUACUAAUGUCAUCUGAAGCUGAAGCACAAAUAUUAAGAUAUGUAUCAACAUGCAAAUUUGAAACACAAAAUGGAAAAUCUUACUGUCAAUUCUUAAACGUUCUAAUACUAAGCUCUGGUUUUGCCGCAGACUUCGAUCAGCCUAUAAGUUAUUAGCGAAAAGAGAAAAAAAUAAGAAAAAACAAAGAUCAGUUUAUCAUUGAAGCAUAAUAGUCACUAAAAGUUGAAACAGCAUAUAUACAGUUCCGCUGCUAGUAUAUAAAAAGUCAAGAUUAUAAAGAGUAUACAAGGGAAAAAAAGAUAAUAUUUUUCUUGUUAGAAGAGCCAUAUGUAGUUUGCUAAAAGUUCAAGAGAUAUGCAUCUCCAUUGUUUACUAAAAGAUCCACUUGCUAUGGUUUGCUUAUCCAAUAAAAUGUUGUCCCUCAAAAAGGACAUUAUAGAGGAAAAUGAAGUAGAACGUUUUGGGUUUAAAUUAGCAGGAGCAUCUGAUUUGGCUGGUUAUUCCGGACACAGGGCUUGAAUAAGAAAGUAUAUCUAAAAAGGAUUUAAACAGCUCGUAGCAAAGAUGAUAAUAAUAAUAGUCAUUGCUCAUAAGACAUUGUGUUCAUGGCAGAUAUGCGCCCCACAACAGAAGCGAUCACAAAACAAAACCCCAUAUAGUAAAACAUACCACUGGAUAAGUUGCUGCAAAAACUAAAUAGGCCUUUGAAGCAGAAUAAGAUACAGUAUGAGCGAAAAGAAAGAAAAAUAUUGCCUUCAAAAGAAAUGCUGAGAGAAAAAAGGCUGAUACCUUGAGUUUGUACGACCUCCGCUCGACCAAAAAAAGCUUCUUAACUCCAUAACAAUCUGCAAGCAUCUGCGCCAAGUACCCUCUCCCGGCCCCAAACUCGACAACAGCCGGCACUGCACCUUCCUCUCCAUUCAACAAAUCACUCCCCUCAGAGUUCUCAUUGGCAUUCUCUCUUACCACCUCGAUUUUCUUUCCUAUCAAUCCAAAUGCUUCCAUAUUCCCAAGAAUCGAUGCCUGCUGCACAACAUGCUUCUCUUGAUACGGCAGCCUCCUGUAGAUAGAUAGAAAAAGAAAAAGCUCAGAUAUAGAAAACUUCCAUUGAUAUAGUGUGAUCUGCACUUUACUGUUCUCAGUAAUCAAAACCAACAUACAAAACACCGAUUAGCCACAAAGUGCCGCACUUUACCCAAUACAUAUAAGGGAGUAAAGUGCUGUGUAGAUUUUGAUUGUUGAGGAGGGUACAGUGCAAGUUGCAGCAUAUCCAUGGGCAACACGAAAGAAGAAGGGAAAGCAUAAUGGAAUGUUUACACUUUUAUUUUUUUAACAAAAAGACUCCUAAAUAUCCAAAACUCUAAAACCCCAAAACCAAAUUUAAUAACCAACCUAUCUAUUUGCCCUUUCAGCCAAGCCUCGCAAGCUUCCGGCACAACAUAAGAAUCCUGCAAUGCCGUUGCCGCAGCGGAAUGGACCGACCUGAUCUUGUCAACAAGAUCAUAGAAUUCGAGCACGGAAAGGUUGUAAAUGGCGCUCCUUUUAGCGGCCGAGCUCACGAUGAUCUCGUCGGGAUCGCCGGCAUUGAUGGAUUCGGAGUAGUAGGGUUGGGCCUCGAGUGCUUCGGCUUGUUUCCUCAAAGGGCAUCGCUUUACGUGCGAAUCCAAGUUCUCUUGGCGCACGGAGCUGCGGAGUUGAAGGUUGAAGAGAGAGGUUAUGCAAGGAGAAGUGAAGGAAGAGAAAGGGAGGAGAUUUGCAGGGCCAGAGAUCGUAACUGGGAGGGGUCGAUGGGGCAGGGGACGCGGAGGGCGCUUGAGGAGGAGUGGUGGUUGCCGCAGAACCUAUGGAAGCGAAAGGCAACAUGAGAGAGAGACACAGAGAGAGAAAGAGAGAGAUGACAAUGACGAGGGCGGUUUAUUUAUUUACUGGGAGGAAGGGAGGGGGGAGUUGGCGCAGUAGCGGCGCUUGUUGGGGAGCCAGAACUGGCACCGCUCCGCCGCCGCCAUCGAGUCGAGAGCAAGCAGAAGCUCAAGCUCUCCUCCGUGCGAGUAGGAUCCAGAUCGCCUCCGAGCUCCGAAUGCUGGAGAAGAGUUUACCCCCGUUUCCUCCGACCGAUGCUAACAUACACAAAGAACGUAAAAUCGGGGCCGAAACAGCAGACAACGCCGGUUUUGAGGGGUACAACGAAAAGAGACCAAGUCGGUGCCUAGACUGGUUACCCCGCCGACUUGUGAAAAUUACAAGUUUUUUCUAUUUCAUGCGGACCAGAACCUUACUUAGUAUGGUUACGGUGGUGCGCCUGUUUGAUGUGAUCCACUUUGAAUUCGAACCGAAAUUUUAACCCGCAUAUCAUAUUAUAUAUUGUUGCCCUGCUAAUCUCAACCACUUAGGGGUCCUAACGAAGGCCCGGCCCGAUGGGCCAUGUUUGGACCGAGCUUUGGGUAUUAAAAUAAUAAAUUUGGGUUCGGGUCGGGCUUAAAAAUUUAGGCCCGAAAAAAUUUUGGACUUAUUUGGGCAUAUCCAAGCUCGGCCUGAGCCCAGCCCAAAAGCUAGAUAUAUUAAUUAUCAAAAUAAAAUAUUUAAUUAUAUAUGGCCAAUUUGAAUAAAAAAUCUACUAGUUUUACACUUUUGCAAAAAUAGGCCACUUUUUUUUAUUUUAUAAAUUCAGGCCAAAUUUUCAACCGCUUAACCAAAAUGCUCAUCGUUUACAUGAUUACAUCCGUCUCUUUCGUAUUCGGUGAGAUACAUAUAUGAGCAUUGUAAUUUUAAAAUAUUACAAUGCUCCUUUAUUAGAAAACUACAUAUGCCCUAAUCAAUUAAACGUUUUAUUUUUAUAUGAGAAAUUUCUAUCAUAUUAUUUACUUUGUAAGAUUAUCAGCAUCGGAGUAGAAGUGAAGAUUGCUGAACCCCGAAGCGCAUCUUCUAUAUAUCUGAGUCUAGUUUUAGUUUAUUAUUAUUUUUUUUGUUUGGUCUUAUUUCAUUGAUGAAUAAUUAUUGAUGGAUAUUAAUAGUAUUAUAUUUAAUGUUAUAUAUUAAUUUUCUUUGAUGUGAUCAAAUCCCUGUAAAAAUAGGUAUUUUAUUUUAAUUUUAUAUAAAUGAAAGUUUUUAUAUAUUGCAUAAUAAAUGUGUAAAAUGGGCCUCCACAAAACUCGAUGGGUGUUGGAUAGUGGGCUUGGACUUGUGCCGGGCCUUAAUUUUCCAAAAACAUUAGAUAAAACCCGAUACGAAGCCCUAAUGUUUGUUUGGGCCGGUCUUGGGCAUAGUAUUACCCUACCCAAGCCCGGCCCAGUUCCACCCCUACUACCACGUACUCAACUCGGUCUCUCUCCGCGCCUAUCUUUCCCCCGCCUAUUGUGUGCUCUUCUAUUCUUCCACCCGAAACCCUAAUAACCUCGAGAUGAAGAGGAAGAAAACCAUGGCCGCCUCCGCCGCUGCAGCUCCUAUUCCGCCGGAGCCCGACCUCAAAGCCCUAAUCGGCGAGCACUCGCUCUUCUUCGAUCGGCUGGUGGACUUGAUACCGGCGCGGUUCUACGUCCCCUUGGACGACGAGGAUCGACCGUGGUACCAGGGCCUCUCUAAGGCCGCCAAGGCCUGCGUCAAGAUCCAGUCCCGUGAGAACCUUAAGAAGGCUCGCCGCGCCCGCCUCGACCCCGCCGCUCCCCCCUCCUCCACCGUCGAACUCCUCUCCAAAUCCAUCGCCGCCGCCGCCGAUUCCAACCCUAACCCUAACCCUAACCCUAACCCUAACCAGGGCGAGGAGGAGGAGGAGGACGAGGAUGAGGAUGAGGCGGCGCAGGCUCAGCGGCCGGCGGAGACGAUGGAUGAUCGCACCGCCACCGACGUUGAGCUCCGGCGCCGCCUCCAAGCGCGCAUAGUGGAACUCCGGUCCACCCGCAACACCCGUCCCGAGACGAUCAACAAGCCAAAGAAGGAGAAGAAGAAGAAGAAUAAGAGCAAGAAGAAGAAGAAAAAGAAUGAGGAAGAGGGAGGUCCCUCUUCUCCUCUCGGGAAGCGGAAGAGAGAUGAGGAGGAAAGCAAUGCUGCCCCAACGGAUAUCUCCUUUGGGAAGGUUAGGAGUGGUGGUGAGGAUAAUCAGAAUAAGGGGAAGAAGAAGAAGUCGAAGUUGUCCAAGCAGCAGGAGUUGGAGCGGGCGAGGCGGCUUGAAGCAGCGAAGAAGGAUCCGGAGAAGGGGGAGAAGUUCGCCAUGAAGCACUCGUGGAAGGCGGCGGCAAGUAGGGCCGCAGGGGAGAAGGUCCAUGACGAUCCGAAGCUUUUGAAGGAGAGCAUCAAAAGGGAGGAGAGGAGCAGGAAGAAGCACGCAGAGAAGUGGAAGGAGAGGAUGGAGACCGUGGAGAAGGCACGAGCGGAGAAGCAGAAGACUAGAGCGGAUAAUAUUAGGGGCAGGGCCGAACAGAAGAGGAUGAGGCGUAUCGAGAAGAGGGAGAAGAAGCUCAUGCGGCCAGGGUUUGAAGGGCGCAAGGAGGGGUACAUUAAUGGAUAGUCUUGUGCAAGAGCAUGACAUGCUUGCGACUUCCAUAUGUUACAGAGGACGAGGUAAGGAGAGUUCCUUCGGCUUUUAGAAAAUUUCUACUUGGUGAUUUGUUUCUGCAGGGUUUCAUUUUAUAUGUAACCAUGGAACAAGUUUUUAUGGAAAUUUAUUUAAUAUGUAUCACUAAUUUAUGGUUGCAAAUGAGAUCUCUAGGGUUUGUCUCUUUGAUUAGAGGUAAAGAAAGAAGACGAGGGAGCAGGAGUUGUUCUUUUUUAGAAAUAUUCUGACUCGAAAAUUAUCACGGAUCGAGUUUCAUUGAUAGCUGUUGUCUUUCAUGAAAAUCUAUUCUGUAGUUUCUGGGAGGACUUAUCUGUGUCUCAUGGAGAAACUCCAAUCACAAUACGCAAUGGUGCUGCUCUGUUUAGAUGAUUUUUACGAGAAAGCUGAAAUUGCUAUUUAUACGAAAUUGUUAUUUGUAUGCCUCUUCUAUUCAGAGUUGGUGACUAUAUUGAUAUAAUAGAUCACUAAUUCAAAUCAAAUUCGCUAAUAUCAGAAAGCAAGAAUUGUUAUUUGCAUAUUUCUUUUAUUCAUACUGGGCUUGAAUUAAUCUGUAUAGGUGAUUAAUUGUAAGAAAAUUUUAGUGAGCAAAACUAUGGCAUUUUAUUAACUUUGUGCACUUUUAUAUAUAUUGUUGGUGGAACAAUAACGGCCCGAGCGCAGCUUUCUGAUUCCAUUUUUGUUUCUCCAUUCGUUUUUUUAACCAAAGAUAUUAGGUCACAGUGGCUUUCACAAUAUUAGCUUUCACAAAAUUAUAUUACUCAUGAAAUCACCAUGCUUAGACGCUAACAAGCUUGCCCGAGUUAUAUAGUGUGAGCAAGUCCUGGAUAAUUAUAUUGAGCUGCAUGUCUGGUAAUAAAUGGCAUUAUAUCGCAUAAGACCUGAAGCACUCUUCAAACUAAACUAUUCCUCAAGUUGUCGCAGAUUUUCUUUUGUAAGUUGAGCCUAAAUUAUGUAAUUGCUGAUAGUGCUGUUGCAAAUAAUUAUUGGUGUAGCUCAAAAUUAAUCUAUGUAACUAUGAAUUGUUUGUUUUUGUCAGAAGUGUUCGAGAAAUUAAAAUUUGUUCUCACCUUGUGUUGUGGUGCAAAUAGCUUGCUAAAGUUUUCAAGUUUUGCUUAUGUUGGAGCGUGGAAUUCUAUCUGUUUGAUUUGUGUGCUUCUUUUACAAUGUUGGAAUUGUUAAAGAAAGCUUUUAAGCAUAUUUUAUCGUAUAUUUUUGUGAUAUUAAAUGUUCCUGAAUAGAAUGAUAGAUGUAGAAGCUGGGUGCGUCAUGGUUCUUCGUUUGAUUUUGCAGCACCUUUCUGGUUGAAGAUUUGGUUAUUUUAAUUAUAUGGCUUAGGCAAUUCUUUGUACCCUUACACAAAUAUCUUUUAAUGCCAAAAAAUGCUAAUUACUUUUGUAAUGGCAAUUGCAAUGAUAUUAACUCCUAUUUAUUUAGUUUCUAUGUUAUGUCAGAUGCUUUUUUAAGCAUCGCUGCUGAAGUGUAUGUAUGAAUUUGUAACUUUAUUUUUUGAUCUUAGUUGUUUUUCAUCCAAUUGUGUUAACUUUUGGUUAUGCGAACCGUCUGAAAACGGAAGCUAGUCAACCAUUUUCUGUUGUGAAUUCGUCAAGUUAGUAAUUGUUGUGCUGUUUCGAUUGGUAAAUGCACCUAUGAUUUGCUCUUUUUCGGGAUGUAAGAUUUAUGCUUGCUCUCAGGAGAAGAAGAAUUAGAGUUUUAUGCGGCACAAAAGUGUCUUUGAAAAGUCUAAGCCUCCCUGAAUGCGCUAAAACUUUUGAGGACUUUCAAUUCAAAUUGAGCUUGCUUCAAAUUAGUCAGAUACAGAUUCAAUUUGAUUCAUCGCUCCCAAUUCAAACAUCAAUCAACUAUCUGUUGGGAAAGCAUAAACAGAAGUGACCCCUCCAUUCACUACCAGAUUGUGCCCGGUAAUCUACGCCCACUCCUCGGAGGCCAGGAAGAGCGCUGCCUCUGCCAGGCGCUCUGCCGUCAGCACCACCCCUUUCAGGAUGACGGCUGCGCAGCACCGCUCUUCCACCUCUGUCUCGCUUCCGCCCAAGAAUUUGCAUGCCAGCGGGGUUGCCACCCCGAAAGGCGAGAUGCAGUUCACCCGCGCGCCGUGCCGUCCGAGCUCCCCUGCCGCCGACCGCACCAGCCCCACCACCGCAUGCUUCGACGCCGUGUAUGAUGCCGGCCCCAGCCCCGCCUAGUGUUAUGUAUAAACAUUAAAACCACUUUUCUCCAAAUUAGAACGUUUAAUUGGAAGUAUGUAAGCCUUUUUCAGCUGCUGCCGAUGGAAGCGGCAACGGUGGUGCCUAGCUUGUCCUGGAUGUCUGCGAUGACGACAGCGGCACCCUCGGCUGCAAAUAGCCGUGACGCCGCCUCCCCAAUGCCGCUCGCACCGCCGGUGAUGAUGACCACCUUGCCUUCCAACCUAAGUCUGAUGCAAACAUGUCUGGUUACUAGUAUUACACCAUGAAUUGGAUGAGAAAUUUUGUCAAGCAUGCGUUUUGGAAAUUUGCAGUUUAUAUAAAGGAGGAAGCACUUAAAUUUACCGUCGUUUUGUAGGCAUGGAUUGGUUUGAAGACUCCGAAGAAGCCAUGUAAAGAAGUGAAGCUAGUUCUUUUGAGUGAGUUGGGAGGAAACGCGUAGGUUUUAUGUGUGGACAGAGGAGGUAUAUCUGUAUACUGCCUCUUAAUCUUUAAGACCAAGUUUGAUAUACGUGAGCAUUUCCAUUGAUCAAGUGGGGCACUAGUAACUUGUACAAUUAUCCAUAAAUAAUUCAUGUAUAAUAUGGUAUGCACGGGUAAACUAGAUAAGGGUUCAUAUUUACUAUUAAAAUAACCAAUUUUGAGCCCUUUUAACAACUAGACAAAUAAUAUAUAAAAGUUGCGAAGUUUGAAUUAGAGAGAUUUUAAAUAUUAUCGAUUAUAUUUAAUAAAGCCGAUCGUCGACUCAAAAUUUUUUUUACACAAAAUAAAUUGAAAGUAUAAAUUUUUUUUUACCUUCAAAAUAAUAUUAGUCAGUCAGCUGUUAAAAGAAAGAAAAAAAAAAGUGAGUGGAUGGAUUAUUUUUUUUUUAAUUUCAAAGAUGACAGUUGAGACUGCAACAACUCCGUAACACUAAAGUAAUGAAAAUAUUAAUCAAUAACAAUUUGGAAGGUCUUUUAGUUAUCUGAACCUUUCUAAUUAAUACAUGCACGUACAAAUAGUUCCAAAGAAAAACUAUAAUACCUUUUUUCUUUCCUAGGCUUCUUUUAAUUUUUUCUCUUUUGUGCCUGCUUUGUUCUGCGUUCUCUCGACAGUAACAGAUGAUUUACUAGUAAAAUGCAAGUACUUUUAUCUUUUUUUCUCUUUUUUUCCCUGGGAUUUGCUAGGAAAUAAGACUCAGGAGAUAAUAUAUUACAAUUAUUUCUUUUGCUGAGAAUCAUUGUUGGAGGGUAGGCCCCAUUCAUAAUUUUGUAGCCCGAAGAUGCAUCUGAUGUAUGAAUCCCACCAAAAUAAAGCCAGUGAAAAUACAUAAUGGAGAUGUCAAAAACAAAAGCAAAAAAAUAUGUGAUUAAUCAAUUCUCCACAUGGAUCAUUCAUUGAUUUUCGUGUCGGUUCUGCUCUCUUGUGUCCCCACCAUUCCUCCAUCCAAGAUUGACACUCAAACUGUAUAUAUUUAGCAUAGAUAUCUCUUUUCUGUAAUCGACAAUUCAUAAAGAUAACCGGCCGUCCGUAGAGCAAGUGGCAAAGGGUUUAGUGGUUGGUACCCGAGACUUAAGUUCGAAUCCUAAUUGAUUCACAUUUCCAGCUAAGUUUAUUUCUAAAUAAAAUAAACGAAACGGAUAGCGUGCUACCUAUCUCUUAAAAAAAAAAAAAAGAAAGAAAGAAAAAGAAGUCAUAGAGAUAGAGUUGCAUACCAAUUUAUUGGUACAAGAAAUCGUUUGUGAGGUAAUUAAGAUGUAGUCCUCUCUAACAACCAAGCUAUCUUUACCGGUGCGACAAAAAUAUGACCAAGAAAAAAGAAAAAAAAACAAAUGAGAAAGAUAUAUACCAAUCCCGACUCUCUUAUCAAUUGUCGUUGGAAACUUUUUAUCUUGAUAAUGAGUUGAUACUGUUUAAUAGUUAUUAGUUAGGUUGUUGUCCUCGAGGUCAGAGAUUCAAUAUGUGCUUAUAUGCUUAAAAUUAAGAAAAAAGAAAAAAAACUUUAGCCUGUUUGGUCUUGUUGUUUUUUUUUUUUUUUUUGUUGUAACAAUCACAAUAUAUAUAAUAUAUUCAGAGUUAAUUUUGUUGUGUCCCAUAGGAUGGCAAAAAAACCCCAUAAAAAUAAUAUAAUAGUUUAUAUAAAAAAUAUUUGAAAAAUAUUUUGUUCUUAUUAUUGUGUGCAAUAUAGAAGAUUUUAAUUAAAAAUUAUCAUUUUCAAGUAAAUAACUGAAGCAGAGACAUGCAGUACUUAAAAUUAAUAGUACACAGAGUGAGGGAGAGAUUUCAAAUUGCAGUUUUCAAUUUUAAAAAUUAAUAAUUUUGUUUUAGCCGUUAACUGCAAUAUUGCUGCAGUUUUUAAACUUUAACGGGCGUGAGAGUACGAUUACUCGAGGAGCGGUACCGAGUACCGACGAUAAAUUUGAAAACUAGGGACUACGCCGCGAUAUCGAAAAAGUACAGGGACUGCGCUGCAACUUUCCGAAAAAGAAACCCCCGAUCCCCGUUUACACUCCUCCUCUCACUCUCCCCUUUCCCCUCCCCGAACCUUAGUUGGAGGACGAAGACGAAGAGCCCAUCUCGUUCUCUCUCGACUGAUCUCUCCGUUUCGGAGUAUCUUUGUGAUGUGGUGAGAAUCUCGUCCCAAUUUGGUCAAUUUUUCCCUGUUGAUGCUUCUUACCGUUGCUAUUGGUUUAGAUCUGUAGAUCUGCUUGCGGAUGUUGUUCUUAGGGUUUCGUAUUGGUGAUCCUGUAGUCGCCCAGCUCUUAUUUGCGGCAAAUUUUAGCUUUGUAUGUGCAAAAUGAAGUAGGAUUGUUAGCUGGCUCCUCUAAUUUCUUCCCCAAUUUUAGGAUUAGUUCUCGAAUCUCAGCUUAAGAAACACAUGGUGCUGGUGAAAAAAACGUGUCUUUUUAACUCUAAGCUUUGUUGUUUGAUUCCGAUGCCUCAAAUUUCUUCUGUACUUCCCGUUUUUAUGCUCGCAAAGUAUUCUGGGUAAAAAUUUCUCAUUAUUUCUUCUAUUUUGGAUGAGUGAAGUUCUCAUUCAUCUAGAAGUGAGCAUGAAAUGUUUUAUAAGUUCAAACGAGCUGCUAGUAGAGCAGCCAUGAAAAGAAAAGAAAAGAAAGGAAAAACUUAUGGUAGCUGGAAUCCAAUUUUCAGCUUUUGUACAACAAAUAAGCUGCGGAAUGUCACUUACUGGUUUAUGAAAUGAUAUCUUCCAUAUUUUGAAGCUAACCAAAUUACGGUAUCAGGCCGAGUAUUAAGGGAGCUCAGAAAAUACUUUCUGUUGAUUUAUGCUAUUCACUGUUAUUUUUGCUUUUCUGAAUAUUAUUGAACGCAAUGUGGGUAAGUUCUUCAUGGUUACACUGCUACUUUACGUAAGCUUCUAAGGAUUUUCUUGUUCUUUUUCUUUUUUAAGAUCUCAUUUGUCUAAAUUCAGAAUAAUCACUUAUUCUGGCAGUAAUGGCUUGUCAAACUUGGGGCAAAAUUGCUAAUAUGAGUGUGGUCCUUUAAUUAUUCAUCUUCCCACUUUGCAUCAAUGGCUUCUGUGACUAUGGGGCCUCCAACUGUGCUAAAAAAUGCCGACGGUGGGAGUAUUCCAGUGGAGAGAUUACCUGACGUAAUGAAUGACAUGAAAAUAAGGGAUGAUAAGGUACUUCCGCACCACCAAUUUGGAUUUGAUUACUCCUGCAUAUUUUCUUCUCAUUUUCUUUUUUCUUUCUUAUGGCCUGUACAUGAAUACGUUGGCGCAAAAUCAUCUAUUUGAAGUUGAAUUUUCAUUUACAACAGUUGAAAGUGCAAUAUAUAGAAUAGAUAGGUAUUUGUUAAUAUCUCUUCUUUCUUUAGUACCUGCUUUAGUUACCAGUUAUGGUCCAAUUUUAAUCAAUUUCAGCAGGAAGUGGAAGCAAUGGUUGUUGAUGGGAAUGGGACGGAAACAGGCCACAUUAUUGUGACAACUAUUGGUGGUCGAAAUGGCCAACCUAAACAGGUAAGCUAAGCAAGAUAUGAUGUAAUUUUUUUCUUUUUUUUGCUGAAUUAUAAUCUUUAUGGUUUCAUAUGGUAAAUAUAUUGCUAAUGCUGGCAAAUUGGUUUUCUUUCCUCUCUCUUUUUGGUUGCAUUUGAGGCUUAGUUAUCACUCAUUUACAUGUCAACUAAGCUAUUCUUACAACCGGGAGCUUUUUGUAUCAUUGGCAGACUAUAAGUUACAUGGCAGAGCGCAUUGUUGGGCAUGGAUCUUUUGGAGUUGUGUUUCAGGUCAGUUUGUUAGCUUCUCUGUGUGGGGAAAUGAAAUACUUUCUGCUACAUUAGAUGAUAUUGUAGAUUGUGCUCUUCUGUAUGUCUCCCCUACUUCUUUCCAUCUAGUGAUUAAGGUCCUGCGUGGCUCGAGUGGAGCUUCUCUAAAAGUGUUAUUUGAAUAGAGCUGUUCAAGUAAACAUAAAUAGCCUUUUCAUUUAAAUUCCCUUAACAGCUUGUUAAAUGAAGCUUGAAGAUGGAGCUUCCGCUUUUGGAAUUAGAAGCUCAUUUGAGUUUCCUGCAAUUCUAAAGCUCCCGAACUUUUUAUUUGACUAACGCCUCACUGCUGCUUCUGGAGUCGAGUACUUUCCAGAAGCAGGUUCCAGAAGCAGGCCUAAUAGGCAUUAACAGUAUAAGUGUAAUAAAUCGCCUAAUAAGUUACCUUAUUAUACCUUUUUUUCUUUUUCUUUUUCGUUUUUUUUUUUUUUAAUAAUUUGGCAGGCAAAGUGUUUGGAGACUGGUGAAAUGGUAGCAAUCAAGAAGGUUCUUCAGGACAAGAGGUAUAAGAAUCGUGAGCUGCAAACCAUGCGAAUGCUCGAUCACCCAAAUGUGGUGUCUCUGAAGCACUGCUUCUUUUCAACCACUGAAAAGGAUGAGCUUUAUCUUAAUUUGGUGCUCGAGUAUGUGCCCGAGACAGUUAACCGUGUAAUCAAGCACUACAACAAGAUGAACCAGCGCAUGCCAUUGAUAUACGUGAAACUCUACCUGUAUCAAGUAAUAAUGAACUUCAACUGGGAGCACGAUCUCAACUAUGUUUGCAUUAUCUUUAAUGUCGGAUUGGUGGCUUAGUUAGAAAUAAUUAUUUAAAAUCUUGACAUUAAUGCAGUAAGACUUUGCUCUCUUGAAUUACAUGCUUUUCAUGCUUCUUUGAUGUUGAACUUACGCCAAUUAUCCAUUUGAGAAAAGACGUACACUUGUGAGGUAUGUAAUCUCUUUCUUUGUUUUUUUGACAGAUUUUAAGAGCAUUGGCUUAUAUUCAUGGUAUCGGUGUGUGCCACAGAGAUAUCAAACCACAAAAUCUUUUGGUGGGACACCCUUUAUUUUAGUCUUUAUUGCCUUGCCUCUUAUGCUCUUUCAUUGUGGAAGCACAGCGUAUAAGGAUACAAUUAUUUUUCUGGAAUUCUUUGGAUAAGUGCAAUUAGGGAACAAGUUGCUCAUUUGCCUUUCUAUUAUUGUUAGAACUAUGUUAGAUAUUGUCAAUUGUUUGAGGGCUUAUUUGGCAUCACAUCAUUUUUUGCUUGAAUAAGCAAGAACACGUGAAACAAGAAAUUAAAUGUGAUGCUAGUUUGUUAGAUAACUUCCAGCAGUAAAAACUUGAAGUGCUUAGGUGAAGUUGUAAACUUUGGCUGGUUUGACGUGGUUAUGGCUCACACGUUGUCCUCUUUAGGAGAAAAUGUACUAAUCUUAUCUGAACUGUAAGGCAUUUUGAGAUGGGUCCCUAAAUUUAUAUUUUAGUACCUCUUGGCCAAAAUGUAAUUUUACUCUGCUUUUUUGGCAAACUAUUCUGUAGCCUAACAGGAUGUUCUGUUACUUGAUUGAACGUUUUCUUUCCUUUUGUUUAAAGGAAAACUGUUAAACUUUUGACAAACUUGAUGGAAUUUUCUAAAAUCAAAAGCUAUGGAAGUUUUGGCACUAAAUCAAAAAUUUGAAAGUUUAGGUGCCCAUCUCGAUAGCGGUUAUAGUUCAGGAAAGCUUUGUAUAUUUUCACCUUUCCUAUAUUCAUUAAGCUAACAUUAGAUCUUCUCUUUCCAACAGGUCAAUCCUCACACACACCAGCUGAAACUAUGUGAUUUUGGAAGUGCAAAGGUUUUGGUAUGUGUCUGAUCUCCAUAGUGUUUCUGGCUAGUUUUUUCUCUUUUUUUUUUCUGAUAGGAUUUGCUUGCUUCUUCCGAUUAACUGUUUUGGGUUUGUAAUAGGUGAAAGGGGAACCCAACAUAUCUUACAUUUGCUCUAGAUAUUAUAGAGCUCCUGAACUCAUUUUCGGUGCCACAGAGUACACAACAGCUAUCGACAUUUGGUCUGCAGGUUGUGUUCUGGGUGAGCUGCUUUUGGGACAGGUAAAUUUUUAUGUCAGAUUUUGGGCCUGUUUGGCCCUUCUAGAACUUCUGCAGAAAUGUUGUUUAAUAAAGCUGUUUGAAAAAGCGCUACCAGCUUUGGGAGCAGCGAAUCUAUUCCAGAAGCCAAGCUAAAUAGGCAGUUACUCUUUUUAGAGUGAGAAAUUCUAGUACUUCUAACAAUUAGAAUAUCUUAAAAGAGUCCAUAAAAAUAUACUUUCUCCCAUUUGCAGCCUCUUUUUCCUGGUGAGAGUGGAGUUGAUCAGCUGGUUGAAAUUAUUAAGGUAACAAUUUCUUCUCCGCCCGUGUCUAUUCUUGAUGUCUUCCUUGUAUUCAAUCAGAUAUAAAAAUAACAAUUUAUCUGUUGCAGAUUCUGGGUACCCCAACUAGAGAAGAAAUAAAAUGCAUGAACCCAAAUUACACUGAGUUUAAGUUCCCACAAAUAAAAGCUCAUCCAUGGCAUAAGGUAAUUCUGUAUGAUCCUCCACUGUAAGAUGUUCUGCGUUGAAAGUUUAAGCCACUUAAGAAUUCAUUAUUCUUUUUCCCCUCAAGUUUGUAUUGGGUUGAAGGCACCUAACUUUGUUUUUGCUGUUGUUCGUUAUUUUGAAAUUCAUCAUUCUAUUAAAGAAAGAAAAGAAGAGCUUAUUACCACAAUUUUUCUUUUUGUUGUGUAAUAAGCCCCGUAGUUAAAAAAUCUGUCAAUUAUUUGAUAAUAGCAAUAUCAUAGAUGACUGUUGUUAAGUGCCUUUAGCCCCAAGUACUCAGGGAAAAACAUGAACUGAAAGCAUAAACAACGCUAAACAUACUCUUUAACUUUUGUUUCUCUUUUAAUGUCCUCUGUUUAGAUCUUUCACAAAAGGAUGCCAGCUGAAGCCGUUGAUCUUGUUUCUAGGCUUCUGCAGUACUCUCCACACCUACGAAGCACAGCUGUGAGUCUAGCAUGAGCAUUUUAUGAAUUGAAUAUGCCCCAAUUUCUUUUUUCCCGAUUCUCAAUUCAACAUCGUACAUUGUGCAGUUGGAGGCGCUAAUCCAUCCCUUUUUCGAUGAACUCCGAGAUCCAAACACCCGCCUUCCGAAUGGCCGAUCCUUCCCCCCACUCUUCAACUUUAAACCUCACGGUAAGUACCAAUAGGUAGCUAAUUGAUAUAUAAACACCCCUCCCAUGCUCAGAUGGAACCUAAUGGAAAAUUUUCAAAUCAAUCAAAUACCCAAUUAUGAGAUAUUAUUAUACAGCAGUAGAUAUAGCUGCCGACUCUCUGUAAUCUUUCCUUGAAGAAGCAUUACAUUGGCUAGUAGUUUAACUUUUUAUUUAUUUAUUUUAGUUUAUAUUGUUGUGUAAUUCUUGAACUUCACUGUGAUGACCAGAGCUGAAGGGAGCCCCAAUGGAGAUUGUAGUGAAGUUGAUCCCCGAGCACGCAAGGCAUCAGUGUCCCCUUUUGGGAUUGUAAUCUAUUCAAUCAAAUACUACUCUUAACAUAGCCAGAUGUGUAGCUUUAUUAUGCCUUAAAAAAGGAUAAACUAGAGACCAUGAAUUCAGGUGACUUCGUGCACUUUAAUCUCAUCGAAGCUGUGUUCGCAGCGUUUCCGUGUAUUGCUAUCACUGCCUCUAGUUACAUGAGGCAGAUUAUUAGGGGUGUGUUUCUAUGUAUCUCCUACGAAAUCGACAUGGGAUUUCUCUACGAUCCUUUGCUCUAAUUCACAUAAUCAGUUCAUGGUGUAACUGAAGAGAGGCAUUUGCUUUACUCACGUUGAACAGUUAAAAAAGGAACAAUAUCAUGUUAGGAGAAUUUGGGCAAAUCUAAAUAUGUAAAUAGAAACCUUAUUAUUCGUGCAUGUUUGGUCAGUAACAAGGCUAAUAAUAGUAUAGCAAAACUAUAUAUGGGUAUAUAGUUACAGGUAAAAAAAUUCAACUGUGAUCUGGUAUUUCAUCUCGGGCGUAACAUUCCUUGUUUGAGUUGAUCGUAUUCUUAGUUUCGAUACGAGUGUAAUUGGUUCAUAAGAAAGAGUUAUGAUAGACGUAGAAGCUCCAAAAAUGAAUCUAUAAUGUAUUGGUUUUUAAAAUUUAUGGUGCUCGUUCCGUGAUCUGUGCAGCGAGAAGCGCGUGCGGAUUUCUCACUCAAAUGUACGACAAUAGUGUCACUGCAUAGAAUCACUAUCUCACAAAAUAAUUUUGGGCCUGAAAAAAUAUUUUUCGUCAUUUCAGUUCCUAGAAAAUAUCAUUUUUAUGAAUUUUCUUUCUGGAUUUUAUGAAAAAGCAUUAUUUUCAUCUUCUGAAUAUUUUAUUCUAAACAUGAAAACUAUGAAAAAAGUUAUGUUUCUUAAAAAAAAAAAAAAAAAAAAAAUCCCUGAAAAAUAAUUUUUCACAUUUUUCAGAGAAACGAAAUACCUUCUAAAGAAACAAACAUUGCUGAGACAUAAAGGGGGAAUGAAUUAGCUGCUGGGUGUUAAUUGCACCGAGUAUCCCGACUUCUUUGGGGGAGGUCGUAGUUUGGUCUUCGGUUUGUCAUACUGGGAAUUGAACUCAACAGCCAAAGGCUUAUUAGAAGAAGGGGAUACCUACCAGUUGGAUUAUUUCAUCUAUGUUUAUUUUAACAAUAACAUGUAAAAGUUAAGCAUUCUGUUUUUUAACCAUUGAAAGAUCAGGGGGUAAUGCCGAGAUUACAGUAACAAUGCCGGGAACCCCCUACGCAAUUGAUUCGCAAACUCAAUUUAGCUUUCCGCACCAGAAAAGCUUUUGGGGGCUUUUAAGUUUGGACUUUUCUGAGCAGAGAAACUGUUGCGAUUUAUAUCAAUCUGAAUCUCUGUCCAUCUACACUGAUAGGUUGAAUAGUAAUAGGGUACACCCUCUAUUCAAUAAUUGAGUUUAUCAACCCUCUAUUCUAAUGAUGAAAUUAUAGAAAAGAGCCAGCACUUGAAAAGGCAACAAGAGCUUCGUGUCACCCUACGUACACACCCUUAUAGGUCAAUGGAUGCGAAAACUACUACUCUCCAACACUCACAAUCAUCGAUCUCUUUAGGCACCUAAAACAUUGAAUACUCACAUCAGUAGAAGCUUUUUCUUUAAAUUCGAACUGAACUAGAACCGCUAUUUUUUCUCUUCUUUCCCUAUCUUCUCGAUCAUAAGCAAUUGUUCUAUCUCUGAAGAAUCGUGCAUCUCAUCUAAAGCAAUCAGUAUGUCGUCGAAAGACGGCACUUUGAUGAAUAGAGAAAAAGAAUUAUUCUCGAAAAAGCAUAUCGAACGAUUCUUGUGGAUUCUACUCGAGAUAUGCCGCUUCGUAGAAACAAGUGAUAUGCUAGGUGAAUUUUAUUUUGGUUGAGCAAUGAUUCAUAGUAAUGUAUGGGGACGCAAAAGCUUUCAAUAAUAGUAUAGUGAGGAAAAAUUUUGUACGUGGCCCUAACUUUUCUAAUAAUUGUGAGGAAUAUCCGAACUUCUUUAUCUUUUCAUAGAUCUCUUUCACUCUAGUUUUCUCUUUCGCAGUGUUAUGAUAGAGCAUUUUCUUGUGGAAUCAAAGAAAUUAUUCUUUCACACGCAACGCCAAACACGUGAUUGAGAUGUCACAUGUACAGUUCAAACGUAUUCGAUCUCUAGUCCAAUCUAGUUCUAUCUUAUCGAACACUACCCGAAAAGCCAAAUACGACAAGAUCAGGACUCUUUACACACACCUAUGCUGAAACAACUUUCAACUUUUUUGGUUUCUUUGCAACUAUAAUCAUCUUGUAGAGGCUGCAUCAUGGUGCUCUUUUAUUCGCCAAUGAACCUCCAAAACAUGUCAGUUUUUCAGAGGAUUUCUGUUUUAAAGGCAGUUGCAUUUUGUAAGGCACAGCACGAUCAAAUACCAGGCAGUGAAAAGAAGCUAAAGGAUAUCUUGCCGUCUCAUUCUUUCUUUUGUAUCUCUCUUUAGCCUAACAAAACACACAAAAAAAGGGGCACCGACGACAGAUAGGAUCACUCCACUCCAAAUUCAGAAAGAAAAGAAAAUCCAUAAAAUCAGCACAUCUCAAGUUUUUCAGAAAUUGCUAGCAAUCUGAAGUACAGUUCUCUUUAUAUAUGAAACAAGAAAAGAAACUUCUACAAUUUUGCUAAUUCGAACAUAACAUAAAUCUCUCAUAAUUAACAUGAGCAAAGAAAGAACAAAUGGUGGAGAUUUAUAAAUACAUAAUUCAUUAUAAGGCCAUAUAGCCCAUACGGUGCAAAUAAUAGAGAAUUUUAGAAGCUUAACUAUACCUAGCGGAAAGAGAGAGGCACACUGACAUAGUUUUAUGAACAGGUUAGCAUAAUAAGCAUCCUACUAUAAAGAAAACAACUCCUCCUUGACUACUUCGAAGCAGCUCCUUCUCCCAACUUCGAUGGUCGAAUCUCUCCUGUUCGGGGGCUAAUGGGUCCUCCCCUUCCACCGGGCUGUGGGCUGAUCUCCUGCCUCAGCUCACUUAUUCGUGGGCUAUACGCCUUCUCGGAGAAGCGCGGGCUGCUAAGGCCCCUUAAAUCCGUGGUAGGUGUUCCGCUCGAGCUAGUGAUUUUCGGGCUGUUCAUGUGCUUGAUCUCACCUCGGCUUCUUGUCACCAUGUCGUCGAGGAUUUCGCCACUCUCUACUCUCCUCAUGCCAAUGUCCACCUCCUGCAAGAAACAUAUUUCGUUAGAAUUAGAACCUUAGAUCAAAUAUGGUGUUUUGGUAAAAUGAUAAGAAUAACCGAACUCACCAUUGCGAGGUUGAAGGGUAUAGCUGGGGAUUCUUCGUACUCUGCCGCAUCCAAGUCUGUGAGAUGAGCCCCUUUGAAGAGCUUAGGAAGAAUAUACUGCCUUACAGGUACUAGAAGCAUGAUCAUCAUCGGGAAAAGAACCCCAGCAAUAGGAAUCCACGUAAUUCCAAAGCACACAAGCAAAUAAGCCGUUUGGAAAAGAGUAAACCACGUGAUCGUCUUAAAUGGCACGGUCUCCACAAAGGUCGCAUGGUACUUCUCAAGAACUCUGCAUGAUUCAAUAAAUUUAGUAUGAUUGAAGAGAGCAAGUAGAGGAAAGAGAAUACUAAGAAUAGGCAACCCCAACUAUUGGUCGUUGUGAAACCAGUCUGUGAACUUUAAUUUCUUAUUUAAUUUUAGAAAAUUCUAUCAGGUUAUCAGAUCUUAAUGGUUCCCAUAAAAUAAAAGAGUGACAGAAUAUAUUAUCAAAAUAGUUACAGAGACCGCUAAGUUUUAGCGGAAUUUUCUGAAAUUAAAUAGCCCGUUAUUCACGGAUGUCAAAUCCAAAAAGACUCGAGUUCAGAGACCACUUCUGAAUGACCUAUAGUUCAGGGGAAUAUCCACAAGCCUGUUGCUAAGAAUGAGGUGAAAGCUUACUUGUAUCUUCUACUUGGAGCAGUGAAGAGGAGGAGAAUCCUUUCCCAGAAUUGGUUUCCGGGUAAGCUUUCAAUGGCCAUGAAGGCAAAGUAACCCCAAAGAACUGAAGUCGGGAUCUUUUUAAGGAAAGGCAUGGCGCCAACACAACCUCCCACCAUCAAAGCCUGAAGUAAAUUACUUAAUCUCUGUUCUUUAACCUCAACAGGGAGAAGGUCAUCGAUCUCCUUCUCUAUAUCGAAUACUGACUCAUCAACAGGUGCGUCGAUGUUUCCCAUGCUCGAAGCCAACUGAAUUGUCGAGUCCUUAAGUUCUUUCAAUCCCUGAAUGAAGGUAGUUCGACCCAUCACAUCUAAAGGAAGGAUAAGAUAUUGAACCCUAAAGAGAAUAGAGUAAUUUUUCACAUACUCGGGCCGACUGUUCUUGAUAGAUCAACGGGGUCUGCAUCUGCUGAUAAGCAUCUUGCAUAUUGCUGUAUACUUGGCUCAAACUCGAAUUCUGGCUCAUACUCUGGCGUGCAGUAGCUACUAACCGAUUUCGAAGAAGCUGGAGUAGAUUAUUGCAUAGAAAUUAGUAAUGAGAUUGCACAAUUUUCUUUUUUCUUUCCCUAAUUAUAGAUGGACAUUGGGUGUCUUACCUGAUGCUUAAGAGUAGCUAAGCACUUCGUGUGCAUUGGAGAUUGUGGAAUGACCCCGUUUGAUGGAGGGAUUCCAACAAGUCCACAUAAUAAUGUCUGUUGGAAAAAGACCAAACAUGAAAUCAGAGAAUUAGAAAUCAUGUGCUUCCAUCAUGGCUCGUUUACUGCAGGAGCAUCAGCUCAAAUCAUUCAAUUCGGUCUACUGGGGCCUGUGUGUCCUAUUCGGAGCUUCAAUAGAAUUGCUGUUUGGGCACUUACAAUUUUUUAUUGAAAAGUUACCCCUAGCUUCCCUUUUCAGCAAAAGCAGAAGCUUCAAAUUAGAACAACUGCUUUUGAGGCCCACAAAAAGCACAUUCAGGCUUUUCAAUUGCAUUUUAAGAGCAGAGAAUUAUUCCAGAAGUCAGCACAAAAGAGAAGCCAGGAAAUUCAAGGUUUUAUCAUUGAUGUAGUUAAAGCUUUGAGAAAGAACAAUACCAGAAAACCUAGAAGAAGCAAAUCGUAAUGGAAAGACGGAGGCUUUCUCAGAUUGAACUCCUUUUGCUGAGCAAGCUGGGAAGCUACACUGUGAUCAAAGUAGUAAAGAACUGCUAUCAUUGUGGCCGGUAUGAAAGCUCCAAGUAUGUAGAGAAACGGCACAUGGGGCAUGUCCUGUAUAAUUUGAGUUGUGCAAGUGUAAACUCAUUCGUCAUAAUAAGCACGCAAAUUCAGGGAUAAGUAUUUAGAUAAUCACUAAAUACUUAUCCCUUGUGAUUUGGUUCCCCCCAAAAAAAUCACUAAAAUGGAUUAGUCACUGUUUGCAUCUAAUCUUUUACGGACAUCCAUUAACUUUUUUAAUUUCCACGGCAUUAGUGAUUCCAGAAAGUAGAAAAGGCCAUGUACUAAUCUACUUAGUAAAACUCCAGGAACCAAAUUGCAAUUCAUUGAAGGUUCUGGGACUACCAUUACAAUAAAACCCACUUGUUAACAUAGUAAAAAAGGAAGGACUUAAUGAGAAAGCGAGGGAAGUCCCUGCCUUGAUAACUGUCCAGUUCUCAUAAGCUCCAGGUGACCAGGGGUUGGGGCUGAAGAGGCGCCGAGGGAUCCCUUUAGGUACGCUACCUGACGGAAUGUAGGAAACUCCAGUCCAUACAAGGAUCAUAAGUGGCACCCCAUAGUCUGCGAUGAAACCUCGUAGCCAACCUAAACAUUUUUUGUAUAUAUUAUAUAGUGUUAAGAUGUUCAAAAAGAGAGAACGAGAGAGAGACAGAGAGAGAAGCCAAAUCAUUAAAAUACUUUCUUCACCUAUAUUAUGUUAAAAGGUUUUGUGGUUUGAAUGUUUAACUGAAAAUUCUAGCUCUAGUUGUCAUGCAUACCAGCUCCGUAGCGCCAAGACCGAGCCUUUCUACUUCUUAGUGCAGUAAGAAGAAGGCCAAAUGACAGAACGAGAGCAAACAUCCCGUUUGCAAAUCUCCAUGAUGGAAUGAAUUCCAGCGCUUUGGGGUUUUCUCUUUUUGGUAUGCGGAACUCGUCCACAAGCCCCUGAUAUAUCAAGCAGACUCAUUAGCUACAAAAUAGCUAACAUAGUGGCAAUUAGUAUGUAUAAAUGUAUGGCAUGCAUUGUACUCCUCUGCUAAGGAAGCAUUUACAGAAAUCACUUCAAGAUCAUACAUUACACAUGAAACAUUGAAAUCGGGAUUUCCCCAAACUCUCCUCUUUCUUUUUCAUGAGAACAUUUUUGGCUAAAUUGAUGGAAAUUCCCCUUUAAGUAUCAUGAUUUUCACACUACUCUCCUGGAAUAUCAAAACCGACAUUGCAAUCCACUGAUCUAUGAGCCAAAGAAAUUAAACUAAAACUAAAAAUAAAAAUAAAAAUAAAAAUUAUUGCCUAAUGGACAUAUAUGGAGGGAAAUCAAUAAGACCGUGUGUUUAAAGGGUGAUUUAUAGGUAACGAUACUUUAGGGUGCAAAGUAAAAAGGUCGCACUCGCUGCAGGGGUUUCCUGCAAUUUAGGCAUUUUUUAAGAGUGUUGCUAGGCUUACAACUCUACUACGAUUGUAAUCUUACAACUUAGCCUAUCUAAAGGCUAUAAUUAACGCACUAGUUUAAUCGACCUUUUUUUUUAACUUCAAACCGAAAAUUGUUGUUUAAACCCUUAAACCAUUGGAUUAAGGGUUGUAAAGAUUACAACCCUUUUGGUAUAGAUGUUCAUCAACAAAGGUCAUUGGCAACACAAGCUCAAAGGAAAGAGAAGAGUAACCUUAAUAGCUUGUUGCAUAAAGAGCAUGGCAAUCAGCAGGCCAAACAACUCGCCAGCUAGGCGAGUAAAUCUAUUGAUGAUCGAGCACGCCCCAAGUAUAGACAGUAGGAAGAGCAAGAAUGCAGUCCACACACAAACCCUGCCAAAAUCAAACCAAAUAGCAAACUAAGACCAAUUCUGAUGUCAAAUUCAAGAAGAAAAAGACAAGGACCAUCUUUUCUUAAACGAAUUACGAGAUUAACUUACCAACCAGUCCAAGCCAGAAACAAGCCCCGACCCAAAUCGGCUCGAUCUUUUGCAAAAUUGAACAUGAAAGUGUACAUGAGCACUGUGGGCUCCGCCACGCCAAGAAUCAAAAGAGGUUGGCCUCCUAUAAUCGAAUGGAUAAUACCGCAAAGAGCAGUCGACGCCAAUGUUUGUACUGCUGUUAUGACCCCAUCUACCAACACCAGUUUUAAUCUCAUAAAAAUUAGCAAUUCAGCGAAAACUUUGCUAAUUUAUAGCAUCUUAUAAGGUGCUUCAACAUCGUGCGAAUGGACAGAAUAAGUUCGUGUUCCUUACCGGUAUUUCUUUCCAACUGUUCUCCAAAUGAUAUCACCGGAAUCGCCGAAGCAAAGAAAAUAUAUGUAGUCGGAGCCAAGAUUCUGUAUGAAGAAUGAUUUGAACAUAAUAUGUUAUUGCGAUAUAGAGGAAUAUAGUACUUGUGAGAGAAUAAUUCAAUACUGAUCCUUAUUCUUCGCAUAACUUUUUUUAAAAAAAUUCACCUGAUUCCGGUGCAAAGGCCGCCUGUCCAAUCUUGCUUGUAGCACAUAAGUCUACCCCGAAGAUCAUUCUUGAUGCCGCGCAACGGCACGAACGUUUCCUCCAUUGUUAAGUUUAUUUCGAUGAGUUAGCUGCUUUUUAUUCACUCUCGCGAUCUAUUUCAAAGGAGAAAAACUGCCCAAUAAUCUAUCGGGACGGAUUAGAUCAAGGAACCAGAGUUACAUGGUUUUGGCCACUAAAUCUGGUGCACUAAAUAGUAAUGUCUAAUAAUCUGAAACAAGAGACACAGAUUCAGAUCCUCUCAGCUAAGGCAGAUCCAUGAAGAAACUCACAGAAUGUUUCCAAGUACAUAGAUCAGGCAACAGCAAAGUAAAGACAAAUGGUUAAUCACAGUGGAAACAAACUAGCAUUACAUAUAGUGUGCAUGAGCCCCAGGAAACACAACAACAUAAUCAGGUCAACAAAACCCCCCACGUCCCCAAAUCCCCCACCGACAACAGUGACACUAAGGAAACCCUAACAAAGGCCAAGGCCAAGGCCAAUGCCCUCUCCUCUCUCUCUUUUUUUUUCCUCUUUUUUUUUUUUUUUNNNNNNNNNNNNNUUUUUUUUUUUUUUUUUCUUCUUUCUAGCAGAGGGGCACUGAGAGUGUUACAGAGUGAGGGGUGAGGGGGGGUGGUGGAGGGAGGGGUCUAAAUAUGCAAGUGAGGGAGGGGAGGGGGGUUAGAGAGGGAAAACGUGCAAAUGGUGAAGAGCAGUACUGUGGUCAAAUGGUGGGGGAGGGGUGGAAGGGUGUAGUAUGGUGACUAGUGAGUGAGAUGAGAGAAGCAUCACUAUCAGGGCCUAAAAACUGAAAAGCUUCUUGUAGUAUAGAAAUACAAAGAAUGGAAUCCUCAAAAAAGCAAGCAGGAAUAUACAAUAAAAAAAAAAAGAACAAAAAGGAGCCUAUAUAGAAAUUAGGAUGAUAAAGGUAUCAGGAAAUGUGAGGUUGAUUAAAGAAGAACCCUACUGGAUGGGUGGCUCUUGAAGAGAGAGAGAGAGACAGAGAGAGAGAGAGAGGGGGGGUUUGUUUUUGAAGUAAUUUGAUGGUACCAAUGGCAGGCCAGGCCAUGCCAAGCUGGCUGGCUGGUAUGGUGGAAGCAGCCAACCCAACCAGCUUCUAAUUUGUGGUUUUAUUUGAUUUUUUUUUUUAAAAAAAAAAAAUGUUACUUCACAUUGUUUGAGUCUUGCUUGUUGGACUGGGGAAGUAUCGGUGUCCUUAAAAACAGGGACCUUUUGUGGAAUCCGACUCCUCCUUAUAUAUAAGUCAUGAACUGCCCCAGAAAUCAGAAAAUAAAACCUUCACAACUUGUCCAAUUAAUUAUGGAGCCCAGCGUUCUUAUUAGUUUGGUGCUUCUAAACAUUGUGGUCCUCUUAAGAAUGAUCACAUAGUAAGUAAGGUUGUCCAGGAAUUAAUUCAUUACCCGUAGAAAUUUCGAGAGAAAAAUAGAUUUAAGGGCGAUUCUUCAAAUAAAUUAGAGAAUUUCUGUUUAAAUGACAGACUAGAGACUAACUUGCAAUUCAUUAAAAGAUUAGGGGUGCCGGUGCAUUUUAUUUUAUUUUUUUUUUUAAGAAAAAGGCAUAAUUCUUGGCUGAAUAACUGCAGCAUUUCCGUCAUUCUUCAUGCGUUCAUGGUUAGCUGACCUACACCGUAACAUAUUGGUUGGACCUAUUGCACGGAUUCAGUGUGAACCAGCUAACAUUUGGCUCAGAUGAGAGUGGCCCAAAAGGGCUCUGUCUCUGUAGGUGCUAGGCACCAGACGCACGCACACACCCCCUUUUUUUUUUUUUUUUUUUUUUUUUUUUUUUUUUUUUUUUUUUUUUUUUUUUUUUUUUUUUUUUUUUUUUUUUUUUUUUUUUUUUUUUUCCUUUUUGCAAGAAAGAUCGCAUGCUACCCACUUUAUUUAUUUAGUAUAAAAAUUUAGCAACAGGAAUUGAGACAAUGAGGUAUCAGAAGAGAUAUAAGACAACCAGAGCAAAAAAGGUCAAAACCAAACAAACCACAAAAAGAUAAAUUUUCAUGAGUGUACUUAAAUUUGCCGAGGACGUCGGGUUUAAAGGAAAGGAAUGUGCUUGUAACGAUCUAACCCAAUCAUUUUUCCAUCCAACGUAGGACAGGGUGAUGUCCUCGUCAAGGUCCAAACCCAGAUGCCCAGAUCACAGACAAUAGACCAGUAGCACUUUACAUUGCAUAGCAUUUAGCUCCUAGAUCAUAGACAUACAGACCAGUAGCACUUUGUCCCGAAUAGCACUUAGCUCUCACACACUUCUGGCUAAUAUUUGACUUUGAUACCAAUUGUAACGAUCUAAUCCGCUAGCAAUAAUAACUAAAUACUUAAGCCCAAUUAUUAUUAUUAGUGUGUAUAUCUCAUAUAUUCUAAUCAAAAUUAUUUUUUCAUCGAUGUGAGACUAUUGGAGUGUUGCAAUGCUAUUCCUAAGAUUUAUAUGGUAGGUUUUUAAAUUUUUGUGCAGCGCGUUUUGCUUAAAUUGUUGUCCAGGUAAAAUUGUUUGAUACAGCCUUUGCUGCUAGCUAGCAAAGUUGUCUGGAAGAGAUAUGGGAAAAAAAAAAAACUACCUGCUUUGUUUUUUUUUUUUAAGAAUAAGUAGUAUGCUACAAGCUUCAUUCAUAAAAAGAAUAAAUUAGGCUAAAGGGAUGAGGCAGCCUGGGCCUAUGGAACAAAAACACUACACCCAACCGAAAAAAAAAAAAAAGAAAAGAAAAAAGUUUUAGGGUCAGCGGAUAAUUUCCCACCUGCUUUGUCUUUUCCAAAAAUUAACAGGUCCAAAAAAAAAAAAGAAGAAAACUACCUGCUUUGUCUUUUCCCAAAAAUUAACAGUGUGUACGUAUAUCUAAAUAGCUUUGUGAUGAAAAAUAAUCAAGUUUUUUCUACUGGCAUCAGAAUUCAGAAGCAGCCACUCAAAUCAAAGUUUCAACUUUUGAGAGUUUAGAAGCUAGCUCACUUUAAUAAGUUGCUUAAGCCAUAGGCUCUAACUAUUUUCGAUCUGCAAAAAGCGGUUUGUCUCACAUCAUCAUCCCAAAUAAUUUAAAGAUCAAGUUGAGUUUAUAUAUGUUAUAUGAAUUUCUAGGCCCUGUACUGUUGAUUGUUCUAAAAUUCCAGAUCCUCAGCACCUAGCCCACAUUUCAAAAGGAUAGCACUUGUGAAUAAUAAAUAAUGCAUGCACUACCAUGUAGGGGGAAUAAAAUAAACUUGAUAACCAUAUGCAUCAAGGGAUUAGCUAGGUCCCUUUGAUUAGAUUAUCCCAACGUUGAGACUCUUACAUCAAGCCACCAACUGCAUACCUAUCCAUCAAACUUGCAUCAUCACAAGCUGUAGAUUUCAGAUUGUGAUGACUUGUAAGAUGCUCCAUUAACUCUUACGAGUAACCGACUACACUAAACUAAACUAAAUCGACAGAAAGAGAUCAAAAGGUGAGAGUUUGACUAUGGUUCUUAUCCCAUGAUGAUAUUUUGCUAUGAUUAACAUAUAUACAUGAUCAUCUUAAUUAUGACGCCGAUAGUCGACCUUUGAGAUUCGGACGUGCAUUUAUGCCAUAUUAAAAUCAUACUUCAGAACGACUCGUCGCGAAAGCUGUAAAGUUAGUUGGUGAUUUAGUAGAGUAAUCUACCUUCUUAAUGGCAACUCAUGCUUGUACAGUUCUGGAGCUUACCAUUCAUAAAGUUGUUUACAUAUAAAUUAAUGAAUCGGUUAGGUAGAGAAGGAUCGAUGACAAUUUUUUUAUUGAAGGCUAAUGUUCGUAGUAGGUGAUUAAUUUCAUUGUUGCAUGCCAAACAUCUUUACUGUGUGGAAUAAUGGUAUGAGCUUUGAUUGGACACUGUAGGAAAGCCUCGAUCGAUUGCCAAAAAAAAAAGACUCACAACUCCAGAAUAAAUCAUCCUCUAAAUUCGAAAAGCUUCAUCGAUCGCUACACUUAGAUUAGACCAUGGGAGAUUUGCUUGUGGCAUUAGGACUUUUAAGACUGUACCUUGGCUGUUUUCAUCAGAUCAAUCUUUCGGAUAACAUGGUAUAAGAUAAGUCAUAAGCCAGAUCCUAUGUAACUGAGUUCCAAGAGAUUAUUAAUUAGUUUAAUUUUUGAUUCUUUUCGUUUUUCUUGUCAGUGCACUUAAUACGAUUCACUCGAUCUCUGAUAUGCGCAUGAGUUAAUAUCGAUCUUAAUCUUUUCGAUAACCAUGAGAAUAUGAGAUUCUAAUUCUACUACUACCUAAUAAAAGUGAAUCAUCUCCUAUACCAUCAUUUUUGUGUGUGUGUGUGUGUGUGUGUGUGUGAAUGGGUCUCGUAUACCAUGUGGGCAUUUUGUUUUAAGUCCUCCGAGGGUGGAAUUUCUAGUUUGGAUGGUGUCAGGGUGUGUACAGCUGACGCAUGCAUCAUAUGCCUCCUUAAUUUCCUUGGCAGGAUCCCACUGAUUGGUUCCCUUGUGAUUCAGGGUGCUAAAUCUAAUAAAAGCAAAGGCGCAUACUUAAUUUCCUCAUGAUUGAUGAGACCCUGCAACUCAAUCUCAGUAUUCAAGAUCGUUGCUUUUCUACACCAUCUACUUAGUAAUCCUCCUUUGGAAACUAACGUAACUAUUAUUUUGAUAGAUUCUUGUUGAAGUUGGUAAAUAAUUUAGAGAUCAAAAUAUAGAUUAGUCAUCUAAUUAAUGAAAGAAUAUAAUUUCGCCGAAAGGAAUAAAGAUGGGGUGUCCAUACGCGGGAAGAGAAUCAUUUAGAAAAUGCAAAGAGAUCAUCUUUAGGCAAAUUCAGUUCGUUUCUUUUCUUUUUUAAUCACUAGUUUAUCUGGCUACGAAUUGUUAAGGAUAUUAGUCGCAUAUAGAAUAGAAAUGAGAACAUUAACCUAAUGUAUGUAAGGGUUUCUUAACAUGUGAAUUUUAGUUUCUGAGUUGGUCCGAGCCCUCCGACAUAGUGUUAUGCAUAAUUUAUGAGCUUAAACUUUUAGAUUGGCCACGAAACAAACACAUUAGACUUGCACAUGUUAAGAAAUUUUGUAAGGAUACGAAACUCAAUUAAUUUUGUACAUACCAAUAAGACAAAAAAGAAAAAAGAAAAAAGAAAAAAGAAAAAAAGAAGAUGUUAGAUGAGUGAUUGGCUAUUUGAUAAGGUAGGGAAAUCUAAUCCUCACUGUUGAUGCUUCGAAAAGACUGGGCAUUCCUGAUAUGGUGACAUAUCAAAUCCUACUUACUUUUAGGUUCGAGCAAAAGCUAGGAUAGACCGAAUAGAUGUAAUUUUGUAUCUAUUUAAAGCAGAGUUUGAGUGUUAGUGUCUCAACAAGGAGGGGAUCAAUUAGCUUCUAUGGAGGAUAUUAUAACAGUAUCCACCCUUUCCUGGUUCUCAUAUGUAAGAUUAACUAUACACUUCCUAUUUGAAAAUCUCGUACCACACUCUUGCUUUUGUUUAUUGUGUUAAGAGGUCUAAAAAGAUGUUAAAAGGGCUAUAUAUAUAUAUAUAUAUAUAUAAAUGCCCUUGAUCCAUCUUUCUAAACUAAAGAACUUUAAUAUGCAACAUAAACUGGACUCAAUUAAUACUCUUACCACACAGAAUUAAAAGCCUACUGAUCAUGGAACCUAUUCUAACCAUGCCCGAGAGAGAAUUAUAUUUACAUUUGACGGGAGGAAUUAAUAGUUUAGAAUAGAUGAUCAACUGAUGGAUCUUUAAUAAUUAAGUGCUUAAGGAUGGACACCAUAUUCUGCUUCUUUUCUUUUUUUUUUCAAGAAAAAUAGGAAAAUGAACUUAGCUACAGAUGUGAGGAAUCUAGGCCUUGAGAAAUGAAAUUGCUGAGUUGUGCGAAACAAAAAGAGCAAACAAAUUGAAAUCAAAGGCAAAAAAAAAGAGAAUAAAAAGAAAGCAUAUUUAAGUACAAAUAUCUCCCCGCAGUCCUACUAAAACUCGAAUCUCUGAGAACACCUGCUGCAGGUUCUUACACUUGUUUAGAAAAAUUACACUAUCUCUUUCCUACCAAAUCAUCUACCAAGUGGCUGCCAAAGUGACGAGACCAUCUUCUUAACCUUUCUUUAAUUGAGAAAAUUACAAAUAUAUAUACAAUCAACGAUAACUAGAUAGAGUUGUUAGAGCCGGUCUAAUAUUUAUUUCUAGGUUCAAUUAUUGGAUUAAAUCAUACUUUUAAUUUAGAUGUGGUUAGUUCUGAUUGGUUCAAGUUCAAAUCUAUGAGUAAUGGACCAUUAAUAACUCUUAAUUACUACUAGUAUUGGCUUGCACUCGUUUGAAACUCACCUUUCAACAGACAAAAGGAUAUUCAAUUAAUGUUGCCCUCUCACUAUUUAAAGGCAUCUCCAAUGUCAUCAAUUUUGUCUCUCAUUGAUUACUUAAAGGGAAAAGGCUAAAAUGCAGAUAACCCCCAAUCAAAAAAUAUCGCGUGUUGUGCUCUACCCUUUAGAUGCAAAAAACAUGCACUUUACUGUUCUCAAAAGGCCAAAAAUACCUUAUAAAUUAUAUAUAGUGUUGAAAAAAAUAGUGAUAUGACCAAAUGCAUUUCCAUUUUAUCACUCCUCGAGAGGGUUAAUUAUAUAUAUAUAUAUAUAUAUAUAUAUAUAUAUAAAAUUGAGCUAGAAUAUUUUUAGAAGUACCAACCCCUUGGUGCUUCUAAGUUUCUAGCCCUUAUAUUUACUCCUUAAUUACUAAUAGCCUUUGGAUCAAAUACUAUUCCAUCUAUUACCAUCUAUCACCAUCAUCUCAACCAUAUAUUUCUCCAUCCAAUGACUAAAAAUUCAAAAGCAUCACUCUUUUGGUACUUUUAAGAAUAUUUUAGCUCAACUCUCUCUCUCUCUCUCUCUCUCUAUAUAUAUAUAUAUAAAGUAUUAACGGUGUUAAGUUUUCAAGAGGGUUCAUAUAUUUUUUAUCCAAGGUGUUAACUGUUAAGCGUAGCAUGUGACGUCAUAUUGAAAGAAGUAAGAUGCAUUUUAGCCAAGAUAAAAUUACACAAAUACCCUCCAGUGACUCAUAAUCUCAUAGAUGUUCUUUAAAUGUUAACGGCUUCUCCGUUGCCCUUGUACUAGUAUUAAAACAAAGUUUAAAAAAUAUAGACCAUUCCUAGUGCAAGUGGCAAAAGGCUUGGUGGUUAGUAUUUGAGAUCCCAAGUUCGAAUCCGUAUAUUUAACAGGAUUAUCUGUGAUAUUUCAAACUUUUUAAGGAUCUAUAUUCGAUAUCAAACUUGUACGGGAUAUAGUUAAAAUUAUCUACUUAAAUAAAGUAAUCAAUUCUUAGUGAGCGAGCACCUUUAGUCAAAAGCUCCAAUUCUAAUUUGUGAAAAGGACAAUAUUGAAUCAUUAAUAAAUCAGAAAGCAUGUAGUUAACUAUAAAAUUGUGGAAUGGAUCCCUUUCCAUUUAGUGGCAAGAGGUUGAUCCUCUUUUUUCUUUUCUUUUUUUUGUCCUUUCCCAACAGGGAGAACCUUGUAUCCAUAGAUACAUGGCUUCUUUAUAUAUAUUUUAGUCCAAUGAUAUUUGCAUUAACUUAGUGACAGGUUGGUAGAACCCAUUGAUGUGUGGCAUUAUAGUCCUAAGGAGGUGGUCAUGAAUCAUAAGCUUGUUUAAAAUGUCGCACAAGGGGAAAAUAAAGAAUUUAUAGUGCUUUGCUCUGUGGCCAUGAAGUCAAAGGAACAGCCAUGUGAGAUUAGAUCUCAGUAGAAGUCUUUGAGUGUUUGUGCAGCAUUCUUUUUUUCUUUUUCUUUUUUUUUGUUGGAUAAAUUAGGACCUUCCACUGAUUUAUAUAAGAUAUUUAAGGUACUUUUAUAAUUUUAUGCAUUUGUUGUGUAUCUUGUAAUUUUCCAUUUCUUUGAGAGCUUUGGAGCCACUAGUCACAAUGCGUAUUCACCAAGUUCAUAGUGGUGAUGGGAGGGUGUUCAGGCUAGGGACCUGGGAGACGACGUAAACUCCGUCUGGGAUAGGAAAGGAUUGCAGACUACGAGUAACAGCCUACCUGAAUUAGUAGCUUGCUGGUGGGUUAUUUGGAAGAUCAGGAACCACUUGAUUUUUUAGAAAGAUAUAGUCGAACCCAGUUCUUGUUGUUCAUAAGCUUAAGUAGUCGUUGAAGUUGUGGGAUCAUCUCCUCCAAGCAAAGUAGAAGGUUUUUUUUUUUUUUUUUUUUAUGGAUUUGGUAUUCUUGAGGCCCCGGAGGCCGGAUGCCUCACUCUUGUAGCUUAAUUUAUUAUUCUAAUGAAUGAAGUAGAUAGCAUGCUACUUUUUUCUCCAAAAAAAAAGAAAAAAAUUUCAUUAAUUCAUAUCAACCAAUCCACAUGGCCUUUUAAUGCAUUAGAGGAUUGCUAUAUCACAGUUUGUAAGAACGUUUAGAUGAUUUAUCUUCUUCACCAAGUGAGCUAGGGUUGCAAUUCCCAACCAAAAAAAAAAAGGGUUUUUAAGGGGGCAUCAAAUUAUUUAAAAGGGGAAUCUCAAGGACUUCAUAUUCAAUCAAUAAAGGAAAAUAUGAUCAGAAACCAGAAUCAAGUUGUGUACAGAAAAAUUAAUUAAUCUUGUAGAAUUUUCUUUGGAUUCCAGAGUUUGGCAUUGAUGGAUGGUCUCCAAUGAAGCAUAGCAAGCAUAGGUAAUGGUGCUUAAUUCAAAUUAAUACUUACUUCAACAUUAUUUAAAACUUUUUACUACUACCCACAUGUACAAAUCUUAUUCCAAAGUCCACGCAUAAUUGGUAAUUAUAUAAAAAUGAAAAAAAAAAGAGUAAGUGUUAUUUCCCUGCAGAUAUAACUGGGGAUAAAAUGAGAGAAAGCAUGAUAAUUGUAUCGGACGCUACUAUGAUAGUUACUAUAGUAAUCUGAGAAUAACCCGAUUUGAUCAGAACAACUAUCCAUGCGAAAACUUCUCGAGUCACCUCCCCUAGAUAGAGCUUGUUCAAGAAGUAACGAGACUAAAUUAAGGAGCGAACACUCCACAAGUUAUUUCCAUGAAAACCUGCAUUAUUGCAUCCCAUUCUCAGCAUAGGGAAGCAGUCGGCUGAAUCAGUAUGCUACAUGAGACAUGAAAACAUCUGGUUUUCCCUACCAGUUUGGCUGUGAUGGGACUUUUCGAGUAAUUGUUGAAUGCUUUUGUUUUCUAAGAUAUUUUAAUGCCUAAUUUUUUGAGUAGCUUUUUGGCCGGUGGAGGAAGGACAAGGAGUCUAAUAUUAUGAUCUUUCUUUAUUUUUGUGACAUGAAAGAAAGUGUAAUCUGGUGUGGAUGGUGUGUUCUUUCUUUAUCUUAUCUCUACGGUGCCCAACUUUAUCACAAGAAAAUUAUCAGAAGAAAGAGAGUUAGCAGCGAUGGUUGUGUGACAAAUAUUCGAAAGUAAUAUGGCCAAACAUAUCAGCAGAAGGAAAAUUAGUUUUCUAUAUUUAAACCAGAACAGAAAUUAAGGAAGAACCAACAAGUAAAAGAAAACUAAAAAGAAAAAUGGUGGGUUCAAUAAGUUUGGGCCUACACUUAGGCUACACUUUUUUCUUUUUCUUUUUUGUUUGAGAGAGAAAGACAGUAAAAUACCCGCUUCAUUCAUAAAAAAGAUGAAUUUAGCAAUAGUCGUGAGGCAACAAGGCCUUCGGGACAAAAAUAAAGACAGGAGAAGACGUGUCGACGGUCCGACUCGAUAAUUCAUUUUUUACGAUAUAUAUAUAUAUAUAUAUAUAUAUAUAUAUAUAUAUAUAUAAAAUUCCUAACCUCACCUACGACUCGUUGCAUGCUGGACAAGAUGAUGUAAACAAGAGUUUAAUUUCAAGGAUGAGCAACAACUUGGUGGGGCCCAAUUCGAUGAUGAUNUAUAUAUAUAUAUAUAUAUAUAUAUAUAUAUAUAUAUAUAUAUAUAUAUAAUUCCUAACCUCACCUACGACUCAUUGCAUGCUGGACAAGAUGAUGUAAACAAGAGUUUAAUUUCAAGGAUGAGCAACAACUUGGUGGGGCCCAAUUCGAUGAUGAUGCGAUGGCAUUAUAUAUGGCCCUAGCUCUAGAUGUCUUCACGAACCACAAGCUCCAAUUAAUCCAAUGUAAAGUCACCCAAAACCUAUAUAGCACAUAAAAACGCAAGUAUGGGGGCAUGCACUACAGUUUCAGCUCUUUGACUCCCUUUUGCUUUUAUAAUAAUGUAUGAACUUCUCUUAUUUAAGAUGCAUCUGUACGUCCAUUGCCACCCAUCAGGGAAGAUAACAUAUUUAAAAUGCUGCACAAAGACUUCAGGUAACAGUUCAUUGCAUUUCUAUUUGAAUGCUUAUGUAAUGUAAUGUAAUUACUAAGUUUAUCACCAAGAAAAGGAGGAGUAUAAGAACAAAGAAAAGCAAUGACUAUCAGAGUAGUAAAAGUGUCUAAUAAGUGUGUUUCAGAGGAUUAUUCAUCUUCAUGUACUUUAAGCUCACAAUUCUCCAGUUGUAUGUAUUUGGUGAGGGACUAUGUUCGCUAGGCAGCAGGGUUGAGUUGCAGAGUUGAAACUUGAUAUCAAUAAUUUCCGGAUAAAGUAUUGGGUGCAGAUCAUGGGAGUUGUUGGAACAGCGAAAAAGAGAAGAAAAGUCAAAGGCACAGCCAUGUGAUUUUAACUUCUCUUUGAGGGCUCCUGAAAUGAAAUCUCCAGGAAAUAUGCAUGCACAUUAUGGAAUCAUAGGUAUAUACCAAUCCCCAUAUACAUACAGCACACUCCGGCAUAUUCCAUAGGUUCGUUUCCUUUUUCUAAAAGAGAAUAAGUAAAUUAAAUGCCAUUCUUGGGUAGUCGUAAGUAAUCACAAAGUGACUUCUCUUCUUUUUUUUUUCUUUUUUUUUUUUUCUUUUUUCGAAGGGCCGCCAAGCUCGACCAUUUUUAGGUCAUAACUAUCCACAAAAAGAAUGAGUGUCUCUACUAACUAUUCUAGUAGUCGCCUUGAUCAAUGAAAUGUGCAGAUAACGGUUCAUAUAAAAUACUUUAUGUUGCGUGUAUACCCCUCUUUUUCCUUCCAACUUGUGUAUAUUAUUUUUUUUGUCAACUGGUGUAGCAGCCACAUGAAUUGGCGUUUUAAAACUUAUGCAUUAAUUGGAAAAAAAAAAAAAACAAUGAUGCGAAAUUUCAGGCCUGUUCUAAAGGAAUAUGUUUGACGUUGGGAACGAUUUGAAAAUUGUAGGACAAGACCAAGUUUGGCUCUGAACGGAGCUGUUGCGAAAGUAUACGAAUAGAGCCGCCCAGAAAAGCAUUAAUUACUGGCUUUGUUUGGAUUCUGGAUCAACCCUACAUGCUCCUGGACGUUUGAAAUGUACAAAUUAAGUAUCGACUGAUCGAUGUUAUUGCUGAGAUAUGAAGUAGUUUUGAAAGUAAAAACUCUAAUUUGAUAUUUUUACUUCUACUAUAGCAAAAAAAAAAGAAAAAAAAAAGAAAAAAAAGAAUUGUGGAAUGGGCGCAGCAAAAGCCUACCAGAAAAGCACCUAUGAGGUGAUAACAAAGUGAUCAGCUGUCAUCAGUUACAUCAAUGUUCCUCAACAACACCCUUUAGUUUUCCCCCCCAGUUGGUAUUAAUUUAUGGGAUUCUUUUAGCAAUGGUACCAAAUCAUCCAAGCGCACUCAGAAGUUCAAAGCCUAAUUAUCAGCUGGUAGCUUUAAGAAUCUGAAUGAUUUUGUAAAACGAAAGAAAGUAUAAUGCGUUGUAUGGUAGAUACAUAGCCUUCAUUCUUGUUCUUAUCUCUGGGCUGUUCAUUUAUAUCUGAAACUGAUUAACAAGCAAUGCGCAACUGUUCAACUCCAUUGAGCAGCAUGCAAAUGUACUACGAUGAAGCCAUACUUAGCAUAUAACAUUGGAUUAAGAAGUUAACAACGUACGUAAAAAUCUGCUUCUUGAAGGUUCUAGAAAGAAAUCAUUGAAGGUAUAGGUGGUCAGAAUGGUGGCAUCGAAUAUAUAUUAAAAAUCACUACUACUUUUUUUUUUUUCUUUUUUUUGAGAGGAAAGGUAGCAUGCUACCACUUCAUUCAUUUAGAAAAUGAACUGGGCUACAAGCUGAAGCAACAGGGCCUUGAGAAACAUAAAAGAGAAAACAAAAACAAAAAUAAUAGUAAGCUAACAAGGAAAAUAAAGAUAAAGAGAAAACAGGGAUAGUAAACGUAUAACUAAAAGACUAUAUAGAUAUAUAUAUAAAUAUAUAGAAUAUCAAUAUAGCAAAAAAGGUCCCAGGUUUUCCGAAGAGAGCGAAUCUCAGAUACUAGUAACCCCAUCGAACGUUUGGAUUUCUGGAAAAUUCUUCUAUUACGCUCCAACCAAACAACCCACCAAGUUGUGGCGAUUGUCGCUAACUCCUUUCCCCCGAGCGCUCCCCCUUUACUUUUGCUCGAUUCCCAGAGCAAACAAGCAGAAUCACAAUUACGCAGGGCAGAUUUAUUUGGAAGCAAACCCUCCAGAAGUGCUUUGAUACCAUCACAUCCCAUAAAGAGGUGAUCAAUGGUUUCGUCCCUAUUCAAACAGAAAACACACGUCUCCUCUCCACUCCACCCACGUUUCAGCAGGUUGUCUACAGUGAGCACCUUUCUUCUAAGAACUAACCAUACGAAGAUCUUAACUUUCAGAGGGGAUUUAAUCUUCCAAAGUUGGGCAAAGCUCCUAUCUUUUACACCACCAUUUUGCAGAAAGUCGUAUAGCGAUUUAACUAUAAACUCUUCCGACCGAGUCCAUCUCCACCUUACUUCAUCUCUUUCGUUGUUUGGGAGAAUCGUGGAUAUCGCCUCCUUAAGUUGCGAGAUCAGACCAAAAUCACACUGGGAUCUUGGUGUAAAUCCAGCUAAGAUUUUACGCCACCUCCAUCCAUCCCCCCCCAGCAUGCAUUAACCUUAAUAUUUUUGUGCAUAGCAUUGUCGUAAAUAUUGUAGAAAAGAGUUCGGAGGGAAACGUGGUCACUCCAAAUAUCUUUCCAGAAGUUGACGUUCUGUCCAUUCCCGAUUAAGUAAGUUACACCACAUUUAAAUAUGUCUCUAGUUGCUAGAACCCCCCACCACCAGUAGGAGUACAGCCUGAACGAUGCUCCUUCGCUGAGGGGCUUCCUCCUUGUGUAAUAAAUACCCUCAAGUAGAGAACCCCACUGAUGAUUUCGAAUUGUGAGAAGUCGCCACCGCCAUUUGGCAAGUAAGGCUACAUUCAUAUUCUCGAGGUCUAAUACCCUAAUCUUCCUUCCACUCUACUCCUACACACAACCUUCCAUCGCACCAGGCAAUAGCCUCCAGCUGCGGAUACCGCCCCUCUCCAGAAAAAGGCCCUUCGAACAGCUUUGAGUCGGCGAAUUACCCACUUGGGGGCUUUAAAGAUGGAGAAAAAGUACAGAGGCAGGUUCGUGAGCACGGCGUUAACCAGGACUAAUCUUCCACCUUGCGAGAGGAGUUUAGCUUGCCACCCUUCUACCUUUUUUUCCGCUUUGCCAAUAACAGACCACCAGUCCUCUCUUCGUAGCCGGCCAUUCGUAAGAGGCAAUCCAAGGUACCGUGUUGGGAAAGUCCCCUCUUUGCACCCCAAUAACUCUGCUAGAUUCUUCCCCCGGUGUUCAUGACGUCCCAAAUAAAAUAAUUCAGACGUAAAUUUGUUAAUCUUCAUCCCAGAUGCCCACUCGAAUAUUCGCCAUAUAAAAAGCAAGUUACCGACCUGCUUUUUCUUUGCUUCACAGAAGAAUAAUGUGUCGUCUGCAUAUUGAAUGAUGACUACCUUAGAUUCAUCGCUUGGUCAUUGCUUGUGGCCCUUUCCGUCAUUCUUGCGAGCCCUUCCGCUACCAACAGAAAGAGGUACGGAGAUAGUGGGUCUCCUUGUCGUAAACCCCGCUUCGUUUUUAUCCACUUGGAGGGAACUCCGUUGACUAAUACUGCAACUUUGGCAUUAGCAAUACAUUGUUCAACCCAUCCACACCACUUUUGAUUCGCCCCGAGCCACUUCAUGACCUUUCUCAGGAAGUCCCAUCUCACUCUAUCGUAAGCCUUCUCGAAGUCUGCUUUGAUUCCAACACACUCCUCACCCGCUUUCGAGCACCAGCGAACAAUUUCACUUGCCGUCACAAAAGAGUCCAAAAUGGAUCGCCCUUUGAGGAAAGCUGCCUGCACCGGGGAGGUGAUCUGUUUCAUAACUCCCUCUAGUCUGUUGGCAAGGACUUUAGAGAUAAUUUUUUGCACUCCAUUUAAGAGACUAAUGGGUCUGAAGUCACUAACUAUUUUCGCCCCCUCUUUCUUAGGUAUUAGGCAGACGAACGAAUAAUCCAUUGGCCCGGAGUUUAAACUUCCGUCAUAUAGUUCCCGGAAUAUGCUAAAGAGAUCGUCCUGAACUAACUCCCAAAACCUUUGGUAGAACCUUAAAUUGAACCCGUCAGGCCCCGGUGCCUUGUUGCUACCUAAUUGGAAAAUCGACGUCCUAAUUUCUUCCAAUGAAAAAGGAGCGGUGAGGUGAUCCGGGUUUAGAAUGUUUCGAGUCCUGAAAAGCCCGCUCCAAUCACCUGUACGCGACAUAUUUGCAACAUCGGGAGCAAAAAUAUCCUUAAAUUUAGAGUAAAAAUAUGUUCUCUUUUCCUCUUCUCUAUGCAGGUUCCUACAAUCGUCUUCCACCGCAUGUAUAGCAUUUUCCCAUCGCCUUUCAUUGGCCUUAGCGUGAAAAAAUUUUGUAUUCCCAUCUCCUUCCUUUAACCAUUGUUGUCUGGACCGGGUUUUCCAUGAUUUCCUCAUCAACCGCGACUUUUGUAAGUUGUGCCUUGAGUUGUUUUCGUUUCUCAACCUGUUGUGAUGACAAACAUUGGUAUUCCUCCCAUUGAUCCAACUGCUGGAUUUCUUCGGAUAUAGCUUUCACUGUUUUAGAAAUGCUGUAGAAGCUUGUAGAACACCACUCCUUAAUUCGUUUUCGACAGUGACGUAAUUUAGCCACUACAGUGAGGACGCUGGUUCCUUUCCUUGGCACUUCGUUCCACCAUACUGGUACUAAUUGACAAAAGUCCUCUCGUGCCAGCCACACCUCCUCCAAUCUGAACAAACGUUUAGUCAUUUUAUCACUGGUGGACAGUAGUAUUGGCGAGUGAUCAGACGUGAUCCGAGGCAUAGCCGUGACUUUGGAGAGAGGAAAAGUGUGAUCCCUGUUACCAUAUAUAUUACAUACCAUAUAUAUAUAUUAUAUAUGUUACCAUUUAUGUUAUAUAUAUUACUAUGUAUGUUACUUUCUUAUUAGGAUAGUAUUAUUUAUUUCUUUGUAUAACAGGAUAUAAUCCUGUACUUCCAUGUAAAGCUUUUCCUCUCUCUAUAUAAGAGAAUGGAUUUAGAUGAAUAAUAUACAGAAAAUUUCUCAAAUCUCUUGUUUCAAUCCCAUUCUGUAGAGAUUAGGAAACGGUCUAGUUUAGCUAAUGUCGGAAUACUCUGCAUGUUAGACCACGUGAAGUUCUGGUUCCCCAUUGGCAGAUCAAUCAUCUCUAAAUCGUUGAUUAGGUCAGUAAACAUAGCCAUCAGGCGACCACUCCACCUUUUGCCCCUCCUCUCCAGUAGGUUCUUGGUUAAGUUAAAAUCCCCGCACAUUACCCAUGGACCACUGCAUAAGGCUUUCAGCGCUGUCAAUUCGUUGCAGAACUCCUCCUUUCCAUCCCACAUAGGUGGCCCAUAAACAUUCGUAACAUAGAAGGACGUAUUAGUGCUAGUAUGAGUGAGCCGAAUAGUAAGGGAAUAUUUGCGGAAUAAGACCUCGCUACUCGAAAAAACUUUCGAGCUCCAAUAAAAGUGAUCAACCCACCAGAAGCCCUUUCUGAUUUGAUAAAAUGACAUUUAUCAAACAAAGAGCCCGCAAACGAUCUAAGGAAAGAACACGACACUACUACCUUUUUUUUGUCUGUAUAAUCAGUUCUCUACAGUACAUGCAUGGAACCAAAUUAGUAAAGCAAGUAAUCGAUCGUGUGCUAAUUCACACUUUUAUUGGCUUCUGGUUGAAACGCAUUAAUUAGAUUAUAUAUAUAUAUAUAUAGUUGAGUUAUGAUACUUUUAUAAGUAUCACUAUCAUUGUGCUAUUAGGUUUUAAGCCAUUGGAUCUACUUUUUGAUUAUUAAUAGCCCUUGGAUUAAACACUAUUCCACCUACCACCACCUACCACCAUCAUCUCAACCUCACAUCUUCCAUCCAAGAGCUAAAAACAUACAAGUAUCACCCUCAUGAUACUUUUACAAGUAUUCUAGCCCUACUCUCAUACUCUAUAUAUAUAUAUAUAUAUAUAUAUAUAUAUAUAUAUAUAUAUAUAUAUAACUUGCCUAAUGCCCCACAAUCUAUACCUAAUUAGCAUAACUACAAAAUAUAUAUAUAACAAGACAUUUGGCAGCAACAAAAGAUCAAUUAGUUCGAAGGUAUCUCCCAAUAGAGAAAGGAGAUAAACAAUCCAAUAUAGUACUCAACAGAAUUAGUGGCUCUCACAUUAAUUGGAGCCACAAUCAUUUGAUCACACCUCAUCUUCCUUAGGCUCAUCAAGCUAGGACCAUUUUCCCAAUUAAGUAAGCUGGUACGGAAGCAAAUUAUGAUUUGGUAUGUUAAUGGCUCUCAUGUAGCAUGCAUAAGGAAAGUUCAAAAGAAAAAAAAAAAAAAAUCUAAGCUGGACUAAUUUUUUGGUUCAGUGGUUUCAUGAGAAAAAGAACAGUAAUUAAAGGAGGCAGAGUAGGUUAACGUAACAUAGAUUAAUCAUGGGUUGUUGGCCAUGCAUGUAAUUAUAAUUCCUUGUCUCUCACUCAACAUAUAUGAGGUCCUACAAAGAGAAUAAUAAUAAUAAUAAUAAUACUUUAUUUUUUUGAAAAAAAAAACACUACUUAAUUGUAUAUACAAAGCGCACAAUCUUAAAAAAGCUAGUGCUUUAAUUGAAAAGCCCCCGUGACGCCUCUACAUGAACUCGGUGCAUGAAUGUCGAUGCAAUGGAUGCAGAAUAAUGUUGUCGAGCACUACCGCACUAGGCUUUUUUGCUUGUACCCACUGCACUGUUUGAAUCAUUUGAACAAGUACGUUCCAUAUUUAAGAGUUGUGACAAUCUCAGCCAUUGACCAGAGCCAGUGUUGGGCCCGAGCCCAUGGUGGUCUGGGUUUCAUUGCUCCCGAAGUAGGGCGUGAUGAUGUGUUCUUCCAUGUUGACUGUUGAGUCAAGCAUGUUGUAUAUCUCGCGGCUCACGUGCAUGCCAUGUCUCACAAAUGCUGCCGAGUUAAGCACGAGUGCUGCUACUAUUUUACCUCAUGUUCGGUCAACUGUACUGUGACUUUUGCAAUUGUUUGAUCUGAAUUUUGAAACAAUUUCUUUAUUCUUGAAAAUAAUAUAUAUAUAUAUAUAUAUAUAUAUAUAUAUGUAUGUAUGUAUAAUGAUUUUUCUCAAUCCUAAUAGCUUGCGCAAUCAAGCGCAACCAAACAGUUAAGUGCCCAUGGACACGCUGCUACCAUGUAUUUGUACUGCCCCACGAUUCAACGGAAUGCAUGGCAUUUAUUACUUCAUAUAUACAACAAAAUAAAGGGGAAGUCCAUCUAAAUCAUGCAUAAUAGAACUACAGUGUACAGUAAAAAAAAAAAAAAAAGAAAAAGGAAAAACCUUAGAGCUUUCUAACAGAGCUUCAAGUCGCAACCAAUCACGCUUCAGUCACCUACCACUCCAUUUUUCCUAGACCAACAACUAAGCUAAUCCGAUAAUCACAAACUUGCUAUGCAACAUGCCCUUACAUACUCUAUUUANCUCUCUCUCUCUCUCUCUCUCUCUCUUCCUUUCUCACCUCCCGUACCUUCUCUUCUUCUCCAUCGCCUCCUCCGUAAGCAUCUCUCUCUCUCUCUCUCUAUAGAUCUAUCAAGGUAUUGGAACCCUAGAUCGUUGGUGUUGCGAGUAGUAUUUCCUCCGGUAAAUAAUUUUUGACCAUUUUAUUGAUUACUUCCGAAAUUGUAAGCAUUUGUGUGUUAGUCUGAUUGUGUUUGAUGCAUCAGAGGUUGUUAGAUCAAAUGUUAGCAUUACGUGUGGGAUUUGGGAAGGAGACAGAUCCGUUUGUUUUGAUCCGAUAUUUUGGUUUUGAAAUGUAUUAUUUUUUUUACUCUCUUUUGCUAUAUGUGUUCUGAUCUGUGCUGAUGGAUCAGAAAUAGAUCGUUUCUCGUAGCGGAUUGUGUCAGAUCCUUAGUUUCCGCGGUUCGAGAUGAUUAGAGUUGGAUCUAUGUGAAUAUUACGAGGUCUUAUUGCUUCCUCAGAUUUUUUUUUUUUCCUCCAUUUUCUUGUAAGCCUCGUCUGGGCGCGAUUACUUAUAUUAUCUGUAGCGAGCACCAGAUCCUCGGAUUGUUAGUAAAACCUUUCUGUCUCCUGCAUUGUGUGGUUCAUUAUGAAUUAAGUCAUUGAAGUUUGAUCUGAUUUUAAUUGCAUUUUUGAAGUUUCAAUUGCAACUAUCUGGCCCCGGUGGCUGUUUUGGGUAACAUUAAGUCCUAUUAGUCUACUUUCUGAAAUAAGAUGCCAUGUCGGCCUUGUCGUCCCAAUUGAUGUUGUACAAGUUCUCUUCCUGUUGUCCCUGAUGGCAUGCUAUGAUGAUGUCACUUUUUUUUUUUUUUUUUGUUUUAGACAGUAGAGUAAUAGAAGGAUACAUUGUCAUGGAAAGUAAACUAAAAUUGCGCAACUUGAGAUGUUUGCAAGGUGAAAAAUUCAACAUAAUAGUUCUUGGUUUAAUAUCAUUCUUUUUUGAGAUCCAUCCAAUCUUGAGAGUUGAAUGAGAGGCCGUAAUGAAAUUAUCUAGUUUUGGUCCCUUGAAGCAUCUUUAACAUCUUUAACAUGAUAAUGCUGUUAAUGUUGCACCUGUUUGAAGUGGGUUCAAUUGUCUCAAAUUGAUAGUUGUCGAGAUGGGGCUGUCCUUCACCAAGUUAUUCAGCCGGCUUUUUGCCAAGAAGGAGAUGAGGAUUCUUAUGGUGGGUCUUGAUGCCGCUGGUAAGACCACUAUUCUGUACAAAUUGAAGCUGGGGGAAAUUGUGACCACGAUUCCAACCAUUGGUACGUGUUACGUCAGCAUUAUGUUCAAGCGCAAUUUUUUUUUUUGGCUUCUUAUUACACUCACCUUUUUAGAAUUUGUUUGUAGUGAAUCUGAUUUGAGUGCAUCCUUAUAUUUAGGCAUUCAGGAUGGCAAAUAGUCAAUGUAAUCUUUGAAGCCCCAAACCCAAAAAUUUCUAUCCUACAAAAAAUAAUUAUGAAUAUAAUCACCUAUCUUUGCAUAAUGCUAUUUUAUAUCUCUAUAAUAAUAAUAAUAAUAAAAUAUUUCCAUUUGUUAAAAUGUUUAAACUUUCCCUCUCUAAAUCUACCAAGUUAUUGGUAGUCAGAUUCUUCAGUUGCUCGUCAAUGUUUGUUUUUAACUGAUUGAGUUUCUAACUUUCUAUCUUAUAUGUGGUCAGGAUUCAAUGUUGAAACUGUGGAAUACAAGAACAUUAGCUUCACUGUUUGGGAUGUUGGUGGCCAAGACAAGGUAUGCAUUCCUUGUUGGAUGUCUUCUGGUCUGUGAGGAAUGGAGUGUGUUCUCAUUUGUGUUUAUCCUUAUUGCCGAUUUGUCUUAUAGCUUUCACCCCUGUAAAUCACCUGUUCUAUUUCCAACGUAAAUGCCUAGUAUUUUUAGCUUGAUUUCAUUCCAUGUGCUCCAUAGGUUUUCUCUAGGAAAGAUGCAUCUUUGCUAACAGAACCAUUUCUUUCCUUUUUUCCUUUUGCACUUUUUAAACUGCUUUCCUUUAGAUUUAUUCUAUUAAGUAGCAAAAUUUUUUACUAUUUUGAUGUUUAUGAAAAUUUUCUGUUGUGCAUUGGCAUUAUCAGAUUCGACCUUUGUGGAGGCAUUACUUCCAGAACACUCAAGGCCUGAUCUUUGUGGUCGACAGCAAUGACAGGGACCGUAUUGUUGAAGCCAGAGAUGAACUCCAUAGGAUGCUUAAUGAGGUAAGUAUGUGCAUUUUCACUUUUUGCCUGCUUCACUCUGGCGAACAAAGCUAAUGAAAGUUAAACAUUUUUUACCCUUGCCUCAGCUUAGGAUAUAUUAGAGAAUUGUGCAAUACUUUCUUAUUUUCUUUAUGGAAUCAAAUAAAACCUUGCAAGCGUUGUAAUACCAAUUUAGGCAAAAUAAAAUAAAUAUAUGUUCCCUACAUUGUCAGCAGAUGUUUCUUUGUCAAACUCGUUAUUUGUGAUACCUUUUCCUUUUCUUUAUCUGGAAGUGAUUUAAACUCUAAAUAUUGAAACAAUUUUUGGAGAUAUUUACAUAUAUACACUUCCAUUAUUAUUCCUUUACACAUAUUCCCUGUUAGAUCAGAAUUUUCAUAUACAUUCUGGAGAAACUUAUUUACUUGCAUAUGCAUGUUUGUACUUACAGAGUGCCUCUUUUCAAUAACCUCUUUCUAGUUCACACGUAAUUACCCCUCACCUAAUUACCCCUUAUGAAUUGGGUGACUUCCCACCUUAACAUUGGGGUAAGCAAGUUUAAGCACUCAAGGGGAAUAUGUGAAAAUACGAAUGUUCAGGUUAUAUAGGUAAAUAGAUGGUUUUGAGAUAUGUAUGAGAAAGCUCCUAUCCUGUUUUGUUAUAAUUGCUACUAACUACUGGAAUAGGCAGGUUGACAGUCGGUUCUUCCUGUGAGAGAGAUUACUGAGAGAUUAUUUCUGCUCUUUGUUCAGGAUGAGUUGAGAGAUGCUGUGCUGCUUGUGUUUGCGAACAAACAAGACCUCCCAAAUGCCAUGAAUGCUGCUGAAAUCACUGAUAAGCUUGGCCUUCAUUCCCUCCGCCAACGCCAUUGGUACACAUCCGAUCUUUUUCUUGCAAAGCAUUGAUACUUCUCAUUCUAUUAUUUGCUAUAUUUGAACCCAACGUUGACUACAGUUUCUGGCAGUUUUUUUUUUACGUUCAGAAAACUCAGUUUGAAGUACAUACCCAGACCAAUCCUGUUUUACCCAGUUUUGUAAAUAGUUUCAAACAAAAGAUUUGAUAUAUGUGUAAUAGAUCAACAUGAAAUUCAGUAAUUCUACUUGUUAACUUAUGUGCAAUGAACAUUAUUAUGUGUUCAAUGCUUCUUCAGGUACAUUCAGAGCACAUGUGCUACAUCUGGAGAAGGUCUGUAUGAGGGGUUGGACUGGCUCUCCAACAACAUUGCUAACAAGGUCAGAUUCAUCAGCCCAUAUAUCUAUUCUUUAUUUGCAUAUUGAGUCCCUCUUUUGAAUAAAAACAAACUCUUUUGGCAUGAUAACCAGGUUAACAACCUUGUUUUAUCAUUCUGCAGGCUUAGAUGUUACUCAAAAGGAUUCUUCUUGCUUGUCAUGUUUCUUUUGCUAAUGAAAUCCAUUAUCUUUGGAGAGAGUGAGAGAGCUGUAUCAAUAUCGAGCAUUAGAUCCUCUUGUACUUUUUACUUUUAUAGACUCAAAAAAUUGCCGCUGGUUAGAACAUGAAUAAGCUGGAACUUGUUCUGCUAGAUGAUGGUAUUAUUUGUGCUGUAUUGAAAUUUAUUUGAAGACCAUAUUUAGUUGCCUUAAAAUGUUAAUGCUGGUGCCUAAAUUAUCAACCUCAAAGGUGGAUUGUCCGAUGUGCUUUAAUUAACUGUGAACUGGAAGUUUAAGUACCUUGGUGGCCGAUUCAAUGCUGGUCCUUGCGAAAAAUUACAAGGCUGUAUAACUUGUUUGAAUGAACGAUAUAUAUGGCCUUGAUCUGAUGCCAAAAUUUACAAAGAAAAACUAUCUUAUGUAAGGACCAGUUUCUUGUUGAGGAUUAUAUCAUCUGUGGAGAAGUCAGCUUCCUUCCGGUACGUUCCCCGGCCAAAGUCGAGGUUGUAUGAAUCCGCAAGGCCAUCGAUCAACCCAAAUUCUGGGGUCCAACCUAAUUCCUUUGUAGCUUUCUCAAUCGAUGCAAAGAAAUGCUGCAGUUGGAGAAUUACAGGUAACUUAAAUUUCGUUUCAUGUGUAAUGUCUGCACACUGAUACUGCUAUAUGGUGGUAAUAAACAAACUAUUGUGAUAUGCAUUGAAUACUAAUUUUGUAAAUCCAGCAGCUGAUGUGUAUGAAAAAUGUAACUUGAGAUAGUCUGAUUAUAGUCUUUUGAAAAAUGGGAAGGGCAGAUUUUUCAGCUUCCACAUUCAAGAGCUCAUAACGGUAGAAUGACCACAACUUCUUUUCUCAGGUGUUGUGGUUAUAGUAGAUUGAUGAAAGGUUUGAUUAUAUGAAUAAUUAGCUGGGAGUUUUAAGGUCUUAAGAAAUAAAAAAGCAAAGAAAAGAUUAGUGGGCUUCUUGUAAAGAAAACUGCACCUUCAUCAGUAUGCUGUUCGUAACUUUCAAUGAAAACUUGGUACCUGAUCUCGGAAUGGGAAAGCUUUCUUCUUCCCAAAAUCAAAUUCUUUAGGGUUAUAGUGAACGAUUUCUGGUUCCGGAAAACCCGCGGCCUGAAAUGGCAAAAACAUUGAAUAUCAAUAUGCAGAGAAACAAAAUAAGUUAUUAACUUUUCUUAAUUUUACAUAAAGUUUUAAGUAUAAUUUGGUUACCUUUGCACAUGCCUUUGCUAAGCCAUCAAAGGUGACAUACUUUGAUCCAGAGAUGUUGUAGACUUGCCUGCUUGCUUUUGAGUUGCCAAGAACAAUCACGAAAGCCCUCGCUAAAUCCUACAUAGUUAAUGGCUCCAAAUAGGUAAGCAGCAUUUCAAAGAGCAAUUCAAAAAUUGUAAUACAGUCGACAUUUUGAUCUAGGCUUGCUAACUAUUUAUGUGUCAAAGGAAUUAUAUUUUUCAAUUGAUGAACUGUAUCGUUCCAUGUAUCAGUCUACAUAUAACGCACAGUUUUGAAAUUUCUGCUGGAACUCAAAUCAUAAAACAAGUAUAUUUCGGUUUCAGUUGUUGCAGUUCAAAACUAAGGUCCAAACUACCCUUCAGUUAACUUGGAAUGAAUCUGUAAAAGGCUCACCUUUAGCGUAUUGAGCCAACUUGAUUAACAUUUGCUUUUAGAACCAAAUUUGAUAUCUCUAUGCAUUACUUGUAUUUCUUAGCUCUUCGUGCUUGAAUCUCUUUGGUAGAUGGUGAAAGAGAAAGGGGCGUAGAGAGAGAAGAAGAAACGAGUUGGUCAUACUCUUCACAGAUAUUGCCUAAAAGUUCAUCACCAUACGUUGCUAUCUUAUCUUGUGAAAUUAGGGUUACAACAUCAGAUUCGAAUCUUCCCUCUUUGUUCUGAUCUUUCAAACAGAAAUCUAAGAUGUAAUUGAUAAUUGCGUCUAACGAAGUUGGCAGUCAUAAGGUAUCUAUCUUCACUAAUACGACACGCAAGAUAGGUGUCACAAACUUGACUUUUUAUCAAAAUAUUUUUCGAAAACUAUGCUCUGUAAACAGAAUAGAAGCUAAUAAGACAUACUUAACGUUUAACGUUAUUAGUCAACUGACCUUAACAUGCCCAAGCUGGGUUAAUUGAUUUCCUGAAUUGGGGAUCGGAAUUGGUCGUCCGGCUUUCAAUCUAUGGAAGAACCAUUCUUCUACAGGAUUGUAAUUCAAGGGCCCAUAAAUGUAAACCGGCCGAAGAGAGGUCCAAUUCACACCGCGAGAGUCCAGCAAGUUCUCAGUCUCGAGCUUUCCUUUGUGCCUACUCUUUGGAUCAACUGCAUCAGUCUGUUAAGUUUCAACACAUCANAAAAAAAAAAAAAAAAAAAAAAGAAAAAAAAGAAAAAAAAAAGAAGCAAGUUUGCUGAAACUGUAAUUUCUUCGAAUUCUUCAAAUAGUUCUCCGCAAACAACAGUUUUAUAGAAGCCCCAGCCAUAAAUUAGGAAAAAGAAAAAAGAAAAAAGAAAUAUAAACAUUGAAUCUCCACCUCAAAGUGCGGCAGAAUAUCGGACUUAAGAUACACUCCAGCUGAAGAGCAAUAUAUGUACCUGCAGAAUUUUACCCAAUGAGAGUGAGGGAGCAACUGUAUCAGAGCAUGCCAAGAAUAAUCAGACCACUCUUUUUGAUUAACUGUGCAAGCACAUAACUUGCCAUAUAAUACAAAAUCACUGUACUCUCUCUCUCUCUCUCUCUCUUAAAUAUGAAAAGUUCUGAUGAGACGAAUUUGGAAUAUAGAGUUUCUACAUAUAUAAAACUACUCAACAAAAGAAGUGGUAGGAAAUAAAAGCUUACUGUUCUAGCUUGGGCAAGCCAUCCAAUAUAGGCUCUACCUCAGCAGCCUCACGCCCUGAAAUAGGUAUUCAACGAGACUACAGAUGAAAGUAUAUUCGAUAUGAAACUAUGGUCUUGUUUCUUUACAGAACUAGAAAUGGAAUAGAAGUAUAGGACACGGAUUACUUUGACGAAAUAAGAUUUUACCAUUAAUGUCGUAAACAACAUCGAAUCCCUUAGCUGCAAGGUUUGUCUUGACAAAUUCAAAGUCUUGCCUAUCCCCUUUUAAAUGCAGUAUCUGUGAACAAUCGGUUAACUCGGUUGUAUAAUAACAGAAAUCAGGGAGAGCAAGACCAUUUUACUUUCUCUCUGAAAGGUCAGAUAGAAACGAAUUUAUUACCACAAACUGAUUAUCAUCACAUUAUGCAGUAACAAUUUUUGGUUUUUCUCAAGUCACCAGGGUUGUCAAUCCUAAUUCAUCGAAAUUCAUCGAAAAAUAAAGUUAUAUGACUUCUGACUUUUGAUUAAUGAAGUUCAUAAGCUUGCUUGCGGUGUAUACGGCCAAGUCCACAUAGCUUUAGAUUAAUAAAUUUAGGUCGGGGAAAGAAUAUAGAUGAUUGAAUUUCUGAGACAUGCUCACUUUUAGCUUAUACUCGUGCCAUUUACGGGUUAACAAAUUCUUUUGCGAAAUAAUUUAGCAGCAACAUUUGCCAAACAUAUAGCAAACAAUCAGCAAUUCCCCCAACCGUAACUUUCGCCAGUUAUCUCACCCUCAUAACUCAAACAGCCUUUUCGAUAGCCACCAGGUAAAAAGAUGAUGCGAAAAAAGAACAUAAAUUGCAGUAAAUAGAGUGAUUAUUCUCUCUUACUUUGGAUGAGAAAUCGGCAUAGUCUUGGUCAGAUUCCCCCGGUAAUUGUUGGGUUAUGGGUGUCUUCCCUCUAGUAAAUAAUGUAACCUGUUGACCCCGAAAGAAAUGAUUCCAUCAAUUACCCUAAAAAUACCUUCAAACAAAGCAUCCAAGCUCAACAUUAUAUAAACCAAUUACACUCCUUAACUUCACCCAACCCAAAAAAAAAAAAAAAAAAGAAGAUCCAAAACCUGGUGUCCUUCUUUGACAAGGAGCCUGGACAAGAACACACCAAUGAAUCUGGUGCCUCCCAUUAUAAGGAUGUUCUUGGAGCUUGCUGAUGCUCUCACCUCGACUGCCCCUUUUGGUUGCCAUUUUCUCCUCCUUUUCUGAAAAUUUAUAUGCCGAAACAAAUCUUAAGCCAGCAAUUCCUGUUUCUCACGUCUUUAGACAUCAAGGCCUUGUAAGAAGAUUAAGAGCACACGAUUUUAAAUUCAGUGCCACCAACAUAGAUUUCAAUAUAUAAUUACAUAUAUAUAUAUAUAUAUAUAUAUAUAUAUAUAUAUANCAAUAUAUAAUUAUAUAUAUAUAUUUUUUCUUUUUUCCUUCUAUCGCAGAGUUCACCUUAGAUUGCAUUUUGAAAAUCAUCAAAAGCAAACAGGUAAGAACUUUUUUUUUUUAUUUUUUGGGUUUUUCCUUUUGGUUUUGAGAAUUGGGAAUAGGGUUAACCUGAAUGGAGAUGUUAAGUGCUGCUGCACCAUGGAAGUCUGAUAGAGCAGAAUUGAGGAGAGAUGAGUUGGGAGAGACCCAAUUGCUGUGAGGCUGCCUAUGCUGCACCACCAAUACCCUUGCCAUCUCUCUCUCUCUCUCUCUCUCUCUCUCUCUCUCUCUCUCUGUACUAUUUUUAUUAUUCUGAAGGGUUUGAUUAGUGUUGUGAGAGAGAGAUGUUUUAAGUUUGAGGAUGUGGUGUGGUGGCUCUUAUUAAAUGUUUAGGGCCCAACUCUCUCUCUCUCUCUCUCUCUCUCUCUCUCUCUCCACCUCGGCCUCUAACAUCUCCUCAGCAAAAGGAUAAGAGAACUCCCACUUUGGUCUGGUUACAUCCACAGCUUCACUCAUCCCGGAUAAAGAUUUGUCAAUUCCUUGGCGCCACAGUUGGCUGGGGCUGGGAGAUCAAAAUCAUUGCCUGCCUGCACCCAGUGCAUCCCCCCAUCCGUCUUAUCUCAUCUCAUAUUUUAAAUGCAACACGCUCCCUGUUAAUACGGUUUUUUUUUUUUUUUCUUUCUUCUUUCUUUCAGUGUAAGUGUUUGGAUGAUUUUUCGCAAUCCCUAUUCCUAUGCUUUUCGUUUCGAUGGCAAAAAUUAGGAAAACGAAAACAAAUAUGCUUCUUAUUUUAUAGCAGAUGUGCUUACCAAGUUUCAUUUAUCUCUUCGUUUUAAUUAUCAUAUGUUUUACUAAACCCCCAGGUUUCCAACAUUUAUGAUUCUUCACACGCAUCUAAAGCUAUUCUCAUGUGCAGAGAGGACUUCACAGAGACACCCUAGUUGUAGUAUUGAUCUGAUUACAGUACGAAUAGUGUAAUUGUUCAUCUGUCGAUCAAGCUUGCGGCGGCCAACACAAACUGCUCUUAUUAAACUUUUGCAGGAUAACCAGCAGCACCCUGAAAAUUUGACUGCCUGAAUGGAGAAUCAAUUUUGAAUUCAUCAAAAGAUUCAUAAACAAAGCAUUUUAUAAAAUUCACAGAAGUUUUUAGUUUUUACCUCGACAAUAAUGAUUAUAGUUGUACAUUAAAUAAAUGCCCACAUUUGGGCUUCCUUGUGCAAUUUCACAUCUGAAAACUAAUCAGUAUAUCUUCUGUAGUCAUCCCCCACUUACGUAAAAGUCGUUAGCAUCAUAAAUUAUACGCCAACAAACUAAAAAAUAAAAUGAUUACACUCGCGAAAUCACCCCCUGUAUCGCCAAAUCUUUACUCAUCAUUCUUUCACGAGAAAAAGGGACGAAUUUUGCAAGAAAUUCAGAUGAUAUUCCAAUGUAUGUUGCCACUUUGCCAUUUUAACAGAGCACAUCUCAUCACGGCAUGAGGAACAGCAUACAUCGCUCAUUCAACAAUUCUAAAGCUAGGGUACGGUAAAAAAAAAAAAAAAAAAAACACAGCAUGAAGACUGGUAACUUGGUAUUAAUAAGCUCAUCAUAUUUAUUUCGUGUUUCCUUCGGACACAUAGAUCUUCCAUUUCUGACUCGGAUGUUUCGCUUCUCUCCAGAAUUAAUAAAUGAGAUAAGACCAUGAAUUUAUUUAGCAUUAUCAAGUCGUGAAACAAUUCCACCACAAGAUUUUUCCAUCUUCAAUUUUCCUGCAAAAGGAGGCCUAAUCUAUAUUAGCAGUGCGAGAAAUAGAAGAAAAGGAGAACAAGAGGAGCAUAUAUAUUGCAAUUUAGUCCUGAGAAAAUGAUCAUUUUACCCCUUUCUUAGAAAAGAAGUCUCUGAGCACGGUUAAAAUGUUCGUUUUGGAGGAACAAGUCACGUACUGUUUGUUUAUUCUGUGUAAAUAUUAGGACUAAAUUAAAGCAAUAUUGUAAAUAUCAGGACUAAAUUGCAAUAUAUGAAAGGUCGGUUGCCAGGUCCCAGUGUUAGGAUGGUUCCACACAGUUUUACCCGAACAUGAUCAGAACAGAAUGCAGGCUAAUAGUUAGUUCUAAAACUUCUAAAUUUAGCCUAACGGUUUUAACUUUACAAAAAAAGUGACCACGGAAAUGGGCACACGGCACGGGAAGAUGUAUUACCAAUUAUACUGAUGUCUCUAACAACUCAGCAGUCCAUGUUCAAAAAGCGGAGCUUUUUCUAAUCCUUUUGCUUUGUUAGCUUGCUUCAUUUUCGCUCUUCGCCUCAGGACGGAAGAGUAAAUGAAUGGAUAUUUUUUUCCCUAAAUGAGAAAUAAAUACUGUUAAUAGAAACAGCUAUUUGAAUUCCAUCUAAUGCCAAGGACUAGGAGAAUUUCAGAAUGAACUGCAACCAUCAGUGUGACCUAACAAUCAUGCAAAUGAAAUGUAAUUCAUAUUUUAACAGUAAACUCUCGAGUUAAAAGGUAAUACACUCACCUUCACUGCUGCUUGAAACAACUGAAUACAUGCCAGAACAACUAAAAGGUAUAUAUCGUCAUGUUCGCCUUGAUGUAUCUUGGCCACCAGCUUCAUUCCAACAGAAAUAAGGUGUAUUAUAUAGUGACCAAGAUGAGGGGUCAGAUCCCACCUAGCAAAAUCAUUACAACAUGGAUUUGCAUAUAUGUGACAAUUUUGCAUUAAAAGACAAAUUUUGCAGAAACAACCCCUGCAGGAUCGACAUACUUGUUUGAGAAAUUUUCUAGCGUUGAAAUUUCGGUCAUUAAUACUCCCCCAUUGAGUUGGUUCUCUAACACCUAUGGAAACAAUUUCUUUGUAAAUAUGACUUGUGUGCAAAAUGGAUUAGGUGCCUGUCUGACCAGGCUGGAGCUUCUAUGAGAGAGCUAUUCAAAAAAGCACUAAUAGCUUUUUUUGUAAAAAAAACUAAAAAAAAAAACUCCGAUUACUUCUCACUGAUGCAUAGGCAGAGGCUUAAAAUAAAAAAUUCAGCUCAUGGGGCAGCAGAAACUCAUUUCAGCUUCCCAUCACUGCAAAAGCUCCAUAAGUAUGAUAUUAGUCUAUCAGAAGCAUUAAAGAAAAAGGAUAUUAGUCUAUCAGAAGUAUGAUAUGCAUGUAGGGUAGCAUUUUCAAUGCAAGUGCUUCAACUAUUUUCCUUCCUCUGUUUCAUUAAUUGCUCACCAGCUCUUUCCCUCGGGCUAACAAUCCUCUUGUUCUUUGAUCCUUUUCGAUUGGGCUGUGAAAAGCUGACAUCCCGGGUUGCAGAAGCCGGACAAAUUGAAUCAUUCUGCAGUUCUAUCAGUGGUUGAAUGCACAUAUUGCUUGCUAUAAUGGCGUUUGGCGCGCUAUCAUCACUAACCGAUUGAUCACCGUGUGAGAACUCAAACUUCAACACUUUCUCCCUCGCUUUCUUCAAAGCCCCAAGAGCAUACUCUUUCAGAUCACAAUCAAAUGCGCCAACCAAAGCAAUGUCCAAAGGUAUUGCUGACCACACAUGAUGAGUUCAUCGUAAUUUUCCCUCUUAGGAAAUAGGAAAUGAUGCCGUGUCUGGAAUCAAAGUGGAAGCAUGCAAUCAUUUGAAAUCCUUUCUCCGACGUGGCAGUACGAAGUUAGGUGGCAAAAUCAUCACAAAUUCUUGACGAAGGACACGCAGUGCAUGCGUGCAUAAUAUACCUCUAAAUUCAAACGAGCGCCAAAUACACUUAACCUCCAGCUCAAUUGAAUCGUAGCGACUUUAAAUGAAAGCUGCUUGUCGUCUAAGAGUUAAAUCACCAUGUACCCGGCAAUUCGAGCAUUCCUUUCAAUUUUUCUACAUAUACACUGAAUCAAACAAAACUCUCACCUCAUCUUGGUAUUUUUGAAACAUGUUGCUAGUAUAUGGAUUAGCAUUUGUUUCUCAAAUUUGAAUCCGGGAAUUCACUGAGGUGACGCAUGGAAAGACCGGAGAUCCUCUUGGGACUCUUUCUCCCGCUUUUCUCUAAGAAGACGAUCAUAUUGUUCUAGAAACUUGUUAAGUGAAGUCUUAGAAGUCAAGUGAUCAUCUCACUUUGUCCGGUGGAAGACACACUGGCCCAAAAAGUGUCCUUAAUAUGAACAGGGGCCCGGUGCUUCUUAUCUAAUUGGUACAAGGAAGAAAACCAAGCAUUAUCUUGAAGUUGGCAUCUCUCUAUCAUCACCUCCCACUCCAUCUCAAAGUCAUUAAUAGUUAGGGAAUUAAAGAGAGCGUUACAUAAUCUAAUAGUUAUCUCCUCCUUAUUUUCCAAAAUUUCCAGUUUCUCGGGUAAUUUCCUCGCGAUUUGCUGACGGCAAAAUCAAAUUCUAGCAUUCGGAAACACCUUCAUAACUGCUGCGCUUAUCGAUUCAUCGCGAUCAGUGGUUACACAAUCCGGAGGCUUGUUGUUAUUCAUGCACCUUAUCCACUUUGUAAAGUAGUCCCGUCACCAAGACCACCGCAACCUAGCAACACAUGUUGCCCAUGGUGGUUAGCUCCAAUAAAUGAAAUGAAACCAAGGGCACAUUGGAUUUGCUCAUCAAAUAAAGUAGUGUCCAUUGUAAUUACAUCACUGCAGUACUGCUGUACUGGUACUCGGCUCGAGAUCUAGCAUCAAGCCAUGAGACAUUUUACAAGAACGCCAUUCUCAUCCCCACAACAGCUUUUGUCUGCAGCAGAAUCACAAGCUUCAAGUUUUUGAGCUUCAAGAUCUCAUUUUUGCUGCCGCAGUUGAAAGCAGAAGCAGGAGCUCGGCCAAACAUGCAUAAUCCAAGAGCAUAGCAAAACUUCCUCACAGCACUAGCAAAAUUCGACAUUAAUCCCGGCAUUGCCUAUUUAGGCGAAAUUUAUGGGAGAAAGGGCGAAAUCCAUGCGAUUUCGGCGAAAUUGAGAUCAAAAUGCACCGUUCGAGUCCACCGCUGUUAGGGUUGCCCACAGGAUCUUCGAUUCUUGAGUUUGGCCGUUUUUUUUUUUUUUUUUUUUUUUUUUUUUUUUUUUUUUUCGUCCCCCCCUAUUUUGGGUUUUGCUCGCGAGGGACCGAGGGUUUUGGGGAAGGUUUCGAGGGAGCGAUAGGCAGGGGCGGAGGAUCCUCUGCGGACCGUAAUACGACCCAAAAACUACCCAAGAGAGAGGUCACGGUCUACCGGUCCACCGGUCUACGGAAGAAGUAAAAUAAAAUGUUAAACUCCUAAACCACAGGAAAAAAAAAAAAAAAAACUGUUAUUAAUCUAUCGGAUGUAAUGUCCAAUCUUUAAAAAGUUUUAACUCAGCUUUGAAAAAUUUAUUAAUUAUAUAUGAAGGGACUGCGGCGUUAAAUUACAGAUUUUAACACGUGAACUUUGUUAAAAAACUUAAUAAUUUAUUUUUAGAAGAUCAGUAAUUGAUCCGUUUAAGUCGUCCACCUAUAUAGACCACGGUCUAUACAAAAAGUAACAAACAUGUCAAAUUUUUCUACCUUUUGGUGCAUAGAUUCUUCUCUCGUAUAGUACAUGGAGUCAUCUCGCUGCGCAUUCAUAUCGGGAUUGAUCUCAACCGUCGGCAUUCCCCCCACUCAACUGGCCUAAUGUGCAUUUAUAGAAAACAGGAACUGCUACGAGUACACCAAAUGCUCCACCACAAGUGUUCCCCAACAAUUAGUGUUAAAUUGAAUGAGGACAACCCCUGUACUGUUUCAGGUUGCAACUUGGUCCUUUUACAUGUACCUUAAGCACUUCUCACCCUGAACUCGUACAUAAUUGCACGUACAAGAGUAACAAAAGAGCUGUUCAGCUAGAAAAGGACUUUUUUUACAUUUAGCUUCCUAACAAAUUCUUUUUAUACAAAUAAUCCUAGCAAAUUUAUAUUUACAUAUACGAUACUCUAUUUUUUCAUAUGAGGGUCAUGUUGAUAUUUUUAAAUUAAGCACGAUGAUUGAAUUAUCGUAUAUAUAUAUUCAUAUCCACAUUUUAGUCCCUCUUUUUAACUUAAGGGUAAUAAAAAAUACAAAAAAAAAUGCGGCGAUUGAAUCACCGUGUUCAGCUUAAACACACCAUCUUGACGCUCCCGUGGCGAGAAGAGGGCUAUUUAUAUAAAUAUAUACAUUUGUUAUGGUUAUUUAUAAAAAAAAAUUUAAGGGGACUAACUAAAAAAAAAAGCCCACAAGAAAAAUGAAUCCAAUUAAGAUGAAGGAUAGAAAAGUUUGAGAAAAUAAAGUCCUCUUCUAUGGAAGGGUUAAAUGCAUUUAUAUCCCUACAAACAUAGUAAAUUAUAAAUAUAUUUCUACAAAUUCAACUUUUAUAUAUUGUUCCUUCAAAAGUUCUAAUAUAUUCAAAUAUAUUUCUCUGAUUUGUUACCGAUAUAGAACUGUUUAUAUUUUCAGUAAAGUAAAAUGUCAAUUUUUCCAUCACAAAUAUAUCUCUCUACAAGUCACAACAAUAUAGUGUAUAAGAGGGACAAAAAUGCCAAGUUAUCUCAUAAAUUAACUAGAGUUAAGUAUUUAAGUAUUUAAUCUGUGGUUAACUAAAGUUUUAUAACAGAUUCUGCAAAGACAUGCAUAUCGAUAUCUGAAAACAUUAGAAUUUUUAUAGAAACAACAUAUGAAAGUUAAACUUUAUAGAAAUAUAUUUACAAUUCACUAUAUUUGUAGGGACCCGUAUAAAAUCAAUCCUCUAUAGAAAUAUAUUGGAUGUACUAUUAAUUAGAUUUAUUGCAUAAGCUACAGAGCCCAAACCAAAGAAAACUUGAUUUUGAAUGUUCCAAUCUGCCAACAAAUUGAGCUGAUUUUUUUUAAAAACCAAAUCAAAUUAACCAAUCUGAAUUGAAACUGAGAGUUUAUUGUUAGAUUUUUUCCCUUUUUUUUUCCUUUUGCACGCCAUUCCUUCAAUUUUUUUGCACAGAUUAAUUAAGUCACUGCUUUAAUUUUCUGCGUAAAUGUUGAGCAUUGGACUCCCCACCAAGUCAACAUAUACUGUUUAAACUUUGACUUUGAGAUUGGUAUAGUACAGAGUUGGAAAUUGAGGAGAGGAAAAAAAUACAAUAAAAUAAAAUGAAAUGGUGUUAGGUGCCAUAACACCAGAAUACGUCAAGCCCGAUAAUCAUGGCGCGGACCACGAGUUAGGUUAAACAUCAUUUACAAUUUUGUAAGCGUAGUUAAUUUUUGGGUGAGCCACAUAUUAACAAGUGCUUAUAUCUAAACUAUAUUGUUAAUUUAUUAUUAUAAGUAAUGAAUAAAUUUAUUUUAUUUAAGAUGAAUUUUAACUGAUUACUUAAUAAAUAGUAUACAGUUAACACCAUGCACUACAAUUAAUUAGAACAUUCUCUCUACACGAAUCAAAUUUUGCACGCUAUGAGUUUCUAAUUCAGUUUUUUGUAAUCUGAAAUAGCUUUACGUAAAAACAAAACCCUGUUAUUAAUUUUACUCUUUUUCUACCUAAUGCAUAGGAGGAGCUAUUUAAGUUUUUGUAUUUUUAAUUAGUACUAUUGUUUUUGACUUAAUUGUUUAUCAUGAUAUAUACAGUUGUAAUUAAAUCAGCCAACUGGAUGGAUGGAGUACGAACUUAAAAUUUUGUGUAUUAGUCUCAGCAAAACUUUUGUUUGUUUGCACUUCUUCUCCUAUGGUAUUUUGACUCUUUUUUGUAAAUGUUGUUUUUCUUUUUCGUAAUAAAAGUCUUAUUGAUUAUAUUUCGUAAGAUCAAUUGAUUUCUAAGGUUAGUGUAAAAUUGUUCUUUGAUCUCAUUUCAAUUUAUAAUUAAAAUUAGAUAAUUUUAUAUGAAAUAUUCUUUAAUGUCAUUUAGUAUGAAACUAAUAUUCUUUAAUGUCAUUUAGUAGGAAACUAAUAUUAAGAUCAAUUGAUGCACGAGCUACCGACUAAAAAUAUGUUUAGAUAAACUUAAUUAGUCAUUUUCAAUCUAAACCAUGAUUAAUCAGCAAGGUAGGACAAUUAACUUUUACAGCUAAUACAAGCAUGGAUGUCAAUGCAUCUCGACAAGCUAACUGCGUAAGUCGAAAUAUUUUCCAUACUUUGGAUGUCAUAUUUUCUUCACAAAAAUGCUUUUGAAAAUUGAAAUCCAUCUUUACCCUUUUCUUCUACUGCUUUUCAACUCCACUAGGGUUGCACAGCUACAUGAAUCACUUCGUUAAUAAAUAAAUAAAUAAAUAAAUAAAUGUAUACACGAGUAUUUGUUAUGUCGUCUAUGUUAGUGGUUCGAGAUGUCGUGUAUAUUUAAUUACAAAGAUAUUUCCAUAAAACAUUUAAUUGUUACGAUGGAUCUUAAUUAGUAUAAAUAAAUGCACAUUAAUUCUACGGCUAACUGGUGUUUCCUCUGGCUAAAAGGGACAUGUGAAUAUGUGAUUGAUCCGGAGCUUGCCCCAUCCAUGAGUAAAUACACUCAUCUUAAAUUGAGUAUCUGUUUCCCUCUUUUUCUCCAAUUUUUCUCUUCCUGAUCUAUCUAAGGAUUUAGUUCCUGAUGCUUUACUUAUAGCCCUAGGUGUUUCCCCUAGCUAAAACUAAAAGGGACAUGUGACUGAUCCAGGAGGGGACGUCGAUGCACGCAUUGUGGAUUUUUGUGAGUUGCUCUCAGUCUCUUUCACAUCACACAUCGCCAUGUAAGAACCUUCAAAUCUGAAAGACUUGUAUUAUUGUUGCUACUUGAAUGUGACGACCUCUUGUAUUAUUGUUGCUACUUGAAUGUGACGAUCUAAGAGGUACAAUUUUUUCUCUCAAUCAACUAUCGCCACUACUUCUUUCAAGAUUAGAAGGCGGCCGAAAAAUUUUCAUCCACAUAUAAUAGAGAAAUGAGAGAAAUGAUUCGAUACUUUCUUUUAUAAAAAAUAAAAAAAAAAUCUUAUCCGUCAAUCAAUAAAGAAUAAAGAUGUAAUUUUAAUAUUUAGUAAAGUUAAAAUCUUCAUUUGGAUUAUACUUCGCAAGAGAUUACCCACUGUGGAUAAAUUGAUCACUCGAGGGUGCCCUGUGGAUCAACAGUGCAUAUUUUGCGCGAUCUACCCAGAAAAUUAUGAUCACAUUUUCCGUGAUUGUGUCCUUGUCAGAUAUCUUUUUUGGCAUGAGGGACGGACAAAGCUGACGGAAGUACACCCGGGGGAUGUUCUGUGUUUAUGGAAUGACUCAAUGAGAUAUCUUGUAACCCCAACGCUGUGUCGACUGCGAAGAGGUUAACCCGACUGGCGGCGAUCUGGUGGGUUGUUUGGACUAAACGCAAUAAUACUAUCUUUCGCGACAUGCCUCCCAACGCAAACCGGGCCGCUGUUCGCGCUGAGCCUUUGUCGAAGGAUUGGACCGAUGUUCUGUGACUCUCGACUACACCUGCCCUAGUUACAUGCUUUUGUUUCCUUUUACAAAUUUUUGGCCUUUUUGUUUUUGUUUCCGUUGUUUUUUGUUCGGUCUUUCCAGGAGGCCCUAGCUGCUUCCACCUUGUAUGCGUAGUUCAUCAUGCUUAAUGAAUGAAGCAGGUAGCUUGCUAUCUUUUUCUCAAAAAAAAAAAUAAAUAAAUAAAUUCGAGCCGAACACGAGCGAGCUGAUCCCAAUUUGUGUUCGGCUCAUUAAGAUUUCGAGCUGAAAAAUUCAGCUCAUGUCCAACUCGUUUUUUAAACAAGCGAUCAAGUUUGAGCUUAUUUCGAGCCGAACACGAGUUGGCUUGCCAACUAGAUUGCUAACCCGACUUGCAACAUGCCUCAGGAGUCGGGAGGUCCUCAUGCAUCCGAUUAUUUGCAGUUGAUUUAAACGUAAUUUUCUAACUGAUUUCUAAUUAAUUGCUGAACUUCUGCAGCAUGUGUGGUACGCUUCAUUUCAUUUGAGUCAUGAGCGGAAUAUCUACGGUGCGAACUUAUUCAGAACGUAAAUACUCAAAAGGUGAAAAAAAAAAAACAAAAAACAAAAAACAAAAAAAGAGUUCAAUUUAAGAAUUUGAUGUUUCUUUCUCAAAUGGGCUAUACUCCUGUCUAAUAAAAAAUAACAAUAAUAAUAAAAGAAAAAGAAAUAGAAAGAAUUCUAAUUGGUUGGUAUUCAAGUUCCCAAGUUCGAAUCCUAGUUGAUUCACAUUUCCAGUUAAAUUUAUUUCUAAAAAAAAUAAACGAAGCGUAUAAUAUGCUACAUUUCUCUCAAAAANUUUAAAAAAAUUGUAAUGUUGAUAAAUAUUUAAAUUUAACAUAUUUAAUAUGUUUAAUAAAAUUAUAAAUUCAUCUUGUUUAGACAUUAAUUUUGUAUUACUAAUUUUAAAAAAUUGAAUGUGGGCAAAUAUUUAAAUUCGGCAUAUUUAAUAUAUUUAAAAAAAUUUAAGAAUUUUUCUAAUUUAGAUAUUAAUUCUCUAUCACUAUUUAAAAAUUUUAAUGUGGAUAAUUGAUUAGAAAUAUAGGGUAUAAUUCAAAUUUAUUCUUAGAAUAGAAUUAUAUGGGCAAAAUUAAUUCAAAUUUUUAAAUAUAAAUUUUAUCUUUGAAAUUUUAAUAGUAAAAAUUGAUCUUUUAAAAUAAUAAGAUCAUGUUUUAAAAUUUAAAAUAUAAGUUGAAAACAAAAUAAAUUUGAAGUUUAAAAGCUAAAUAGUAUACAAAAACCUCUAAUAAAUCUACAUAGUAUAGUGCUAUUUAAACUUACUAAUAAAUAAAUUUAGACUGUAUAAUUUAAAUUUUAAACUUAUAAUAAAUCUCCACCAUAGAGUUUUACUAUAGUAAACAAAAUUAGAAAUGUAGAUAAAUUAAAUAAACUUAUAUUAAACAAAUCUAAGCUAUUUAUAUAUUUUAUGAAUUUGAUCAGUCUAAUUAAUUUGAUUUAUUAAAUUGAUUUUGAUCUUAAUUUUAAAAUUUUUUAGUUUUUAGUCCAUUUUUUAAAUUUUAGUUCCUUACAAAUUGAAUUUGUAAAGAAACAAAGACAGAUAUAAAGGAAACAAAGAGAGAACAAAAAUAUUGAUAAUAUAGUAGAAAUAAAAUUACUAAAUUAUUUAUAUAUUAAAAGAUAAAAAUAUCCUUCCUUGAGAUAUGUGAUAACCGGUAUCUCUUCCAAAUUAGUGACCUACUAUUGCAUAUCACAAUUUUAAAAAAAAUUAAAUCUGAGCUAUUGAAGAUGAGUGAAUGAACGCCAGCGAAAAAUAACAGGUAUAAAAGCACUACUCCAUAUAAUAUUUCUACACCGUGCAAUUAUGCUUGAACAUGGAAUAAUAAUUUCAUUUAUAUUAUAGUAGUUUAAUUCACAUUGAAGUUAACUCGUUUAUAUGACAGAAUAUAUAUAUAUAUAUAUAUAUAUAUAUAUAUAUAUAUAUAUAUAUAUAUAUAUAUAUAUAUAUAUAUAUAUAUAUAUAUAUAUACACACACACACACACUAUGAGUUCGGCUACUAUAAUACUCUUAUAAGUAUAGAGCAUUUUGUACUCAUAAGUAUUUUGCCAUUAGAUCUACCCUUUAAUCAUUUUCAUCCGUUAGAUAAUACUAUUCAACUAAUCACCCACUCAACCCUAAGGGGCUCACUAUCAAUCUAAUCGUAACCACUCUCAUCCUAAACUUACAUUUUUUCAUCCGAAGGAUAAAAACUUAUGAGUACAAGGAGCUAUAUACUCAUAUGAGUAUAGUAGUCCCAGUCUAUAUACUAUCUGUAAAUAAUAUUUCUAGCCCAACUCACUAAAAGUUAUAGUAAAAAAAUUGUGUAAAAUUGGAAUAAAAGUAAUCCUUUGAGCACUCAACUUAGAAGAUCUCCUCAAUGGCUUCUUGGGUUGACAAAGUAAAAAAUUAUAAAGUUUCAAGGAAAAGUAAAAAAAGUCAUGAAGUGAUAAAAAUGUUUUACGAUUAUUAGAACCCAUGGCAGAAUCGUAAAUUGGGAAUGGGUCACAGCCUCGUGCCCGGAGUGUGUGACACGGUUGUUGUUUGGGUUGACGAAUUAAGAUCUACGUAGAACCUUUAUUUAUUUAUUUAUUUAUUUAUUAAAGCUUUUGCUUCAGGGACACGUGUCGAAAUCUGGGGUGUGGUUGUCCAUGAAAGUUGAUCUCUUCAGGAAGAAUAAUCUGCUUGGCUUUUCUCCUACCAGUCUCCCAGGAAUUAAGAAAGAGGGAGAUCGAUGCCCCUUCCAGAAACAAAAAAAAAUAAAAUCUGAUUUUAUUAUCUCUUAAAGUAAAUAUACAUCGACCAACUUAUUUUACUACUGGUGAUAGAGUGCUAGACUAGCUUGUUGUUUUUUUUUUUUUUUUUUUGGGUAAGGCAAAAUGUCUAGAAAACUCUCUCAACUGUAGGACAUUCCAAAAUACAUCUUCUAACUAAUUUUACUUUAUUGGUACAUGCUAAGAUUUUGAUUUUUCAGUUUACAUUGUUUUCGCCAGUGAAAUAUGAAAUUUUGUUAUUAAUUCAACCGCCUUCGAAUUCCUUUUUAGACGAUGAAAAUAUGAAUUUUGUUAAUUGUUGACGAACUGCAAUUACCAGAGGUGUUAAUUUAAACAAAACUUUAAUUUAGUCUAUAUAUAUAUAUAUAGGAAACUAAUUCAAAUUAAAACCAAUCAAAGGUUGAGUAGUAGUUUAAAGGGAAAAAAAAGAAAGAAAGAAAGAAAAAGUUUUGAGGGUUUAGUGCAAAAUGGCCUACGUUUGAGUGGUGUCUCCGUGCAUUUUAACCUUUCCUUUGUAUAUAAUAAAAGGUGUACGUAGCUUAAUUUGAUACAUAUAGGCUUAUGACAAUUGACAAUGCUUGGAGACUAAGAAAAUAAGGGACUAAAUUCCAACGAGACCUUCUUAGCUAAGAAAUUUCUACAUGUCAUUAUAUUCCCUCACAUUUCUCAUUGACAAAUAUUGGAAUUAAUUUAAUCAUCAAAUUGGAACACUUAAUUAAUUAACCUAGCAUUUAUUUUCACAAUGGUAAUCUUAAAGCCUUUUUAAUGUAGUUUCUCUUUUCUUAAUGCUCAGUGGUCACUCGAAACGUGCCCUAUAUUUUACUUAUUUAGUAGUUAUUCAUUGUCAUGUAUAUUUUGCUCAAAUAUUUAGUACUUCAAAAUCUAAACUGGAAUUAAACAUGAAAGCCUAAUUAAUUAGUACUUUUAUAUAUAUAUAUANCUUUACUAGUUUCUUUAUCUAGAUUGUCAUUUUUUGAAUACUCAUGUUUCUCAUGAGAUUAUCGGCUUGUGUGUGUGUGUGAGAGAGAGAGAGAGAGAGAGAGAGAGAGAGAGAGAGAGAGAGAGAGAGAGAGAGAGAGAGAGAUAUAUAUAUAUAUAUAUAUAUAUAUAUAUAUAUAUAUAUAUAUUAACUCAAUCUUAUGAAAAUGUUCAUAGUGGGGGAACUACGAUAAUCCAAAAUAGGUAACCUAAAUGAGGAACUAAUGAUUAUCGAGAACCUAGUUUGUGAUAAGGUGGAUGGUGGUGGAUGGUGGUGGAUGGUGAUAGUAGAGUUGGAGUGUAGAGAGGUAGGUUAUCGAGUUUUGAGUUUUCGUGGUGAAAGUAUCACGAAAACUUUCAUAAGAUCGAAAUGAGAUAUAUAUAUAUAUAUAUAUAUAUAUAUAUAUAUAUAUUUUACAUGAUGAGAUGCCGUUCUCGUUUAAGCUUUUAUCUCUCUCUACAGUUGCCCAGCCUAAGCCUCGCCUAAAAAUUUUUGAGCUUGGACUUGGGCUGAGGUUUGGGUUCUAGAUGGUCCAUCUCGCCAGAAGUACCUGCCACACGAUCACAGAGGGGGUUGCGCCCCCACAUUCUGGCGGGCAAAAAAAAAAGGAGAGUUUGGCUCGCCUUUUGCUUUUGAAACCAAAAAGAAAAGUAAACAUUUUAAAAAAAAGAUUUUAAAAAAAAUGCUCGUUUGUUUGUAAUAUUUAAAUGAAUAGUUGGCUUUUUUUGUUUAAAAUCCCACUAAAAUGUCCGUUCGGGAACUCAUUACCAAGAAAGACCAAUGAAUUAUUAAUUCGUAGAUCCGCAUUCAAAUCUGUGUACAUACUGGUAAGUAUAGAAUUAAUAAACCUGCAUAAUAAUAUUCGGUUAAAACAUACUGGAGUCAGAGGUUAACUUUGUUUAAUAAUACUAAGUUACAUAAAUUAAUAUUCUUCAGAUUACAUUUCAUGUAUUAAAUAUAAAAAAUUUUAUAUGAAUAUAAAUUCCAUGACGGGCAAACGGUGUAUUCAGUGGUUCUACUAAGAGAUAUCAUGAUUUCAUACAAAGAAAACACCCAGGUAUUCUCACGAUAAACUUAUUUGGAGAAGAAAUUUUCACCCGUUAGAUCAUACCAUUCAACCAACCACCCAGUUGAGUUAGAAUACUAUUGAUAGUAAACGAGCCGUUUUACUACCGAUUUGUUUUCGAUGAUAGAGCUUCCAAAUUGACGAUCGGCUCCGUUAAAUAUGAUCUAAACCAUUUAAACUACCUAGAAAUCAAAUUUCACGCACUUUCGAUAUUGUUAUUUUAUCCAUCAAGUGAACAGAAAAAUAAAUGGCUGAAAAUAAAUAUUCUUUAAAAAAUGAUGAUAGGAGUCUUGUAAUCAAGAUCAAGAGUAUAGAUCUUGUUUUAAAUAGUUUAAAUAAUCUUUUAACAAAAAUUCAAUUGAUUUGGAUACCUUUACGCCGUUAAACGAAAAAACGCCUCUUAUCGACCAUUAAAAUUACAAAGUUUGAAACCCUUUGAUCAUUAGACAAAUGAUGUCGAAAAAAUUUGAAAUUUGAUUUUUAAACACUUCAAGUGGUAUAGAUCAUGUUCAACGGAGCCCAUUGUCAAUUUGGAAGCUUUAUCAUCGAAAACAAAUAGGUAGUAAAACGGCUCGUUUACUAUCGAUAGUAUUCUAGCUCAACUCUCUCUCUCUAUAUAUAUAUAGAGAGAGAGAGAGAGAGAGCAUGAUCGAUCGGUCCCAUUAGACUUGAUCUCUCGUAUUUGAAGUAUCUAGAAAAUAAAUUUUAUCAUUUUUUACUGUCAUUUACCUAGCGAUUGAAAGAGUUCAAAAUCAAUAAUUUUUAAUGGUUAAUGUUUACCGUUUUCAAGUUUAACAGUGUAGAAGUACCCAAAUCAAGUAAAUUUUGAUAGAAAUUUUUUUUAUACUAUUUACAAUAAGAUCAAUAUAUCUGAUCUAAAAUUUUAGUGUCAUAUUACCAUUUUUUUUAAGAUUUUUAUUUUUAGCCGUUGAUUUUGAAAUCUUUGAAUCGCUAGGUAAAUAAUAUCAAAAAAUCGUAAAAUUUACUUUCUAAAUACUUUAAAUACGUCAGAUCAAGUCUAACGGAGCCGAUCGUUGAUUCAAAAUUUUCAUUAUAAAAAAUGGCUUGGCAGCACGAAGGCCUCCGUGCUCUUAAAAGCACGGCAACUCUCUCUCUCUCUUUUGAUAUAUAUAUAUAUAUAUAUAUAUAUAUAUAUAUAUAUAUAUAUAUAUAUAUAUAUAUAUAUAUAGUUGGACUGGGCUACUAUUAGUAGCAAAAUUCCAUUGUUGCUACCAGUUUUUUAGCCUUUGGAUCAACUCUUUUCAUUAUUUCUAACCAUUGAAUUAAAUACUAUAACCCAGUGGGAACCACUUAAUUCUAGGAGGACCACUCAACUCUAACCGACUAAUAUCAUCCUGACCUUACAAUUUUUCAUCCAGGGAUUAAAAACUUGAUAGCAAAAAGCACGUUUUACUAUUAAUAGUAUUCCAGCCUAAUUCUAUAUAUAUAUAUAUAUAUAUGGAUGGCUUUUCGAAAAGCCAAAAUCAAAAUUCUAAUUAUUACAAAUUUUAGACUUCUUUGCUAACUUUUGAACAUAUACGAAGAGUUCUUUAUUGCAAUUUUUUAUUUCUCUACAAAAAAAAAAAAAGAAAAAAAGAAAAAAAAGAAGAGGUUUAUUCAAAUAGCACUCUUAUGGACCCACAAAAGAAACAUACUUUAGUACUAUAGAGAAUCAUCUUGGUGACUUAUGUGGCAAACGGGCAGUACCUUAAAUAUAAGUAUAUUUUAAAAAAUAUAAAUUAUGUACUUUACAUUAGACUUCUUAUAAUUAAAUACAUUGAAUCAUAAUAAUUUGUUUCAAUUGGAGACUGAGGUCAUACAAAAUUGGCUUAUAAUAAUACGUCCAAAUAAUUAAGAUAUGAAUGGUCAUACAUGUGUCUAAACUUACGCCUAGAUGCUUAAUUAUUAAGUAACCAGAAAGAACCAUUACUCAAGGGCUUGCCUGUAAAAUCACCCUAAAAUUUGUUUUUUUCGGUUGAUAAGUAAAUUUAUAAUGUUUGUUUGCUCGUAAAAAAAAUUUUAGAAAAAAAAUUUUACAAAUGAAAAGAAAAACCAAAGUUUUCGUUUUCCGCUCGGUUUGAGAGGAAAAAAAAAACGGGCGGUCUUACACCCCCGCGUUGGGGGAGACACUAGCACACCGUCCAUGAAGACCGCUCUACCUGGUAGAUCUUGGGUUUGGAGUCGGGUUCAGGUUCGAGUUUUUAAAAAUCCGCUCCGAAUCCGACCCGUUGACAUCUCUCUCUAUUUUCGAAUUUGCUCUUGCCGUAGAGUAGUACAUUUUAUAUAUAUAUANNNNNNNNNNNNNNNNNNNNNNNNNNNNNNNNNNNNNNNNNNNNNNNNNNNNNNNNNNNNNNNNNNNNNNNNNNNNNNNNNNNNNNNNNNNNNNNNNNNNNNNNNNNNNNNNNNNNNNNNNNNNNNNNNNNNNNNNNNNNNNNNNNNNNNNNNNNNNNNNNNNNNNNNNNNNNNNNNNNNNNNNNNNNNNNNNNNNNNNNNNNNNNNNNNNNNNNNNNNNNNNNNNNNNNNNNNNNNNNNNNNNNNNNNNNNNNNNNNNNNNNNNNNNNNNNNNNNNNNNNNNNNNNNNNNNNNNNNNNNNNNNNNNNNNNNNNNNNNNNNNNNNNNNNNNNNNNNNNNNNNNNNNNNNNNNNNNNNNNNNNNNNNNNNNNNNNNNNNNNNNNNNNNNNNNNNNNNNNNNNNNNNNNNNNNNNNNNNNNNNNNNNNNNNNNNNNNNNNNNNNNNNNNNNNNNNNNNNNNNNNNNNNNNNNNNNNNNNNNNNNNNNNNNNNNNNNNNNNNNNNNNNNNNNNNNNNNNNNNNNNNNNNNNNNNNNNNNNNNNNNNNNNNNNNNNNNNNNNNNNNNNNNNNNNNNNNNNNNNNNNNNNNNNNNNNNNNNNNNNNNNNNNNNNNNNNNNNNNNNNNNNNNNNNNNNNNNNNNNNNNNNNNNNNNNNNNNNNNNNNNNNNNNNNNNNNNNNNNNNNNNNNNNNNNNNNNNNNNNNNNNNNNNNNNNNNNNNNNNNNNNNNNNNNNNNNNNNNNNNNNNNNNNNNNNNNNNNNNNNNNNNNNNNNNNNNNNNNNNNNNNNNNNNNNNNNNNNNNNNNNNNNNNNNNNNNNNNNNNNNNNNNNNNNNNNNNNNNNNNNNNNNNNNNNNNNNNNNNNNNNNNNNNNNNNNNNNNNNNNNNNNNNNNNNNNNNNNNNNNNNNNNNNNNNNNNNNNNNNNNNNNNNNNNNNNNNNNNNNNNNNNNNNNNNNNNNNNNNNNNNNNNNNNNNNNNNNNNNNNNNNNNNNNNNNNNNNNNNNNNNNNNNNNNNNNNNNNNNNNNNNNNNNNNNNNNNNNNNNNNNNNNNNNNNNNNNNNNNNNNNNNNNNNNNNNNNNNNNNNNNNNNNNNNNNNNNNNNNNNNNNNNNNNNNNNNNNNNNNNNNNNNNNNNNNNNNNNNNNNNNNNNNNNNNNNNNNNNNNNNNNNNNNNNNNNNNNNNNNNNNNNNNNNNNNNNNNNNNNNNNNNNNNNNNNNNNNNNNNNNNNNNNNNNNNNNNNNNNNNNNNNNNNNNNNNNNNNNNNNNNNNNNNNNNNNNNNNNNNNNNNNNNNNNNNNNNNNNNNNNNNNNNNNNNNNNNNNNNNNNNNNNNNNNNNNNNNNNNNNNNNNNNNNNNNNNNNNNNNNNNNNNNNNNNNNNNNNNNNNNNNNNNNNNCACCGUCCAUUUUGACAUAAUUUAUUUACUAAGUAAACGAUAUCGAAAAAAACUAAAAUUUUAUUUUUAAGAACUUCAUAUACCCUAGAUCAUAUUUAACGGUGUGGAUCGUUAAUUUGAACGCCCUAAGAUCGAAAAUAACACUAUAGUACGGGAGUUCCCGUACUAUAGAUAGUAUAGUAGCCUAAUUCUAUAUAUAUAUAUAUAUAUAUAUAUAUAUAUAUAUGUAAAUUUUAUACGGGACCCAUCCCAAGGAUUACAAAAUCUUUUCCUGUUCUAAGUAUUAAAACAAAACACCGAUAUAUAAAACUAGUAAGAAAAUAAUAGUUUUUGAUAAGUGAGGUGUAAGAUCUAUAUAUAGUCUAUAGAUGCAUAGGUAGAUAGUACUACUCAUAGUUAGAGUUUUCAGUGAAUAAUAUUAGAGGGCGAUGAUGGGUUCAUUCAAUUGUCCUUUAUGUCACUCUUCUUUUUUUUUUUGAGUAAAGGUGUGUCUGGUGGCUGAAAAUUUUUUUUGGAGAAAAAUAAAUUUUAUGCUCUUUAAUGUUUGAUUUGUAGGAAAAAAAAAUAAUUUUCUAUUACAGUUAUUUGAUUGAAAGAAAAAAAAAUAUAAAUAAAAAGUUAUUAUAUAUAUUUUCUCUUAUUCUAUAUAUUAUGUAUAAUUAAUAUAUAAUUGCAAUUGGCUCACCAUGGUCAUUAAAAUUAUUGAUUUUGAGCCACUUCGAUCACUAGGCAAAUGAUAUCGAAAAAUCACAAAAUUUAUUUUCUAGAUACUUUAAAUACUCUAGAUCAAGUCUAACGGAGCCAAUCGUCGAUUCGAAAGUCCGAACAUCAAAAACAAAGUGGAAGCACGGAGUCCUCCGUGCUUCCAUAAGCAUCCUAGCCAUAUAUAUAUAUAGUCCGAUUGGGUUACUAUCGAUAGCACCAAAGGAUUGGUGCUAUCGAGUUUUCGACCGUUAGGUUUAACCCUUUGAUUACUUUUAUCCGUUAAAUUAUACUAUUCAACCAAUCACCCACUCAAUGAUGGAGGCUCACAUUAUUCUAACCGCAUAUUUCUCAAUUAAAUGACUAAAAAACUAAUAGCAUAAAUAGCUUGGUGCUAUUGAUAUAUAGUAUUCUAACCUAAUUCUCUCUCUCUAUAUAUAUAUAUAUAUAUAUAUAUAUAUAUAUAUAUAAGCUAGGGCUAUUAUACUCAUAUGAGUAUAGCCCCUUUGUACUAAUAAGUUUUCGACCAUUGGAUGAAGAGAUGUGUGGUUAUGAUGAUAGUAGUCUUCGGUUAGGUUAAAAGCAGUCCGCUAGGGUUGAGUGGGUGGUUGGUUGAAUAGUAUAAUCUAACGGGUGAAAAUGAUUAAAGGGUAGAUCAAACGGUAAAAAAUUUAUGAGUACAAAAGGCUCUAUACUCAUAAGAGUAUAGUAGCCGGACUCUAUAUAUAUAUAUAUAUAUAUAUAUAUAUAUAUAUAUAAAAUACAAAAUAAAUUCGGAUUCGGGUCGGGUUCGGGUUCGGGUUCGGGUCGGGUACAAUCAAAAUCCAUAUCCGAAUUCAUAUUCGUCGGACUUUUAUUUUUUAUAUCCAUAUCCAAAUCCAUACCCAUAUCCAUCGGAUAUUUUCGUUUCAUUCGGGUUAAGGUUCUGACAAAAUUUCGGGUAUCCAUACCCAUUGACAUCCGUACUCGAAAAUUACCAUUACUUCUUCUUCUUCUCUUCUGUUCGAAUGGAGAGCUUAACCCCGGCCCGGCACCGUGGCCCUACAGUUCUGUCUGGGAGUCAAACCCAGAUUCCGAUCAAAAGCCAUGCUUUUAGUUAUUAAGGUGUGAAAAGAAUUCGUUUUUUCUUUGUGGGUCAAAUUUAUUCGCCCUCGACAGCUCAUUUUAAGAACGCAUAGCUAGCGAGGAAUACUGUCCAGCGAAUUAAACAUAAAACUUUGAAAGCAUUUUUCAUACACCUUAUCGAGUGGAGUUAUGAUUCCAACAUGUGAUCUUGCUUUCAAGAACUGUUAACUUUGCCAAACCAUGCAUGUUUCCUUUUUUUUUUUUUUUUUUUGUUUCCUUGUGCUUGUAAAGGUGACAUGAAAGAUUCCAAAAACAAUUAAUGGAGCUGGCUAGGUAGCAAACAAACCUUUGAUGUUACUGUCGCUAGAUUCUUCUUCACGCCAUUAAUUGGCUUCAAAUAGUAGAUUACACUCAAAAGUACUUAACCACAAUUAAUCCCCCUCCCCCUCCCUAGAUCUCUUUCUUGUUCGAUCUCCUUUCCCUUUCAAAUGGACUAACAAGAGAUGCUAAUUAAGCUUCGUCAUUUUGGACAAGGACAUACACUAAGAGCUUCAUUUAACCCUUUUGAUUUACUCAGCAGCCGACUUACCUUUAUCGUUACGCUUAAUUAACCAGUCAUUUUUCUUAAAAACAUCCCUCAAAUUUCAAGAAAAUUAACUUUUAGUUCGUACGUACGUAGAUAAUCCUUCUCUGAAACAUAUUAACCCUCGAAGUUACCUGUAUAUCGUAAAGUCUUGAGCUUGUUUAAUUAUUUUGCCCCACAUAUACAAUCUUUGUCAUUUUGUAAGAGCUUAAGAUUUUGGACGUAAAAAAAAGCAUCCAUGGUUAUAUAUAAUUUCGAGUUUAAUUAAUCCAUUCAAGUAAAAAGUUAUGGACUAAUUAAGUUUCAAAGCAUCGAACAUAUAUGCAAAAAAAAAAAAAAAAAAAAAAAAAACCUCUUGGAAAUACUUACUAAGUUCUUAAAUUAAUCUACUUAAGUGAAAGGUUAUGGAUUAAAUUGUAAUCCGCCAAAAGUUAAUUCGGAGUUAAUUACCAUGUGAUCGAUUAUACUACCUUACUAAAAAUUAAUAGUAAUACUGCUCUUUUGGAAGUUCUUAAUUAGCUAGUUGUAAAGUGACAAAUUCAGCUUGCUAAUCUUGACCAAAGCAAUUAGUACUUGCAGAAAUUUAAGCCUCCAUUUGGCUUCCCAGCAAUCAUUUUCAACCACAUGACUAAUUAGUAAGUGUCAUAUUUUGAAACACUCUGGCUAUCGACUUCGCCGCCGUCUAUGUAAGUUCCAUUCCAAGGAAGCGAGAAAAAUAUUUAUUUCCGUAAUAAAAAAAAAUUGGUGGGCAUAUUCGGUUGUGCUUCUACUUCUGUUUUUGUCGUGCAGAUAAAUAUACAGUCUUUAGUAGAUAUAAUUUUUCAAAAAAAAAAAAAGAGAUUGAAAAAGUAAGAGCUGUAAUUUGAUGUUUCUGUUUCUUUUGUAAGGAAAGUAGAGGGGAGGAGGAGUUGCAGGAAUUUUAAUAUGGCGUGGAUAUCUCCUGAUUAAUUAUAUCACUGCUCGGUAAAUAGUUCUAUUGUACCCAACGCAGCAGGACUAAUAACAAGCCUCUUAAGUCGAUUCAUGAACGUGUACAUCAUCGAUCUAUUUCCGUUAAGGGAAUCUUCUUAUAGCUAGGAAAAUUAACAGGUGCUCCUUCAGAUGAAUAAAAGCAAGCGUGCCUACGUGAAUUGCACGUGUGCAGCGCAUUAGUUGCGUAAUAAAUGAAAUUAUGAAAGUACCAGAUGAGGAAGCGCUAAAAAUGACCCGCGUUUGUUUUCUUCGAAAGAGACAAUUGUGAGUCGUUCCAAAGUACGUGGCAUGUUUAUUUUUCAAACGAAUUUGGUACUUAGAUCACAUUCCCAGUGCGAAGAUCAUAACAAUUUGGUCUCUCCAACAAUUAAACUUAAUUCUUUUUGGCCCGUCAUUUAAAAAGUUUGCUAAUAGGCCCCGUUUGGUUGGAGGGAUAAGCGGGGAUAAUGAAAGUUAUCCCCGCUAUUCCGCCAAACGGGGUGAAAUUUGGCCAGGAUAUUUUAUCCCGGUCAAACCUUGCUAUUCCCGAUUAUCCCGGAAUAGCAAGGAAUUUGCUAUUCCACCAUUUUGAUGGAAUAGCACUAUUCCAAUACUUAAUUUCAAACUUAAUUAAAAUUAUAAAUUGAAUUAAAACUAAAUUAUAUAAAUAUAAUAUGUUAUAUAUUAUAAUACAAUAUUUUUAUUAUAAAAUUAUUAAUUGUAAUAUAUUAAUAUAUAAAAAUUUUAUUCUUAUCCCCACCCUUGUUAAUUAUUUUUGAUAAAUAAUAUUAUUUAAAUAUUUAAAAAAAUUUUAAGAUGAAUUUGAAUUUAAAAUUUUUUAUUAAAUAAUAUUUUAAAUAAUAUUAUAAAUUUAUAUUUAUUAUACNAUCAUACUUAUUCUGCUAAAUACACCCAAAUAUGUUAGAGAUAACUUAUUUUGGUCAAAAAGGAUUGUUCCUUAUUAUUUUGAAAUAACCCGUUAAAGAACUAUUCUCCCUAAUAGGACUAUUCUUCAGCUUAUCCUUCGUCUAAUUGUUCUCUCUCUUCGCAACACUUUCCUCUAUUCUUUACUAUAGUUAAAACAAAUAACCAAACAUAAUUUUGACUAUUCUAGGCCCCCUUUGGUUCAAGGGAUAACGAAAGUUAUUCUCACUAUUCCGCCAAACAGGAUGAAUUUUUACCGGAAUACUUUACCGGAAUAUUAUUAUUUUUUAUUUAUAAAAAUCCACUAUCUUUCUUAAUCCAUCUUACCUAACCAAACGCUAUUUUUUUUAUUCCCAGGAAUAACCCAAUUUUCAUCCAAACGCAAAAUUGAUCUAAUCCCCGCUUAUACCUCAAUUUAUACCUAUCCCUGGAAUAGUCACUUUUUUCUUAUCCUCGAACCAAACGAUACCUAAAAGUUUAAAAUUCUGGCACCAAAUCUAAAGCCGAGGUUAAAAUUUAGGGACCAAUAUUGUGAAACAACCGUUGCAUUCUACAAGCUUAAGUUAUUAAAAAAUUCAGAGACUUUUUAUAAAUUAACCCAUUAGUGGGAGGAACUUAAUUAUAUUAGGAGCUUGGUAUGAUUCGAAUUCAGGGCCUCUAAAAGCUUAAGCUAGCUAGGGACCAGUAUUGUGAAACAAUCGUUAUGCUGUUGUUGAUGCCAAAAUUGAAAUUAACAUGCCGACCUAACCCACCUAUGAGCCAAUAAGGACACGUGGUACACCAGGAGUCGGCAAUAAGGCACCUAAAGAUUUUAGGCGGGAACGGUUGAGAAGUGGGGCGUAACUUCUACGAUAGGGCGUAACUUCUGUGAGUAGUGGGCGUAACUUCCACGAUCAUGGUUACAACCAUUCCCCCCACUACUUUCAACCAGUCAAUAAUGUGGGUUGAUAUUACUAUAAAUAGUAAUUUCGAAGCCUGCAAUAGGGGUCUUUCUCCCACCUAAACGAGAAGGCCACCUUUAUUUUCUCUACAAUUUUAUCGCUUUUCUAUGAGUAGUCUACAUGUAAUCUUUUUCUUUUCCGCAUUUACUGUUUUUCUAUGAGUAGUUUUUAAAUUAGAUCUUUAGAGUCUGUAUGCCUCACGGGCACAUUCUGUUGUAAACUAAAUUUUCAGAGUCUGUAUGCCCUUUGGGCACACUCUAUUUUAUUAAUAUAUAAAAGCAUUCGGCUCUUUCAGCCGACCGAUCACUAUGUAUUUCAUAUAUUCGGCUCAUCAGUAGACUCAAAACUCUAUGCAUUUUAUUAAUUCGGCUCAUCUAGCCGAACCGAUUCUACAGUAAAAAUUUUCGAACUCGGCUGAUCCUAUCUCUCAUCAGCCGAAUCGUUUGAUCAAUCAAAGGACGCGAACUUCGAUGGUCAGUACCAUAAACCGUUUUCAUCCCAACACGUUCCUCGAGGAGGAUCUUUGGCCGGGUCAAGGGUCGGGGAUUUCGGCAACCUAACAACUGUAAAAGCUUAAGCUGUUGUUUAUAUAUUUAUAUAUAUAUUUAACAAAUAUAUAUUGAUCAAAAUUGUGAAAUCAAUUAGGUACAAGUUCGCAUAUAUUGAAUUACUCGUGAGGAUGAAUUAGAAGCAUAAAGCUCAAACUUUGGGGACAAGACAAUUUCAUAUAUAUUAGGCCUUAAAAACAUUUGUAACAACAUAUUUGUGAUGUGAAAGCCUGAGUUAAUUUCACUCUCGGAGAGGUGCAUGAAAAAGUCAGAAUAUUACAACAGAAGAGAACCGUUAUAUAAAUUAUGGUGAGAAGAAUGGUUUUGUUAUGUUAGACUUUUCCCACCAAUCGAGGUCUACAUUUUCUGCCACUAAUGGUUGAGAUUGACAAAUUUUACGUCUCUAUUUUUUUUUUUUUUUUUCGAACUAUACAAUUAAUAUAUACUUUAUAUUAAAUAUUGCACACAUUUUUCAUGAGAAAACACCAAGAAAAAUGCAGCCAUAUAGCGACACUAUAAUUUAUGCUCUCUAUCUUUUUUUUUUUCUUCCUUUUGUUAUUAUCUCAAAGCUAAAAAUUAAGAACACAGCUCAAUUAAUUCUCAAAUUUAAAAUAUGACUAUGUCUCUUACCCGAUCAGAUAAGACUGUUAAGUUUUCUUAUUAGCACAUCACACACACAGACACGAGCAUAGAGAGAGAGAGAGAGAGUCCCUAAACUAAGGCUCUGUUUGGAUGUCAGAAUAAAAAUCUUCGCACGAAUCAAUUAUUCAGUAUAAAUAUUCUUUUUGUACGAUCGAUUGAAAGAUAACAAUUUUAUUUUUAUUCUUGAAAAACACUAGGCAUCCAUAUAUAAUUUAAUAAAACAAUAUAUUUCAUCUGCAAAAUAAUUUACUAGAAUUUAGUAUUCACGUUAAAUGGCAUGAGAGAUAAAUGAAGAUUAGCUAGAAAUGAAAAAUGCUCCUUAAUUAAAUGGUAGAAUAGUUACUUCCACAGAAAAAAUUAAUCUAACUAUGGAGAAAAAUAAAUUUGCAAGAUUCCACUGUAGAUAAAAAUUCUUGAGGAUAUACAACCCUCAAUUUCACUAAUUUACAGGAAUGUAUGGGCUUUUUAUUUUUAUUUUUUAACAACUGAGGCCCCUGUACUUUUAGCUUUGAACUUCUUUUUUUUUGUGAGAGAUAGGUAGUUCGCUAUCCGCUUUGUUUAUUUUAUUUAGAAAUAAACUUAGCUGGAAAUAUAAAUCAAUUAGGAUUCGAACUUAGGUCUUGAGUACUAAUCAUCAAAUCUUUUGCCACUUGCUUUAGGGACGGUCGGUAACUUUAUUAAUUUAUUAUAUUUGUCUUCCUCUCAUAGAUCACAUGUCUCUUUUCCUGCAUAUCCUGAUUCCUCUCUAUAAAAAUCCUCCUACCCAACCACCUCAGUUCCAUACUUAACUCUCUCUCUCUCUCUUCCUCCCUCCCACCCUUUUCUCUCUCUAUAUAUCUACAAAUAUACACGUCUUUUAUCUCUCCUCUUCUAUAUUAUCCUUAAUUUAUACACCCAUCAAAAUCUAAGCAAAGGUGUAAUAAAUUGCGCGAGAAUAUACACAGGAGCUAAUGGAGGACCAUGAAAGGGUCGCAUGCUCAAAGGGGCAAAGUGAUCAGGAGGAGGAGAUGGAGCUCAGGAGAGGACCAUGGACAAUGGAAGAGGAUCUUAUCCUCAUCAAUUACAUCGCCAACCACGGCGAGGGCCGAUGGAAUUCGCUAGCUCGAAGUGCAGGUACUAAUUAAUCACCUUUUUGUUCUUAUAACUAGUAUGACAAUAUUGAAAGAACAUACAUAUACACCACCUGCACCUGCGCUGAUGCUAGGGUUCCUUGCAACAUGAAUGAAUGAAGCCUAGCUAGUUAAUUAACUAAUCAUCUUCAUGAGAAUGUUAUUGGUGAUCUCUUCUUAAUUUUUCUCCUAUUGAGCUAAUUAAGUUGAAUAAUGGGGAUCUUAAUUACAUUUCUAUCUAUCUUGUAAUUAAGCUACAUAUAUGGGCCUCGGUUAAAGAAUUUUGUUUAGUUAGUGGAUAAGAUUAAUUAAUUACCAACAAAAACAAAAUAGUGCAUAUUGAAUUAAGAUCUCUUUUGGUUGUCACAAGUAAAAUGAACAGCUGCCUCCCUGCAUAUCUCUCUCUGUUUAUCUCUCUCUGAUCUAUGUAUGUUUGUACGUACGAAUGCGAUCGAUAUGUACAUAUCCAUGCAUAUAUAUUAUUUCAGUAACCUAAUUCUGAAUUUUCAUGAGCUUUAGGCCUAAAACGAACCGGGAAGAGUUGCAGGCUACGUUGGCUCAACUACCUUCGCCCCGACGUUCGGCGCGGUAACAUCACCCCAGAAGAACAGAUCCUCAUCCUUGAACUUCAUUGCCGGUGGGGGAACCGGUAAUGCCAUAAUUAACCUCAAAAUCUAAUUAUAUCCAAUAUACGCGCAUAAACAUAAGCAUAAGUCUACAUAUAUAUAUAUAUGUAUGUAUUUAUGCAUAAAUAUACGUGUAUGUAUAUAUAUACAUAGAUGUAAAUUUUCUGUGCAUAGUAAUUAGAAAAGCAGCAUAUUCAAUAGCAAGUACCAAUCUACAUCUUAAUUCGUGUCUUCAUUCACCGACCACUUUGCCAUUACAUGAAUGGGGACCAUAUGUAUAUUCCAUUAGAAUUGGACGGAACAUUGGAAUGUUGUGAAGAACAAUAUGGCCAAGAAUUCUAAAGUAAUUAACGAGUUUCUUAUCCUCCAAGGACCAAAAAAGGAUCCUCCACAAAUCAAACCUCGCACGUUUCUCUCUCCCUCUCUCUCUUCUUUUCUUAAUUUUCUUUUGAAUUAUACCAACAGGUGGUCGAAAAUAGCGAAAUACCUGCCUGGAAGGACCGACAACGAAAUAAAGAAUUAUUGGAGAACCAGAGUGCAAAAACACGCGAAGCAGCUCCAGUGCGAUGUCAACAGCAAGAAGUUCAAGGAUGCCAUGCGGUACGUCUGGAUACCCCGUCUUAUAGAACGCAUUCGGGCAGCCUCGGGCAGCACUUCUUUCGUUGCACCGGGCGUCACCGACCUACCCGUCACUUGCCCGGAGAUCUCCGACGCGUCCGGCUCGCCGCCUGACUCGUCCGGGACUUCGCUAUCCUCGCCUCCGGUUGCGGAAUUCUCGGAAUCCUUCGACAACUGGCAUAGCACCCUUGUGCAAGGGGGUGAGUUUAAGGAAGGUGAUGGGAUCCAUGAGACCCAAAAUGACAACGAGUGGAUUGAGUCAAUGAUGAUCAGCCAGGGAGGCUAUGGCAAGCAAGAAGUAUUCGAAUUUGAGGAAAGUGGAUGGGAAGGUGGGUUUUCUGACAAUUUGUGGAGUUUGGAGGACAUACUGUUCAUGCACCAAUAAAUUCAAUUGCAUGCCCUUUCAAAAUCUAUAAAAUAUCAUAUAUGCAUGUCUCUCUCUCUCUAAAUUUACAAAUUUAUCACAAAUGUCCCUGCCAUUAAUUUUCUUAAUUAAACUUGUUUGGAUUAAAAGGAUACUUACUAUAUGCUAAUUAAGUUAAUAAAGUGACAAUUUUACACUCAACUAUUUGAUCUUGUAGGGCAAAAUAUUUAUACAUGCUGUUUUUUUCAUUUAAUUUUACAACUUAUGGCACGAAUUUUUAAUCCCUUAUCAAAUGCGUGAUCUAUGUAUCACUUUUAUUUGAUUUUUUUUUUCCUUACAAAAAUAAUGUUAAAGUUAUAAAAAUUGCUUUCCUAUUGAUAAGCUUACUAAGUUUUUAGCUUAUUGGGGGUAAAAAAUAAAAUUUUAAAACUGAUCUAUUAAAUUUUAAAUUUGCAUGAAUUUUUACUAGCAGGGACGUUUAAGAAUAUUUUUGUANCUUCCAUUCUCAUCUUCAAUAAACUGAAUCUCAUUACUACGCUUCCUCCCGUUGGCCACUGCAUGGAAAAACUUUGUGUUGCUGUCUCCUUCCUUUAGCCAGUGCUGUUUAGCUCUCGUUUUCCACAGGAUUUCCUCCUCCUUUAGUAUGAGUUGGAGCUGCGCUUUAAGGUCUGCUCUUUUAUCCUGUACAUUCUGAGUCAAGGUCAUCUGUUCCUCUAAUAUCGAUGCACCGAAUUUCAUCCUGUAAAGAUCUUAUCGCGUUGGAUAUACUAUGAAAUUUAGUUUUGCACCAUUCCUUUAUCCUGUUUCUGCAAUGUCUCAGCUUCGCCGUUAACGUGAGGAUGGCUGACCUUUGACCGGGUACUUCGUUCCACCAGAUCGGUACAUAACUUGUGAAGUCCGCCCUAGUAAGCCAUACUCUCUCAAACCGAAACCUCCUGUGAGUGCGAAAAUUACCAAUAUCGAGUAUUAAAGGGGUGUGAUCGGAGGUAAUUCUAGGUAGCGCUAAUACCCUGCAAUGCGGAAAAACUUGGUCCCAAUCCGUCGAGACAAGAAAUCUAUCCAGUUUGGCCAGGGUAGGUGAUCGUUGCAUGUUAGACCAGGUAAAUUUUUGGUUGGAAAUAGGCAGGUCGAUGACUUCAAGAUUUGAGAUGAGGUCCGAGAACAUUGACAUCGCUUUCCUACUCGACCGGUUCCCGGUGCGUUCUGCCUGGCUUCUAGUAAAGUUAAAAUCCCCACAAAUAGCCCAUUUACAGUUGGAGCAAACCGAACCGAGGGCGAGGAGCUCGGCACAGAACUCUUCUUUUCCGUCCCAAGAUGGCGGCCCAUAUACAUUUGAUAAGUAAAAGCUCGUAUCACUGGUAAUGUGUUUCAAGUUGAGGGUGAGCGAGUGGUUGCACACCAACGCCUCCGUACAAACGAAAAACUUGGAGUUCCAACAUGUGAAAAGCCCGCCCGAUGCUCCCAGAGCGGGGAUAAAGUGACAUCUGUCGAAACUCGAGCCACAACAAGACCGAAGAAAGGAACGAGACACCGAAUCCACUUUAGAUUCUUGAAUACAAACCACCGAACAAAAGUGUUUGGAGAUAAUAGAUCUGACACUACGACGCUUACAAGGGUCGUUCAGACCGCGUACAUUCCAAGUAAUAAUAUUAAACAUAACUAAAACAACACACACCCAAAAAGCGGCCCAAACUCAUAGCUAGACCCACAGCAGAUCAACCACGCGUCAUAAACUUGUGGAGCUCCUCGGCUUCAACCCCCGUAAGCUUCACUCCACAAAGCGCACUUUUCUUCAAGACCUUUCUAAUAUUUCGUGAGCAUUCCGCGUAGGUUGCCCCCGAGUUCUCCCCUUCCAGUAGGAAUGCCUUCCUCUGUUUCGCCCGAUCAAGCGCCGACAAGGUACCUGUAGACUUCAGCCUCACGCUAGCUCUGGUUGACCCACGACACACGACGCCGGCUACCUCACCGGUCAAGGGGACCGUAUCGGGGAUCAAAGUGGUAACCCCUGACACUGUCCCCACCGGCGACCAGACGACCAUGGUGUCGGGCUUCAAAAUAACCUCACCAGCCAGAGAUCCGUGUAUCUUCUCCGCAGCGGCCAAGUGGGGAUCGAUGCUAACAGUGCUGUAGGUGGGGAUGUGCCCCGGUGCACGGUCCCAACUUGCCGACCCACGAAUGUCAGCCGUCACGUUCGAGUCGAACUCCAGUCCACUCGGCGGCCGAACGAAGACAACACCAUUCAAGACCGGCUCCCCCCCACAGCCUCCAGCCGUCGUUUCCGAGGGUAAAGUGGGGCAAAGGGGGCUUGGGUGAGUACCAGUAGUAAGGGGCCCGGAGAUCGAGUCAAACUCCAGUCCACCUGGCGGCCGGAUGGAGACGUCGCCGUGCAAGACCGGCUCCCUACCACCACCGCCUCCCGCUGUCGUGUCCAGGAGUAACGGGGGGGCGAAGGGGGCCCGGGCCAUUAACCGUGGCGUUGUCGUGUCCAGGAGUAACGGGGGGCCAAGGGGGCCCGGGCCAGUAACCGUGGUGAGGGGACCCGAGAGCAGCGGAGUGGUGCGGGGGCCCGAGAGCAGCGGAUUGGUGCGGGGGCCCGAGAGCAGCGGGGCUUCAACUAAAGAGAUAUGAAGCGCCCCCCCUGGUCCUGCAAUAGUGAUACCAGCAGGCCCCCACCGCAGCAGAAAACGAACUCCAGCUCCGUGUGGGCCAAGUCGACCCCACCCCGCUGCCGCUAGCGUGACCCACGGACUAGGUUCAUUCCCGGGCCCGUCUCCAACCCCGAGCCCAUCUGGAUCCGGUGCUGUGAGGGCCGUCUGCAUUCCCCUCCCCUCGAUAAAAUAAGAGGCCCGCGAAACAGGGCCGGGCCCGAAAGCCCCUGCUCUAUGCGGCUUCAGCAUGUCCCUUCCCUUAAACAAGUAAGUGGCCUGCGCAACAGGGCCGAGCCCUAUGCCAAGGGAUUCCGGGGUCAAGUGGGCCCGUAUCAUGCCAAAGUAGUCAGCCAUCCCCUGCCCGGUACUCGAGGUGGAUGAGGCGAUCACAGGAAUCAAGCUUGCCCACCUUUUCCAGAUACAGUAAUAAAUGCCCAGAUUCGUCUUUGCAGGACCCUUAAGCUCCGAACACGGAGCGUUGACAAAAAUUGUUCCUGUUGCCUCCGAAAACCCCCCGCCUGCCGCCCCGUCAGGUAUCCCAUUUAAUGCCACGUCAACCUCAGGCAAUUUCGAAAUCCAGACCGUUGGGCCACUCACUCCGACAAUCGCCGGGCCCUUCGUGGUCGUUUCCUCCUGACCCUGCCGUAGGGAGUCGGCCGGAGUUGAAGCAGAGUUCCAAACUAGCGAAGCGUCCGGAGCGAGGACAUCUCUCCUUCUAUCCCGAAUUUCUGACGAAUUCCAAGAGGCGUCCGAACUUGAAGAACCGGCGGCCGACGAGCGUCGCCCUCUUAUAGAUCCGGCCGAGCGACGAUGAUAUUCUGGGCCUCUCUGUGAAGGGUCGUGAUGAUCGGUCCGUUCGUUAGGAGGGUUGCGAGGAUCGAUGACAUCGCAACGGCCCCAUCUCUCGAGCUGGAUGAGCACCGAGAGCGAGUGAUCGCCUACCGUGAUUUCCAGGUUUUCUGGGAUGUCGGAGAGAAAGUUGACAGAGAUGAGACAUCGGUAUCCAGUGAGAUCCACCAUGCGUGACGAGAAGUCGUCCGCCCGUAUGAAGCGACCGAAUCCGCCGACCAACGCCGCCACCGUACGAGAGGACCAACACUCGUAUGGUAAACAUACAAGCCGGAUCCAAACGUUGUACGUGAGCGAAGCCCUUCGAAGCCCGUGAUAGGGAUUCCAGGGGAAGCAGUGUAAUCUCAGGUUGUCCAACGAAAGUAUCUCUCUUCGGAUCAGUAGGUCGGCCGGCACCCACUCCGGGAGGAAGAUCAGAAAGUCACGUUGACUGAACUUGGCUACGUGGAAAUCAGUCGGGAAGCCGCCAAAACGACUCGCCAUCUUGUUCGCAAUUGUCUCCUGAGGGAAAUGACCCAAGUUCUUGGGGGGAAGCACGUCAACCAGAAUCGCGUUGCGGCAGCGAUUCUGCCUGGUGUAGAAAUCUUCUGUCUGUGGUACAAACGCGCUGAGGUAGGACGGUCGGGCCCUCAUCUCCCUGUAAACCGCCAUUGGUAGCCGGUCCAUGCAGGCUCGUGCGACGUGGCCCGUCUUGAAGCACCGCACACACCGGAGCGGCGCUCGACAGCUAGCUGCCCGAUGGUUAGAGCCCAGGCACCUAAAACACUUCCCUUUGAAGAAAGAUUUGGGCGGUGUUUUGAAGACGGGGUUGAAGUUGGUGCUCUGACCACUGCAAGGGGCUCGUAGCGGUUUAUGUGUGGGAGAUAGAAGAGCAUCCUUAUACGUCUUGUAUGAACCUGAAGUGAAGGAGGGUAACUUCUUUCCGAAUCCCGUGUCAGAUCUCCCUCUGUUGUAAAUCGUCGACGUGUCAGUAGAUCGUGGAAUGGGUGUGGGGUCGCCAGGAGAACCAAGCGCUUUGUGAGUUAAUGCAAGCCCCACUUCGUCAGCCCACACCACCUUCUUGCUAGAUGCAGAGCCUCCUUCAAACCUUUGAAGGCCAGGGUAGUUGCCCUCUUUAACGCUAGAUUUCUUAAUUAUCACCGUUGAUCUCUCAGUCCAUCCUUGAGAAUGACCACUGGCCUCUAUAGCUGCAGGGGUAGCCGGCGACGACGAAGCGGCGAGUCUCUCGCGAGAACCCGUCACCUUACACCAAUGUGUAGAACAGGUAAGACCUCCUAUCUUCUCGAACUCUGUCUUCUUAUCCAAGCUCCGAUCUGUUACUCGAGCUUUGCCUUUUUCCUCUUCCUUACUAGCAAUCCGAUCUAAAACACGAGCUUUGCCUUUUAUCUCUUUCUCACCCGUCUUCUCCUUUUUCCGUUCACCACCAUCUUCCUCACCAGCUCUCACUUUUUCAUUAGCAGCCAAGAACUUGGUGGAGACUUUGCGGAGCUUGCCGAGGACUUUCGUGUGGGGCUCCGCCACCAUCUUCCCUUUUCCUCUAUUUACUUCUUAGACAAGUAAAAUAUAUAUGGAUGUUAUCAAUGUGAUUAGAUGGUUUUAUGUAAGAAGGAAAUAUUUCUUCAUUCUCCCGUGUAAUACUAAUAAUAAUAAUAACCAUAAUACUUAAUUAGGUGAUAAUGGGCGAGAUAACUUGAUUAAUCAAGUAGUGUAUAUAAAUGAAAACACCUCUUAGGCCCUUUUUUUUUUUAUUGUUUUAACCACACAAAUAAUUUAUACUAAUUAUAUCAUCUCUAACAAUAUAAUGACUUAAAAAAAAAAAAAACAACUUUUUGGUAUUACUGGUAUUAUUAUCUUACUAUAAUAAAAUAAACAAACAUUUCUCCACAAUGUCCAAAUAAAAGAAAAAAAAAAGAAGAUAUGUACAUAUUAAAAAAAAAAAAAUCAUAUUAGAUAGAUCAAACAGAACGAAAAAGAUAUGCACAUAUUAAAGAAGUAUAUUAAUAUUAAACCCAAAUAAGUCCAAAUAAUAAGGAUGGUCAAAGAAAAUAUUGAAAAUGUCACAAGAAGCAUAUGGAUGGAAAAUCCCCUUUGUGGGUACAAAUUUUUCCCAACCUAACUCUCACAUAUAUAUGGUGGAGAUCAUUUCGUGUGCACUCUUUCUCUCUCCGUAGUCUCCUUACACUGUUCGAGAACGAAGGAGUAGUACUUCUGGGAGGGAGAGCUCCCCACCGCUCCAUCUCCUUCCUCCUCCCUUCUACGACGAUCUCAUCGGUUUAUCUCUUCGAUCGGCGCGUCUGUAAGCGAUUUCUGUGGUUUUUCCCCCUUUUUUUUUCAUCUCGGAAUCUCUAAUUCGUCCCCCUUUUGAUCCUGUGGCCACUUUUUCCUGCUAAAGUCGCCGUUUUGGCAUCUGGGUUGGGCUUGCUUCCCGAUUCUGUGAUUUGGGUCUGCGUCAGAACUUCACAAAAUUGAUGGGUUUUGCGGUUUGGGAAUUGGGCGUUUCGUGGGAUUUGGAUGAUUCUUGAGUGGGAGUUAAGAUUGAUGUGCUUGAUGUAUAGAAACCGACAAGGCUAUGCUUGAAUUGAGGUUUGUAGCCACACAUUUGUGUUGGUGAAGUGACCAGUCACUUGUAGAAAUGGAGCAUUGACAUGUAAUCAGAACAGUAGAUUACGAUAGUUGAAGAUGAUAUUAUGAACCGCAUAUCCAAACAAUCUCGAUUUUCAUCUUCUCAGUUGCAGACAAUGCGUAGAUGUUUUUCUACAUAACUCUUCUUGUAAUAAGUUAUUUUGUAAUCAACUUUUUGGCGCACCUCUGAUGUUUCGGCACAUAUCUUAAUCUUCUAUAUUACCAUGUGCUUACUGCAUUAAUAUGCAUUUCUAGCUCAGGCAUGCUUGUACUUGUUGCUUGCAUCUACAGGUGCUAGCUCCAUUCAUGAAAUAUGGCUGGCAAUACGUCGGCCCUUAUACGGUGUCGCAAAUUGAUUAGAGUACCUCCUUAGCGGUACAACUCUGCAGGGAUAAAUGGCUCGGAAAGGAGGCCAACACAAGAAUGGACUGCAUCGCAAUGUACCUAGCCAAAAAGGCAAAGCUUCAGAACCAUUAUCAAAACAGAAGCCAAAGACGCAUGAAAGAAAGAUCGUUGAUACAGAACCUCUAGUUUCUGAUCAUGGAGCGGGAGGUUUUGUGGAAAACGACAUAGUUUCAGAUGUUUCCACAUCAAGAGGGGAUGACGAGAUAGACUUUUCUUUCGAUCACAAUCAAAAUGAAGAAGAAAACUUGAUGGACCAAAAUGGGUCUUCAUAUGCAGUGGCUUCUCAAAGGUUAAGAGCUUUUCUGCUUUAUCUCAUGAAAAAUGUAAAUGGAUGGAUAGAACGGCAGAGACCAUAUUUCUCAGCUUUUACAACCAUUUUAUGUAAGGGCUGUACGUAUGUCCGCAAGAAAUUCGAGCAUGUUCACCCUGUUAUUUGGACGUGGAUGUUGUACUUUGGAAAAUUGGUGCUGCUUAUAUCUAUGGUUUGGCUCGACUGCAGUAUAAGAGGUCUCGAUUCUUUACUGCGAAUGGGAACAACAUCCUUCUUUACAGUGCUUUGGUGCAGCUUCCUCUCAGUUUCUGCGAUGAUUGGAUUUGUUAAAAUGCUUGUAGUCAUGGUUAGUUAAACUGCGCAAAGUUGUUAAAUCUCUGAUUCAAAUAUAUACCUCUGUUAUUACCUUGUCAAUCGAAAGUUUUAGUUCUUACUAAAGUUAUCUUUGGUUCAGGUAAUUGCUGCCUUGGUGGCUGCAUUCAUUGGUCUAGGGCUUGCAAUCAUGUUAACUUCUAUUAUUGCAAUAACAGUCUUGUGGAUAUAUGGAAGCUUCUGGACAACAGCCCUUGUCAUCCUUCUAGGAGGUUCAUAUUUUACAUAUUUUUUUUAAAAAAAGUGUUAUUUUCUAUAAAUUAUACAUCCAUGAAACAUCCUUCACCUUUUAACUUUUAUGUAUUUCUUUCAAGCAUUAACAGAAUUUAGCCUGUCCUCUAAAAUGCAGGUGCUUCCUUUGCAUUGAGUCAUGAACGAAUUGCUCUUCUCGUGACCACUCUCUAUUCCAUGUAUUGUGCAAGAGGCUACUUGGGAUGGCUUGGCUUAAUUAUGGGCCUCAACUUGUCUUUCAUUUCGAGUGAUGUUCUAGUACACUUCCUAAAGAACUACAUAAAUGAGCAAAAACCUAGUGAGCAGGGAGAGCCACAUAAUGAAAAUCAAGGUGGAGAAGGUCAUUUCUAUGCAGAACCCUUUCAUUCUUCGCAAGAAGCCGAUCGCAGUGCUGGUGUUCCUUCAACUAGUGGAAGCGAGAAAGAGUUGACAUCUGAAGAGGAAGUUGUUCGAUUGUUGAACUGUACGGAUCACUAUUCGGCUUUAGGAUUGCCUCGUUAUGAGAAUAUAGAUGUUUCUUUACUCAAAAAGGAAUACAAAAGAAAGGUAAUAGCUAAAAUAAUCUCUAGUUGUUGAUUUCUAAAGCCUUAUAUUUUACUAUAUAAUUAGCAUAAGCGCUUGAGAUAUUUACAUAUGUACUCCUGCAAAAUUAUCUACUUCGGAUGACUACCCAACUCCAUAUAAUAUAUAACAACCUGCAUUAUCCAGGGGUGUAUACGAAGAUUCAGAUUUACAGUGUUAUAUAUAGAACUAAAUAAUAUGCUGGGAUAUAUGUAAAAGAUAAGCACUUUUUAAUUUGUAAUUAUAGUUGCAAUUUACUUUUCUAGGCAAUGCUUGUGCAUCCUGAUAAGAAUAUGGGCAAUGAGAAAGCUGCUGAAGCAUUCAAGAAGCUUCAAAAUGCAUAUGAGGUAAGUUUUGACGAUUCCUUUGUCUUGUAUGCACUCUGAAUCAAAUCAGCACUUCAGAUUUGUAUAUUUUUCUAUGUUAUCUCUUAUUGCAGUUUAAAUCUUUAUUUCAGGUUCUUCUAGAUUCUCUGAAACGGAAAAUGUAUGAUGAUGAACUGCGGAGAGAAGAGCUAAUAAACUAUUUCCGGAGGUUUCAGAAUGCUUCUCAGAAGGUCUUUCUCUAAUUUCUUUGAUUGGUUUUUGACUAAUUUAUAAAGUCAAGUUUUUAGCCUCAACAGAGUUUAGUUGAAUUCAUAUUUAAAGUGCCAUAUGUUAUGUGCAAAACAUGAGAAUAACACAUGUAAAUCGCAUAUCUUUCUUAGGAAAUUCCAGCCCCUAAAGUCUUGUUGAAGAAUGCCUACACUAGAACACUAUAAAACAUUAUAGUUGAAUCCAUCUAUAGUUGAAUCCAUCUAUCUGAUAUGAAUGUUUUGGCUUUAGUUCUCGAUCGACAUUCAUGAAAUCUUUACUAAAUUAGGCCUGCAUAUAGUACAGAUAUAUUGAUAAUAUUAUAUAUGUCGUCCGUCAUUAUAAUGUGCACCAUAUAUAUACAUAUACAUACAUACAUACACACACACACACACACACACACACACACACACACACACACACACACACAUAUAUAUAUAUAUAUAUAUAUAUAUGUAUAUUAAUCAUCAAGCCUCUUAUGAGUUUAUCAUGUGUUAUAUUCCAGGUCGUUGAAUUAUAUGCUGGCACACAUAACCUUACAUAAAAGAAGGGAGAGAGAGAGAGAGAGAGAGACGAGAACAUUAUGGUCUUUCUUUAAUACCUAUGCUUCACGUUAAUAAUCUUAAAUGGAAAGGUUUGAAAAUGCUUUUAUUAGAUAUGGCAAGCUAGUGUCACAAACUUGAGUUUAGCCUUUUUUGCUACAUAGUUUAGGACUCAUAUUGUUAAGUUGUAAGUUGCUUACUCUAGUUAGUAAGUUGGAUUUCAAUUCAGUAUGAUCACCAAGUGAGACCAUCUUCUUAUUCUGUACAUAAUUUUUGCAGUCCUUGGUCCUAAUUUGUGUUUCCUUGAUAAUGUUUUUAAUUAGUAAUUUUUUGUUCUUUCAGAAGGGAAGACAUGGUAAUUUUAGAUCUGGGUUUGGUCAUUCUGAAGUUGAUGGUGAAGGCCCACGUGGUGGUGGAGAAUCAAGAAGAAUAGCUUGCAAGAAAUGCGGCAAUUUUCAUCUCUGGAUCUGGACAGAGAGGACUAAGUCUCAAGCCCGGUGGUGUCAGGUUUACUUUUACUCUUCUUCUUCGUAAUGCAUUGUUUCUGCAUUCUUGUCCUUGCAAAUAUGUGAAUUGUGCAAGUAAUCCUGUAAAGUUGGUAUUUGCAUGCGCACAACAUAACUACGCCGAUGAGGUUUGUAUAUUUUCUUGAUACCCCCCUUGCACAGGCAUGAAUGCAAUUAAUUAUACUUUUCAGCGGCUCUGGUGCAAAUACCAAGUGUUAUUUUACAAAUAACUGCAUAUUUGCAGACAUAUAUAUGAAAACAAAAACAUUAGCAGAAAACAGUUGCAUCAGUCAUGACUUUUCAUGAAGUAUAUGUAAGAUAUGGAUCCCAAAGAUCUAAAAGGUAAAUAACACCUAGAGGGGGAUGAAUAGGUGUAAACGGCAAAAUCAAAACUCCCAAUGCAAAUUUAAAGUAAAAGCGGAAAUCAAAAACAACACACUGAGAUUUAAUGUGGGAAAACUCUAAUUUGGAGAAAAACCCACGGGACCGAUCACGCGAAAAAUCCACUAUAGAAACAAUUGAGUACAAGUGAUUUACCAAAAAUACAUGACUCAAUUUACCGAAUCCUCGUUGUAGAUUAUCUUCGCCGGUCCUCGAUCGAUCGAACUCUUUCAACCGAUCACGCUACAACCCCUCGCGGUAAACACGCCUCGAAUCCACGAAGCGCCCACCGAAUCCACGGCCUUCACGUGAAGUCCACGCGCCAAUGCUCCAUCCGGAGCUCGAAGAAUUUUAAUACUUUGUGGUGAUUUAAAAACUUAGAAAGCACAUAUGAUAUAAGGAGAAACCCUAAUUAGUUCAUCACCAAUCUAAUUCUCAAAGAUCCAUUGAAAUUGAAAUAGAAGAAUUGAAUCGAUGAUCAAAACCAAAAAACUUGAUUUUCAAAACAUUGAUCGAAAACUCUAAAACAAGCUCUUAGGGUUUCAAAAAGGUUUUCUCUCUAAGCUCACAUCAUAUGGGGCUCCUCAUAUCAUAUUUAUAGGUUUAGAAGACUUCUAGAAAGACUAGGAUUUUAAAAACACAAUUUUAAAAACUGACGACGGUCUCAGGGUCCGGACUUCCCGAGGGUCCGGACCUUGAAGGUCCGGAUCGUGAAGCUAGGGUCCGAACCCUCUCUGCGUAUCAGAAAGUAUAUGAUACGGGGUCCGGAUCCUAACCCGUGAGUCCGGACCCUUGCUAUGUAACAAGAUUAUCCUAAUACGGGGUCUGGAUCCUAACCAGAGGGUUCGAACCCUCGCUGCGUGACAAGAUUAGCCUGGUACGGGGUCCGGAUCCUAACUCGAGGGUCCGGACCCUCGCUGCAUACACGCAGAGAGGACCUACGAGGUCCGGAUCCUCCUUAGGGUCUGGAUCUCGAACCUUGAAAAACUCAGAAUUUUUCAGUUUUUAUAUUUAAAAACAAUCCUAAGUCUUCUAAACACUUUUACUCAAGUAUAUUUUCACCACAAACUAGUAGCCUACAUACCUGAGUAAACGAGCAUCACGAAUGAGUCUUUGCCUCACAAGUCUUAUAAUCUUGGCUUCAAUUCUUCAUCUUCAACUUUUCAAGACUCCAUUCGACUUCACAAAAUCCACCAACUUAGAAAAAUCCUUAACCGUGUGAACUUCUUCUGCAUUGCAGGAUUGCAAGGAUUUUCAUCAGGCUAAAGAUGGCGAUGGAUGGGUUGAACAGUCUUUCCAACCCCUUUUGUUUGGGUUGCUUCAAAAGGUACUUGUAUUUUUUUCUUCUUCCGCAGUUCCUGUUUUUUAUCCUAAUAGAAAAGGGUUGCCUGUUUUUAUUUUUGAGCACCUCUUAUGCCAUGUGGUAUAUUUAUGUCCUUAACAUGUUGAUUUUUUAUUUGCAACACCUCUUUUUGGCAAAUUCCUUUUAUACACUGAUAAAAUCUUUUUACUUACAUACUGAACAUUCUUAACAUUAUAUAUUCACCUUGCAAAAACUUUGCUUGUCAUAUCUAUCCUUCGUACUUGCUAAACUUUCCCAUUCUAAAAAACAUUCUGCAAUUAAUUUAAAAUGCAAUUAUUUUAAUCCCAAGGAUAAAGUAGUUCUGGGGCUUGGUAAAACAGAAUCCAUGUGUCAUCUUGGGAUAAUCUGUUAGGCCUCUGAUAACUUGUCCCAGUGCAAAAGCAAAUGUCUCGGAAACAACUGGAUAUAAGCUCACUUAUUCCAGGUUUAUCCCCGAAUCAAACAGGAUUUAAGAAACUGCAUUUUUGAGGGUUAUUUGAAUUUUACAGUGUCAUAUAUAAAAAUUUGAUUUUGCGGGGAUAUAUGUAAACGCCCUAAUUCUAUUUUAUUUUUUUAUUUAAUGACUAUGAUGUUUACCGUGUUUAUUGGAUGCUAUGUGUGUAGAUGGAUCAACCGUGUGCAUAUGUUUGCGCGGGGAGCAGGAUUUAUGAUGUUACUGAAUGGUUCAUCUGUCAGGUACAUAAUAUUCAGCCCAGCUAGAUAUAUCAAAUGUUUUCACCAUAUCUUGCUAUUUUAGAACAUUUCUUCUCGCAAUCGCACUUGUAUAUAUAGUGUAAUCCAUGCUGUAGUUUGUUUUAUUUCUUGUUCUCUGGCGUCAUUUUGCAAAAACUCCAAUUUCUCUAUGCAUGCAUCUUUAAUAAUCUCUGUUAUUUCAGGGAAUGAGAUGUCCAGCAAACACUCACAAGCCGAGCUUUCAUGUCAACACCAACCUCACGAAAUUAAGUAAUUCGAAGGGGAGCAGAAUGCAAAAUGCCAAUCUCGAUGAAACAAUGACCGAGGAGGAAUUCUUCGAGUGGUUGCAGAACGCGGUGCAGUCGGGAGCAUUUGAAUCCUUUAGCACGGAAAGCGAGAGCCCUUCAGCUCAAAGCGGAAGCUGUUCGAAGAGCGGCCUCAAGAAGAAGAGGAAAGGGAAGAAGCAAUGGUGAACUGGAAUGGAGAUUGUUGCUGCGCACAUUAAAGAGCUUUAUGAGAAAAAAGUGGGGGAAUAACAGGAAAACUGUAGAGCUCCAAAAUGUUUGGGCUUGAUCGUGCUAUCAUAAUUUUGAUCCAAGUGAUGUAGUUUUUCAGUUGAGAAGGAGAGAUAUAAUCGCUUUCAAAUUUAAGCCAUGAUUCUAAUUUUCUCUCUUUUCUAUGAUUUCAUGAAACAAGACAUUGUCGAUCCAAUCAUCAAUUCCGAAGUUCAUGUACAAGGUAGUGAGAAAUAACAAUUUUUUACUGUUAAAAGUAUGUGGAAAUAUCUCUGUAUUUUCUUUCCUUAUGUUAGGGUGAGCUUCACAAUCUGAGGGAAGGGCUGUCACAUUCUCUCCAUGCAAAUAAUGUCACUCGUCUUUUAGUAGAAUGAUGAUGAAAUGCAUUGCCUCCCUCGACAAUUUUGUUGGCUCUUUUUUUCUUUUCUUUUUGCUUUUGGUUUUGUUUUUGUUUUGGUUUGGUUUUGUUGUUCUUGUUGUUGUUGUUGUUGUUGUUGUUAUAAAGGAAAGGUAAGAGAUGUUUCUGCGUCUGUAAUAGCUUCGUUAUAUCGGUUGAUGCUUGUGGAAUUUGUGUGGGUUUGUUGCUCCUUGAUUGAAGAGGUGAAAAAGCUCUGGACCAGCGAAGUGGUUUUUUCACGAAAAAAGAAAAAAAAGUUAAAGAAAAAUCUGCAACUGUUUGCAGUAUCUAAUUAUACCUCUGAGCAUAUGUAAUCUGCACCUACAGUUUUUGCGUAAUUUGGAUGUGUUCUUGAUAUGUACUGCCUUUUUUUAUAUAUAUGAAGUCUUAAAAUUUUAGUAUUUUGGAGCUUUCUGUUAUGUUCUUCGAUUGUUCAGUGGAGAGUAUACUCGAGCAAAAUUAAUCAGAUCGCCUUAAAUGGAAACGAAAUUCAAACUCUCAUCUUCGCGUUUGCCUCCGUAUAUCUAUGGAACUAGAAAAGUGGUUGGUGAAUGAUUUAUCGUGUUCACAAAUAAAAUAAUAAAUAAUUUGUUCUGUCACGGUGAUCAUCACUACUUUGGGCAGGGGGCAAUCCUGUAAAUAAAUCUUUUAACAGGGCCUCCUGGUAACCCAAAAAAAAAAAAAAAAAAAAAAAAAAAAACCCACCUUAUCUCCUGCAUUAAUACAUCUCCGACCUUCGCGUUGUAACCCCUUCCCCCCGAGCACUCCAUUUCCACAACCAUGGAGGCCACUCUCAUGGCCUCAUCCUCGUCGUCCUCCUCCGCUUCUUCUUCGAUUUCGCCCACUAUUCCACGCGCCCCCUCUCUACGAUCCUCUCAUGGAGAGAGGUUAAUCUCUCAAAGAGUGUUAUUCUCUACUGUGUUCCCUUUUCAGAAGAAGCUCUUCGCCCAAGGUAGGAGCGAGAGGGGGAACCUAUUCAUUGCUGCCGCGAAGAAGAGAAAGGAAAAGAAGCCAUUUGAUUCCCACAGCUUUGUUCCCAAGCCGGAUGAGGCCACCGGGCCCUUCCCAGAAGCCGUUUUGCUUAAAAAGGUGGGAUUUUGGAGUAGACCCAUUGCGAUUUUCCCUUUUCUUUUGGGAAUCUUUGGCUUAUUUUUGGUGUGCAAAUGCAUAUAUUUGGUGAUUGAGCUUUGGAGGUUAAUGCUUGCCUUUUAUUUUGUUCCCCGUUUACAUGCCUUCUUUUAAGAACUAUUAGCGUUUGUAGUAAAAUUUGGGGCUCAUUUGGUUGUUGCUUGUUGGUUAUCUUGCAGAAAACAAUCAGAGAAGAUGGCCGAGUUUUACCCGAAUUUGCCGAUGCCGAAGAAGGUCGUAGAUUUUUUUUGUCAUUUAGAUUUUUCAUUUAUUUUUUUCAGUUUCUCAUGAGAGUGCAAUUUCCCCACUUUUUAACACUGAUUAGUGAAAAAUAUCUUUGUGGUAUGCAGAGGAGCUGUUUGAAUUCCUCAGCCUCCAGCUAGAGAGCGAUUUAAAUGUCGAAAGAAGUGAGUUCUCUAAUGCCUUCUAUUUAGUAGUUUUAUAAUGUGAUCACAAUCCUUGUUAGAAGAUACAGCAUGAAUGAAGCAUACUCGCCGUGGGUUCUUUCCUUCUGAUAGAAGGCUAAUGUGCUUAUCCUGCUCUUUGUUCUCUUCUUUGUAUUCAUUGUUUUUCUCUCUGAAGGUCGAAUUUAGGAAAGCCUCUAAACAGUUAGGGAAGCAUGAAAUUGAACUAAUGUCAGAAAAUUCAACUAGUCAUGUCGCGGAGAUAUUUGCCGACAUGCGAACCAAAUAGAAAGAAAGCUUGUUACUAAUUGAAACCAACUUCGAAAAUGUCCCUCACAAUGUGUUGUCUUGUUUUGUGAAGUAGCGAGUGGCAGCUCCUAUUGUAGCGAUGAGUAGGUGUGGUUCUUUUUAUUCUGUGUAUUUAUCAACCACUGUUUAUUUCAAAGUCAAUGGUUCCGACGGAGCUUGUGUUUUUCGAGCAGUUUACAAGAGGUCAGAUUUGCCAUUGUGCAUAUAAAAGACAUUCUAGUUUCUAUUAAAUGUAGAAUUACAAAUAAAUUGGUGGACGACGAAGGUAGAAAAGUGAUUGAUAAUGAGACUUUAGAUGCUUCUUUCUAUAAUUUUGAUCUCAUCCGUGGGCUCACUGCUUGUGUUCAUUGCCAGUGCGCCAUUACGAAGUGGUCUAUUUAAUCCACCAAGACCGUGUAGAUGAGGUGGACAGUGUUGUAGCGAAAGUACAAGGUACAUUUCUGUCAGAAGUUCAUUUCCUUAUUUAUCACUGUGUAAAUUCAAUUGUAUGAUUAGUGUAACUUCAAGUUAUCGAGUGAUUGUUGCUACAAACAAUUUGGUAGUCUUUGUCCCAUUUGGCUGGGAAAAAGCCAAAAAAAAAAAAAGGAACGAAGAAAGGAUCACCAGCAUAUCAUGGAAGUGGUAGUGAAUAGUUUAUAGACUUGCAUGAGAUUUGCUCGACUCUUUCAUGGAAUUUGUUGGUCAAAUUUGUGCUUUUACUUGCCAAUUCUGUUUCAGUGAGGUGUUCGUGCGUCAUGCAUUUGAUUACUGUUUGAAACCACACUUUCGGACUAGUGAAAUGCUUAAUACAUAGUCCAUGGCUUAUCUCUGUAUGUAUCUUCCUCUCUACCUCUUAUGGCAGAGUUUGUUCGAGAGAAGAAGGGCAGGAUUUGGAGGCUAAAUGACUGGGGGCUUCGAAGACUCGCAUACAAAAUCAAGAAAACGACCCAUGCGAACUACAUUUUAAUGAACUUUGAAAUUGACGCGAAGCAUAUCAACGAUUUCAAGAGCGUGCUGGACAAGGACGAGCGGAUCAUUAGACAUCUUGUUAUGAAGAGAGACGAAGCCAUCACAGAGGAUUGCCCUCCGCCACAGGAGUUCCACUCAUUGCGAGCGCAAGAAGGGACAGCAGAUGGUGAUGACGAUGGUGGUGAUGAGUUAGAUUUGGAUGGUUAUGAUGAUGGUGAUGGGGAGAAUAUUGUUGUAAUUGAUGAUGAUUAUGAUGAUGAAGAUGAUCAGGGCACUAGAAGCGGGAGAACAUCAAAAGCUGAGAAGAUAGCAAUGUAGUUCAAUUGUCGUUUUCUUUUUUUUGUUUUCUUUUUUCUCUCUUAAUGUUGUGAGAACACCUCUUAUUAGGCGAUGCGAUAAGUAAUGGGUAGCUAGUCUUUGGCUGGCACAUUGUCGAGGAAAGUAGUAUCUUUCUACGUAAAUUGGUGCAUGGAUUUGUAGUAUCGACUCAUGCUAUAUACAACCAUGUACUAGUCAACCGACCGCAAAGGACUUAGUCGUUGGUAUCCGAGAUCCUAAAUUUGAAUCAUAAUAAGAUUCACAUUUCUAGGCAAGUUUAUUUCAAAUAGAAAUAAAUAAAGUAGAUAGCGUGUUACCUAUCUCUCUCAAAAAAAAAAAAAAAAAACCAUGUGCGAGUCAACAACUGACAUUUGUUAUUAGGCGUGUCAAAUUUUGAGAAAAAAAAGGUGUUUCACUUGUUUUAAAAGAUNAAAAGGAAAAAAAAAAAAACCAUGUGCGAGUCAACAACUGACAUUUGUUAUUAGGCGUGUCAAAUUUUGAGAAAAAAAAGGUGUUUCACUUGUUUUAAAAGAUGCGCUAAUCAAAAUUAUAAAGAAAUUUUAGAGUUAAAUUUUAAAGAUAAGAACUAAAUGACAAGUUAAUUUUACAGAUCCUGUAGCAGGACAUACUUCUUCAGUUUGAACUGUACGAUGAAUUCGUCCAAUUGAAGCAUACUGAAGAAGCACGAGUUCGUAAUUAAGAAAAUUGUCUUAUUAUACACAAAAGACUACAAGUUAAAGACAACUUAUUCAGGGAAAUAAAAAGGAAGCACAGGCACUAAUCAGCAUUAGCUGCUAAUUAAAUUAGUACGAAAACAGUUUCUAAAACAAUAAGAAAAAGAGAAAUCAUGAAAAGAAUCUAAAACUUCAAUAUUGCAGCACCGCUCGACGGCUUGGAGGCGAAGACAUAGAGGCCAAGAUCAUUCUUGCUGAUGAUACCCUUCUCGAUCCUCGACUGAUAGAAUGACUCCUGAAACCAAUAACACGCCCGAGUAAAUGGUAAGAUUUUACAGCAUGUAAGUAUAGAUACUGCAUUUCAAAACAGAGGAUGGAUCGUCAUGCAUAAACAGCAAAUAUUAGGGCCUUCUUUCUGAAAUGACGGAGUCCUAACAGAAUGGAGGAGAUUGCGCCUGGUACCGGCAUGAUUACAGCAUGAAUGUAAAUUGCAGGGGACUUUUUGCUAUUGCAUUUGUUUGCAAGAAAAUAUAAGCAAAAAAACUCUUUUAGAGGUAAUGGAGUAGCUUGUGAAUUGUUAUAUAGAUUGCAUAUCGUGUGGGGCUAAUCAGUAGAUUGCUAUCAGCAAAACGUAGUGGCAAUAAGCAUACCUUUAGAUUGAGAAUAAACUGAGGCACAAUGCUUUCUUUAACCAAAGCUACCACACAGCCACCCCACCCAGCACCAGUAAGCCUUGCUCCAAGCGCUCCAUUAUCUCGACAAAUCUUUACAAGCUCUUCCAACUCUGGACAGCUGAAAAUUGAGAGAAACUGCUUAUACAGUCUGUACUGCAUAUGAUAGUAAAUAAAGUUUGUGUGAACUAAUGACACAAAAGGGCCUACAUGGCCCCAUUGAAGAUUCUGUACGAGUGUUGUAUUAUGAAUAGUGAUUCUCAAAGCAACGCUAAUAGUUUUUAGUGAAAAAUCUCUAGAUCGAAGUUUCUGUUUAUGAGGCUUGAAAGCUUGUUCUAGCUUUCUGCCACAAUACAAGCUUCAAAACUUUUCUCUGGGAAAAUGCCUGGUAUAUAGAGUCUUCUACUUUCUGGAGUAAAGAAGUUGCUCUAAAAGCUAGAUCAAAUUGGCACUAAAUUAAGAAGGUUGAUUACGAAGAAGACUAUUAGCAGCAAAAUACUUGAAAAAGCCAAUGCCUUUUUAGUGAAACACAAAAAAGAUUGUUUUUGACAAAUAUGUAUGUUAGCAAAAUUGAUUGCUCACAGCAGCAUUCGUUGUAGUUCAUUGGUCAAAGGACAACAACCACUAUAUACUAUUGCAAGAGUUCGCCAAUGGGCACAAAGGAAGAAUGCAACUUCUAUGUACCUGCACUCGUACAGUACACUGCAGCUAUAGUGACUCUCGUUCAUAAGGUCACCAAGCUUUUUAAGCUUGUCCUCAUCGCUGCAAAAUGUUUGAUUGCCAGGUAGAGUCAGUAACACAACAUAGUUCAAUUAAUAGCCAGUCUAAAUGAUGAAACACAUAAAUAAACAACCAAAUAAUGAAAUAAGAAAUAAUCAUUUAAAGCCACAACAUUAAAAUAGUAAGACUUCAAAUAAAUUGAAAUGCAAAACAGUUUAAUUGAGAGUAGAAGAACAGACCUAAGUUUCGAUAUGACGGUGUCCCUGAAAGCAUAAACCCUCCUUGCUUCAGAGUAGACAUGCAAGGCGCGCUAAGAAAAUAUACACAAAUGAUAAAGUUAAAUUAGUAUAUCAAAAGAGUUAAAAAGAAACCAGCCCAUAUUACAAUGACAUGGAAAUAAUGCUUGAAAGAGAAAAAGUAUUGGUUUGGGAGCAGUAAAGAAGAAAAAUAUAAAACAGAAAAAGAUUAAUCCAAAGUACAACAAAAGGAAGAAGAUAUUGCUGGUCUCCUGAAACUACUCAAAACUUAAAAAUCAAAAGUGAUUGAAAUAGCAUCUAUUGCUUAGCAGGACUAAGACAUUAAAGCAAAGAAAAAAGUUAUUAAGAAGCAUGUAAGAAUCCAGUACAUAGAGAUACCUGAAAUAACUUAAAAUGCUUAGCAGCUCUUAAGACAUCUAAUGAUGUUGGUGAAUUUGCAAAAAUGGACACCAGACUUUCCUCUGUGAUUUUCUCAAUAUCUUCUGCCGUAUAAGGCUCCUCAUGUAAAAAUUCCUGCAGAAACAUAAGAACAUGAAUAACAAGACAGAAAAUGGGGGGCGGGAACUGCUGUUUGUGUCAUGUCAGUAAUCAUUGCAACAAUUUUACAACUGAUUAAACCAUCAGUCCAAUAACGUUAGGAGUAAAUGGCACUGAAUGUAAAACUCAGUAAAUCAAAGCUAUCAAAUAAGAAAUGACCAAGAAUGCCAACCUUAUAUAAUAGAAUAAUCUCAAACUACUUAAAUAAUGGACAAAAAAACAGCAUUAUAAUAAGUGAAUUGUUAUAACCUUUUUCUCCUCUAUUGCAAGAAUAAGAUCAUUGUCAUAAUAGGAGACCAAACAGUCCGCUUAUUAAAUAACGGGCAGGGUGCAAGAAUAUGGAAGCAUGCCAAAACCAAGCAAGAUAUUGAGAUAAUAAUGAUAAAUCAACCUUAACAGCUAAUACAGGAUCAGAAGAUCCAUGUUUUCCAGCAAAUGAUACGCACAAGCCCUCUACAUCAGACAGAGUCUUCACUGUAGAGACAGCUUCUGUCGACUUCAUCCCGAGCUUGAUAGCAAGAACAAUCUGCAAAUAAUGUUCAAAACGGCCAAUAUUAGUCAAAAAUCAAAUAAAAAAUGAAUAGCCAAAUACAGUUGUCCCACUUGAUCGAAAAUGAGAAGCAAAUAACAGAUCAAGUUUGAAGGGGGGGUUAUUUGAUUGAAAGUUACAAAAGAAGUUCGUAAUAAAAUAGUCGAAAAGAAAGAAAACUUUACAUAUACAUUAAGAGAAAUUGUCUAUAUAUGUGUAUCCCUGAAGAAUUUAAAAUUUUGCAUGUACCCUCUAAAAUAUUUGUUUUGUUCCCUAUAUCCAUUGUUCAUAACAAAAUGCACCCUAUAAAAAACCUUUUCUAGUGCAAAAACAGUUUCCCCUCAGGAAAUGCUCAGCGUAAGAGGAGUAUUUUGGGCGGAACAGCACAUUUGAGCGCUAAAGAAGAAAAUUUAAAAUUUAAAGGGAUAUAUGUAAAAGCCCCUAUAUACAUUUGGAAUCUCAAUGUUGAAAGUUGAAACAACAAUAGCAACACCAAGUACAUUGAUAUCAAGUAACCUAUACUUCAUAUAGCUGAAUGAGUCUAUAUAACUUGGUACUCAAUACUAAUAACAACAGUGUGGAAAUCUCAUUGUAAGAAAAUGUAAUGGAUAAUGGGGAAGUGGUACUUACAGCUGCUAAGCGGCAUUCAACAACACGGUUAUUAUAAUUUGUUGCAGCUGUUACUGCUUUUUGAGAUUCUGCCAGUGAAUGGGCAAUUACAAAUGUACCACCAGCUGGCAGUUGCACAUCUGUUGCUCUGAUAGGAUUAAAAUCUAUCAGCUCAGCAAAUCCAGAUUUGGCCAUGAUUGAUAUUGCCUGUCAAAUAGAUAAUAUAACGUUCAAGGAGAAAUACAAAAAUGGUCGAAGUCAUAGAUAUUGAUAUUGAGAUAUGUAAUGGUCUGAGAAAAGCCAGAGAAAAGUAUAUAAGUUAUUGUGGCUACUUUACCUGGUCCAUGCCUCCAGAUUGCGUGCCAAUAUGGCGUUCACAUUCGCAUGUAAGUUGAGCAAUUUCUUUCUGCAAUAUUCCGAAUGAGAACAAAACGAAAAUGAUAUAAAUAAGAAUCAGAUAACUAAGUUGCAUAAUUCAAAUUUAGUUAGAACAAUAUAGUAGCCAUGUUUAGAACUAGUGUCAUACACUAAAGAAGCAUUUGCACAUUCAGAACCGCUUAAGCUAACUUUGAACAAGAAAAGCUAUUUACACACACACAUACACACACACAAGUCAGAAAUUAUAACAAGUUCUGCACCUUCGCAAAGUUCUUGUCAAGAAUUGCCAUGAUAGCAAUUGUAGCAGAGCAGACAAGAGCUGCAGAACUUGACAACCCAGAACCUAUACAAGAAUAAGGAUGCAUAAGUUAAUUAUUCCCCCAUAUAUUGAUAACCACAAACCAAAUGAGAAACAAGCAAGACCGAAAUGAAAAUCAGACAGGAAUUCGUACCCGUGGGAACAGUGCCUUCAACAACUACAUCAAGGGCAACAGGUGCACCAAUAUCUAUUCCCUUUGAUCUGGCAAAUUCGUAAAGCCCUUUGUAUCUGUUUAUAGAGAUGUUGUCAACAUACUUUAUAUGAGUCUAAUAACCAGAGUUGACGAGUGCUUUGCUGACACUCAUGCAGGCCCUAAAAUAGCUUAGAGAUCCAUAAAUAACAUGUGAUGCUAAAGUUAAAAGUGCAAAUGUUGCCAUGAGUCAGAGAAGAAAAUAAUCAUUACUGAACAUAGAUAGAGUAUUAAGAGUAAAAAAAUUAUUAUUAAAAAAAUAGAAAAAUAAAUAACUCACCCGCAAAUAAAAUAGUGCCCCCAUUUGUGGUUCUUCAGAUCAAUUUCCUGGAAAAAUUAGUAUGCUUCUCAUGAUAUAUAUUGUAAUUUCCAGAGAAAUAACUACAAAUAUGAAGAAGAAGAAAAAGAAGAAGAAGAAGAAAAUUGAGGCUAAUAAAUUAAUCUAUAGAAAAAACAGACAAAUCUACUCUGACAAGAAGUCAAGAACUAGCCAGGUGUUUAUUAAACAAAAAAAAUCAAUGUUGUGGUGACAAGCUAAAAUAAGCAUUUGAGCUCCACUUUUCAAACUGCAACAGCGUGAAGCAAUUGAAUGGUUUAUAUAGAAAAAUCUAUUGAUGUUUCAUUAAAAAGCUCAACUCAAAUAAUACUUUUGCGGAAGCUCCGGUCAACCUUAAUAAGACCAAUAGAUGCUAGGAAAACAAAGGACACUGGAUCUCUGCAAUUUUGGGUCCUUUCAAUUUUCCCCUUUCAAUUAAGUUUCAUUAAAUUCUGGGCUCACUGAUAAAAUAAUUUCAGUCACCGUUAAAACACGUGGGCUCACUGAUAAAAUAAUUUCAGUCACACGGCAUUCUUAUUUUAUUAAGCAUCCAAAAACCACAAUCACUAUAUUUACUCACAGUAACUAAUAAAUCAUUACAUAACUAAAUUCUGAUAAUCCGCAGAGUACUUAUUAAGAAAAAAAAAUAAAGUACGGCAAAUCCAAUGCGCUAUUCCCCGCAUUAAUUCAACUCUUCCUGCAACAAGUUCUGACAUUUUUGUGGAAAUGUAAACACAUCUACAUGUCCACAACAACAUACCUGGUCGGGAUCGGCAGGGUAAGUGCACAAGGAGUACUUUUCGCUCACAUUUCCUAUCCGGAGUACCUUGGGCGAGUCUCCCUCGCCAUGCUUCCUGAUCGCCACGAUUGUGUCCUGCCGAAUCGCCAUCGGGAGAACCGAGUAGCCCUCGUAGUCGAUGUGCUCCCCGAUCAAGUUAACUCGCCCUGCGAAAUCGACGCACGGAUAUAUCGUAACAUUAUAUCUCCAUCAACGUUUCGCGAUCUGAAAACGACGAUGAUGAAGAGAAUUAUGGUUUCACCUGGGGAUCGUGCGUAGAGAUCGGGCUCGUGGCCGAAGAGCUCGAGGAACCUGGAUUUGAGCCGAUCGAAGCGGAGUUGCGCCUCCUCGAGCGAGGAGCCCUCGCCGUAGACCGGAUCGAGCGUGGAGUAGAUCGGGAUCGGGAGCUCCUCGUGCGCCAUUGGAGGGUCGUUUCCAAGCUUGUUCUCCUUCUAGAGUUAGGGUUCCUCCUUUCUCUCCCGCGCGCACACUCUCUCUCUCGGGAUCUUCCGAAGGUUUGAGCUUCGGCCGCAAAUGUUGUUGGCGAUUUUCUCCGGAAGGAACCACGAUGGGAGGGGUAAUUGUGGCCGUCGGAUAGCCUUGAUGCAAUGUCUACCGUUCAUUGUGUGUACGGUCCACUGGAGCCGCGGAGUAGCCGCACGUCGGAGGCCGUUUGGAGAGAAGUUGUUGCUUCGAUUCUGUUCACCGCGUUACCCGUAGACCGCCUAAAUCUUAUCUCAUUUGUAGGUCACAGAUAACGUGGUGAUAAACGGGUCCGAGGAAUAAUCUCGUGUCGGGUGGCUGCUGACGUGGUGAACCACGUCCAGGGGAAUAACGUUUUUUCCCGCAUAGAAAAUCCGGAAUAUGCGGAAUCCGGAUAUCGCACCGUACUGUGUUUACCCCUGUCCGAUUUGGUAUCUCGGGUGUGAGGAUACAGUUUGAGACUCCAACCCGUUAAAUUGUUCCACUGGACAUACUACUGUACUAGUUACAUUAUUGGAUGAAAACGGAACGGAAAUUCGCUUUGUAAGAAUUAGUAUCCAUUAGGGUUUAUGUUCUUUAGCUUAAGAACAAAUUAUUAGCAUUUAAAAAAAAUCACAUUUUAUAAAUAAAUGCAUUAACAUUAAUUGAAUUUCUACUUAGCUAACAAAUAGAUCAGUUACCGACCGUCCCUAAAGCAAAUGACAAAAAGAGUCUGGUGGUUAAUAUCCGAGACCCAAGUUCGAAUCCUUAGUUGAUUCACAUUUCUAGCUAAGUUUAUUUCUAUAUGAAAUAAACGAAGUGAAUAGCGUGUUACCUAUCUUUCAAAAAAAAAAAAAAAAAAAAACAAAUAGAUCAGUUGUCGCCUGGUUAAUAGUUCACUUGUAUGUGUCACACCAAUAUCUAUAAGCACGGAUUUGGUGCUUUGCUAUACAUCUGAAGAACAAGUUGGAUUCAAGAAAAUUCAAUGUGCAUGGUUCAAGUUAUUCAUACAAUUACGAUAGAGCAUGAGCUUUACUAUCCAUUUACAUCCCUUUUUUUGGUAUUUCCAGCACUAUAAUAAUUAUCAAACAACUAACAACUUCCAAUCCAAUUAUUGCAAAAAUUUGCAACACGAGGUUGGAAAAAAAAAGGGGAACAUUUUAAUGAGCUGUAAUCUCUCAAGCUAUACAAGUCUUACAUUUUUAAACUGGGGGGGGGGGACAGACAUUCUACUAAUAGAUAUCAUGAUCAAUCACUCAAUAACAUACAAGGGGACUAAUAAUCUGAAUCCUUUGGCGAUGGCACGGCGACCAUGAUUUUCAUCACUUUAACUUGCAUCUGAAGGCAAACAAUGUACUCUGCUGCCUUUUCAAAGAGCUCAUCGAGCCUGGUGGACUCGCUAUUUGGCACAAGCCUCUGGAGAACCCUAAUCUUCCUCUUGACAGCACUUGCAGGCUUUCUAGAACCUUCUAGAAGGUUCCGCCUCUUCGAGACAGUUGGUUUUCGUGUCAUGCUUUUAGUCCUCGCCGACAAUUGCUUCCCUCUUCUUAGGGCAUGUCGGUGCAUGGCACGGAGCAAGAGCAAGCUGGCUCGAGUCCGGCGCUGCAUAUUUUGUCCCGGAGUCGCACUGUUGAAGCCGACGGAUGAGAGCGAGUUUUUAGAGGCUCUCAUGUUGCAUGAAUGGCUUUUGACAGGAGGUUUGUAGGAAAGAACUUUGGUUGAAGGGUGGAAGAGUAUGUUGCUACAAACCUUACUAAAAGCAUGAAGGAGGGGAGAGGUUGAGAGGGGGGAGAGGGAGAUACAAAUGUCUUGCAACUUGCAAUAGUGAAGAUCUCUAAUAUAUAUUGCUAUGAGAACUUGUUGGCAUGUCCCAUGAAUAAAUGUUACUUAAUGUACAUAGAUACAGGGACAAUGAAUGUCCAGAGAGAGAGAGAGAGAUAGAGAGGUGGCAUGUACUGAGAAGGGUUUGCUUGUGAGAUAGGGCACGUUCUCCCACCUAAGUGCACAUGCACCCACAUGAUACCUUAAACAACCCUAACUCCCCCUUAUCCUCACUACCUCCCCUCUUCUCUCUAGCACUCCUCUUUUUCCUCAUCAAACAACCUGGAUUAUUCCAUCUCGCUUUCAAGUUCUCUGUAUUUUGAUGUGUACAGGGGGCUUCACAGCUCCGUUCCAGCUCAACAGCAGGUGUGAAAUGGACCACUCCUCUAUGUGAAAAGGUAUUGCUAUACCAGGUGCAUUCGGAUAAUCACGAACCGUCCAGUUCAUCGGCCCUUCAUUUUACUUUAUGUUGCAAUCGUUACCAUCACUGCUUUUGCCUAACUAUUACUAGCCCAAGAUUUGGAAGGAGAGAAUUUAUUUGAGUCCCUAUUGUGCAAGAAAAUUGCUGGUACGAACUUCAGCUCUGGACUCAAAUGUUUCAAAAAAAUAAUAAUAAUAAAAUAAAAAAAUAAAAAACGUAGGCAAUAAGUUGGGGGUUUUAUUAAAUUAUAAAAGUUGGCUAGAUUAUAAAUAUAAAAGAACAUGAAGAUUUGAUGAAUUGGUGGUGCAUGGAUGCAUGUAUGCACUAAGUAUUGCCAACAGUUUUACCCUCCUAGAUGGAGAGGUGUAACAAUUAAUUGGUGGUGGUUAGCCACCUACGGUUAUGUUUCCCUAUGAGGAACCCUAAUUAAAUCUUGUUGCCAGGCCUCGGUGCUUGUCACUGGUGCAUGUGGAAGAAUCUACUUUGACAUUACGAUAGAUGUUUUCCCCUAAUACUUGCGGAUUAGGAGUUUUAUUUGGAUGCAUCUUUCACUUGUACACAACACCACGUGCCAAUGCAAGAGAGGUCAAUCCACACUACCGGCACCCUAUUUAGGUUUUAAAAAUCACAAAUUACAGAUGAGACAUCGACAAUUAUUUGGUCGCAGUUGAACUAUCAAACGCAAUGACUAGCUACAAUAGAUUUCAAGUUUACGGUUGAUCACUCCGAGCAGCCAUCAAGUCUCAUAAGAAUCUUUGAAGUUCACGGAUUAAUUUUCAAAAUAUUGUUUAAACUUUUAAAAUUGACUUUGCUAAAUUUUAUAUGAUCAAACUUUUGUGACGAGGAUAAACACACUAUCAGCCUGGUAUCUCACAAUUGACCUGCUCUCGUAGCUUCAUUCUACGUUUCUAUCCAGCAUUCACGGCGAUAUUUGUAGCAUCUACUAACAGCAGCAUUUAUCAAUGGAGAUGGGAGCAAAAGGAUGGAAGUAAAGAAAGGAGAAAUAUUAGUACCAGAUAUUCAUGGCCCAGACACUACCCGCACGCGUGAGCGGGCAUCACUUGACCUCGCACUCUAGGGAACGGCAUCAUGGUCCUCUUCUUCUUCUUCUUCAUUGCUUCGUUGGCAGCCACCGCAGAGGUUGAUGACUCUGCUUCCACCGACGCCACCUGCUCCACUGCACGCAUCUUCUUCUUCUUCUUCUUUUUCAGCUCCUCCGCAUCCUCUGCCGCCUUCGGAUGCGAUGGGAGACCUGAUCGGACGGCGAGGAUGGAGCCGAUGGGGCACUCCUGCCACCCGAUGGCCCUGAUGUCGUCGGCCACCUCCUUGAGUCCUAGAUCGGGGGAGGGCGCGAUCCCUCUCUCCUCCACCGUCGAUCUCCACGGCCUCAUCAGAUACAACCGCCGUAGGUCCUCCCCGAUCUCCUUCUGUUCCAUUCCAAACCAAUCAAAAAGAGGGGCAAAAAAAAAGUGUACGAAAGUUGAGCGCGACAUGGCGAUUUGUGUGGAGAAGAAGGGGUAGGGCUAACCCUGCAACCGAUCCAUCCGUAUCCAUUCAUGACCGAAAUCUGAUGCACGAGAAAACACACGAAUUCCAUAAAAAAUUCUCAUAAAAUUGGACAAAAUAAGGCCGAAUUCGGAUGAUUUGCGGGAUCAAUUGAACAUCGAGCAUGAGCGAUUAGAUGUCGAGAUCAUCAUAAAAAACGAAACUAGAUUGUGGGAAACCACAGAGACCGAUCUAGGACGGUAAGGGAACGAUCGAUUGAUACCUUGCUGAGUUGAGAGAGGGUGAGGGGAUGAGGAGGGGGAAGAUCGGGGUCGUCUCCUCGGACAUAGGCGGCGUACUCUUCGAGCAUUAGUUUCUUCUUGCUCAUCUUCUCUCUCUCUCUCUCUCUAUCUCUCUCUCUCUCUCUCUCUCUCUCUCAAUUCCUCUUCGCUCGCUCUCUCCCGACCCGCGCGCUCUUCUCCGCCUUAUAAUUUGAAUUUCGAACUGAGAUUUUGGUCCGGUCCCGCGUUUUGUUUUCCUGGAUGAAAAUGCAUGCAUAGUCCCUCUGCUAACCGAUAGUUACGAACUGAUCCCUCUACUUUUUACUUAAAAAUGUACGGAGACCUAUUACCUAUAGGUUCUGUGAAAAUAGGACCCUUAACUUAUUUUUUUAUUAACAUUAUUGGCUUAUACCUUUUUUUCAAUUUUUUGGUCAUUUUAGUUAGCUAUUUCUUUUAGCUAUUAGUUGUUGACUUUUUCAAUUUUAUUCGUAACAAAGUUAUUGAACUUUUAAAUUUGAAUGAGUCUCCAUAGAUCUUUAACUUUUUGACACCUAUAUCCCUAUUUCAAAAAUGGCCUACAACCGGGGGUCUGCAAUGCAUUUUCACCUCCUAUGCAUUUUCAGAAGUUCAAACGUCAGUCACGCGCUACUCACGUGGCCGCUUCCCGCCAAAUCCUCCAGCCGCCACUUUUCCAGUCCCACCUAUUCCCCGACCCCGAGAGCUCGAUCUCGGCUAGGGUUAGGGUUUCAUGGACUCCCUCUCCCCGAUCUCCCCUACCUUUCUCUCCGAUGACGACCACGACGCCUUCCUCGGCUUCGUUGAGUACGCUAGGUCCUCUCUCUCCUCCUCCUCUGCUGCCAAUGGCGAUGACAACGGCGGCGAUGGAGAUCCACCCCCAUGGAGUUGGGUUGUGUCUCGGAUCCUCAAAACCUGCGUCGCUUACUCCAGCGGCGUCACCGCCGCCAUCCUCCUCUCCGAUCUCUUCCAGGUGGAACUAACCCUCUCUCUUUCCCCUUUCGCCUUCAAAUUCCCUAAUUUUCUCCCCCAGUCCUUCAGAUUUUUCCUAUUCGUUCCUGAUAUCAGUGUAUUGAUUUAUUUUGGAAGGCUUGGAACGAGCAGCGGAAGUAUCUGACCUCAAAAAAGAAGCUUGAAUUGGUGAAUCAGUUGAAGACAAGGCGGGCGAGAAUGAGGCUUCCGAAUACGGUCACCAUAGAUUCCAUUUACGAGAAACAUUUUCUCUCCCCGAGUAGUGUUCUCGAAGCUGUUAUCGUUGACACCUUUCUUCUUGCAGGUUCAUACUCACACCAAUUUUUUGCUGGUACCUUCAGUAAUCUUUUACUUGUAUUAAAGUCUAAAUUUUCUUCGGUAGGUACAAACAUAUACAUUCUCAGCUUGGGAGACUUGUGGAGCUCAUGUGCCAUUGAUCUGUAUCUUCAUCGGAGGUAUAACUGGCUACUCAUCACGUCAUGUAUUUCUUUUUUCCCCCCCCUUUUGUUUUAUAAGUGCAGGGGCUAGAGUGUUUAUGAGAAAAAUUCAUGGCCAAUGUUGAAAUAUCGGGAUGGUACAGGGACUACAAAUACAUUUUAUCCACUCUAAUAUGUUUGCUAUAUCAGUUUUUUUCUCAAGUUGGAUCCCUGGAGAAGGUAAUAAAAGAUGAGCAGGUCUUAGUGUAGUGUGAGAUAAUGUGGAGUGUUAAUAUGUAUUUAAAUAGCUUGCCUUUCAAUUUGAACCCUAGAAUGAAGUAGGAUGCACAAGGCUUAACUUCUGAAUGUUUGCUCAAUUUUUUUUUCUCUUUUCAAUUGAAAUCGUCCACUACACUGAAAUAUUGUCAAGGAGUAGUUAUUGCAAUGGUUUUUGAUAAGAAACUCUCUGUUGUUAACUUACCACUAAGCAGAUUCUAUGAGUAUGUGGGAAAAGAAGGUAUACUGAGGAAAGGCCGGCAGAUCUUACUCACAGGAUGUUGCCUUCGUACUGCUGUGCAAGGCUCUGGCCAUCCUCGCCUUUUGCCAACAGAGUAUCUGGUAAUCUUAUUAGAUGAGGUAUUGUGCGAAACUUCAUAAUACAUUACUUUAUUUGAAGAUUUGAUACAAUUUCACUUCUUUGUGUUAUUGCAAUUUGGCUCCUGUGCAACGUUGUUCAUUGAUGGUAGCUGUUGCGUGGUUACUUGGAUCAUCGCUUACAUCCGUCCCAAUAUACUUAAAUAGUUAAACCAACAUCACUGUUCUAAAUUAUUUAAGGUUUGGGUGGUGAUCUACAAUCACACAAAAAGUUCAGCAGUGCCUGUUAGAUUCUCCCAUUGGAGUAAAUUGUUAUCAACUAUAUUUAACUGCAAUUGGUCUGAGUGAUAAUCAUGUUAUGCUGGAUUCUGUUUCAUUUUAUUUUCAACUCAUGUGCAGUAGCCAUCGUAAUGCAGGAUAAAGAUGAAGAUGCUAUGUUGCUUGGUGCACAGUUCUGCACGUAUUCUUUCUCAUCAAUAUCAGCUGAUAAUAUCAAACAUGGUGCUUCAUUUUCAUUUUAUGCGAGGCAAGAUUGCACCUCUGAAUAAUCAUUUUCAUAAUCUUGCUUUAGCAAUUAGUUGCCCUAAACCUGCAUUUCAUAAAAUACUUAUUUCAGAUAUCAAUAGAAAAGGAAUCAAAAGAUUUUCUUUUUUGUUGAGAGCUAUGAUGUUUUUUAACUGGGCCAAAUUUGUCAAUUGCAGCUUCAUGGACUGACAUAUGCAUCAUUUUCCUUAAGUGCCAUAUGGAUUGUUUACUUCUGUACUCGAAAUUUUCUGAGGGCUUACUCCAUUUUAUUCUUUUUGGUUGGAAACACUUGUUAUACUUGUAAAACCAAUUUAUACAGGUAUAAUUCAGUUAUAACAUGUCAUUAUCACUUUAUAUUAUACGGUAACACUUUUGGAUUAAGCUUAUUUCUUGUUCUUUGUGUAAACAUUACCUGCAUUAUGCUCCAAAUUUGGUUAAAUCCUUGAUCAUGACAAUUUUUAAUGAUUUAAUAUUCUUUUCCUAUUUCAGGAUAGAGUCAAUUGAAACUCUGGAACCUUUUGGUUGUACUCAGAGAAAACAGAUUAUUUUAGUUGAUAAUGAGGAUGUUAAAAUCAAGUUUCUUUUAUGGGGCGAGCAGGUUCUCCUUGCCAAUCUUUUUAGGUCACAUACUUUCCAGGGUUAUGGUUUGGUUUUUUGUUCAUCUAGGUUGAUUGAUUAAAUUUAUCAUCUCAAAAGAGAAAAAUCCUUAUUUCAGUGUGGGAAGCAUGCUUGCAUUGGAUAGACCUUUCGUUGCAAAUGUUGUCAACAAGAAUCACGAAGCAUCUCAGGAAUUGUGUCUUGAAUAUGGUAGUGCAACACAGAUUUAUCUAGUGCCAGUUAUUCAACACGAAGAACAAGUAGGUUAUCCGACGGGCUGUAACAUAUAUAUUUUCUGCAAGAUCAUCAAUUGUAUAACCUGCAAAGAUCUUCAAUAAUAUGUAUUUGAUUUAUGUAAGAAAUUAAGUUCGGUAUGAAAAUUUUGACUUUUGCUGGAUAAUAUUUAUAUAGAUAAUUUUCGAAAGGAUAUAUGCUAAUAUUCCUAUAGAAAAAAAGAUGCUGCAAAUGACCCCUUUUGCUCCUCGUUUUUUUUUUUUAAGAGAGAAGCUCCUCAUUUUGUUAAUAUAGAUAUUCUGUGGUUGUGUCCUACUAGGUGCUUCUAACAUCUACACAAAUGAAGAGUCAAGGGUUAAGACUGUCCGGCAUAUCUAAUGAGAAUCAAGGGCUAAAGGCUUCGCAAGUAUCAUUGCAAUGUGAUUCGCGUGGCUCGAUUGAUUUCAGUAAAUAUCCAUUUCGAGUAUGUAUACUGAUAUUUCUUUGUUGUUCUUUUAAAUGGAUCAGUACAAUAUAUAUACAUUUUGGACAAGCUACCAAUUGGGGUGCUCUGUGGUAGGGGUGUAGGGGGGCCGAGCUCCCAAUUCUCAAAAAGUUUAAAAAAGUGUACACAGUUGUCCUAGCUGUAGUAUUCUUUAUUUGUGUUACUAUCUUCACUUUUUAAAUAUUCUUUUAUUUUUGGUUACAUGUUUGUAUUCUCAGUCAUAUGCAAUGGAUCUUAACGACAAAAUGACGGGAAUCAGUAUAUAUGGCACCAUAAUGGACAUUUCAAGAGAAAAGAACACUUCAGAGGCUGUUUUUUGUUUGGCAAUUGAAGAUAUAACAGGAGUAAUUGUGGUGAAGCUACACUUUAUUGGAUUUUGGUAAAUCUCAACAGCUUAUCUUUUUUCCAUCAGCCAUUAUCAGUAUGAUGAAAUGUUUACUUUUGGAUUUUAUUACUUCAGUAGCUCUUAAGUAGCACUUGGAUAUGGAGGAUUGUACCUCAGACAACAUUCUCCGUUUUUUGUCCAGAAUAUGUACUCUUAUUAGCCCUUCAUAUACUAGGAAGUGUCUAUUACUUGCAAAUCUUAGAAGAAUUUCCAUAGAAAAAAUAAAGUAGAUUCAUCAUUGUCGGUUUCUUAAUUUCAAAAAAGAAAAUGAUCGCCAGUUAUUUCUCUUUUUUUUUCCUUAUUUGGGCCCUUGAACCAUAAGCCAUCAGAAGAAAAUGUGGCCUGUUACUGCACGCAGAAAUCGAAUGGUAAUGUGAAAAGCUACUUCAUCAAAAAAAAAAAAAAAAAAAGAAGUGAAAAACUAUAAUAAGGUACUGUUUGUGUUUUGUUAUAAGAAUAUAAGAUGCUAAAAUGUGUGGCUUCACACUUCACAUAUAUAGGCUAUUCUAUGUCAAUGAUUCAAGAUCAUACUUAUUUGUUAACAUCCAAAUGCAAUCAUCUUCUCCAAGAGCUGCUAAUCUCUCCUAUUGUUUUCAGGUCAUUAGGAAGAGUAGGGAUUGGCCACACAGUAUACAUCUCAGGAUUGACAUGUUCCAUGACAUUACAAAAGAUGUGAGCUGUCUAAAACUCCAUAUUGGCAUUACAUCAGUUUUGUAUAAAUUACAUUAUUAAAUCAUAAUCACUUGCAUUUGUUUGUCAGCUACUCUUAAGGAAUUGAGAAUUUAUUUGAUGGGAAAUUUUUUUUCCUGGGUUAUCCAUCCCAGGACAACUGAGAACAUUGGAGCAAUAACUGUAAUAGCAACUAUAUGCAGAGAAUAAGCAGGGAUAAAGUGAGGAAUAGCACUAUUUCAGGGAGUUGGACUAAUUUUUCUCAGUUUAUCCUAGAAAAUCCUGGCUUGACCAGAACAACUAUUCUCAGCCACUCUUUUGUUGUGUUUGGCUUAAUAAGUGGGAUAACUUCGAAGUCAUCCCCUUUAUCAGCAAAACAAGUGCAACCUAGAGAAAAUUUUCUUACACUUCCACUUAAAACGAGGCUUUUUCAGGAUGUCUUGUAGUCUAAAUUGCAAUGAAUUCUCUUAAUCACAUUGCUACUUCACACAUUAAAGUUUUGUUUGUCAUGUUGCUUGACAGGCUUGAGGUUUCGUGGUUCGAGAAGGAACCUGGGACUUAUUUUGUUAAUCUAAGCUGCUUGCCGGCUUUACUGAAUUCAUCCUGCCUUCAUAAAUUAUCCCUCUUAUCUGAUAUCUCCAAUUGGAUAAACAACACGCAUGUGAGGUUCUUUUAGAGGCCUCUCUUCGUACUAGUAUCUCUAAUUCUCAAUAAAGUUUCUCAUAUGGCAUAGUGAUUCUACAUUUCUCUGGCUUUGUUCUUUUUAAUUUUAUACUAUUGAAUUGCUUGUUUAGGUUUGAAUUGCUUGUUUAGGUUUGCUUGCUUACGUCUACCAAAUAGGGUAUAUCCCUGUUUAAUCAAAAAAAUAAAAUAAAAAAAAAAGGUUUGCUUGCUUACAUAACUAUUCAAACCAGAGAAAGCAUCUUGUGUGUUCUAUUUUGCAUUGGAUCCUCUUAACUAGUUAAGUAAAUCCUUUGUGCCGACGGGUUAGCUCAUUCGCUCUAUGGCAUUCCUUGAGAUGGUUUUUUGUUGUUAGUUGUUAAAUUUCUCUUCAAUGUUAGAAGUAUUUUCCAAAAAAUAUCUAAUAUGAACAAAGAUGUAAGUCGUUGGUUGUUGUUGUUCCCUGGAGAAGUGGAGGAAACUUGAGAACCUGGGAAACAUUAACUUACCUAGUGGAUAGUACUAUUGAGCUUAUAGGAAUAUGUUGUUGACUAGUACUUAGAUUGAAUCCUGAAUUCUGAUUUGACUGUUAAUUGAACAUAACUGCUACAAAGUGAUGAUGUGGAACAAUUUGACCAAACCAAAUUUGACCAAAAUGAAAAAAAACAUAAGCAUAACCAACUGAGGCGUUUUUCUACAUAGUUCUAUUUAUAAUUACGUUUUCUUAAGUUUCAUAAGUUUUCUGAAUUUUCAAUUAAUUGUUAUGAUCGUCAUGUAUUAACGUGAAACAGAUAUGCUGUGUUCACCUCGACAAAAUAGAGCACAACAACAUACAAGCUCUCCCAUGCCACAAUCGCUGUGGCUGCUUUGUGAAGGAGAGAUCAGAUGGAUCGGUUUGGUGCAGCUUUUGUCAGUGUAACUGUGAGACUGGGCGUACAUAUAGCUUUCUAUUGCAUAUCACCCUUGCAGAUGAAAGUGGGAAGGUUCUCGCAUGGUGCGUGGGACCUACGGCUGCAGAGUUGCUGCAGAUAUCCCCUGAUGAAUUUCUGAUGCUUCCUGAGGUAACAAAUUCGUUUAAUUUAGCAAGAAACCUUAGUUACAAUGUUCCACUGUAGAGUCAUUUGUAUGCUUUUUACAACUUUAAGGCCUUAUAGAAACGAAUUUUUUUUGUGAGCUUACAAAUAUGUGUCAUUUUUUUCUGAUUGCACUUAAAGAAUUGUUAGAAUGGAAAAUUCCAUAUAAUAUUGAGUACGGAUACCAAAUUGUUGAAUACAUACACAUGUUUCUUGAUAAGAUUUUGAUUAUGAGACAUAGUUCUGACCUCUUCCCCUUGUUUUCCAUAAAUAAUAGGAUGAACGAGCCAUGUAUCUUUACACCCUUCAGAAUGAAGAAUUUAUGGUAGCUAUCGUAAAGGGCAAGAAACGCGGCGAUGAAUUUCUCUUAUUGAGCCAAGAACAUUUCCCAGAAUGGGAGAUCACACGGGCUCAAAAAUGUGAAUGAGAUCUUCGCGGAAAGACAAUAAAGUGAUCUUCCAUGAAGCAAAAAGAACAAACUGUCACAUUCUACAGAAACAUCAGUUUGAGUUGUGAAGGUACGUCUCGUGGUGUGUUAAGAAUGACAACUUCAGGUUAUAAGAUACCUAAAUUAUAGGUAGAAAUAUAUGGAGACCUCCCUCAACUAUAGAUCACUUGGAAUUAGGCCUCUAAUUUUAUCUUUUUUGAUGGAAAACUCCCCCUUUGAUUUAUUUUUCUGAUUCAAAAUAUUCUAGCUGAAUUGGGGAUUCUGUCAAAUUUAAUGAAUAUUCCACUAUAAUUAGCAGCUUAGCCUGCUUUAUGGAACUGUGGAUUCUAUUUACCGCUACAAUCAUCACCUAAAGCUUUAUGGAACUGUGGAUUCUAUUUAUGGGACUAUUGAUUGUAACAGAAUCUCCAAUUUAACGUACAAAAAUAACUCAAAUCAAAACAAAUUGGGGUGUCAAUCAGAAAAAUAGAGAAGUUAAAGUUGGGGUUUCCCAUACAUUUUUCACUUGAAUUAUAUUAUUAUUCCUAAAGCAGAUUUUUUGUGGUUGUAAAAGUUGUUUGUUAUUGAUGCUGCAAAGCUUCUUACAGAUCCAUAGUGAAUAAUUGGACACUUUUGCAGCAAGGUUUAUGUAAUUGUAAAUAUUUUGCCAACUGUGAAGACAAUUAUCACUAAAGCUUAAGUAACUUAUCCCUAUGUUAUUCUGGUGUUUUUAAUGUUUUCUAGAAUAUGUUAUACGCAAAGAUGAAUUAUCAAUUUCAACAUGAUUACUCUAUAAUUACUAGAAAAUUUUGAUAUAAGCAUAAUAGUUUUACCCCCAUAAAAGGAUGAAAAAGGAGAAAAGGAAAAGGAAAGAGGGUUAAUUGCACAAUAGUUCUCCAAUCUUUACCCAGGCUUGCAUUUUCUCUCUAGCAAUUAAAGCUGUAAAGUUCACCAGUUGUUUCAAUUAAAACUCUUCUAUCAACAAAAAAAAAAAGAAAAAAAAAAGGUCUGUAGGUUCUGAACACCGGGAAUGAAAAAUUUCAUGUUUGCGCUCGUCGGCAUCAGAUGUUGCUUCUUAGCAAUUUUGGUACAUUUUAUCAGGCAUUGUGAGGAAAGGAAUUUGAUUGAAACAACUUGUGGACAUUAGAAAUUUAGUUGUGCUACAACUCAUAAGGUACGGAAUAAAAAGCCUAAGNAGAUGUUGCUUCUUAGCAAUUUUGGUACAUUUUAUCAGGCAUUGUGAGGAAAGGAAUUUGAUUGAAACAACUUGUGGACAUUAGAAAUUUAGUUGUGCUACACCCACAAAAAAUCCACCAUGCCCCUCUCUUCUCCUCUCCCCAUCCCCGCCACAAACCCUACACCGCUGUCCCAACGAACUCCCCCAAAACGUCCCCACUAUGCCAUCUCCCUCCUCAAGCUCAUAAAAACCCAUAAAGAGCUCUCCCAGCUUCACUCACACCUCAUUAAAGCCAACCUCCUCACCAAUCCCUUCACCUACAACUCCCUCAUCAAGUCCUAUUCCCGCGCAGGUGAUCCAAACUCGGCUCUCUCACUCUUUCUCGACAUUAUCAACGCCGAUUCCGCCGCUCCCGAUGGUUUCACUUAUACGUUUGUUCUUAAUGUGUGUGCAAAGUCGUCGUAUACUGUGGAAGGGAAGCAAAUCCAUGCUAGAAUGGUCAAGGACCCUAAGCGGAUCAAUACCUAUUCUUGGAACUCGUUGAUGGGCUUCUAUGUAAAAAAUGGGGAGGAUGUAUGGAGAGUGCGCAGGGUUCUCGAUGGAAUGCGCGACCCGGAUGUAGUUUCUUGGAAUUGUUUGCUUGACGGGUAUGUGAAAGUUGGGAAUUUGGAGGCGGCCCAGCAGCUGUUUGAUGAAAUGCCGGUCAGGGAUAUAGUUUCCUGGACCACUAUGCUCGUUGGCUAUGCCGAUAAUGGUUUGUUGAGAAAUGCGCGUCAUUUGUUCGAUGGAAUGCCCGAGAGGAACAUGGUCUCUUGGAGCGUGAUGAUUAAAGGGUUUGUGAAGGCCGGUAUGUACAAGGAGGCUUUAGCUCUCUUCAAAGAAAUGCAGGUCUCAAAUGUAAAAAUAGAUAAGAUCACAUUGACGACAUUGCUGUCGGCUUGUGCUGGAUCGGGUGCUCUCGAUCAAGGCCAAUGGGUUCAUGCCUAUAUAGAUAGGCACAAAAUCGAGGUAGAUGCGCACUUAUCCACAGCUUUAGUCGAUAUGUAUGCAAAAUGUGGCAAAGUUGAUUUAGCCUACAGCAUCUUCAAGGACUCUAAAGAUAAGGAGGUCUUUUCGUGGAAUGCAAUGCUCGGAGGGCUUGCAAUGCACUCACGUGGAGACGAAGCCAUCGAGCUAUUUCGAGAGAUGUUGAGUAGUGGAAUUGAGCCAAAUGAGAUCACAUUCAUUUGUGUAUUGUCGGCUUGUAGCCACUCCGGACUAGUGGAAGAUGGUUUGAAGAUCUUCAACACUAUAGAUCGAUACCGCAAUGUUCGGCUGAGUAAAGAACAUUAUGUGUGUGUUGUGGAUCUCCUAGCUCGUGCCGGGUUACUUCAAGAUGCCCUAAAGGUGGUCAAGGAAAUGCCGAUGAAAGCAGAUGGAAAUGUUUGGAGGGCACUUCUCAGCGCUUGUCACCUCUAUGGCAAUGUCGAAAUGAGUGAAUAUGUGGGUAGGGUUCUAUUAGAGAUGGAGCCCACGGAUGACGGCAAUUACAUAGUUCUAUCCAAUCUUUAUGCUAGCAGGAAUAGGUGGGAUGAAGUCGGUAGGUUAAGGAAGAUGAUGGUGGAACGAAGAGUGCGAAAGACUCCUGGGUGUAGUUUGAUAGAAGUGGAAGGUGUUGUUCACACUUUUCUGGCGGGGGAUUGUUCUCAUUCUCAAAGUGGGGUAUUACGUUCGUUGGUUGACGAACUUAUCAAGCAGUGUUAUCCAUUAACGGAAAUUGGACAUGAAUGAGCCGCUCGCGUUGUUUUCUUCUCGGAAAAAGAAUAUAGAGAGUUCCUCUCUGAAUGCAUCUUUCGUCUUCGUUGGUGGAAGAGAUGGCAUUACAAUGGAAUUAUGGUUCUCAAUUGCCCAGCGAUUUUGUCGGAUGGAUAUGGAACUAACCUAAGAUCAUGAGAGAAAUGUUGAAUGAUGGUCGGUUCAACGGAGGAGAGGUAAUAAAUUCAAAGUUACCAGGGAGCAAAGUACUGCUUCAUUUUGGUCUAUCGCAAGAAACAUGUGCAACUUUUUAUUUUAUUUUUUCAAUGCAUAGUAAGAAAGGCAUUAUGCAGAUUCUUUAUAGCUUCAGAUCAAACCCAAGCCCAACCCAAACUGGGUUAUACUUUUGGAGUUGGGUGUCAAUAGGGUGCACCUGAUGUUGGGACUCUAUAUACAGAAACAAAAGAAAGAAACUAAGUAUCUGAAAAUCAAGAAUUUUCAGGCCAACUGGCAUCGUCUGGUAAAGCCGGCAGGCGUUGCCCGUGCCGCACAUGCUGAUAAGUAUAUGCCGCCCCUACUGGUUGUACGGACAUAUAAAAUUGAGUGCUGAUCGAGGCAUGCCGACAUGUCGUGCUAUCUUGCUACCGUGCCAGCAUAUUCUGUGUUAGUGGCAUGGCAAUCCUUCCUGAAAAGAAACAUCUCACUCAAUUUGCAGAGGAAGAAAAAAAGAGUAUUAGGAUGCUCUGCCUUGGCAAAGAAACGUACAAUGACGCUUCAUUUCAUCUAAAUUAUGAAAUAUCCACUUAACAAAAUAACAAAGGGUGUUUGGUCUAGUGGUAUGAUUCUCGCUUCGGGUGCGAGAGGUCGCGAGUUCGAUUCUCGCAACACCCCCAUACUCUUUUUCUUUUUUUUUUUUACUAAUUCUACAUCCAAUGGUCAGUUAUCAUUUUUUUUUUACUAAUUCUUUUUUUUCUUUUUUCUUUUUUUUUACUAAUUCUAUGUCCAAUGAACAGUUAUCUUUUUCUUCUUGGAUAGCUUCUUGUAAUCUCAGCUGCCUAUACAGUACAUUUUGCAUUCAGAAUAGUACUUGAUCAUGCAGCCUAUGUACCUACAAAUAUCAAGUCAAACUUGAAAUGGGCCAGCUUUCAUAUGAUUUCAUAAUAGCAAGCAACAAAUUAAGUUACUGCAGUUCAUGUACUCGCAAGAAAUUAAAAGAAACAGAAAUCAGAUAUGUUCACUAAUGAAAAUUAUGCAGAACUACAUUGCAUCCGUUACGGGCAAAUGGAGCUACAGCGCUGAAAUUGGAGCGUAAUAGAAAGGAACAACAAAACCAACCAAAAACCAUCCAUGCACCACUACUCAUCAGUUACCAACAUCGCAUAGGAAAUGACAUGAUAUAUAAAGCCAUCAAACAACAACCACCAGAGAGUUCACUGAGCAUAAACAUAAAGACUUGUUUUGAUCGUCUCAAGAUUUAAAACUUUCAAUACUACUGCUGUUAUUAAGAAUUAAUAAUGUCGAGCAAGCCAAAAGGGAGGACGAAAGGAUGCUCAAAUACAAGAUAUUCCAUAAGGUACAUAUCUAAAUCAUAAUGAGUGUGAGAGGAAAAAGUAAUCAGACGACGAGUCUGAUAACCCAAAGAAACCACAGCCAAGAACAAAAUGCAAUAGAAGAACAACCCAGAGACUGCUGAAUAGAUGUCGAACAACAUACCCAACCAAAAAUAUGAAGACGGUACUAUCAGAAACAAAAAAAAAAAAAAAAACAACAAAAACAAAGCCGACGAUUAAUUCCUAUGGCUCAACCUUCAUCACCUGCUCCCACUGCCCGUUUGCCACCUCUUUCCACAGAGUAACAUUGCUGUUACCAUCAGCGACCGACAAUAUAUUCCCAGUCAACGCCCAGGAAAGCCUCCAAACAGGAGUUUGAAAAUCAUUCAUAACCUUGCCCUGCCACUGCUCCCCCUCUUUCCCUCUAGCCCAUAUUACUACAAGACCAUCCUGAGAACAACUUGCAAUGGUCGACUUCGAUCCCAAACCUGGCGCCCAUGCCACAUCUCUCACCCAAUCAGCAUGCAACUGAACUUUAGGGCAGCUCUCCAAUUUCCAGUUCCCAUUAACGAACUCCCACACCUUAACGACACUGUCAAAGCCACCCGACACAAUCUUCUGAACUAGCGGUCCCGAGCUGACAAGCGAUCCAGGAGCCAUUGGAGGAGCCCAAGAGACAGAGGUGACACCAACUGGGUGAGCCCGUUCGAUUCUUGUAGUAUCCCAGCCGCCAUCAGACCGGGCCUUGAAGACCGAGAUGGACCCAUCAGAUGACCCACAAGCGAGGCAGAGCCCAAGUUCGUAUGGGGCCCAUGCAAUCGAAUUCACAGACGAUUUGUGGUCAGUGAAAACAUGGACUUGGGUCCACUGGGCUGGCGAAGCGCCCUCCUUCCAUAUGAUAACUUUGCCAUCGUAGCUGCAGGAGGCAAGGAUUGAGCCGAACGUCGGAUGAGCCCAGGCAAGCCGCCACACAGGACCGUGAUGGCCUGUUAGGGUUGCAAGGAGUUGAGAUGAGGAGGCUGAGACGGUGAAGAUUUUAACCGUGGAGUCAGAGCUGGCAGUGGCAAGGCGCUUGCCAUAGUAGUCGAUAACUGCGUCAUGGACCAUGUCCUGGUGGCCAGUCUCUAUCUUUUGGGCAGACAUCGUUAUAAACUGAUCGGGAUCUUCAGCUCUGUGGUCUCUGAUUGCCUGUUUCCUGUGUAUGGGCACUUGGUCAAACACCAAAUGGGCGAUUUCUAAAGAUAAAAUCUUAAGUUUCAUAAAAAGACAGUAGAUGAAGCAAACAAAGAAUCGCACCCAAAUUAACAGGCAGAUCAAUGGAGACUGUAGAUUCAGCAUAAAUUCUUAAAUAAUGACAAUGGUCUAGUUUAUCUCUGGAUUCUAUGCUCACCUUCUCCUAUUCAUGGGAAUUUGUAUCAAACGCCAGAGGGGAAGUUUCUAUAAAAAAGAUCUGGUUUUCGCAAUACAUAAAAUGACCAAACUAUAAAACACCAUAUGCAAAUUUCUGUGAGAUGAAUAAAAGCCAUAAUUUACCAUGAAUUUCCCAUGUGGUCAAGCAAAGAUCUAUCUUUUGGGAAGAUAUCUUUACGAUCUGAUCUGCAGUUUCAGCUCUACGGCUUAUCCAUUGGCCUUUUGUCCAGUUCAUGGGCAUUUUAUCAAAAACCAAAGAGGAGCACUUUGUACAAGUAAAAAUCCAUGGAAGGAUAAGCUAAUUUGCUAAUUUCUCAUAUAACCGAGUAUAAACCUGGAUUUAGCAUCAAAUUUCUUAGCAUACUAAGGCAACGAUCGAUCGAUACCUCGCAUCUGGUGGUCUUCAAAUCGUUUCAAUGAAUCGCUCGCCCAAAAAGGCAACCACCCAGGAUCGAACCUCAGAAUCAGGGUUCAAAUUGAAGGCUUCGUUAAUCGAUAAAUUAGCAAAAGCAACAACUUUUAAAACUCUAAUAGGUUUCCAGAGAUCGAAAGAGAAGAAAAUAGUGGAGUCGAUUUGGUCUGCGGAUCUGGAAACAAGACACAAAAAUCAUCGCUUUAGGGUUUGAAUUUCAAGGCAAAACCCUGGACGGAGGACAAACCAUUCGCGAUCCGGAUCCAGGAAAGAGACGGAAAGAGCAAACCCUACAAAUCUCGACGAAUAUAUAUAGAGAGAGAGAGAUCUAGAGAGAGAGAUCUAGGGAGAGAGAUCAAUAUAGAGAGGGAGAGAGAGAGAGGUACCUGUGGAGAUCUCCUUGCAGAUGAAUCUGAAGCUCGGAUCAAAGACGAUGAUUAACAAUUUCGCUCUCUCUUCUUCUUCUUCUUCCUAAAAAAAGGGGCCCAAAAUGAAACGCACGCACUCUUUUCGUUUCCCGUUUCCUCUUCCUGAAAAAGGGGCGCAAAAUGAAACGCGCUCUUUUCGUUUCCCGUUUCCUCCUUUUUUCUUCCUUUUUUUUUUUUUGGGUCGUGUUACCGUUUCGGAGCCAAUUUCUCAUGUUGGUCCCCCAGCAUUUCACUUCUUGCAUGUGGGUUCCUGUUGAUUAUUUAUUAUUAGUGAACUGAACAAAUCUUUUCCGUUGAAAUGUUUGUGGUUAUGUAGUCGAAUCAGACAGAAAUUAUCACGUGAGGACCCUUUUUCAAACAAUUUAAAAUUUGUAAAAUAAGUUUAUCAAAAAAUUUAAUUAACAAAUUAAUCCUAUUUUAAUAGAAAUUAAUAUAUUCUGCACAAAGCACAAAUUUUACUAUUGUCCAAAACAAAAAUAUUCAAAUCAUAACUAAACACAAUGUAUCUACUUUGACAAUAUUAAAAAUUUACUAUAAAAAAAAAAGAAAAAAACUUAUGAGAUAAACCACAAUUAAAAAAAAAAAAGAAAAAAAAAGAAAAAAAAAGAAAAAAGAGUAGGACGCAAGUUAUGAGAUAAACCACAAUUAAUUUACUAUAAUUCACACAAAGUGCUAGCCAACAACUUAAAACUUUAGUUGUCUUAAAAAAUCAUCCUAAUCCAUUUGUUUGUCCUACUAUUCCGCACUUUGAACGCAUUAUAUAAAUAUUUCGAUCUAGUUCGAUAAUAUAGCAGUCGAAAGAAACGUUUUUUUUUUGUAUUAUAAAAGGUCCAAAAAUUUUAAAACCGCCUACAACCUCCGAUCUCUUCUUUAAUAUUAUUCGAAUGAUAGUUGCAACCGUCAUAUUAAAGCAUAUGAGAGGAGUAGGUUCUAAACACUUUGAAUUUUUUGGAUCUUCGAAGGUAUUUAACUAUCACAUUAUCAAACUAGACCUUCGUAUCACAUAAGAUCACAAAGAGCGGGCUCUACCGUGCAUCUAAUCUGCUGCAAAACCUCAUGCAAGCAGCCUUCUCCACCCUCUCUUAACAAGCUCCAGAAUAUCCACGGAGGGCGGUUUGUCCUAUUCAGAUAUUCACGACCAAGAGGUACUGGAUUCUCUUUCGGAUAGGCCCUGAAAGGAGAAGAAAGACUGGAAUACCAACAGACAUCUGUCUAUUCACUAAUUCACCCGACCCGACAGUACCCAUUUUGGUAACGUUCAGUGCCAAAGUCACUGAAUGGGUAAGUCACCAAUCCCUAAAACGGAUUAUGUAAUGUACUUUAUUUGUUGGGGUACUGGUGGGUAUUUUAUCAGAGGUUUCUAUCAAUCUACCCUUGUGUGAUUCCUGUUGAAUCAUAUACUCGGGGGUGGGUGCGGGGCGGACGAUUUCCAAACGGACUACUCAUUCAUUAGAUAGAGAAGAUCGCCAAGAUUUCGUGAUCCGCUGCCGAACCUAUUCCAAUUCCAACAGCUCAGACUCAGAUCGUGGGGAUCACCGGAAAAAGAGAAGAGAAAGAUGACGGAUAUCAGUACAUCACUGCUGCUUAAAGAAAUAAGUAUCAACCUUUUAAUGCUAGCCGAAGAUCUGAAUUUAAAAUCUUGCUUUGUGUGGGAAUUACUGUCGGUGUAGUCUUAUAAAAAUACCCAAAAAAAAAAAAAAAAAGAGAUUGCAAAAAUAAAGUAUUAAAUAAGUGGAUUUUAUGUGCAUUAGCUUGUAAUCAAUUUUACACGACGACGUGCAUUAGUUCUUUAUUUUUUUAAUUAUUAUUUAAAAACUCCUGCCAUCAAUUUUCUUUUAUUUUUGUUUCUUUGUGAAAAAAAAUUAUCUCGAUCCACAUUCCCUUAUAAAGUAGUCGGGUAUCUACUGAUAAAACAAAACAGAAUAAAAUUAAUUCCAAUCAACAUGCAUUUCUGUUGGAUCCAACUAAAUUAAAUUUUUCUGAACUCAAUGAACUCUAUCGAACUCGAAAUUAGAAGGAAAGAAAAAAAAAGAAAAAAAAAAUCAUUGAAUUUCUGUUAAGCUUUGAUGCCAAACACCUUGCAGAAACAGCCAAACUACAGCAGAACGAGUGAAGUUAAAAAAAAAAAAAAAACAGAGCAUAAAGAUUGGUAACAAAUACAUAAAGAGGAAAGAAACAGCAAACUAAAGGAAUCAAAUACAAUUACAUAAACAAACUCCUCUCCUAGUGGCUAAGACUACAGUGUCCUUAAUUUACAAUGUGGAAACAAUAAUAAUAAUAUUACUGUAACUAAAUUAUGAUGCAGAAGAGAGCAUGCUAUUUUUUACUUAAAAAAUAAUAAUAAUAAUAAGUAUAAUUAUAAUAAAAAGCCUCUCCAUCCCCGCGGGGUGAAAAAAGAGAAUGUGGGGUGGAUCACCAUCGGCGGCGGCCGACGAGGGCGAGCAUCGGAGCUUGAUCCAGCGGAGGCCGUGGCAGAGCGAGGCCUUCAGGCGGCCCUCCACGGCGUAGGCCUUGUACACCGCCACCCGCCGCCGCCUCCGCGUGCCCCGACCCCCCGCCGGCCACCGACAGGGAAGCGACGGAGAGAGAGAACAAAGUGCGUAUAUAGUAGGCAUCAUAACGUACUUCAACAAAGGCUAACUCCGUUAUUUGUUAUUUCCAUGUCUUUCUCUUUCUUUCCUUCUUUCUUUCUUUUUCUCUCUUUUGAUUGUCUAUUAUGAUAAUAUAUCUACUCUUUCUAUAUUUAUUUUGUUAAAAAAAAAAAAAGGUUUUUCUUUUGUUUUACCGUCUAAGACAGUUCAUUAUCAGCACCGCCAAAAUAUGUCUCCGGUUGAAAUUCAAAUUUUAAAAAUAUAAUUCAGACGCAACCCAGCAAAGUCCCUACCUCAACCAAUUGAGAGAGAGAGAGAGAGAGAGAGAAAGAGAGAGAGAGAGAGCUUAUGCACUUGAAUGAUAAUCAAACAGCUAGAGUUUUGAGGAUAGAAGCAUAGCUAAACAAAAAUACCACAGCAUGCUUGAAUCAAGACACAUGUAAAUGAACGAAAAACUGAUGUUUUUAGUGGGCAUCAAGGUAAUAGCACCUCAGAAAAUUAAUAAAAAAAAAAACAUACAUACAUACUACAUAUAUAAUAAUAUAUAUAAUAGAGAAAUUAUAAUAUAAUAUAUAUAUAUAAUGUUAUAGAUAUCAAAACUUAUGUCUAAACUUGAGCAUUAUGUACACAAUACUGCUUACCGAUCCCCGAAAGCCAUGAUGCCUGCUUAUUUGUGGGUAGAGACAAGUUGCAAAAUUAAAAAAAAAAAAAAAAAAAACAAAAAUAACAACACAACAGGAAUAAAGAAGUAGAACAAGGGAAUAGGACCUCUUUCUCAACAGGAUGAAAUAGGUCACGCAUAACCAGUUCAACACUUUAUUUCGUUACAUAUUUACUACUACAACAAUUCCCGUAAACUUGUAUUAACGAAAUAAACAGCAAUCUCACCACAUGCCAAAACUGUAGAACUACUCCCUUCUUUUUAAGUCCCUACAAUAGGUUCUCUUUCUCCUCCAAACAAAAGUUUUUGAUUAUCUUACACAAGAUCACCUGUUAAUAAUUCCGAGAAACAGAGAAAUUUUAGGUACUAACGAAGACUCAUACUCGAUAAGAGCAUACGGAAAGGAAAGAUUGGCAGAUGAAUACCGCCAGAAUACUAGUGAUAUACCAUCUAAAUCAAGAUAGGCGUAUACAAAAUACUAAUGUAGAAUUUUUACCUCCUAAAUGUACUGUAGUGGGACAUAAAGAAGCGGUAGUCUGGAUGGUCUACUUGCAAAUCCCGAAGCCAAUUAUCUGCUUCUUGCAGCAGCAAGCUUGCCAGCUGGCGCUCAUGCAUUCCGUUGGAAGUCCACAUAGAACCUCUGAACUUGUACGACGCCAGCCCGAAUACAGGCAAUGAUAGCUUCGUGGAUAUUUCCACGGAACCGUUGAUACUCCUAACCCUAGAGGGGCCGCUGGCUUCCAGGUUCGUAAUGCUCGUAUCUGCCAAAAGAAAUCAAAACAUGUUAUUGGGCUUAAGAAAAGCAUAUCCACCUUAAUCUGCUACCCUGCUGUCUGGUGCAACAUUCACAUCACUGUUUUCCAACAUCUUCACCAAAGUGCCCACUUGGGACAGCUUCUUACAUUCUCUAAGAGAAGCAGAAGCCUGUUGUUCGGCAUAGAAAAAUUUUCAAGUUGGUUUGUCUCAACAUUUCUAAUAGUUGAUCGUCAUUCCAUUGAACUACACCUCUCUAUAUAGCACUAACUAGGAUUUCAAUCUAUCAUAACCAUCAGUGAGGGAUAAGGAGGAGAUAAAAAGUGAAACAUACUUACUUUUAGGUGUAGCCAGCAAAUGAAAUGUCAAGAAACAGGCAUCCAGAUCCUUCAAUGUUGGUCCUGUGGGUAUUCUGUAUAUGGGAUACCUGCAAUGGAAAGGAACCAAAAGAAGCGUACAUUAGAAACAAAAGCAGUGAAAAGGGAAUUAUUAAUUGAAAAAAAAAAAGUGAUCUGGAUUAUAAAAAAAAAUAAUAAUAAUAACCAUAUGAUAGAUCAAAGAUGAGAAACUGCUAAAAUAAAACAAAGCAUACCAAGCGACAGACAUCCAACUUAAUGGUAGUAGGUCACAGCUUUUGUAUGCCUUCAGGUCUGGAAAUUUGCUUGCAAGAAUUGAUAUCUGCAGCAUACGUAUACAUAAUGAGCAUCACCUUCAAGUUUUUUCAUCGUAUGAAAUAAAUCACCUUGCAGAUAAUAUUUGCCACUUGAGGCCCGUUUGGCCUAAGCCAGAGCUUCAGUGCAUAUGUUGUUUCAGUGGAGGUGUUCACAAAAGCACCAACAACAUUCUCAUCAAAAUUCCAGCAUCUGUUUUCAGGGCUCAGAAGCUUGAUACAGCUUCCUGCCAUAACAAAAGCCUCUAUAUAUUUUGCUUGUCAAAUGCCUGGGUCCAGCUUCCUGUAAUAGGGAAGUUGUUCCAAAAGCUGCACCAACCAGACAUUUGAUCUCCUAAAAAGUCAAGACAAAGAUAACUUGCCUUGUCAGCUAAAGGCUCUCGACCAUAAGGUGGAUCCCUCUCUAGAUACUCGAAUAUAGGAAGUAAUGGUGCGGUGCAAGCCUCACCAUCAUCACUCAAAAAGCCGCCUUGGCCUAUGGUGGUCCCCAUGGUUGCACCUCUUUCCCUCAGUCGAUCAGCUUCACUCUCGCUGCUGCUUUCACUGCUAGUAUCCAUGUAAAGUUCUCCGUCACUUUCCUCCCCAAGUCGCCUUAAAAUAAGCAAGAGAGUUAACUUGAAAAUGCUAUCAACAUUAUGGAAAGCUAUAAUCAUAAGAUAGUGCAAUCAUAUGAAAUCCCACAUUAUUAAAUUCAUCACACUAGAAUUUUCCUGAAAAAUAGAAAACAUGGUAUUCACAUUCUCGUACAAGUUAAAUGCUGAUUUGUGGCGUCUUGGGAAAUUGGAUAACACAAUUUCUUAAUAAAUUGAGAAUAUUCCAGAUUACCCUAUAACAAUAGUUUCCCAAAAUAAAGGCAAUUGUAAUGAACGGCUGUGAUGGUUAAAGAUGAGGAAAAGCAUAACAUUGAAUAAUACCUCCUCAACUCUACGUCCACUUCUAAUAUUUACUUGAUAUAAGUCAACAGUGUUCAUAUGAUACAGUAAAAAGAACAACAUACUUAACAGUUAAAGCUUCUUUACAAUCCUCAGGAAAUUAAUACUCAACCAAUUUAAAGUAAAUGAUGCUUUAUUUGAUUCUAAUCGAAUGGAAGCCCAGAACAUUUUGCUUUGUCUACGACUGCCCUAUCCAUGCUUUUAAAUAACUUAAUAAAGUCAUUGCAGCUGAUCUCCAUGCUGUUUCUCUAAUCUCUAAAAAAAUUAGUGUGUUAGUUGAAGUUCCUUUAAAAUAUCUCUACUAUAAUUCAAAGUACAGCCACAAAAGGAGCAGUCAAAACAACUGAUCCCUUAUCCACACUUUCCAUCAUUCAUCUCCCAAAGUGAGGAAAAAAAGUACUCUAGCUUUGCUCCUCUUCUAUGUUACCUUACUUAAGAGGACACAUACCAAAGUUCCCACAUAGCUCUGAAGUCUGAACUCUAUGAAUAACUGCUCCUUCUCUGGCAUGCACACACUCGCAUACAAAUGCAUUUGCAUUUAUUAUUAGCAUGCUCUUACAUUAUUAACAACAAAUAAAAUACUGUCAAGAUUAGUUUAUUUGAAUUUUUUUUUCAGAUAAACAUAACCAGAAGGCCUGUGAGUUCUCUACACUUGGUUUUAGUAAGUACCUACCGCUAAGGUUUUGGACUGAAACACACUCCAAACAACCAAAUGAUCAAGAUGCUAACUGCCCUUCCACUAAGGUAUUCCAACACUAUCAGAUCUAUUCUUAUGUCCGCUCCCAUCUCGGUGGAAACUUUCUACAGGAUUCAAUUUUUGAUUUCAGGUUCAAUUUUGGCCGAACUUUCAGGUAGUUUUGGCUUUAGGAUCUCUUACAACUAUUUCGACCAAAAAUCUUUAAAAGAACAGAGAAACUGAGUGGACUUAAGAGUUCCUUUGAUCCCACUAUAGCAACCAAGAAACACAUAAAUAAGCUAACCACAGCUAAAGGAGCGAACAAACUUUAGCUUACAAGUUCAGAUGCUCAAUAUAUCGCGGUAAAGCAUAUGAUGUUGAGAUGAUUGCAAGUUGAAUUAGAGCUAAAUUACAAACUAAGAUCAUAAAUCUGUUCUAUAGUGCAACAUAGAACGCUUGGGUCACUGAUCACACGCUUAUGAAACUAUAAGAACCAGAUUGCUGCACAGGGAUAGAAAGUAGAAAACUAAUAUUAUAACAUGUGGAAUCUUCCCGAUCGAAAUGAUAGGUAUCGAGAGCAAUGCUGCAACCAAUAAUACUUUAAAAACAACUCUUUUCACGGAAGGACAAGAAAAGGAGGUACCAGUAUUAAAUAACAUGUUAAAAGGCAUGUAAUAAUAAGAAUCAAAAGCUGCAUUCUGACAAUACUUCAGAUUCUCGUAUUCAUCUAAUAGCUACUUGUUCAGCAUCAGACAAAUAAGCUAAAACCAAGAAGAUAACAGCAAAAAUAGUUCAACUCGAAGCACAUAGCAAUUUUUAUAAGAGAAGGUAAUACCUUGAUCUCGAAGAGGCCCUAGAGGGGUCAGCAUAGAGCUGAAUCGCGGAGAGGUAGGGCACGUAAUACUGAAUCACACGAUCGCUCCCAUUCAACACGAGCGGCACCCCUGCGCCAUACGCACUCCACUCCUUGAACGACUCCCAGAGAUCUCCAAGGCAAAAGUAGGGUUUCGAAUCCUCGCAAUCCCUCCACCCCCUCACGAUCGUCUACAACAACACAAAACCCUAAACAAUGACCACUAAAAUCACGAAAAUUGAAGUAAAAAAGAGUGAAAAACGAUCGAGGAACAGAUCGAGGACCUUCGGGAAGUGUUGUGCGGGUACUACGGGCGUGGUCGCCUCGAGAAACCGAUCGAGAUUCCCCGCAGGAGGGAUCGGAAGAGGCGAGGGUGAAGAGGAGGAGGACGACGACGAAACCGAGGGUUUCGAAGAGGAAUCGUCCGAGUCUAGCCGGCUUUCCGGCUCGGUGGGAGGGGACGGCCUCGGCUUCGGCCGCGACGGCCUCUGAGGCGGCGCCGCAGCCUGCGUCGGAGGCGGCGGCUGCUGCUGCUGGAGCUUCUUCUGCUGCUCGAGCUGCCUCCGCACGGGCGGAGACUUGUAGAAGCGGUCAACGUCAAGGCCACGCGCCGAGGAGGAGGCGACGCCCGAGCCGACCAUCGCAGCGGCGGCGGAGGAGGAAGGGGUAGAGAGCUCGAGACGAUCCGAGGAUAUGGGAUCGGAGACGACAAAACCCUAGCGAUCUCGCCGAGGGGUCGAUAAUGGCGAUCGAAAAUUAGGGUUUUGAUCAGAGAGAGAAGGAAGAGAGAGACAGAGAGACGCGUUGUCGAUGGAAAAUACAACUCAGGUUCUCCGCCUCCCGUUCGUUUUACGGGUGAAAAAUGUAUGGAGAGCCCCUCCACUAUCCAAAUAUUAUGAUUUUUGCUGUUAUAAUUUUGAUUUGGGAACACUUCGAUCCCUAAACUUCUAUAUAAUUCAGAUAAAAAAAAUUUAGAUCUGUACAAUUAAAUCUGUUUAAUGUCACUUCUGAUCGUAGUAGAAAAAAAUUUCAAAAUGCACCAAUUAUAUUACUGAUAUGGCGUCCUAAAUCAAUAGCAUUAUUCCUCUUACUGAUAUUUUUAUUGUACUUUAAAAAAAUUAAUAAUUAAAUUAUUGCUGAUGAUGUGGUACAAAUAUAAUAUUAUAAACUUCCUCCUUAAAAGAAGAUAACUCUCUAUUUCUUAGAUUUUAAUUUAUAGUAUUUUUUUGACCAAAAACAUUUAGAACUAUUUCAAUCGAAUUUUAUAGUACAAAUAAAAUGAGUGAACAGAAAUAUGUCAUUAAUGUGCGGGUAAUGAAUCAAUAUCGUAAUUAAUAAUAUAUCAAUAAUUAAGAAAUUAUUUUAUUAUCACAUUACUGAUAUAUUAUUAUUCGAUUAACUAAAUAAAACAGUGAAAAUGAAUUUCAACAAUCUAAAAAAUACAAGAUAAAAAUUAUAACAAGUUAAAACUUGAGCAUUAAAAUAUUGCCCCUCUCAUAAGUUGGGAAACGAAAAUAUAAUUUAGUCUAUAAUAAAAAUUACACAAUAGCUUCUGAAUUUUUACUUAAAAUUGAUAAAAAGAAUAAUCUAAAUAUUGGGCAAGUAUUUUUACACCCAUAUACACACUAAAAAUGCACUUUAGAGCAUAUUAUUUCACAAGACGAGCAUUUUAAUUUUUCAAAAUAAUCUUUUUUAAUAAUAAAUUUUUUUUAAGAAAUAAAAAGAUCUUCAAGACGCUAAAUCUGUGGAUAAACAGGUAAUGAAAGGACUAAUUCAACUAUAUUUAUAAGAAGUGUAGAAAAUAUCUAGUUUACUUUUAAAAAUGAUGAGUAAUGUAAAAUUUUAGCAAAUCUUCAAAAGCUAUAUGUACAAUUUACCUAUAUUUUUAUAUAUAAUUAAUAUCAAUCAAUUUUUUAGGAAACGUUUUAAAAGUCUACAUUCAAAUUCCUAAAAUACCCUCAGUGCAAUCUCGAGUGACAAGGCACACUAUCCACGAGAUCGGGAUUCUAGAAGGAUCCCGAGAUAUGCCCAGGGAAUCGAAUAUUCAGGUACGUUCCAUUCGCGGAGUCGAUUGAACGGCCGUGAUUGAGGUGAGCUUAGCCACGGACGGUCCUGAUGCUAGCAAUUGGAUGAUCGAACUAUUUUUCUCAUCUCUAUUUAAUGAGAACUUGAAAUUACGGAAUAGCCCUUACUGAGGCGCGAGGUGUCGCCCUUCGGGGAGUGGCAGAUUGGUAAAUUCACGGUAUUGCCGCGUUGCUGGAUAUGGUAAUAACACCUCCCGCUUUAUUAGCACGACAGGUGUGCUGACGUGGCGAACCGUCUUUUGGCGGAAGGGUUGAUCCGCUCCAACGGACAGUGUUCUUCUUACUACAACCAUAGAACGUGGCGUGUUUACAUUGGUGGAGUACACUUUCCGUCAAAUUGGCUCCUUUAGCAGAAGGGCUUUUUUUGCAUUUAGACCCCUGGCAAAUUUUUAUUUUAAAAAUAGCCCUGUCAAAAUUUAAUUUGCAAAAAUGGCCCUGCGCCUGCCACGCAUGCGCCACGUCAGCGCCACGCAGGUAGGGCUGGGCCCGUGUGUUAAGUUGAACACGGUGAACUAUUCACCGUGUUCAAAUACGGUGAAUGGUUCACCGUGUUUAGUACGUAUUUUUUGUUAUGUAUUUUUUAUAUAUUAAAAAGUGGAAUAAGAAGUAGGGAUGUCAAUAGGUAUGGAUAUCNUUUAUAUAUUGUAUAAAUAAAUAAAAAUAAAUUACGUAUAUAUAUAUAUAUAUAUAUAUAAUUUAUUCGGGUUUGGAUUCGGAUAAUAUUUCGGAUAUCCAUACCUAUUGACAUCCCUACUCCUUAUUCCACUUUUCAAUAUACAAAAAAUACGUACUAAACACGGUGAACCAUUCACCGUGUUUAGACACGGUAAAUGAUUCACCGUGUUCAACUUAAUACCCUGCCCUCAGCCCUGCCCGCGUGGCGCUGACGUGGCGCCUGCGUGGCAGGGACAGGGCCAUUUUUGCAAUUUUAAUUUUGAUAGGACUAUUUUUAAAAUAAAAAUUGCUCAGGGGGCUAUUUGCAAAAAAAACCCCUUAGCAGAACGAGUUGAGUUAUGUGCCACGUGGCGAACAUUCCUAGCUGUAGAAAACAAUACAACCUGUGUUUUGUUGGAAACAAUCCGCAAGAGUAAUUACACUAAUAAGAUUAUAAGAUUUGGUUGAGUGAACAAAUGAAAUGGAUAAUGCAAAGCGAUAGUAGGUUAGCGUAAACUUGUAAAUAAACUAAUUUGCAUCUUUCCUUGUUUUUUAAGAUAAUAAUAUGUGUAAGUUCUAUCUAUUAUUUCAUAAUUUUACAUAAAUUUAUUAGUGAUAAUUUAAAUUCUAUUCUCAUGUAUAGAAAUAGAAGUGUUUGAUAAUUACAAAUUUACAGCUUUUACAGUAGCUCCAAACAGUAAUGAGAGUUUGAUUUUGAGCCUCAAAAGUAGAGACUUCAAUGUAGUGAUUUUAAUUUUGAUGAAAACCUAAAAAAUCUCUGUAGCAUUUGUUUUUUUCUUGCAGAUUUUCACUACAAACUCUCGACCCAAUUAAGGUCCAUUCACUAAAAGCCCAAAACCUAAUUGGGUCAUCCAAUUCUAAAUUGGUAUUAAGUCUCUGUUUUUGAGUUACAAGAAAAUUGCUUUAUAGUUUGUGAGAAAAGUACGAUAAAGAAAAUAUUUUUUUGUUACUGUACAUGCGUUACAUGUAUUACAAUUUACGAUAUAUUUUUUACAAUCUUACUAAAAAAUUAAAAAUAUAUAUAUAUAUUUAUAUAUUUUUGCCUAAAUUUUGAUUUACUUAAUGGUGAUAGACAGAUCGCAAUGUCAAAUAAACCCUAACAAGGUAAUUAGCCAACAGUUGUUGCAUGUUGCAUCAUUCAUUCUUCUAUUUGAUCAUGUCGUAGGCAAAUUAUGCAUAUACAUUCCAAAUUGACCCUUUGUCAAUGUGGGAAGCUCCACUUGUAUAUGUUUGCGGUGAAAUUUUCAAGAAAACAGCUAAAAAAUUUUACGAAUGUACUGAGUUAAGUGAUCGGGUAUUGUGUGGUUGCAGAGAUCUUUGAUCUUCUAAGGUUUCGGUUGGACUCAGCCUAUUUACUUUCAAUUCAAAGGAGCCAAUAAAAAUGUUUAUAUUAGUUCAUAAAAUCAGAAUGUACGUGUACAAAAUGAUUGAAAAUAAAAAUAGAAGAAGAAAUGGGAGAAGAAAGAAAUUAAAAUUAAUGGUCAAAAUGUAUGUUGCUCCUCGUGCAACGGCGGUUUUGGGGAGCCCCACACGUGCAUGUAUCCCCCUUCUCACGGAAAAUCUCAUAGGAAAAUAUGAGCUUGCACAUGGGCCGGUUGCUUCCACAGCUGCUCCAAACAAUAAUAGUCAGCAUUUCAAUUUUAAAUUUUCAAAGGCACUGACCGUUCCUAGCGUAAGUGGCAAAGGAUUUAAUGGUUGACACUCGAAAUCCAAGUUCAAAUUCUUAUUGAUUCACAUUUUCAGCUAAGUUUAUUUUUAAAUGAAAUAAACGAAGCCGGUAACAUGUUAUUUUUCUCUCAAUAAAAAAUAAAAUUUAAAGUUUUCGAAGGCAUUUUUACAAUAACUUUCAAUUCGAAGCUAUUUUUUUGAAUGAGCCAAACUUAAUACAAACACAAUUUUAUGAAUACGAUGUACGAUAUCUAUAAAUUAAUUCACUUAAACAACAGUAUCUAUUUCUUAUAAGCAUUUUAACAACUGCAAAAUCAGUCAUCCGGUCUCAAUCGCUUGAAUGUGUUAAACUACUGAUGAUCACAUGAAAAGAAUUUUGUUGAUUUUAGAUUUAUAUGUCUCUUAUCUAUCUGUUUUUUUCUUAUUUUUUAUUUUUAUUUUUCGGCUUUUUUUUUUUUUCGGAGGUCCUGACUAAUUUCAAAUUGAUUGCGAAGUUUAUCUUGCAUAAUAAAUGAAAGAGGUAACUUGCUAUCUUUUCUUUAAAAAAAAAAUAAAAAUAAAGGGGGACAACUGCUAAAACAGUUCUUUGUUUUUCUCUAAAUCUAAAAUAGUUGGUGGUGUUUUUUUUUAAAAAAUUUUUUGUCUUUUUAAGAUACCCCAAACUUUUUUGGAAAAAAUUUUGAAAAGAAAAAAAAAGAAAAGAAAAAACCCAAACGCCAACGCGCGCUCUCUUUCCCUCUUCUUCAGUGUCUCCAUGAAUAGAAUUGGAGUGCGCUCGCCGCUUCUGCUCCUCCUCUUCAAGUCCACUCUUCUCUCUCUCUCUAGAUCUCUACAGAUCUCGCUCGCUCUCUCGCGUCCCAUUGGGUGGCCAUGGCGAAAUCCCCACUCCUCCUCCUCCUCCUCCUCCUCCUCGUCUCCUCCUCAAUCGAGGACGACGACGACGACGCCCCGCCGUGCACCGUGUGCUCCUCUUGCCCCAACCCCUGCUUCGUCCCCGCUCCUCCUCCACCGCCCCCCACCGCCGCCUCCGAUUGCCCUCCCCCUCCUCCUCCUCCUCUCGUUCCCGUGGGCGAAUUCUACUACUACUCGCCGCCGCCGCCGCAGCAGUGCGGGUGCGCCGCCGAGGAGGGGGCGCCUCCGCCUCCGCCUCCGCCGGAGCCGCCGGGGUCGGCCGUGCCGUACGAUCCGUCUUACUAUUAUACCCCUCCGCCUCCUGGGGAGUUCCUUGCAUGGGCGUCGGCCCCGCAGAAGCUCCCGACGACGCUUCGUCUCUUCUUCCUCCUGCUGUUCGUCUCCGCAUCCCUGCUCUUAAUCAUAGCGCACGACUUCUCUUUUUUUCUUACAUUUAUUUACACAUAAUACGCGCACACCCCUGCACACUCAUCUAUCUAUUUGCAUCAUUCACUCACUCACUCACUCACUCAUUUUCGCACCACGUCUCCUCUUCAAUUUUAAAAUAGCCACAGCUGCGCUCGAACAAUUUCUCUGAUGAGAAGUAUAUAAUCGUUCAUUUGUGUGCUUAGAGGGGGGUUUGAGUGUAAGAAGUUCACUUUUUGAAGAGCAUAUAUGCAAAUUUCUAUCUCACAAGGGCUUCAUGUAGGAUUAAAUGAUUUUUCUUUUUCUUUUUUUCAAAGAAAGAGGGGAUUUGCAACGUAGCAAUGUAGCAUACGCUUUGGCAGCUUGGACGAAGCUUAAUUAAUUUAGAUUAUUAUUAUUACUCAAUUUUAAUUUAUUAUAAUUUGAUAAUAAUAAAAAUUUUUAUUUUCUAUGUUAACAGAUUAUUUAUUUUGUUAUCCUGUCAUUUCAUAAAAUAAAGGAAAUGCAGAUAUGAUGUUUAACCCUUUUUAUAGUGUCAUUUUCUUUCAAAGAAUAUAUAGUUGAUUAUUUGGUUUUUGAGUUAUACUAUUUGUACUCUUAUUUGUUCAGGUAUAAAUCUUAUAUUUUAUUUUUUAAAAGUUCAAAUUCACUCACCUGCUUUAUUAAUAUUUUGUAAUAUUAGGCAUUGUUUAGUUGAGGGAUAAAGUGGGAAUAGACCACUUUAUCCCUCUAAUUUAUCCAAACACUAUAAGAGGGAGUAAGUUUAUUUAAUCCCCUCUUAACGGGUUAUUCUAGAAUAACCCGUUAAGAGGGAAUUUCUUGUUCCACCCUUUUGGUGAAAUAACAAAUUUUUCUCUUUAUACCUCUACUAGUUUGAUAAUAAAAUAUUAUUAAUUAAUAUAUUAUAUAUAUCAUUUUAUUAACUAAUUAGCUAAAUUAAAAAUUAACUAAUUUAAUAAUAAAAUAUUAGCUAAAUUAAUAAUUAUUUAUUAGUGUGUUUAUGCAAUAACUAAUAUCUUUAUUGAUUAAUAAAUUAAUAUUUUUACCAACAUAACUAAUUAAUUAAUUAAUUUACUAAUAUAUUAAUUUAUUAGCCUAAUUUGUUAACUUAUUAAAUUAUUUAUAGUUAGAUAAUUUAUUAAUUAACAGUACUCAUGGUUAAUUGAUUAAUGAUUAAUUAAUCUGGUAAUUAAUGUAUUAAUUAACAUUUAUGAUUAUCUAAUAAUAUUCAUGAUAAAUUAAUUUUUUAAAAUUAUAAAUUUGAGAUUUUAAAUUUUUAAAAUUUAAAAGUUUAUAUUUUAAAUUUUAAAAUAUAAAUAUAAAAUAUAAAAAUUCUAAUUCUAAUAUAAAGAAAAAAAAUAAUAUUAUUAUUUUUUAUUUAUAACUAUCCACUUUAAUUCUUAUUCUAUCUUACCUAAUCAAACGCUAUUUUUCUUAUUUUCAGAAAUAACUCAAUUUUCAUUCAAUCGCAAAAUUGAUCUAAUCCCCGCUUAUACCUCAAUUUAUACAUAUUUUCGGAAUACUUAUUUUUUAUUUAUUCUCGAACCAAACGAUACCUUAGAAAUUUUAUAAAAUAAUAAUAAUCUUUUUUGAUGAAGUAUAGAAUACUCACCGCAUAAAUAAGUGCACAGGUGUGCACUUUUCGUGCCAUUUCUAGUGUGAUAACUAACUUUUUACGUCAUUUCUGGUGUGACAACUAAAUAGAUGACUGUUCGUUCUUAACUAAGUAAUAAAAAAUUUAGUGAUCGAUAGUCAAAUUUUUAAAUUUAAAAUUUAGUUGAUUUAUAUUUUUAACUAAUUUUAUUUUUUUAAAAAUAAACAAAAUAAACAGUAUAUUACUUUUCUCUCUCAAAAAGAAAAAACUAAAUUAAUUUACACAUCAUUCAUUUGAGUUACUUUUUAUCACGUAUUAUGACCAGUAAGCUAAUGUUAAAAGCCUUAUUGAGACUAGCUAGUACCACCUAUUAGGUGAUCAAGGUGCUUACAAUCUUAUUGCUUUGUUGGUUAAUAAUGAUUUUUCAAAGUACUUAGGAUGCUUUUACUGUAAAGUUAUCAAUUUUUUACUAUAAUAAUAAUAAUAAUUAGAACCUAUUUUGCUCAAAUCGAGCAUUUUGAUAUUCCAUUUAGCAUUUCACUAUUAUAGAAGUACUUGGCACAUAGACCAUCUCUCAGAUUCUAUAAAGGGAACGUUGAGAAGUAACCAUUGAACUNAAAAAAAAAAAAAAAAAAAGAAAAAAAAAAAAGAGUGCUUGAGCUGCUUCUUUGCUCACCGCACCCCCAGAAUACACUAACCACUCAUCCAAAAAUCCAUCAAUUUUUUCUUUUAUAAAUUUAUAUUAUAUGUAAUCUCUCUUCCUCUCUCUCUCUCUGUCUCCAACAUAAAUCACACUUAAUUAUAACAACCCAGAAGAUAGAGCCAUUAACAACACAGCAGCUUGUUCCUCCUCCCCCAUCUUCCGCUUCUUGUACACCAUCGACCUCUUCUUCAGCAUCACCUUCGCCCCAAACCCUAGCAUCCGAAUCUCGAAGCCCACGCGUCCUCCCCUCCUCCCCUUCUGCUCCAACCUCUCCCUUUCCCUUUCCCUCUCCCCCUCCCUUUCUCCUCCCUCCUUCACUCCCCAAACCUCUCUCCUCUUCUUGCUGUAUCGGAUCCCGCACGCAUUACACAGCGACUGCAACAGCAACAACAGAUCGAGCCAAAUCAGAUCAGAUCGGAUCGAAUCAAAAAAACAAAAAGAAGAUCGGAAGCGAUCAAAACCCUGAUUUUCCAAAUCGAUUCCGAGAUCGAUCGAGUUCGCACCUUUGGGCCCGAGGGGCCGCCUCGCCAUAGAGGGGUUUUGGUCGUGCGACAGUCGGCGCAGACUCUGAGCUCCGUCGCCGACUCCUCACUACUCGGAUCUGUAGAUCCCGGACCCUGAAACCGAAGCGAGAUUGGUAGAUUGAUGAGGAAAUGGUCGAGAUUAAAUAAGGAUCGAUUAGGGGGAUGCAGGGGAAACAGUAGAUCGACCCAACUCACCUUUUCGCACGACAGAUCCAUUUCCAGCAUAUCAAAAUCGCGCCUUAAUGAUCCGAUUGAGAAAAGCCCAAAUAGCGAUCUCGAAAGCUCCGAUCAAAGAUGAGAGAAAGAGAGAGAGAGAUUGCGGGAUUAGGGUUAGUAGAGCUUGAUCUGUGUAGUGGUAGUGAUAUGCGGAUCUGAGAUUUGAAAAGGAAGGAAAGAAGAGGGAGGAGAGUAUAUAGCGAGUGAGAAAGAGGGGGGGAAAGGAUUGGGGGCGUUUGGAGACAAAUUUUAGAUCUAGGGAGGGAGAGGGAGCGAAGUGGAGGGAAACAGAAAACGGUGGAGGGAAAAGAGGAGGAUGGAAAAUGUUAACUAUUAUAUUAUUAUAUUAUUAUUAUAUACGGAGAGAGAGUGAGAGAGAGAUUGAGAGAUUAACGAAAUAAAAUAAAUUAAGGGGAAAAGCAAGAAAUAUAUAAUCUUGUUUUUUUUUUUUUUAUUCACUAAGAUGUUAGUAAAUUGUAAUUAUAUUAACUAAGCAUAUAUAUAUAUAUAUUAGUAUAUAUAUAUAUAUAAUAUAAGUAUUGAGUGAGGCGACUAAUGCUAUGGAAGCACGGAGCCUUCCGUGCUCCACCUGUUCUUUCGAUGUUGCGACUUCGAGAUCUGUCGAUCGGUUCCGGUUAAAUGAUCGAGUAUUUGGAAGACUAGAAAUAAAUUUUAUUAUUUUUCUGAUAUCAUUUGACCUAUGUGAUCAUGGGCUCAAAAUCGAAAUUUCAAUGACGCCUAGUGAGCGUUUGCAGUUUAACGGUGUAUAGAAAUAUCCAAAUCACGUGAAAUUUUGAUAGAAAAUUUUUUAUACUAUAUAAAACGAAGAUCAAUUAUCUUUGAUUAAAAUUUUAAUGUCAUUAUUAUUACAUUUUGGAAGAUUUUUAUUUUCAGCCGUUGAUUGAACCCCUUCCUCUGCCAUUCACUAGGCAAAGGGAUAUGUCGUUAAAAUCAUAAGAAUUAUAUUUUCUAGGUACUUCAAAUAUUCUAGAAUCAAGUUACGGAGCUGAAGGUGAUUCGUCCGAUCGAGCGAAUGCGAACCCGGCUGCAAUCGAAAACGAGGUCCUAUAUAUGCUAUCGGAAAGCUCUGGUGCUUCCGAUAAGGCAGAGUAGCCUCACUCUAUAUAAUAGUAUAUGAUAUAUAUUAAUAUAUAUAAUAUAUAUAUAUAAAAUUAAUAUAAUUUCCGGCAGUCCCUAAAAUAGUUAGUAUCAAAAAGUUUAUGCGGACCGUCGGGCAUUCGCUCGUUAUCGUUCUCGUGCGGCACAAUUACCGCAUCAACCGACAGAGAGAACCGAGCAAGGCAGACUACUUAGAUACGCCAUAGAGCAUAGCACACCGCACAGCACUUAGGAUGACGUGUGCGCCCUGCAAAGCGGCGCCACUCACUCAGUGAGCGAUUAUCAAAAAAUUAUAUACCCUAUAAUGAUUUUUUUUUUUUACAUUUAGUCCUCUAAAAAAAAUAUAUAUACAAUUAUAAUUUUAGUUUUAUUUUUAUCACGCAAUCGUCACAUCAGUACCUUGCAAGCUGGUUAGGGAGGGACGAACACGUUAAAUGAUUUAUCAUAUUUCACAUUUAUAUUUCUUCUAUUCAACACAUAUAUUUUUUUUAAAACACGAUGAAUUAUUUAUCGUAUUUAAAUACGGUGAAUAAAUUAUUGCUUUCAACUUAUUUCAAUACUUCCACCUGCUCGCACUCCUACGUGGUAGGAAUAAGAUUAAAAUUAUAAUUAUAAAUUUGGUGAGAUUUUUUAUAAAAAUAAUUUUUUCAUGAGGCCAAAUACAAAAAAAAUCCUAUAUAAUGCAAAAGAGAGUUUGCUGUUUUGUGCCGUGUAGCUGGGUUUUGUUGCGAGGGGGGUGUGGGAAGGCGCAGGGGCGGCGUUACGGCGCGGCACCGCACCGAUCACACUCGAAAACCCUAACCAGGAUUUUUUUUUGUCAUUUCUUUUUUUACUUGAGAUGCCGAAAAUGCCCUCGCUCUUUGGGCGCUAAUUUAUCUGACAAGUAGUCAGCAAUGCGGGGCAUGUCGGUCAUACAAGUUGAGAGGCAUAACUUGCCGCUCGAUCAAGAUCCAACGGUGGAGGUAGUCGUCUUCUUUUUUCUCCUCUUCUUCUUUAAUUUUGUUUAGGAAAAAGGAAUAAUGAUUUUGAUGAUACUCUGGAUUCAGAGAGCAAUACAACAAGGAAUGCUACUUGUACCCUUCUAUAAUAUGAGUGUAGAUCUUAAAUUAAGUAUAUGUAAAUAUAUGUGCGAUGUUAAAUUAAGUAUAUGUAACAACUAUUGUUUUCUAAAAAUUUAAAACAAUAACUUUAAAUUUUUAGAGAAAAGAUUGUUCCUUACAAUUUAGAAUAGUAUAGAAGGUGUGAAGUUGAAGCUCCGCCACAUUCAUAGAGAGAGAAGUUUCCAGACAAUUAAACUGACAGGAGAACAAAAGAGAGAAGAUAAAAAAAUGGUUGAUUUUAUACCGCUCCGUAUAAUUAAAUACACCGAAUAGCAGAUAUAUUUCUAUAAAAUUUAAUUUUUUAUAUUUAUAAAUAUAAAAGUCUAGUGAUAUUUAUAUUUAUCCAUCCGGUUUGUUAUCGUUAGAGCACUAAUUAUUUUUUUAACAAAGAAUAAAUAAAAUAAUAUUUUUAUUAUCUUAAAUACGUCUCUCGAAAAGUCCCCACUAUUAGAAUUAUUUAAUUUUUUUUUUCAAAAAUCUUCAACGAUCAUUUUCUUUCUUUCUACCGUCAUAAACAAUAGCAAAAAAAAUCAAUUUACAUCAUUCACUAACUAUGGUUAAGUAUUUUAUCUAUGAUUAACUGUAUUUUCUAAUAGAUACUAACAGCAAUGCUAUAUUUAAAAACAUUAAAACUUUUGUAGGAAUAAAUCUAAAAAAAUUAAAUUUUAUAGAAAUAUAUUUGUUAUUCGAUAUAUUUAUAGAAAAUUAUAUAUAAUUAACUCUUAAAAAAAAGAAAAGAAAAGAAAAUGAGGUCCAAUCUGCGGCCCUCUCCUUCUAUGAAGCAUCAGAUCUCUGAUGACAUGAUUCAUGUGUUAUUUCUUUGCCUCUUUCGACGCAUUCUCGGCAGGGCCGGUGUUUGUACUUCAUUAUUCAACUGUAUUGACUUUCCAUGCCUCUUCCUUGCCUCACAACAGUACAACUCUUGGACAUGAGAAAAAGUAAAGUUCUUUUUUUUUUUUUUUUUUUUUUUUUGGAAAAACGAGAGAGUUAAAGAUAUUAUUAUUAUUAGUUUGGACUAAAAUUCUACUUAUGUGCAGGUAUUAUCAGUAGAGAAUUAGCUUGUGACUAAUAGCUUCCAUUUAAGCUUCAAACUUGUGUUUGUUGGGUGCCUGGGCAUUUGAGCUAAACUCGUUACAAAAAAAAAAAAAGAAAAAAGAAAAAAGAAAAAAACUCUGAUUUGUUCAGCACCUUGAAUUUGUUGUUCGAACAUAUCAUUAAAAUCCAUCUGCACUCCUAAUUUGCACUAUUUUUUUUAACAAAAAAAUAUCGAUGCUUUCAGAACAUUUAGAGAGAGUGUCGAGCAAGUGUUAAAACAAAUUUGAGAGAAAUAUGACAGCAUGCAGAGAGAAAAAAAAGAGAGCUUACACACACAUUAGAAAAAAAAAAAAAAGAAAGUAGAAAAUUUGAAAGGAAAAUAAUUAGGGCCAAUAGACCAGCUUUUCACACCAGAACCCUGUACACAAAAUCAUUCUAUAAACCCACUCGAUUGAACAAAUAAAUAAAUAAAUAAAUAAAUAAAUAAAUAAAUAAACAUACAAUACCACCCUCGAUCUCACAACAUUGUCUUAUAUUGAAACCCAACCUUUGAACAAAGAACAAGGAACAUUGUUAGUGCGUCAAAUUAAUGUUAGGCUUUAUUUAAUCACAUUAGAAGUCCCUCAAAACUCUCCUAUUAACAACAACAAGCGUCCUGAAGAUGACAGCUAUAAUGGCAAGGUUUGGUCACAGAGUUAGUGCCUAAAAUUUGAUCCCGAUUUCGGUUACAUUUUCAGAAUUCCAGUUCUAAUCAUUUUUGUUACUCCAAAAAUUUCCAUCUUCACAGCAAUUUCCGCCUAGUUGGCCGAGAACGCGGCGACGUUGUCUUUACUAUAAUACCGUUGAUGUUUUAGAAGAUUCAAAAUCGUAAGAAAAGCAUUUUACAAUGUUUUCUUCCUGUUGAUUCUUUUUACUUUAAUAAAAUAAGUGAUGAAAACCGGUGCCAAAAGAAGCAUUUGUUCGGCGCCGGUUCUCAUCACUAUUUCACAUGAAUUAUUAGUUUAAAAAUUAUUUUGAAUCCUCUAAAACAACAAGGUGGACGACUGGGCGCUGCGCAUGCAUGCAUUUGGAAAGUAAGCCUUCGGUCUGUCUACGGCAUCAUUUACGUUACUUAGCGGCCGUACGUAUGAAAACAAAUAAUAAUGUUCAUGUUUGUGGGAAAAGAAUGGUCAUAAAUGUCAGCAGAACUGCAUGCAGGGCGGCGCCACAAGAUCUCACGAUCGACGUCAUUUGUUCAGACGGGGCGCGCGCGCAGCCUAACUAAACUAAUCGGAAUUGGGUUGGGGAUCAAAGAUUUGAGGACUAAAACUGUAGUAAAUGUAUGUAAAUUUUCACCUAAACUUGUUGCGGUGGGGGUGGGGGUGGGGGUGGGGGUGGGGGUGGUCUCUAGUACUGAGUCUGGUGGUGGUAGUAGUAGUAGAGUAAGAGGAGUUGGUGUUGGUGUUGGUGUUAUUGGCCUGGGCAAAUUUGGAGCACAAGCAGGAGAGGAAGGCGAAGAGGGCGGAGAGGGCGCAGAGGGACCAGGUGAGGGCCCACAGGGCCCACUCCUUGGGGCCGGGCUUGGGAGGGUGGGCGCGGUCGGCCACGUGGAGGGCGCGGAACACGGCCUCGGCGGCGGCGUAGGCGGCCACGGGGUCCACCUCGUCCGCCACGUGGAGGCCCUCGGGGCAGGCCACGUCGUAGACGGCGCCGCACGCGUGGUCGGGGACGCCGAGGUAGUCGCACACGCGGACGCGGGCGUCGAUGCGCUCCGCCGGGGUCAGCUCGUCGCCGUGGGUCAGCACCAGGAUGGGGUCCUCGUCUGUGCGUCGACGCAAAGCAAGCAAAAGCCACGUUGGUUGGUUUCUUUCUUUCUCUUUAGUGAGAAUUAAGAACGGUAGGUGUUCGACGAAAUGCCCGCCUCCUCCUCCUUUACCUCCUCCUCUUCCUCAUCAUCAUCAUCAGAAGAAGAAGAAGAAAAAGGAGGAGGAGGAGAAGAACAAGAAGAGAGGGGGCGGGGUCUUACAGCAGGUGGUCUUGAUGGCGGGGUAGUGGAAGAGCUCCCGGGUGGCGUCGAGCUUGCGGAGGUCGGCGGAGAGGAGGGAGCGGUAGAGCUCCGAGAGGCUCGCCACCACCACGACGCAGUUGACGCGCCGCCGCACGAAGCGCUUCUCGGCCGCGGCUGCGGAGGAGGAGGAGGAGGAGGCGGAGUCCGCGGAGGCGGAGGCUCCGCGGCAGAGCUGGCGGUGGCGGACGCCGUGGUCCAUCCAGUCGGCGACCUCGUCGAGGCCGUCGGCGACGCGGUCGUAGUCGAGGCCCCGCGAGUCGAACACGCAGAAGCCGUUCCGCGUCGACCGCACCACGUUGUGCUCCUCCAAGCACAGCGUUCGCCCGUCCUUUCCUGCUGGGGAGGUGGUGAGGGGGAAGGGGGCGAAGGCGGAGGCGCGGCCGAGGACGGAGUAGAGGUGGCGGACGAGGGAGCUCUUCCCCGCGGCGGCGAAGCCGAGGAGCAGCAGCGCCACGACGGGGGGGAUGUCGGUGUCCUCCCGGGAGAUGCCCCCCGCGGGGAGCCAGAAGUCCCCCGCCCGGUACGUCACCAGCCGGUGCCGGAGCUCGUCCAUGCGCUCCUCCGCCAUCGCCGCCACCCGCUCCAUCUCCCGCACCACCCUCACUCCCCCCACGCCGGCAUCGCCCGCCGCGGACCGCCACCAGUAGGAGGCGGAGGACGUGGAGGCGGCGUCGUCGUCGGGGGCGGGGGCGGGGGCGCUCCGCAUUUCUUCUUCUUCUUCUUCUUCUUCUUCUUCUUCUUCUUCUUUCUUUGGUUCGCUCGGGCGAGAGGGAAGAGGGGGGUGGGAGGGGGAUUCUGAUGAGGGUUUCUCGUGGGUUUCGCUCUCGAUGGGGGUGGGGGAGAGGGGAGCGUGCGUGGUUUGUUUGGUUUCGCGUUGGCGCGCUUCCGAGAAGGUGGUGAGGGGGUUUUGGAGGGUUUUUGGUGAUUUGAUUGGCGGGUACGGUCGCUCCAAGUUGUACCCCUCACAGGUCAGGUGUCGCCCCGCCCGCCCCACUCUUAACUUUUUUUAAAAAAAUAAUAAUAAUAAUAAUAAUUCAGCGUUGGUCAUCUCAUCGGGCAUUUCAUCUGCCACUGUGGUAGAAUCUCCGCACCUUACUUUCUAUGCUAACCGGUAAAAAGAUCAUGUUUUUAUUACUGUACAAUGACAUUUUAGUCCAACAUAAAGUAAAGUGAAGUAAAUAAAUUAACUUAUGCGUGAACAAGAAAGGUAGUUACUUAUUUCAUAAGAAUAUUGAUUUUUUUUUUUUUCUUUGGGUGUGAAAGAUAGUUACUUAUUGACGUUAGAAACUAAUAUACACCUGAGGGAGUAGAGUNGGGGUGGGGGGUGUUUGUGGUUCAAGUAGUAGUUUUAUUAAUUGACGCUUUUUGACGUGCACAGCAGUGUGGAUUAACUAAGCGGUGAAAUGUCAGGAACGAACUUUACUGUGUUUAAGUUAUUUAUUUGUUCUUUGUUUUUUUCUUUGAGAGAGAAUUAAUUAUUUGUUCUUUUGUCUUUUAAGGUGAAAAUAUAAUGGUCCUGAAUGGAUGGCACAGUUAGCCAAACUUAAAGAAGGUUCGACUUAAUUUCAUGUUUACUGUUGCGAAGGUGGCAGUGUCUUUCUAAAUUCGUUUUUAAAUAUUUUGAUCCUUAUCCUUAUACAACUCACUACCAUGUCAUUUGGAUUCGACCAAUCCUCCCAGGCUAGCCAAGAAGAUCCUCUAUUACUGCCGGUAUGUUGGUCAUGUCGUGCAGCCUCUGGCUCUCUGCUGUUGCAGAAUUAGAUCAAACUAAUAUAUAUUAGGUCACUAUUACAUUGAGAAAUUAAAAAAAAAACAAACAUUCAGUCAAAAGAAACCUUCAAAAAUACUACCAACAACAGCAAUUAGGUAAACCUUCUAAAGUAAUACUAUUUAGGGUCAUGAUUGGAUUACAUGGCACAAUGGCACAAGGAGAUAUUUUAGCAAUAAUUGGGAAAGAAAAAGAUUUAUUUAGCCAUGGCUUCUUUUGAAUCCACCCGCGGAGAGCUACUUUAGACCAUUUCUGAGUGGAAGGCACACGGCAAGACUAGCAUUUAUAGGCGCAUUAAACUUAUUUUCAAUCAAAUUGCAAUUAGAUGGACCCCAACUCCCCCUUCUAACUCCAUGACUUCAAGGUCUCAAAACUAUACUUUGCCACAAGCACAUCCAUUGCACUAAUCAAACACAAUCUAAAAGAAGGUUAUAGUAUUUGACGACAGAUAUGUCGACCAAAUUUAAUGAAUCUUAUCUAUUUAUAACAGAGAAGGGUUAAUAACAUUCCCAAGACACAGAAGCUGGCACUUUCUAACCAGUCAGCUCCACAGCCGAAAUGCUGCAGAUAAGCCCCAGCAAAUUCUCUCUCAUAAAACAACUAAAAAACAAAAAUAAAAUAAAAUUUGAAACUUCCUUAAAGUUCUUUGCUUUGAGAAGUAAAAUACUUUUCCAGUGCAUCAUGCAUCUAUAAGAAAAGACCGGUAAGCAAACUUUACAUGAUGAUUGAUGAACAAUAUAUAGUUUAAAUUCAAGUGCGAUAAGAACUAACCCCCAACUAAAAACACAAAAUGAUACCAGCAAUAUGCAUGCAGACAAACUAAGAUCCUCAUCUCCUCUCGACCAGAGUACCCAUUUGACAAAAAGAGCCUAACCAAGAAAAUAAUCUCCACUGAUUUCUGAGAUUUGGAAGGAAAAAGAGAGGAAAAAAAAAAAAAAACCCAACAAAGUACUCGAUGCUGUACAUAAUGCAAAAUGUCUAAAACCUGUAGACAAAAUCAAUUUUCUCAGCAAUCCAAUAUUUCUAGAUCAGACAUCAAUCUUCAAAUCCACAUUUUGAAGAAGCAAAUUGAUCAUAACCUGUGUUGCAAAAGAACUGGCGUUUAUUUGUGCCAACACGAAACCGCCCGAAACCAAACCGAAGGGGACCCAAACUGAUGGACGCAUCACCUCAACUCGACCCGACUGAUGUUUUGACUUGGGCACAAACUGCCACAGCCAUGCUUCAUUCUUUUGAAAGAACCUCUGCAACAUGGACAAAAGAUCCUACUUUAAGCAAGUCUUUUUUUAAAAAAAAAUGUGAUAGGUUGCGUUGAUAUUGUUUCUGAACUUUGAUCUGUACCGACCCUCAAACUCUAUGUAAUUGAAGGCACCCAAAUGGACUCCAGCUUUCAUUUUUCUUUUCAAUUUAAUUAAUCAGUUUGCAAAGUCAUCCUUUUUCUUAAGAAGAAGCAAAGAAGUUACUACUGAUUUUAGUUUUUGUUUGUCAAAUAACCCCAAAAAUAAGUUUAUGCAAUUAAUCCAACAAUAAUAUAAAAUAAAGAGGCUAUCUUUAGGAGCUUUCAGCCCAAGUUUAAACUAGACAGUAAAAACAAAAAUAAAUACAAAAUUACUUUAGUUGAAGAAUCUAAAGCUGCCAAGUUACAAAUAUUAGUGUGCUAGUAGGGCAGUGCAAAUUCCCUGAGAUAUAUGGUUUUAGCCUAACUGAAAACAGUAGCUUUUCUUCUCAGAUGAUACAAAAAAGGGAAGAAUCGUACCUUUCUAACCAAAUUUGAACCCACCAGAAGGUACAGAGACAUUCUCACUUCCAAAAGAAAACCCACCAUUUUGGGUCCCAUCAUCCAGUAUCAUGCCUUCACCAUCAUCCUCCUCCAACCAAUAUGUCUCGAGAAUCUUCACUGACUUCUCAUAGAUCUCCGUGUUGUCAUGGUUCUGAAGAGCCUCGAUCUUCUCCAAACCCUCGGCCUCAUCGAUCAUUUGUGCGUACAGAUUGGUCCCACCAGUGGGACCCAGGUUCUUCUCAGCUUCACCCACGUUCAAAAUAUUCUCUAACCCUUCUAAGCAUACCGUUAUGAUUCUUGCGUCGGGGCAAGCCAGGAGGUCACAGAGAGGUUCGAUGCAACCCUGGCUAACAAGAUACCUGUUCUCACAAUUCAGGAUAGUCAGUGAAGUUAAAAAUGAGAAAUGUUUCCUUGCUGAAAAAAGUGGGAAACGUAAAGACAAAAAGAAAAGAUCUUCUGCAUAUAUGCCCCCCAUGCAAAUUUGCGUGGUUGGUAUAUGUGUGCAUUUGCAUCCAUGCCCAUCAGGGGUAUGUAUGCAAAAACUUUUUUGCAUAGUUAAUCCCGAUAUGAUCACAAGCAAUUGAGGAGUUAAACAGGGCAUGUGCAAAUACCAACUUUGCAGGUGCAUUACAGAAAAUAUAGGAUAUAUGCAGGAAGUUAAAUGCAAGAAACCAAAAGAAAGUCAAUGUUCUCACUUUAUUUGAUCGUGUGUGCCUCCAGAGGUAGCAUUUGAGAUGGCCCAUGCUGCUUCUUUCUUGAUGUCGAACUCAGCUGUUAGCAGCAGUUGCACUAGAGGACCUAUUAUGCCAGUAGCAAUCACAGCCUGUGGUUCAAUUUUGUGCUAUCUGAAUUAGAACAUCUUAAAAAGGAGAGAAGAAGAAAUACAAAAACAUUUAAUAUUUUUUAUGAAAAACCUUUAACAAGAGAAUAUCAAAUAAGUCAUCAACGUUUGUAGCUUCAGCUUAGUGCUUCAGUUGAAAGACAGCCUUUUCACACACGCACGCAUGAACGCACGAGCGAGGGGGCACGCACGCGCGCACACAAUUAACUUGAAAGAGAAAGGCUCAUUUUUUUAUAGUUUACCUGGAUCUGCUCAUUGUUCCCAGCUGUGAUAUUUGAAAUGGUCCAACAGGCUUCCUUUUUGAUACUUUUCUUAUGAUUAUGAGUUAUGAGGUUCAUAAGGCAGGGAAGUACUUGAUGAUUGAUCAUGUGCUGCAAGGGAAAAUGAGGGCAACAUUUUCAAUGUACUAAAAACAAAGAAACUAGUUUCACAUCAAUCACAAUGGUGUGAGGAGACUCGGAUCAAUUGAAAGUUGCGCGACAAUUAGCUCCAAAAGGCAUAGUUUAAUCACUUGAUUACAGAUCAAUAUGGUAAGCAUAUCAAAUAACCAGUGUAAUUACCGUCGAAAUUUUGAGUAUAUCAUCUAUCACAAGCUGAAGUAUACAAAAAAUACGAUUAGUUGCAGAACUAUCAAGGUAAAAUAAAAGGCCUUUAUUACUGAUAUUUGCCAGCAAAAGAAUCCACACUGAUAUUCUCAACCUACGAAAGAAUUCUACUACAAUGAGUAACCAUAAGAAUGCCUACUGCCGAUAUUCCAUGUAAAACAUAGAAACCACUUAUUCAUCAAGCAUAAUAAUAAAUUAAAGACCAUAAAAGGGCAAGAAGAAUUAAGAGUUGAGUACAGAAAGAUCAACAACCUGUGUCUGGACAUCAUCUCCAGUAACAAUGUUGCCAACAGUUCGAAGGGCUGGAAUGAGUACCGCAGGCGAUGGAUAUCUAAAACAGAUGAAGUAUACUACUAUCAGCAUAAGUCAGGAAUGUUAAAUUAACAAACAAACAAACUCAAACAUGAAGUACACACAGAAGAAGCUCCACGAGCCGAGGGCAGACACCAGCUUCAAUCACUGCUUGAAUUUUGUCAUUGCUUCCAUCAGAUAAGUACGAUAGCGCCCAACAAGCAUCAGUAAGGACUUCCUCGUCAGUUGAGUGGAUGAGGCGGGCAAGUGCUGGAAGAGCAGGCUUAACCUAUACAUCAUUCGGCACCAAAAAAAAAAAAAAAUCCAAUUGAUUUAACCAACAAAGUCUAGUGCUAGAAUACUCAGUGGCUGAUCAAACAACAGGAAAAUAAAAUAAAAUAAAACCUGCUCAAAAGCUGGUUGUGGCUUCCCUCUGCAGAAGUUUGACAGAGUCCAUGUGGCAUUCCUCAGCAUCGAGAGCUUCGCAUGCUCGUUCAGUUGCUGCAGCAGUGGAAUCAAUCCCCCAUUGCCAAGAACAAGAUCACGGCAUCUUGUGGAAUCACCAGCAACAUUUCCCAGAGCCCAGACAGCCUAGAAUUCAGCAAUUUUUUUGGGGUAAAAUAUUAACUGGCAAGCUUCAUUAGAAAUAACAAAGAGAAUCAAGGUCACCAUACAAACUAGCAGCCUAUUUGGACCAGGCCGCUCUGGAGCAUCUAUGUAGGUUCUGUGGAAUAGGGCACUUUGGCAAAGCAUUGACAACUUUUUCAUUAAAAUCAACCCGCCAUCAGCCAAAGAGCUUACUCUCUGCAGCAGUAGCAGAAGCAAAAGCUCCAAUAAAAGCUUAUGCUUUUGGGGGGCCAAGAAGCUCAUUCCAGCUUCUCUCCACAGCAGUAACUCCGAAUGCUUUUUAACAGCUCAACUCAUGAUUUAGACUUCUCUAUUAGAGGAAUUGUCAAAAAAAAAAACCUUGGGCCAAACAGGUGCUUAGCUGUAUCAAACAAAAAGAGUAAGCAGUAUACCUGCUCGCGGACAUCAUCACUCGGUGAACUUAAUAGCUUUACAAAUAUUGGAACGGCACCAUGAUCUAUGACAACCUUAGUGUGUUCCGCAGUCCCUGAGGCAAUGUUGGUGAGGGCCCAAGCUGCUUCAAACUGCCCAAAUAAUUAUAACACAAAGUUAACAAAAUGAAGAACUUAUCUAGAAGUAGCAAAGACAAGUACAGCCUACUCAAAGUACAAAAAUUCAACAUAUUGAAGAAUUUAUCUGAAACUAGCAAAGGUAAGCACAAACUGCUAAAAAUUUACAGCAACUGAAGGGGAAUAAAAAGCUAAACCUGGAGCUGGGGCAGAUCCUCCCGAGUAAGGAACUCAACAAAGCGAGGUACCACACCAGAUUUGAUAACGUCCUCAAUAGGAGGGUUUCGCUCUAAAUUAAGAGAUUCAAUUAGCAAUCACUACAAUUCUACUCAACAACAACAACAACUGAAAACAUCAAUAGUUUAGGGACCCCCCAAAAAAACAAGCAAAAAGAACAGUUAACACCUACCGAUUGACAAUAGCUUCCUGAAUUGCGUAGUCGCCUCAAUCUGCACGGCAUUGUCGUCCGAGUAGAUGCCUGCCACCAUCGUUGGAAGGCUCUCGAGCUGCGAAUUGAGAUGAAACCCUUAAUCCCUCCCACAAAACCCUAGCCCUAGAUCUCGAAACCCUACAAAUCAAAUCCAAAACCCUCGGAAACCACUCCGUUCGCGGUUCGAGCGGGGACAACUGGAACCCUAGCACGGGGGUCGACGAGGGAGUGCGAUACUCACCUUCUUGUCCAUUCCGGAGGAGUGGAUCGCCUGGGGGGGCAUGCCAUCGCGGCGCUUCUUCUGGAGGCUCUCCUCGCGGCGGCUCUUGCGGAUCUCCACCAUGUUGUCCUCCCUCCGCCGCCGCCCCUCCUCCGCGUCCACCGCCACCUUGUACUUGAUCCGGCGGAUCUCCGCCCUCUCGCUCGGUCUCAGCGACAUCUCCGCCGCCGCGAAGCCGAACACCAGCAAAGAGGUUGGAGACGAAGACGAAGAAGUUGAAGACGAAGAGAUAUAGACCUGAGAACUACGCAGAGAAGAGGAACAAGGGGGCGAAACCCUAGACCUCGUAGAGCGAGGACGAGGGUCCAGCACGACGAGGGUCGAAAGGGGUGUGUUAACUCACGAAGCAGCGAACGUGGGGAAAGGGGGCUCCCCUUUUAUACGUUGAAGCGGGGACAGUGACGGAUCGGAGGAAACCCUAACCGUUCGGAUUGAGAACAAUUCUUGUGGACCCGGUUCGCUAGGUCAUCUGUAGACCACCUAAGGCCCGUACCGUCCAUCACCGUUGAUGAAUAUAACAAUUUUCAAAUCUGAAAAGAAUGGGUGAUAGCGGACGGUGGAGAUUUGAGGAAUAUGGUACAGAGUGCGAAUGCAUGAGGGUGUUGACGUGGUGGACCAAGUCCAUUGAUAUUCCUUCUCUGUUGGGUUUAUGCUACAAUACGAGUCCACGAACCACUUCCGUUCGGGUCGGACAAACCAGAGAGUGCUUUUGGGCCUAAAAGGGUAGUACAGAGGAUAAAAUAUAAAAAUCGAGUGUACUUGGAUCAAAGUAAACCGGACCCGGCCCAGCGAAUUCGCCUCAACUGGCCCAGUUUUUUGUCGACCAUGGCGGAGUCGGUUUGGGAGUAAAAGGUUUUGGGGCCCAACCCAAAUGUAAUCUUAACCCGGCCCAUGACAGGUUCUAGUCUCUUUGCCCCUCGGAAUCUUCUGCUCUAAGACACGAAAAAAAUCUAGAAUACACCCGGUAUAUUGCUGACGCUGCAUCCUUAAUCAAUGAAAUUGUCGCCUUAGAUUGAUACUUUCCAUCAUGAUUAAAAAAAUAUAUUUUUUUAUUGGACUUUUUUCUCAAAUAGAGAAAUAUGAUUAGUUUGUUAUUGAUAAUGUGAUGCAAAUGUGAUAUAAUAAAUUUUCUCCUAAAACAGGCGUUUGAUUCCCACUUGAACUGUCCUUGUAAUGCACACGAGCAGAUAUUGAUGCACAUAAAAUUAUAUUUUAUAAGCCAAAUUAUCAACAUUAGUUAUGCACGUUAGUUGAUCCUACAUUCCUACUUGUUUUUUUCAGAAAAAAAAAGGUGAAGUUCCUUAAAGUUGUUGAUACGAAUUAUUUACGUCACUUAAGCAAAAGGAUUUAAAGUAUGAUGUUCACAAUAAUGAGGUGGUAUCUCCAACCAAUCUUAAUAUAUAUAUAAUUCAGCUGGGAUAUUGUCAUAGCACAAAGAAUUUAGUGCUAUCGAGUUUUCCACCAUUAGAUUUAACCCUUUAAUUAUUUUUAUCCGUUAAAUUAUACUAUUCAACCAACUAUUCACUCAACUCUAGGGGAUCCACAUCAUCCUAAUCACAUAUUUCUCCAUCUAAGAAUUACAAAAUUAAUAGCAUCAAUAGCUUUGUGCUAUUGAUAGUAUUCCAACAAAGUUUUAUAUAGAGUCCGGCUGGGAUACUAGCACCAAGGAUUUGACUGUCACAGAGAUCCUAAAAUUCCAAAUAAUUGGAAUUCUUUUUUUAAAAAAAAAAUAUUUGCUAAUUUGUAUCAUAAGUUAAUAAGAAUUUAAUUCUUUUGGAAGGAUUUGGCGCGAUGUCUCAUAGCUUAAAUGAUUCUCAUCUAAUUCCUAUUAGUUUAGGUUGGAUUUUGUGCGAAUUUGUUAUUAGCUUUUAGUUAUAUUUUAUUAAUAACCCAAAAUACACCUCUCUUAAUUAUUCAUAAUAAUAUCAUUUUUAUUAUAUAACUAGGAAAGAAUAGGAAAAUAAGUCACAUACAGAAAUAAUUAUUUGUUUCGUACCAAACAGCAUAAGGGAAUAGAAUUUAGUUGAACUCCAAUUUGAAGAAUUACAUUUUUAAAUGGAUUCAAUCGAAAACUUCUUUCAAAUUUGGUGCCAAAUGGAGUGUAAAGCAGGUAAUUUACGGGGUCUUGCCGAAUCGCCCCACUUCACGAAUAAGGACAAGUAUAAGAUGUCUCUCUUUUUCGUAGCUUUUAGUAAAGCAUUGUACUAGUAACUAUAAUUUAAUUGACUCGAAAAAUUCUCGAGCCAAACAACUUGUUCAACGAAUCAUCAUCAUCAUAAUCAUAGUAUUUGACCAAUUCAAUUUAAUCUUACUACUACUUCACUAUCCAGAAAAAAAAAAAGGGGGGGAAAUUACAUUAAUUAAUUAAGAAUUCAAAUGGGACUUUGAGCACACCUUGUUCUUCCCUCUCCUCUCACCUGAUAAACAGGAGACUCACAUUUAACUCCUCUUCUCAAAUUGCAGUACCAAAACUCCUUCGAAUUGUCGACAACGCGAGCUCUGCAGUGCGGAUAAUCCGCGCAUUUUGCGAAGUAGUUCACAGGAUCAAACAAGGGGGAUUCACUAUCAGAUCCUCUAUUGGAUCGCAAGCACUUCUCCACAAUCCUACACUCCUCUCUAAGCCUACUCUGAACUUCCUUCAAUGCCUGUAUCAUAAUUCUAUUGGCGCGAGCUUUCUCUGCUGCUGCUUGUGAUUUUCUGUGGCAUUCCUUGCAAAAACUCUCCUGCCUCUCGGAGUUGAAUGCGCGCCUCCGCGCUUUGUCGGAGAGACACGAAUAAGCCUGCGUAGUACACGUUUUUCUUGUAAUUUGUCCCCCUCAUUGGGACUUAAAGUAUACUUCUUUUGAUGCAAAAAAUUAAGAUUCAAUAGCAUUCGUUGAUUGUAUUUCAGUGUUUAAUCUAAUUUGUCUAGUGAAGCAAGAUGGAAAUACAUAGUUAAUGAAAGACAAUUUUCAAAAGAGAGGACGGAAAAAAAAAAAAAAAAAAAAGAGAAAAGGAAGAAUCUCUACCUCUGAGACAAGUUUGAAUGCAACUUCUGCUCUGGGGUGCUUGUUCUUGUCCGGAUGAAGCUGCAAUGCUACAUAGCGACAGAGUUAUUAAAAAAAAAAAAAAAAGAAAAAAAAAAGAAAAAAAAAAGGGGAGAUAAUUAGAAUUUUCACAAAUAAGGAAUCAAAAACUCGUUCUUAUUCUCGCAUCAAUUAAAAAUCAUUACCCAAUUGGCGGUACCUCCGCCUAAUGACAUCCGCUGCGGAUUCCUCGUCGACCUACCGGAUUCAAAAUGUCCAUCUCACUUACAUCGAACAUGGGAUAAAAAAAAAACUGUAUUUUGAAAACAAAAAUUGAGUAGAGAGGCCAUAGGGGACGGGGGAUAGAGGAGCAGAAGAAGGAAAAGAGAAUCAAAUGCUCAGAUUGGAAAGUGGAGAGUGAGGCCCCAGCCGACAAUGCAGGCCUCUGUAGCGAUCACCGCGCGCGGCGUGAACAGAAAAGACAGAAUUGCAGAGAGAGAGAGGAAGAGAGAAAGAAUGGCGCACUAACUCGGAGAAUGAGGUACCAAUCUACAAACGGCGGCCUCCGCGUCGAUCGCCGCCGGUGCGAACACGACGUGAAAAUUGUCGCGGCGGAGCAAAUCUCCCUCACGAUCUGCGCCUUAGACUCCGGUGGUUGAUCCCUCGACAUCGUCUGCUCUUACAACAAUACCUUACGAACUAGAGACAAGACAAACUCGAGACCAUCAUCGUAUGAUCAAUAGCAUUUUCCAAAUUCAAAUUCAAAUUAGUUUUUUUGUUUUUGUUUUUAUUUUUGUGGGGGGGGGGGGCUUUUAUUACUAAUGGGGAGAGUAAUGGAAUGUAAUGGAACGGUUGGGGUGUGUGUGUGCGGGUGUAUUUGAAAGGGAAUGUGUAGGGAGGGGGGUUCGGCGGGAGGGACGGGGAGGUUACCGUUGGAACCGCCACGUGGCAACACGGCGAUCCGUUUUCGGUGGUUCCCAGAUAGUGUGCUCCGUGUAGCGGUCGCAUGCACCGGCUAUGCGGCUGACAGGCGGGGCCCACCGAAGUUGCGGGGCCCAGGUGUCAGUCGGGGAGUUGGCUGUUGCACUGUAGGCAUGCUUGCAUGGUGGAAAAAGUCUAUAAUGCACCGCCGUAUUACUGUUAUGGCAUCCUCAAACCAAUAAAAUUAUUCUUUUCAAAAUUUUCCGUCUUAUUAUAGUUAAUAUAAUAAUAAUUUUUAUACUUUUCUUUCAAAAAAAAAUAUAAUUGAUUUAUUACUUAAUAAUAUGGUACAAAUAUGAUACUGUAAAUUUUCUCCGGAUGAUGAUGGCGAAGACAAAACAUUGCCAUAAUGUAGUCUCGGAGGUAAACAAAUAGUGCCCAAACCCGGUCUAAUGAUCGAAACAAGAGAGGCAUUUUAGUAGAUUCAAAGAUUUAAGUAAUUAAAUGAAAUUAAAUACAAUAAAGUUAUUGAAAUUUAGAACAUCAUGUUGUAAUAUCAUAUAAAAAUAUUAAAAAAUAACUGGUGUACUCCCAAAACUUUUAUAUAAAAUCAAGAAUUAAAGUGCCUAUCGGUACGAACUGUAUUUAUCAUGUCGUAUCAUACCAACAAGAUAUCGAUAUGAUACAGCUCCUAUAUCGAUGGUACAAUUUAAAAUUUUCUAUUCUUAAAAUUAGUAAGUAAUUUUCUCAAUAAAAUUCAAAAGAUUUAAUAAAAACAUAUAAUAAAUAAUUGACAUAAUUUGUUAUUAAAGAAAAUAAAUAUUUCAUCCCGUUACGCAUCAGUACAUAUAUAUUUUUUGUGACUGGCACGCAUCGUACUGUAUCGUACCGAUAAAUUUUCGGCACAAUUCUGUACCACGAUACUUAAAUUCUUUGUAUAAAACUAUAUUCAUGUUCAUGGUCGCAGAGACUCUGUAAUAUUCUCUCUAUUUUACGAAAAUUCCUAAAAAGUAGAUAGAGUGGUUACCCUACUCCUAUUUGAGAAUUAAAAAUUGUUUCGGGAAGGUGAUUGAGUUUUGAGAAAUGGAGGCCUACGCCAUUUGUUUGAACAAGCUAGUAAACUAGUAGCUAAUAUAUGUGUAGGCUGCUAAGGCAUUAGGCCAAAAUGAUGCAUAGAAGCUUGAAUUUAGGUGGCCGAAUUUCAAAGCCAAGUUGGCUGAUUAGGGUGUUUAAUUUGGUGCCAGCUUGUAUGGUAUUCACCAUUCAAAUACACGAGAUUUUAAAUUGCUCCCUUAAUUGAGGCGAUCGAUGAACAGAAGGAGAAGGAGACAUAAUAAGAGUCCAUACUAGCUGGUACUAGCUGUAAACAUAAAUAUAACGGUCCAUUGUGUUUGUGGGAUAAAAUGUCAACAAAAUGUUAGGCAUACAUGUUCUACUUGUGUUGCCAUUAUUUAGUAUAUAAAUAUAAUAUAAUAUAACAAUAUUAAUUAAAUCUUGCAUAAUAACAUGCUUUACAGCUGUAGCAAUACAUUGAGCUAGGUCUGGUCUGGCCCGAAAUGGUCCAAUCAGGCCUGAACGGGUCGACCAAACAUGUUGAAAAGCCAGGCCCUAGCCUAGAUUUCUUAGGCCUCUACUUUUGAGUCCAAACGGACCUAAUUAAACCGACUAAACCUAGGCCGAUUCCAACGGAUUUUUCUUAGGCCCAUUUAAUCAGAGAUCAUUGGAUAGGGCUAGGCCCAUUAAAAAUGUUAACUUUUUUUUUUUUAAUUUUUUUUUUUUUUUGUUCUUUCGGUCUAUAGGCCGCGGUUCAUGCAGCAAGCGCUCUACGCCGAGGUGUGGGCCCUACCUUCCGGAAUUUAUACCUGCAUAUCCUCUGCGAUAUUCCCUCCUUCCAUCCGUAGAUUCCCCUUCCCGCCGCGACCAUACGAACCUCCUUCCCACUAAUUUCCCAAAAUACCCUUACUCUCAAAUGAAUUGACUACAUUCCUUAGGGUAGUGAGUAGGUGGAUAUUGCUAGUUGAAGUGAGGCUACUUCAGGUAUGGCAAAUAUUUUGUCCACACGCAACGAGUCGGAGCGGGACAAGCGCGCAAAUAAGAACUGGGGACGACGACGACCACGACGACGACGACGGGGACGGCGAGCAAUCGAAGGACGAUCUCUCCACGAAACCCUAGGACCGGAUCGAAACCCUAGGGCGCUAGGGCUCUGAUGGGCGCUGCGGCGAUGGCCUCGGCGGCGCGGCGCUCCGUGCUUAUGUACCUGGUGCUCAGCGGGAGGCUCUCGCCGCCGGAUUCGGCGGCGGCGAAGGAGGAGGACGAUUUGGAGGCAGGGAGCAGGAGAAAGGAGGACGACGAGAAGAGGAGGGAGAGGAAGAAUAAGAAAAUGGGGCCGGGGCGGUGGCCGGAGAGGUCUCCGACGACGCUGGGGGAGGCGGCGGCGGUGGCGGCAAGGACCGUGCGGUUCACCUACGCCGAAACCCUAGGGAAGUGGCCCUUAGGUGAACUCGCGUUCGGGAUAAAGUACUACAUGAAGCAACAGGUCGAUGAUUUUCUCAAUUUGAUUAGUUUUGAUUUCUUCUUAUAAGUUUUAGUUUCUAUUGUUCAGUCCCUUAGUUGUAAUUGUAUGGGUUGGUCAUUUUGAAAAGCAACAAGUGAAUUUCGAAUGAGAUGAGGGACUAAUCAGAUAGAUCUUAAAAAUAACUAAUGGUUUGGCUAUAUACUUCAAACUUAUUGCUCCUUGGUCCCUGAAGUUUUCGCUUCAACAGGUGAUCUUACUAUAGAUUUACAAAUCUCAAUUAAGUUAGGAGUUGAUUCACUACCAUUUACUGAUUUAGCAGGAACUACCUACUUGUUCCUCAUCGGCUGACCCAAAUCUGUUUGAUUAAUAUCUUGCUCUUGUUUAUAUUUGUCCGAAAAUACACAUAAUGUUUCAGAAGUUUGAUUCAUUUUUAAACUUGGUCUGAAUUAAGUGAACAUAUAUUUUGGUGAGAAAAUUAUUAGCCUUUUAAAGUGACAAUAUCUAUCUAUUGUUCAGAAGAAUUGGCAGGUCCACAAGAUUCCAUCAUUUAAAAUUUCAUCCUGUUUUUCUAUCUAAAGUCGAUCUAUUAGAUUGUUCAUUUUGCAAACUCUUUAUAGCAUGCAGAGGUUCUACUUUGAUAUAUCAUAAAACCAAUUGUAACUUCCAAAGUAGUUUCUUUUUUAACUAUUUCAGGGUAAUCUGCAACAUGAGUACACAGGAAGUAAUUGUAUACAGUUGAAAGGCAAUGGAAUCAGAUCAGAGCUGAUUUCUCUCUUAAGAUAUUUGAACCUUUGCAUGUACUUCUCAAAGAAACCGUUUCAAGUGUUUCUGGAGUUCGGCAGGUAUGGCCAAGACAAUGUUCUUAUCCAAAAGUCUAAGGCGAGGGUGCGUAAGUAUCUGUAACUCUCAAGCCCUUUGACUUUAUUUGGAGUUUUACAUACACAACCAUUCAAAAAUCAUCUGUCUACACAAUAUAUAUAUAUAUAUAUAUAUGCCUGUGUCUAAAUAGGGUAUAUCCCUGUUUCCUCAAAAAAAUAUAUAUAUAUGCCUGUAAAAUGUGAACUUUAAGUUGUGAAGCAAUCUAGUUCAUGAAGUGAAUUUGGUCUUGUAUUAGAAAAUGUUUUUUAAAAAUGAGCGCUUUUAAGUUAAGCAAUCCAGUUCGUGAUAGUUGAAAUUACUAGUGAAGGGCACAUGUUGAAUUCAGAUUUUACAGGGAUGCAUACGUGCCGACAUCUCUUCUGUUUUCUUCAUAAUGUGAUAUGAUUCUGUAGAGAACCAUGUAUAAUAUUUUUCAUUGGUGUAAAAUAAAUAAGCCACACUGACAUAAGUAGUCUCUACUUAACUCUAUGCAGCUUUUGAAGCCGGCUUUCACAGUUAUACGUGACAGAAGUUGCCGAAGUUUUAUUCUUUUUAUUCGAGGGGCUAUAAGUGUUAAGGAUAGACUGACGGCAGCGACUGGUGCAGAGGUUCCCUUUCACCAUGUAGUUUUGCAUGAAGGAAGUGUCAGAAAAGUCGUCUUAGGAUACGCACACUGCGGGAUGGUUGCUGCUGCACGUUGGAUCGCGAAACGUGCGAUUCCCUGCCUCCGUAAGGCGGUUCUUCAAUACUCAGACUACAAAAUCAAGGUGAUUUUCUUUAAUCCUGCAUGGCUCAGUGAGUAACCAAGUAAUUUAUGGCGGUUACACAUACAAGCAGCAUAUCUAUGAACCGGGCAUCAUUUUUGAAUUAAGAUGCCAUCUGUUUUGCAUUGAUUCAUUUCAUUUAUUCUUAUACUGUGUUGUACACGGGACUAGUGUAUCACAAUCUGUAAGCUUGUGGUUCUUUAUUUUAGAAUUGAUUUUUAUAAUUCAAGGUAUACUUCCUUUAUUUUGAUUUUAGAUUGUUGGGCAUUCAAUGGGGGCUGGUAUCGCAGCAAUUUUAACAUACAUUCUUCGUGAAUAUGAAGAGUUCUCAUCGUGCACAUGCAUAGCGUUUGCUCCAGGCAUGUGUCUUCUGACCUCUGAACACUAUGUGACGUUUCUUCUAGUAAUGGGCAUUUUAAUAUCAGAUUUUAAUUGUGUGACCAUUUGUUUUAGACCACUUUAUAUGUUGAUGCAUUGGGUUAUUCUCUCUAUUCCUACUGGAUGCGACUGGAUCGAGCAUGAUUUGGUGAUCCGAACAUCAACUAUGUUUCCAAUAGAUAGUUAAAUAAAUUUAGCAGCAACCUACAAAUUAUGCAGAUAACAAUAUGAAGGUUUUAUCUUUUUUUUUUUCCUGAGGAAAUGAAUAUUUUAUUCUUAUAGUUUGAAGAAAUAUAGCUGAAGCGAGCAAAGAUAUGAUUUUCCUCUUCUUCCUCUUCUUCUUGUUUACAAUCUAAAGAGAUUCAGUUAUGUGUAGCUGCUUGCAUGACAUGGGAUUUGGCGGAGUCCGGCAAAGAGUUCAUUACCACUCUUAUCAACCGAACUGAUCUGGUACCAACUUUUUCAAAAGUUACUGCCGAAAACCUCCGCUCUGAGGUACCUUUCUAUCAGUGCUGAAGUAUUAAUUCUCUAUUCUGAUGCUUUCGAUCGUUCUUUACCAUAUUCUGAAGAAAUAAUGCUGCAGCUCACUGGAAAGUUACCGCCAAAUUCUUAUAUGCAAGAGAAAGGCCUUCUAUGAACUGUAGAAACUAAUAUAUCUUGCUUGGUGUACCUUUAAGUCCAAGCAACGAGUAAUUCGUUUUCCCUUAUGUUCACACCCAAAGCAAAUAAUAAGCUGCAUUGGAUGAAAGCACAGUUCAUAUAUGUUUAAGUUAAUAACAAGCAUAGACAUAAAAAAGUAUAUAGUAUAGUCAGUAGUUCAUACAUACUAUAUUAAAGAAGGAAAAAGAAAAAGCAUAGUAAAUAGUUCAUAUUUCUAUUUUAAUAGUUAAUGAUGAAUAGACUACAGUAGCCUCUAUUUACUUUUGUUUUUCUUAUGAGGUGCUUAUUCUAAUUGCUUUUUAUGAAGGUCAUGGCAUCACCAUGGGCAAAUGAUCUAAGGGACCAAAUUCAGCAAACGAGAUUCUUAAAAAUAGUAAAUCAAUCUGUAACAUUCUUUCGAUCUCAUUUACCAUUCAUCUCCGGUCCAAGAGCUAAAGUUAUGGAUGCUGACAUUCCCGAGGUAUAAUAAUGUGAUAAAUUUAUUUCUUUGAACUAAAACUAACAUUGACUUCACUAGGGAUCUGUUUGGCCGCCAAGCUAGCCCUUUUGUACACAAACUUUUUUGUAAGAGGGCUGAAGAAGCUCUAACCGUUCUUCAUUGUAUGUUGUCCAACAAGAAACACAUAUUGGUUGUCUUUAAUAAAAGAUUUCCUACUUUAUCUUGCAUAGCAAACAACAAGCUGAGGUAGAUUCAAGUGUUUUUUUUAGGGGGAAAAAAAUUCUUUGGUUAGCUUGUUUUUUAUGUCAAGUAUGCCAAUUAUGGCGCACAACAGCACCGACUUGCGGCAGAUUAUUUGACAAGUUUUCUUGUUUUCCAGGCUGUUCUGGGCAAUGCAGCAGAUACCGCACCCGUGACUAUCCACACCAGCCUUCUUUGCUUGUCAUGCCUUUGUCCACGCCAACAAGCCAUUCUUUCAAAAGCUUCUCAGAGAAGCACAAAGUCUGCUUAUAUCGAGCAAGUUAGCCGCGAAACACUUACAGUUGACAAAGAAAAGCUUCAUGUUUCAUCUUCUAGAUCAUCUGAAGAAAUUACUAAAGGCAAACUCCGCAAUCUUCUUGAGGAGGAACUUCACGGGCUAGUUGGAGAAGCCUAUGCUACAAAGGAACUAGCAGGCAAAGACGAAACCGCAGUGGAUAAGCAAUUUUAUCCCCCUGGAAAAAUCAUGCACAUGGUUGCGUUGCCCCCGCUGCAGGGUGAUACUGCCGAUGAAAUCAUCGGCAUAUACAGAACUCCCAGAGAAUUGUACGGUAAGAUCCGACUCGCAAGAACUAUGAUAAGAGAGCAUUACAUGCCGCAAUAUAAAAAAAUGUUAGAAUUAUUAAUUGACGAGCUCGGGAAGGAUGAUGAGGGGUGUGCAUCUUUGUAAAGAUUAUGAUUCAUUGCAUACUUUAUUGUACAAAUGGAUUGUACAAAAUUUGAUUGGUGUACAAGACUCGUCGGAACUGUACAAUUGAAAGUGCAUUUGUUGAAUGCGCCUGCUGUCAGUCAUGUGUUCAGACUGUCCUUCAGUUCACGGCGCUCGCUGUUAGUCUGGAGUUAUAAGUCCUCUGGGACAUUACGCACCCAUUACAUUUUUCCGACAUCAAAACAAUCAGGAAUUGCUGUGCCUGUGCCGCAGCACGCUCCGAAGAGCCACCGGGAUGUCGUUUCCAUGCCAAUCGAAUGGUUAAGUAAUUUAGUUUGUAAUAAUUUGUAAAAUACAUAUGCUUGGGAGGAGGAGGAUAAGUCAUAAUAAAUAUUCUGCUAUAGUUAGGACAGUCAAACCAACUCUCAUACGAGCUCCUGGCAGUUCAUUCAUUUGACCAUAGACACUGGCCACUUCCUUUGAAAACAUUGAUAGAGAGAAGGUUAACAAAGCACUGCAUUAUUAAGCUGCAGCUAAAAUGUAGCCACUGAUUCUUCGCAUAAGUACGUUUCUUUCUUUUACAAUUCUGCUUUUCAACCCAAACCAUCUACUCAAUUCUUUGCAGAACUUAUUUACAUUGUAGACAAUUUUGAGUGGAUAUUCUGAUCUUUUAAAGUUUUAAUUUUACUAUUUAAUAUUUCAAUUUAUUUAAUUUGUGUUAGUCAACAAUAUUUUGAAUUCUAAAUUUAAACUAAUUACUUAUUUUAAUAAAUUUAUUAUUACGAUAAUUAUAUGAAAUACAUUAACUAAAUCUGUAAGGAUAAACGAUACAUUCAAAUUUUAAAAUUAAAAUAUCAUUCACUGACAUAAAUUAAAUAAAUUAAAAUAUUAAAUAUAAAAAUUAAAAUCUUGAAUGAUUGAACAACCAAUUCAAAAUGAUUCAUUAUUUGGUUAAUUUCCCUACAUUACUUUUAUUGAAAAACAAAGCUUUGGAGUCCCCUCAAAAUGUCUUAUAGUCGAGGGGUCCUCAUGCAAGUUUAACCCCGAAUAUUUUCUCCACCUGCCAGACCCUCUCCUUCUCCGUUGUCCGCGCGAGGGCGUAGUAGUUGCGGCGUCUAUUCUCGCAGUAAAAUCCCUUCUACUGUAAAUUCUCGCACAAACGAAAACCACCCCCUCUCUCUCUCUCUCUCUUUCUCUCUCUCUCCACCGAUCUGAGGGCAUCGCCAUGGAGAUCUUUUGAGAGAUCGGAAAUGGCGAACUACCUCGCCCAGUUCCACACCAUCAAGAGCUCCUGCGAUCGCCUCGUCAUAGCAGGUAACCACAAACGCUAGCUCCACACCUAAUCUCUAUUUCCGGCACCCUAGAUUUAUCUCCCGUUUCCACUAUUCUCACUGAGCUCCUUCGGAUCCGCUCUUCCCGUGUUUCAACUGUAACUGUAAAUUUUAUUCCUGUUUAAAUCCGACAAGUGUCUUGCGAUCUCUUUCUUUCGUGCAUAUUGCUUGGAAUUAAUCUUUAAUCGGUAAGAAUUUAGAUGCUUGCGGAGUUAACUGCGUGGAGAACAGGUAUUUGGCUCGUUUAAUCAAGCUUUGGGUUGUACGGAGUUUGAGUUUCUGCUGGAUCAAGCUAUUGAUCCAACACUGCUGUUGCUUCAAAUCAACAAUUAGUCAUUAUUUCAACUCUAGUAAUACAUUUCACUGCCAUUUCUGGUCUCUUCCUCUCGAACUGUGAGAUAUUAGCUUGUGCAACUAAUUUUUGUUGACAUUUUUGAACCUUUUCUCUCCCUUGUAUCCUUAACAACACUGUGUAUUAGAUAUAGCUAUCCUGCUAUCUUAAUAUCAUCAGGCUAAAAAGUUUUUUUUUUUGAGCCAUAGAACUUUCAUGACCAAUUUAAUUGCAACUCAUGUUACAAUAAUCCUUGUAUUCAAUUUCAGUUGAAGAUGUAAGUGACCUGUGGCCUACGGUCAAAGAGAGUUUUGAAGCACGUCUGCCAUUAAAGAAGGCUGCCUUGAAUAACAAGACAAGAAAUUCUGUUAAUGUGGAGAAAUUGCUAGCUGAGUUUAUUUUGACCACUGACGCUAGGCUGCGUAGUCGGUUUCCACAGGAGCAGUCCCUGUUUUGGUUCAGGGAACCAUAUGCAACUGUUGUUCUUGUUACCUGCGAGGUAUUUCCUAUGUGAAGUUCGAUCCUAGUUCAUUGCCCUGCAUUGGGGUGCAAAUUAUUUGACCUCAAAACCGGUAAAUGGUACUAAACAAAUAAAGCAAUUUGGUUUGAUAAUUUGGGUUUUUGUUUAGUUUGGUUUUGUAAUUUUGUAAAUUUCUGUUUCCAAUUGUGGUUUGGUUGUGAAUAUUUUUCAACCGGCCUAAACUGACUACGAAAUAAGUAUAUGUACACAUGUGUAUUCUACAUGUCUAUACUCUGUAAAGCUUGUUUUGUGCAUGUAUAUGAUAGAUAUAUUAUAACACAUAUUUAUGCUUGCGCCCUCCUUUCUGAGCAGGAUCUCGAUGAAUUUAAGACAAUUCUUAAACCACGGCUCAAAUUAAUGGUUCAAAAUGAUGAACGAGAGUGGUUCAUUGUGUUUGUGUCAAAAGCUCAUCCUAGCAAUGACCAAGCAUGUAAGAUGGCUAAAAGGGUAUAUGCUAAACUCGAGGUUGAUUUCAGUUCCAAGAAGAGAGAAAGGUAUAAUGCAUAAUUCUGUAAAUUUUAUUUUGAAAUAUCAUAAUUUUGUCAAGUGUAAAAAACUUAGAAAAUAAUUAUCACUUUCAUAUUUUGACGCACAAUACAUCAAGAACUUUAUUCUGUUUCUUUCCAACUAAUUAUCAUAAUGAUUAUAUCUGUGCAUCUUUGUUUAACUAAAACCUGCUUUUCCUGAAUCUUUUUAAGUUUGAUGAUCCUGAUAGAAUUGAGAGUUUCUGAACUAUCCACAUUUUCUAUCAGAUGUUGCAAAUUGGACUUACAUGGAGCUGAUGAAAGUGUUUGGGAAGAUUUGGAUUCCAAAAUUGUUGAAUCCAUUAGGAAUACAUUGGAUAGACGAGUCCAAUUUUACGAAGAGGAAAUUCGCAAGCUUAGUGAGCAACGAUUUAUGCCAGUAUGGAACUUUUGCAACUUCUUUAUUCUGAAGGUACUAUAUUAAACUUAUAUAAUUUCAACCGUUCUCAAUGUGCUGUCAAAUUUAUCUAUUGACAAUCUCUAUUUUAGCGGACACCUUUAUAAACAGUAUAAUUGGACCUGACAUUUGAUUUUAUUUCCAGGAAAGCUUAGCUUUCAUGUUUGAAAUGGCUCAUCUUCAUGAAGAUUCGUUACGGGAAUAUGAUGAAUUGGAACUUUGCUAUUUAGAAACAGGUCUCCGCAGAUUCCUUUUCCUGUUUAAUGUUGUAAAUCAGCAAUUGCAUCAUAUGAGUAUUUAUCUGUUUCUACUUUCUAGUGAAGAUCUUUUCUCCCUUGAGAUUUUCAGCAGCAAAUGCUCUUAGUGGAGUUCGCAAGAGAUUUUUCAAGUAGACUGCACUUUGGCUGCUUCACUACCUAAUUUUUUGAGGUUAUUGUGUGGGGUAGUUAUUUUAGAUCUGCUCCCUGCUCUGCUAGAGAGCACAAUGUAUUCUUUUAUCUUUCUCAUGACAUUGACAAUAUUGUUCCAUUGUUUACGAGCUGGCUAUGAUGACAUCUUUGUGAAUUGAGUUAGCAUUUUAAAAGUACAAGCUGUAGCCUUUGUUAGGUAUCUUUGAAACUGGAAAUACAGUGUUUAUAAGUUCCGCUUCAAGUAAUUGGACAGGGCUUUGUGUGAUGUUAAAUAGUCAGUUAGUUGACACCCUAUAUAAACUACUAAUUUUCUCUCUGAAAUAUUUUGCUGUUGAUCAGGCCCCUAAAAUCUUCAGAACUUGCCGAAAUUCAUAUAAUUAUGUAUGCCUUUUUUACUUAUCUUUAUUCCAGAAGCUAAACAAAUUAAUCAUGCGAAUGCUAACUAUCUUUUACUGUAUAAUUAAUAGCUUAUUUGCACCUGCAAAAUUGAUGGUAUAUACUUGUAAGUUAGUACUUGAAAACUACUUGCUUAAUAGAGACAUGAUGAAAUUGCAAGUUAAUAAUGAAGGGAAUACACGUGUGCUGAUGUGCCUCUAAAAAUAGGACUUCGUUUAUUUCUUUUUUUAUUGACAGACAUAUUGCUAUCAUUAAAAAAGUUAGUUGAUAGAAAAGGAUGCAGUAUAAUUGUAACGUGUAUCCUUCGCUUGGGCAAAUUUUUAAGAACCGAAGGAUGUUGUGGAUUCAGUCGCUCAUGUAUUUAUGGUUGCUCAUCAAUAAUGUGAGGUGCUUUGCUUGCUUUCCCCCCUUAUCCUUUUCUGUCUUUUCUGUGUUUGUGUUCUUGCAGAGGGAAAACUACAAUAUCCAACGGUACUGAAAUUAUUCUGACUACUGUGGUGCUUUGCAUUGUGAUCUGAGUUUCUAAUUUUAUCAGCAGUAUGCCUGUUAUGAAAAUUCAUCAUUAACAUUAAUCAACCUAUUAUUACCUAUACGUGCAAUUUGCUUAUGUUCUCUUUUGCACAAAUGCAGUAAAUGCCCCAGGGAAGCAUAGAGAUUUUGGAGGAUUGGACAAAGGUGAUGAUCGGGCUUCUCUUCUGAAUCCAGGGAUUAAACCAUUAACACAAAUUGUGCAGGAUGAUUCAUUCAGAGAGUUUGAAUUUAGACAAUAUCUAUUUGCAUGCCAGUCAAAGGUUCGUGUAUUGAGAUUGAAUUACUAUUUCAUUUUUCAAUAUAUGCUAAGUUGUCCCUCUGUUUUGUAGCUCUAAGCUUACUGUUGCUUGGCACUAUCUUAAGAUCGCUAAUUAAAUUUUCUUUUUCUGAAUAAAUCUCGCCUCUGCGUUCUGCUGAUUAUUCUGUAUUUACUUCCAGCUAUUGUUUGCGUUAAAUCGUCCACUUGAGGUUGCUGCAAGGGGCUACUCAUUCAUCAUCAGCUUCUCAAAGACUCUUUCCUUGCAUGAAGUAUGUAAAACAUCUUUAAAUGUUUAUAUUUGUAGCAGUUGAAUGUCUCAAGAAGCACCAAUUCGCUGAAUUUGGAAAUUUGUUCUUGGUUGGUAAUAUUUGCUGUUCUCUGUUGUUGCAGAGUUCACUGCCGUUUUGUUUGCGAGAAGUGUGGGUUAUAACUGCUUGCAUAGCUUUGAUUGAUUCGACAACUUCCAACUAUGAUGGCGGGAUUGUGACGCCUGAUGCUGAGAAGGAGUUCUAUCGUCUUCAAGGGGACCUUUAUUCACUUGCCCGAGUUAAGGUGAAAAGCUGAAUAGUUUUUUGUCUAUUUGGUUAAGUGAGGAUAUCUUUUCAAACCUGUGAAUUCUACAAUCAAUUCCGUUGGAUUUUCUAUUUUUCUUGUUAAGAUACUGCUAAUACGUUGCUUAUGUGAGUAUUUAUGUAGUUACAGGAAGUAGGCAGAAUGGUAUUCUGUUUUAUAGAACAUAGUUUGCCUUCCAAAUCUAUAAGUGGACCAAAGGAAUAUAGAUUGAUCAAAAAGGCUGCUCUUCUUAGAUGAUACAGCAGCAGACAUACAGAUUUGAAGAACCCGUACAUUAGAGAGUAGAGCAUGGGAGCAUAUUGGUAUAGUAGACUAAGUUUUGAUGAUAGGACAUGCAAAUUGAUGAUCCAUGCUACUAAACAUGAUCUAGAGUAUUUGAAGUAUGCAUUAAAUAAGUUUGUCUAGAAGCUAAAUUUGGUAGUUGGUACAAAAGUAUUUUAAGUAUCUCUAUCUCAUAAAAAAAGAAGAUAAGAUUCUUCAGCUUUAGAUCCUGCUUGUAAUUUUUUUGUGAUGCUGAACAUGUUAACUUUUUUAGUCAGUUAAAGUCUUGCAGUGAUGUUUUGUGGUGGCGAGACUUUUCAUAUGUAAGAUAACAGCCCCCAAACCCACACCCCGCUCCACCACCCCACCCCCCCAAGAAAAAAAACCCAACCCUAAAAAAAAAAAAAAAAGAGAAGUGUUGGAAAAGUUAAAUUUUCAGGAAGGUGAUUGUAUACCUAAAUCCUUACAACUUUGGCAAAAAGUUACCUCCUAAUGUCUUUGUACAGUUAGAACAUGUUACUUAAAAGUCGAAGCUCAUUUGAAAGCACUACUAGUUACAACUUUCUUUCUUUUACGUUCAUUAUGUUUACAGCAGUCGAGGCUGUUUUAUAAUAGUCGUGAUGGAUGUGACAGUUUGUGAGGCUUGCUUAUUUGGUCGGAUAUGGAGUUGAAAUAGAAAGAAGUCCAGCCAACAGGUAUAAUUUCCGGCCUCACUGUCAGAUAAUCCUCAUUCAGUAUCUUCAACUCUGCGAAACUCGCAGCAAUGUGGUCGAUGUUUUAUCAGCUAAAUAUUUACCUUGUCCUACAUGAACUUCAUCCUUAUUCCUUUUUUUUUUUUUUUUUUGGUUUUUUUGUGCAGUGCUUCUCUAAGCAUGCUGCCCUGGCCUAAACCUGCUAGCUGGCCUGUUGUCCCAGCUGACGGUUCAGCUGAAAUUCUUGCAAAGGAGAAGGCAAGUUUAUUUUGUUGCAAAAGAAGUGUUCUUUUUUUUUUUUCCCGCUCCCUUUCACAUCCAUGUUAUCUUAGACAGUAUUGUAUCUAUUCUCUGUUUGUAUCCUGUUGAUGGAACUGGGCUCUGUUUAAAAGAAUGAUCAGAAAGCACUGUCGCUUCUCUAAUAGAAGCAUGGUCCUCCGAAUAGUUAAACUCUGUGUAGAUAUUUAUGUUAUAUGAUUUAAGAAAUACUCUUCAUCUUAUUCUUUUCGUUUUCCUGUUAUUUUUGUAUUUUUUAUUUUAUUAUUGCCCGAACUCUGACCACUAUUAUUAUUAUUAUUAUUUUCUGAACUGUGAACAUAAGUCAUCGGAAGUUUGCUCCCACAUCAGACUCCAAUUCUUUUCCUAAACGAAGGUAGCAUUCUGUAAGCAAAAUUUCUGGAAACCUUUAACAAAUUCGAAUGCCUUCUAUGUUGUCUCAAUAUAACGUGGGCUAGAGGAAAGGGGGCUAAAUAAGAGGUCUAAACUGCUGUUGUGACAAGACUGAACCUGUGACUGCUAGACAAACUUGAAAACCCCUUCAUUACUGGGCUGUUGUAUCAAUCUUUUGCUAGAUGACAUUUCUUUAGUGAUUUUUUUUUUUGUUAUGCAUAAUUUUUUCUUAGUGGGUCAUGCUUCCUUCUAAGGGUAAAGUGUUAAGCAGUUCUUCUUUUUCCUUGUUGAUACAUUGGUUGCAUCAUAUAUUUACAUGCUGUAGUUUGAAGUCGUGUUCUAUUUGUCUGCAGAUGAUUCUUCAAGCAAACCCAAGAGUAAAGCACUUCAAUAUCUUCAGGAAGCCAUUGCCUCUAGAACCUUCUUUGCUUCUACGAGAGGCCAAUCGGCGUAGAGCUUCCCUUUCUGUUGGGAAUGUGUCGGAGCUACUUGAUAUUCAUCAUAAUGAUGGGUAAUGGAUCUUUAGACCAUGGAGAUUGAUGAAUGUGUUCUCUUUAGCACAGUUUUCUUUUGGGAUAAUUACAUGUUUAGUCCCUGAAUUUUGAUUAGAAUUCUAAAUUCAUCCUCAGAAUUGUAACAAUAUAGCCAUUGAAGUUUGAGUCCUAUUUUGGUUUUAUCCUAAAAGUUUCGAUUUAACAAUUUACUUUCUGAAGUUUGACGUCAAUUCCAUCUUUGUCCUCGAAAUUUCUAUUUUAACUAAUCAAAGUUUAAUGGUGCUGCUUACAUGGCUUCUAUUGGGAUUGGGCUAGUUAUGCUCAAUAGUCUUUGAGGAGACUAGGACCGAAUUGUUAUCGCUGAAACUAGGAGGACAAAAGGAUGAAAUUGAAAUGGAGGUCAAACUUUGGGGACAAUUUGUAAUUAACUGUUAGCAUUUUCUUCAAGUUACUGAAAUUUAUCUGUAUUUCUUUACCUUGUUGUGUGGGCAGUUCAGGUCCAGAUGGGAAUUCAAGGUUCCCGUCAAAUAGGGCUAAUGCUAGCUUUAUGUCACGAACAUAUUCUGGACCAGCAAGCGCUGAGAAUUCUGUGUCACUUGAUCGCCCUAUGAGAUUAUCAGAAAUCUACGUUGCGGCAGAGCAUGCACUGAAGCAGACAAUAUCAGAUCCCAAUUUACUUAUGCCAUUAUCGUCACUGCAAGAAUUUGAGGUACUUAAUGGACCUCAGAUUUUUUAAGGGAUAGGAAUUGAUUUCCUAUUAGGUGGUAGGUUGAGUGGUUGCCUCAAAUAACUGUGAAAACUAAUUAAAGAGACUUUCAGAUUAGCUCUCAUUAACACUGCUCUGAGAAAAGUUCCGAUCUUUUUUGUUACUUUUUGGUGGCUACUAAACUAAUUAGCAUUUGUUCACUUCACAUUUGUCAGAAGAAAUAUAUGGAGCUAACGAAAGGAGCAGCAGAUAACUACCACCGUUCUUGGUGGAAAAGACAUGGUGUUGUCCUCGAUGGUGAAAUUGCAGCUCUAUUAUUCAAGAAUGGCAAUUUUGACUUAGCUGCAAAGUCCUACGAAAAGGUCUGCGCUCUCUAUGCUGGUGAAGGCUGGCAAGACUUGUUGGCUGAAGUUCUCCCUGACCUUGCAGAAUGCCAGAAGAUUCUUAAUGAUGAAGCCGGGUACCUUUCCUCUUGUGUUAGGUUGCUAUCUUUGGACAGUGGCUUGUUUUUGAAUAAGGAGAGGCAAGCUUUCCAAUCGGAGGUUGUAAGGCUGGCUCACAGUGAGAUGAAGAAUCCGGUCCCACUCGAUGUUUCAUCGCUGAUAACAUUUUCGGGAAAUCCAGGCCCACCACUCGAGUUGUGUGAUGGGGAUCCAGGUAUAUUGUCGGUGACGAUUUGGAGCGGCUUUCCAGAUGAUAUCACUCUUGAAUCUCUUAGUUUGACACUGUCGGCUUCAUUUAAUGUGGAUGAAGGUCUCAAGGUAUGCUUUCUGUUGCUUAUAUUAAUUGAUUCUUGGGGCUUUUACAUAUGUAACCGUUGAAAAUCCUCUGUUUGCAUAUAUACCGUAUAAAAUCUGAAUUUUUACAUAUACUGCUCAAAAGUGCAGUUUGCUACGAAUGUAAAUCUUGCCUUAAGUUGGGGAAUUUUUCUAGUUCAUGAUGGAAAGUUGGCUUCCAAUUAAACAAAGUUCUUUUAGAGGUGCAUUUUUGUAUGUAUGAUGGUGUCUAUCCAAAAACUAAGUUUUUCAAGGGCACAUGCGAAAAUUAGAUUUUCUAGUGAUAUUUAUAGAUGGAUAGAUACACUUCAAAAACUAAAUUUCUUAGAUAUAUGUCCUCGUGCAAAGAAAACCUUCCCUAAUGCCAAACAAAUUAAACUAAGUUUUUCAAGGGCACAGCGAAAAUUAGAUUUUCUAGUGAUAUUUAUAGAUGGAUAGAUACACUUCAAAAACUAAAUUUCUUAGAUAUAUGUCCUCGUGCAAAGAAAACCUUCCCUAAUGCCAAACAAAUUCCCCCCAUGAAGUGGUGAAUGAUUCUCCAAUUUAAGAUAUAAAUAUUUUUGUAGAGACUGUCAAAUUUAUAUAUUAAAAUUCUGAUUUUACAGGUGUAUAUAUGUGAAUAGAUGAUAUUGCUGGGAUGUAUAUGGGAAAGCACCUUAACUACUUGUUGCUUAAAUCUUUUUGGAUACAACGAAAUAGUCUACCUGCCAGAUAUAUGACAAUUGCAUACACUUGGCAAUUUUCUAAUUGUGUUUUAGUUUAAACAAGACAAUAGUAUUUGGCAAAUAUGUUUUGAUCCAUGAUCUGAGUUCUCAAUUGUCUUUCACUUUGUCAAAUGAUGGGCUUAUAUUAAGUACAUCCUACAAUUUCUCGCAGGCAUUAAAGAGUGCAGAUCCUCUCAUACUAAAACCAGGCAGAAAUGUCAUCACUCUCGACCUUCCCCCACAAAAGCCGGGCUCAUAUGUGUUGGGGGCUCUUACUGGUCAGAUUGGGCACUUACGGUUUAGGUCUCAUAGCUUCUCUAAAGGUGGUCCAGCAGACACAGAUGACUUUAUGAGUUAUGAGAAACCAACAAGACCUGUUCUCAAGGUAAUAUUAUGAAAUAAAUUUUUUAUAUUUGAAUUUUUAUGGGCAUUCAUAUGGCUAAGAGGCUGUUUAUUUUCUCUCUUUUUUUUGAGAGCAAAUUCUUCGAGAAUCUACGCAUUUUCUCAUGAAUUCAGUGUACUCUGAUUAUUGAAGAUUUUGAAAGAAAAAAACACCAGAGAGUUUUAGUAUAAUAAAACAAAGAGGGUAAAAUUCAUGGAUAAUCCCUUUACCUUUUCGAUCUUGCAACUUUAGUCCCUGAACUUUCCAUUUAAAUGACUCAGCCCCGAAGUCUGUUAUAUUCUUGUAUUUUGUUUUUGCCGUUUAAUGUCUGCUAUAUCUUUUGCUUCACAUCUCACCAAUCCUGUUAUAUCAUUUGCUUCACACAUCACCAAUCCUGUAAAAGGGCCAGUUUAUCCUCAUUCCAGAUAGACUGAAAGGAGGAAAUCAUUAUGUAGGAAAAGCAUUAAAAUGACCACUUUACAAUACAAGGUGUCUCGUUCAGGAAAGUUCAGAGACUAAAUUAAUGUGAAUAGUUCAGGAGCUCAGUUUUACUUUCAUUAAAGUACAGAGGUCAUCCAUAUGUUUUAUCCAAAACAAAUUUAGCAGAUCAGGUGAAAGAUUGUUCUUCUGAUGCCUUUAAUUAUUUGUAUUGCUCGUAGGUUCUCAACCCUAGACCUUUAGUCGAUAUUACCGCUGCAGUAUCAUCCGCGCUUCUUAUGAAUGAACUUCAAUGGAUCGGUCUAAUUGUGAAACCAAUAGACUAUUCUAUGAUGGGCGCUGUCCUACAUAUAGACACAGGACCGGGGCUAAAAAUUGAGGAGUCACAUAUGAUUGAGAUAGAGGAUCAUACCAACUAUUCAAAAAGCUCUGUGAAUUCUUCAAGAAGAUUUGAACAAAUUUUGCUUGAGAGUGGUAAAAUCGAGCUUCCCAAUUGGGCUAGUGAUAUAACGACAGUUGUGUGGUUUCCUGUUCGUGCUAUUGAUGACAGAAUUGCUAGAGGAGUAUCUGCAGGUUUGCUGCUAACUACUAAGCAGGGCGAUUCAAUACAUACCCCUCAAAAGUUGCCAAAGUUUAAUAUAUAGCGAAUGCCCCUGUAAAAGCACAUAUUGUUUCAUAAAUGCCUUUUCUGUAGGGCAUUAAAAAUUACAACCUUACUUUACAGGCAUUUCCAAUAUUUCAAGGGGCCUUUUAUGAGUAUAUGCGGUACGAGUGCAAGGGCAAUUAUGAUAUCUUAAACUUUUGGAGCAUACCUAUGAAAUUAUGGGUUGACAGAGGGGUAAGUUUGAAAUUAGAGAGGUACAGGAUUUCUGACUAUUUCCCUGUUUUGUGGGUUCAGUCUCCCCUCCGGUACAAAAUAUGGUAGAUGGAAUGAGAAUGAUUGCCCUGAAACUUGAAUUUGGAGCUUUCCGCAAUCAGAUAUUUGAAAGGCAACUCUCUCUCUCUCUCUCUCUCGCGCGUGCGCGCGCAUGCUCAUGCUCGACCAGUUUUGUUUCAUUCUUUUACAUUAAAUCACCACUUUUCUGUCAUACACUUCAUAGUUAUAACACCAUACACCUGCUUAUCAGGACCAUUGCGGUGCAUUUCACUGAUCCAUUACAUGUCAGCACACGAGUUGCUGAUAAAUGCAGUGAUGGCACUCUACUUUUGCAGGUAUUUAGUUCUCAACUUUGUAAAAAUAUUUUCAACCUUAUGAUUGUUGAUUUUGUCACCAUUCUGAACCUAUCCAGAUGUUAAAGUUGUCUGACUCUUUUAAUGUUAUGCCUUAUUAUUCCAUUGAGAAACUAUUACUCUUAAUGUUGUUAAUUUGCUCAGCAUAUUCAACAUUGGAAUGUCACAAAUGUUCUUAUCUUUCUGAUAAGCAUAUGUGGAUGAUGAAUCAAUUCCUGCUGAAAUAUAAAGGGCUGCUUAUUCUCUUUCUUUUUCUUAAUGUCUCCAUAUCUAGGUCAUAUUACAUUCCCAAGUGAAGGCUGCUCUGCGACUAUAUGAUGCAUGGCUAGAUCUUCAAGCUGGAUUUGUCCAUGUAGGAAAGGUUGAUGGACGACCUAUUUCGAGCUCAUUCCCCCUUGUUAUCUCUCCAUCUUCUACUGCAGGACUGCUGUUUACCAUACAACUAGCUAGUACCAAAGGUAGCAAUUUGUUUUUUCAACAGAAUUUAUUUUGGUCACAUAAAGGCAAAAUUAAUAGCAAAUUAAUCUAGUCGGUCAUUUUUGGGCCUGUCAUGUAUUCACCUGACAUUAAAUUUUCAGGUUGAAACAUACUGGCCUUACUUCAAAAGUUUUUACUUUACUACUCAACCUUUGAUUUACUUUUGAUUUCAGAAAGCUUUUUCAAGGUCCAUCAGAACUCAACAGUUUUCACACAAGAAAGUAGAGUAUUCUGCAAGUAAUAGAAUAAUCCAUCAAAAGAGUUAAUGAAAAUUGUAAGUUCUGAUGGAAAGGUAGUUAAAAUCGAAGUAACAGAGGUUUUGUAGUGAGAGCAAAGCUUUUAGAGUUGGUGCCCAUUUGAAAAUGAGCUAUACUUCUGCCUAUAGCCUUUUUUUCUUUCUUUUUUUCUUUUUUUUAAAUCAGUGUUUCCGUUGGUUUUAUAUAUUAAUUUACUCGCGACUUCAUUAACAAAUAUUUAUUCAUACAGGCCAGGAUGAGGUAGUACAAACCGAUAGUAUACUGAACAUUAAAUAUGGAAUUUUGGGAGACAGAUCGACCGGUGCACAUGCACCUGUUCCUGUCGAAUCGGGAGAAUCUGAAGAACUGCUCUUUAAGAGUGCACUCACAUUGCAACGUCCCAUACUUGAUCCAUGUGUUGCAGUUGGUUUUCUUCCAUUUUCUUCUGAUUGCUUAAGAGUUGGUCAACUGGUGAAUAUGAGAUGGAGAGUCGAGAGAUUGAAAAAUCUAGAGGAGAAUAGUUCUUCAUGUGGAGUAAGUACUUGAAUUCAUCUUCUUCUUUUGCAUGUGAAAUGUCCUCUACUUGCUGCCUUUCUUAUUAUGCAUGGAAUUUUUUUUUUCAAUAAAUACCCUCUACACAUUCAAAAUCAUGCAAAUGUUGGUAUUUGCUGCAUGCCCCUGGAAUUUUUUUUUUUUUUGUUUGCAUAUAUACUCAUUAGGGGCAAACAAGCAGAAAAACAAGUUUUUAGGGGAAUGCGCACAAAUACCAAUUUUUUCAGUUUUUUUUUUUUUUUUUUUUUUUGGAGGAAUUUCUCCUUUCAUUCCUCUUUCUUUUCAAGUGCAUAAUUAUUAAACAAUCUUGGCUCGACAGGAUGAGGUUCUGUACGAAGUAGAAGCAAACCAACAAAACUGGAUGAUUGCGGGGAGGAAGCGGGGACAUGUAUCACUCUCCACAUUGCAAGGCCAGUAUCUUAUCAUCAAUUUCUAUUAAUUUUUUAUCAUCUAAAAUUCUUCUCUGAAUACAAGUUGUUCUAAUUGUAUCUAAAAUAAUAAUAAGAAUACAGGCUCAAGGAUAGAGAUCACAUUGACAUGUGUACCUCUAGUUUCGGGAUAUAUUCGGCCCCCUCACUUGGGUCUACCUGAUGUUGGUGACGCGAACAUUAGCUGCAACCCUGCGGGGCCUCAUCUGGUGUGUGUUUUGCCGCCGACGCUUAGCUCUUCCUAUUGCAUUCCAGUUUGAUUCUUUUAUAAAUCUUUUCUUUUUCUUUCAUUUGGUAAGUACUCGUGAGAAUGUAAAUCAGUUUGAACUGAUUCGUGGGGGAAAGCUCAAUUUAUUCUUAGUUGGGAUAUCUUUUUCCACUGGUGAAAGCUUUGUACAACUGUUUUUGUGAGGAUCAAAAGACCCAGAAAGAGGAAUCGGCUAGGGUUGGAGAGGGAUGUAUUGACAAUGUUUCGUCUGUUUAGAUAUGUUGUGUAAAACUAUUGUCAUUAAUUUUCCAAGCUGUGUGGUAUUUACUUUAUAGAGGAUCUCCGCCCAAGAUUACCCUUAUGAACCACUCGUAUCUAACCAAUUUAGCGCCUAUCCUUCAUGGCUUUUUGAGUGAAAACGCCACCAAUCAAGUACAGAAUCAAGAUCUUCAUCUGCAUCAUACUCCACAACCCUGGGCUUCCCUGUGGUGGUGGUGUUUGUUUAAUUGUUUCAAGUGCUGAUGGUAUUGUCGCUGCUGUAAUGCUUAUUCUCUUUGGCUUCUAUCACUUAAUUAGUUUAGUUGAAGCAAUGUCAGCCCGAGACAAUGGUGAUCUGGUGCCCAUUGCUGCUACUAACAAUCCUCCUACUGCGCCGGAUGGUGCUAUGUCCAUUCAAAGGUACUAAUGACCCUUUUUUCCAAGUACAAACAAGUGAUGUCCCUCCUGUGUCUGUUCAAAGUACUAAUGACCCUUUAUAACAAAGUACAAACAAGUGGUCAUCAUGUAGGGUUGGAUGGACCCGGAAAUUUUGGCGUCACUACCAGUUUUCUUUAGCUCUUCUGUGGGUCUAGAGGAGAAGCCAAACUCUUCUUUGGAUCAAGAGGAGAAUCUAGAGUGCGGUGUGUGCAAUUCGGAGUUCAAAGGCCAAUAAGAAGGGAAUUCUCCUUCCAAAAUGUGGAGAUAGAUUCCAUGUGCAAUGCAUCCACAGGUGGUUUCAGUUGAGAUCAGCUUGCCCUUUAUGCAGAUCUAGUGCUAAAGCUUGAAUCACCAAAGGAUGAGCCCAUUUGAGUUCGCAAAGGCGAAGAUAUAUCAGAAAGAGGCGCAUAGAAGAGUACAUACUGUUACUGUUGCAGUACAGUUUUCAAGGAAGAGGAGUCAUAAAGAAAUUAGUUACAUACCACUCCAUUUCUUCAGAUAAUGAUAUGGUGGUUACAAGCAACACCAUCUAUCGAGCGAAAUAAAUUCUUUCUUAUAUUUGUGUCUGUUGUUGCUAUUGUUGUGGCUAUUGUUUUCGAGCAGUUGACUUUCAUGCAAUGAGAAAGUUUAUAAGCAAGGAUAUAAAUACAAUAGCAACAUGCUGCCAACGUGCUUAAACAAAAAGAGAUGUUAUUAAAAUUGCAUGAAAUAAAUAGAAAGAUAUAUGACUUGCUUCACCGCCUCGGCGCCUCACCGGUGCUUAGCAGAGUUAUGAAAGGGCAUUGAGAUUUACAUAUCUCAAAUCUAAUAGUUGGGGUAGAUACAAAGCUUAUCUGCAUACGGUCUUUUUCACAUGGCUUUAGUAAAAGAUACAUAAGAAAUAAAACAAACCAAACUUCAGUUUGAUUUAUAAACAAGCAAAAUUCACCUACCAGUAGCUGGUUUUCGUAUAAAUAUCUCAAACUGUUUCUGGCUUUUGGCGCCUCUGAACAUCAAAAUGGACAUCGAUCAAACCUGUUAUACCGGCAGUGACCUUGUCCCCCACUCUUACAGGGCCAACACCUUGAGGAGUACCUGUGUAUUCAGGUCAAAACAACACUGCGAGUGAUAUAUCUUAAGUAAAUAAUUUGUCGAUGCCAGAAAUAAGUGAUUCUUGAGGAAGAAAAAAGAGAGGUCACUAAUAUUACUCAAAAAGAGUUAAAUGUAAUUUAUUGGAGAUACGGAGGUGUGUUUAAUAAGUAAAAUUCAAUGUAUUAAAUUAGUUUAAUAUGGGUAUCAGAGAACGGGAUAAAGUUUCAAGGGAUGAACAUUCUGCUAAUUGUUUUAUUAUACUAUGGAGUAGCUUCUAAUGCUGUAGAUAAUGCUGAAAUGUAGUAAUCUUUAAGUGAGCAAUUAAGUCCUUGUUGUGAAUAUGCAAAACCAAUGAGUAUUUAUAACAUACUUAUCCAUACUAGUAAAGGUUAUCAUGUAUAAAAUGCCAAAAAGUUAUCCAUUCCCUCAUAAAAGAAUUUGCCUGUUUAAUCAUCAAAUUCAUGCAUCCAGUUCUGGUUUUAGUAGAAGCUAAAGAUCUUCAACAAAGAAAAAUGUCUAACCUAAUCAAAACAAAGAGAAAAUUAUUAGCUUUUUACCUGUUAGAAUCACAUCGCCUUCCACUAAUGUCAUGAUGGAACUAAUAUGACUGAUGAGAAAAGGGAUCUUGAAGAUCAUGUCCCUUGUUGAACCCUUCUGCUUAAGCACAUCGUUUACCUGGAAGAAAUUAGGUAAUUAACUAAAAAAAGAUAUAAAACAGAAUUUAUCCUUAUGCAUUAUGAGAAAGCAACACAUGUACUGUAACUAAAAAUAAUAUGAUAGGUACAGAAGGAAGUAGUAUAAGAACCUUUAACCACAACUCCAGAUCAUCGGGAUUUUUCACCAUCGACUUUGGGAGCUGCAUUUCAUUGAUAAAGAGAACUCCUUAAGUAAAUUAAAAUAGCAAUUAACUUUGUAGGUAAGCAGGAUAAAUAUGAUGGCUUUAAUGCUAAUCUCCUGGCGAGCUCAUUAGUUAGAAGUGUAAUUGUAGAAGUAAACGGUAAAGAUGGAUAUAGUAUGUUUAACUCUUUAGUACAGUGAAAGGAGUAAUUAGGAUUGCUAGGACUGCUUACAACUUGACUGAUAGGUGUGAAGGUGUCCUGCCCUUUCGCCAGAGUCCAUGGUAGACCUGCAGACUACAAAAAACGCUUGCUUUAGAUGACUCAAUUCACCAAGAAAAUUACAAAAUCAAAUAUAUGAAUGCUGAUGCUGUAAGGAUAUAGUAUAAUACAAUUUCCGUAAUUUGGAUGUCAUCACAUCACUACUAAAUUACUUUUCUUCGUUCCGAUGAGGCACCACCUCUCAUUAUGCUCAAAACUUUUAUUGGAAUGGCAGUAUAGCCUAGAAGUGAUAAGAAGCACAAAAUCUUACCAAAAGAUUAAGAAUGACAUAAAUUUUGAUACAGUGAAAUGUAAAUGGGGAAAGUGUCCACCUUAGCAGAAGAUUGAAUUUCUCGUGCCGUCAUAUCCAGACCAAGUGCAUAACCUGCAAUUUUGAAGGAGUUAUAUGGAAUACCCAGGCUUUCAACCACCAAUUAUAUUGACCGUAAAAAGCAGAAAGAUAGUUUGACAGCAAAUAAAAGUUACAUAAGCAAGCAUCUUAUAGAUAAACAAGGGAAUGGAAAAAAAAAAAUUAGGAAGCAUAGCAGAAAACCUAAUUACCCAACCAAACUAUGCUGAACUUGUGUCAUUAGAAUGGGGAAUUAAAGUAUACAAUAUUGUGAGUUGUAAAUUUGUAAUGACCAUAAACAACUGAAUGGAAUAACCAAAACGCAUGGGAUCCAAACAAUCUUCGAGAAAAGAUUCUUUUUAUAAGAACUAAUAUCAUUAGCAGAGCUUUUAAUAUGCUUCCCUCGACAGAACGGCUUUAUGAAGUCUCUUAAGUUGAAAUUUUGUCAGUUGUAGCUUCCAGCCAAGAACUAGUAAUUUUGACAAAUCACUUUGAAUGACUAAUAGCUAACGAAGUUGCUAAAUUUUAACAAAUGCCCAAAUAAAUUUAGGAGCAUUAGCUUAGAACCACAACAUUUAUAAGGUUGAAAAGUUGCCAAUCAAAAUAUGUAAAGUCGGAGGAUCUAAUUUACGAUGGCCUAUAUUUGAGUGGGUCUCGACACAUUUUUACCAUAGAUUAACUAACAUGCACCACAUGAUUGAUGCAAUAACUCAAUUGGUAAACUUAAGCUAUAAUUUCUCUUCCUGCUCUACAUUUAAGCCGCGAAGUCGCAUAUACCUCCGACGUAGUCCAUGGCGGCUUUCACCGGGACGUCGCGAGCUUUCUGGCCAAUGACUACGGCGAGCUCCACCUCGUGAUCCAGAGACUCCAACGGGUGGGGGAUCUCGAUGGUGCCGCCGUUGCGUACGUACGAUGACGUGGGCUUUAAGAACAGUACCGGCUCCUAACAACGCCAACACCACCACCACCACCACCACCACCACCACCACACCAACAGCGUUAUUGCGGUCAAAGUGUUCGAUCAAAUGCCAUAGAAAAGGAGAUCAAUAUAGGAUUCUAGGAGGAGGGAGAAAAGGACCUUGGGUACGGCGUUUCCGAGCUCCUUGGCGUGCGCGGCGUAGUUGCGGCCCACGGCCACGAUCUUCGUCCCCAUGUUCAGAAGCUUCUCCGCCGCCAACGCCGCCCCCGCCGCCAUGGCCGGAUCGAUCGCCCCUUGCGGAAAACUCUAAUUGCUCCUCGUGAGGGAAAUAAGGGGGCGAGAGCGGAGGAGGAUAAGAGAGAUCGGGGGAGGAUAAGAGAGAUGGGGGGAGAAAGUUGCGAUCGCCUUCGCCUUCGUUUGAAAAUUACUGCUCGGGCUAAAUGUGACCAGUGAGUAAAUAUUGCGAAAUGGUCCCUGUACCUUUUCAAUUGAGCUACGCAGUCCCCAACCUGAUGAUAAGGAUGCAUAAAAUAUCGGGCUUUUUUUGCAAAUAGCCCCCUUACAAUUUUUUUUUUAAAUUGGCCCUGUCAAAAAUUUAUUUGCAAAAAUGGCCCUGGCCCCGCAACGCAAGCGCCACGUCAGCGCCACAUGGUUUAGUUGAACACGGUGAACCAUUCACCGUGUUCAAUACAAAGUUUUUGUAUUGGACACGGUGAAUGAUUCACCGUGUCCAAUACAAAAUAGCUAAGAACGAAAUAUUUGUAUUGGACACGGUGAAUGAUUCACCGUGUCCAAUACAAAUAAUUGGACAUGAUGAAUGGUUAACCGUGUCUAAUAUAAAUACCUCCAACUUAGCCAUUGUUGAGAUAUUUGUAUUGGACACGGUGAACCAUUCACCGUGUCCAAUACAAAAAUCUUGUAUUGAACACGGUGAAUGGUUUACCGUGUUCAACUUAAAUACCCGGGCCCGCCCUACCCGCGUGGCGCUGACGUGGCAGAGGCAGGGCCAUUUUUGUAAAUAAUUUUUGGACGGGGCUAUUUUUGUAAAUAAAAUUUGUUAAGGGGCUAUUUGCAAAAAAAAUCCUAAAAUAUUCUAUAAAAUAGGCUUUUUUUUGCAAAUAGCCCCCUCACAAAUAUUUAUUUUAAAAUUGGCCCUAUUAAAAUUUAAUUUGCAAAAAUAGCCCUGAUCCUGCCACGCAAGCGCCACGUCAGCGCCACACGGGCGAAGCUGGGCCAGAUGUUUAAGUCGAACACGGUGAAUCAUUCACCGUGUCCAAUACAAAUGGGUAUUUGUAUUAGGCACAGUGAUUGAUUCACCGUGUCCAAUAUAAAUGGGUAUUUGUAUUGGACACGGUGAAUGAUUCACCGUGUUCAACUUUGCCUCAACCCCCCGGCGUGGCGCUGACGUGGCAACCACGUGGCAGGGGCAGGGUUAUUUUUGUAAUUUAAAUUUUGACACGGCCAUUUUUGAAAUAAAAUUUUCUAAGGAGGCUAUUUGCAAAAAAAGUCCUAUAAAAUAAGAUGUAUUACAUAUUUUAGACUCGUAUGUUUGACUAAUGUAUGUUGCGCUUUUGAAAUGUGAUACAACCAACAUACCGAAUGAUCUGUCCCUUCUUCUGGAUUAUUAAGUAAUAUAUAUAUAUANUAUAUAUAUAUAUAUAUAUAUAGAAUUAGGCUGGAAUAUUAUUAAGAGUAAAAUGUUUUUUUUACUAUCAAAUUUUUAACCCUUUGAUGAAAAAUUGUAGGAUCAGGAUGAUAUUAGUCAGUUAAAGCUAAGUGGUUCCCCUAGGGUUGAGUGGUCCUUACUGGGUUAUAAUAUUUAAUCCAAUGGUUAGAAAUAAUGAAAUGAGUUGAUCCAAAAGCUAAAAAAGUGGUAGCAACAAUGAGAUUUUGCUACUAAUAGUAGCCCAGUCCAACUAUAUAUAUAUAUAUGAGUAGAGCUACUGUACUAUCGGAAGCAUAAAAUGGUUAGUGCUUUCGAUUUUUUUGCCCUUAGAUCAACUUUAUUGAUUAUUUCUAACCAUUAGAUUAAUAUUAUUAACCAAUGGGGACCACUCAAUUCUAAGGGAACCACUAUUAUUCUAACUGUAAAAUUUUUAAUCCAAAUGCUAAAAAAUCGGAAGCACCAACUACUUUAAACUUUCGAUAGUAUAGUAGUUCUACACUAUAUAUAUAUAUUAUUGUUUUUGUUGAGGGGGCUAUUUUAGAAUUUGGAAGAGACUCUACAGUCUCCAUACAUGUAUUUUUUGGUUGAAAAAACAUUAUUUAAUUUUGGGUAUUGUUUGCAAAAGGAGAAGCAGAAGCACAAACUUGGGCUUUUGACGUACACGAAAAGGCUGAGUGGGCUGAAUAGAAAAAAACUUUUGGCCUUUUUGAACUUUUGACGAGACCAUUCUCCUUGUAAACCUACCCAAAAGCCUUAUCCCUGUCCCCAAAUUGUCCCCCCUCUCUCUCCCUCCCUCCUCUCUUCUGCUGGAGCUCACAAUCGCCAGGGGAGAAAGCCACGAAGGUGUGAGAAUCUCUCUCUCUCUCUCUCUCUCUAAACUCUAACUCCCCAACACACUCAUAACAUCUCGCAUGCUCUCUCUCUCUCUCUCUCUCUCUCUCUCUCUCUCUCUCUCUUGUAAGUGAUGGGUAUUUAGACUCAUAAUAGUUAUUAGCUAUAUUUCAUUUUCAAAGAUACCCUCCAGACUCUAGUAAUGCAUGAGCAAAUUCUUCAGAAUUCGGAAUUUACAGCACUAGUUCCUCUUUCAUUUAUGCUUUGUUUUCCUGAAUCUUUUUCCGUAGAUAUAUAAGAACAAAGCUGAUGCUCAGCGUCUAGUCAGCCGGUCACUUGAUAAUUAGGCUGAAAUAAACCGAUCUGAUCUCGUUUUGUUUUUGAGAGAAGAAAGAAGAGAGAGAGAGAGAGAGAGAGAGAAAUGGAUUCUCUGGCUGUUCUCGGAAGAGGUCCCUGUCUUCUGUUGUCGAAGCCGCCCGCAGCGGCACGAAAAGACGGCCUCUCCGUCUGCUAUUCCAUAUCCCUUGGCUCGAACCUUGCAGCGUUCGGACCAUCUCCUUUCCUCUCCCUUCCGAGAAGCCCAAGCCGCGGCAGGCUCCGUGUUCGGAAGCCCAGCACGAGAACCACCCGUAUCUUCCUCCCUCACCUCGUCGCUGCCAUGGUUUGUCUCUCCCUUCCCUUCCCGUGCUUAUCAUUUCUUCGCUCUUGUCUAAUCUAGGACUUUGUUUGGCCUGACUGGAGCUUCUGUAGAAAGUGCUGUCGAUUAUGACGGCUUCUAGUCAAAACAAAAGUCUGCAGACUUUUCGGUUUCUAAUAAAUAAACGCCUGGCUGCUGUUUCUUAACAGUAGAAAGAUUGUUCCAGAAGCCAGGCUAGAUAAACAUGUAUAGUACGAAAAAAUGUAGAAAGAAGUAAUUUGGUUUUAGAAUGUAGGAUUUCCCUUUAAUCAUGCGGAUAUGAGAAGUUGUUUGCUUUCUUUUUUCUCUGAAUUUAGAACUCGGUUCGACGAUUAGAAUAAUUUGUUUUCUCAACUUUGUAGGAGGAGGUUGAGGAGACUUACAUCAUGGUGAAGCCUGAUGGCGUCCAACGGGGUCUGGUAUAUGCUCUGCAGCUUUCUUUUCAGCUGGACUGAUUUCAGCUGGAUUUGCUCUUUUAAAACACCCAAUUGUUUUUUUCCCACAUUGUUUAUUAGGUUGGAGAGAUUAUUUCUCGUUUUGAGAAGAAGGGAUUUUUGCUGAAGGGUUUGAAGCUUUUUCAGUGCCCCAAGGAGUUAGCUGAGGUACUCUUCUUUGACUACAUCUGUCUUCAUAAUUUAUAGAUAAAAAUGUACAAAACUUGAACUAUCGACCAUUUUGAAUUAGCUAUACCACCUUUCAAAAUUUUGAUUUUACUAUCCAACCUUGUGAUUUGUUGAAAAGAAUUACAGCUGGAAAGAGGCCUAUAUUGUAAUUUGUUGUAUUUGUUGAAAAGAAUUACAGCUUUGGAACUUCCAUUUCUGUGGCACUAAUAUUUUAUGACAUAUUUUUCAUUAACAGGAGCAUUAUAAAGACCUCAAGGGCAAAUCUUUCUAUCCUAAGCUGAUAGACUACAUUACAUCAGGUCCAGUUGUUUCUAUGGUAUACCUCUAAGCAUAGGCCUCUCUGUAUCAAUUUCUUACCGAAGGUCUUUUGUGUGAUUUGUACCCUUGAAGACUCUGAUUCUUAUUACGUCUGUAGAGUUCCGAUUCAAGCAUUAUAAUCCUUUUGUUAGUUUACUGUUUGUAAAAAGAUGCCGCGUCGGCAUUGCAUUUAGAGUUAGCCGACAUGGCUGCUUCCUGAGGUUGGCCCUGCAACAAGUUAUGCUGAUUUGGCUUUUUUUUUUUUUUUUUUUUUUUUUUUUUUUCUAUUUUUCCUCGUCGGUAGACUUAUAGAAGAACUUAUUGAAAUUGUUGAAAUUGUUGAAGUUGAAAGUCCAACAACAUAACGGAUAUCCAGAUCAAGCUUCAGGGAAUAAAGUGUAAUCAGACCUAGGUUUCAAUUUUUUCACUGUUAUGCCGGUUGCUGUUUUUAAUCUUUUUGGUUAUCAGGCUUGGGAGGGUGUCGGCGUUGUUGCAUCAGCCCGUAAGCUUAUAGGAGCUACAAAUCCUCUUCAAGCUGAACCAGGAACUAUUCGGGGAGAUCUUGCUGUUCAAACGGGAAGGUUGAACUCUUGAACUCCCUGUUCUUUUCUUUCUUAUAGUCAGUUUAAAUCGGGUUAAAUUCUCUUUGGGUGUUUUAUCUUAUUUCAAGAGAACAUAAGAUUGCAUUAAAUAUUUUUUGCAGAAACGUUGUUCAUGGAAGUGAUAGCCCUGAGAAUGGCAAACGCGAAGUUGGUAAGUCAUACAGCACUUAACAGCAACACGAGCAGACGUAUUUACUUCUUAGUAUGAUCAAUCCGGAUGGCAUUUUAUGUUUAUUAUUAAUGUAUAGAACCAUGUGGAAAACUCGCUGCAUAGGUAAACAACUAAUGUGAAAUAAUAACUUAUGGGCUACAAAGAAUAUUAAUAGUCAUAUAAAUCUAGACUUAUUGGUCAAGAUGACAAGCUUACUAUGACUAGUCCAAAAGGGACUUUAUGUUUAUAUACAAACACAUAUACAAAUGUACAUUUUGUUUUGUUGCCAUUGCCAUUGUGGCGUAUCCUUUCCAUGCUAUAUAUUCUACCCUGUGACUAACUAUCCGAUUUUUGUUAUUAACUAAAAAUGAUCUAUAUCAUUUCUAACAGAGUUUAACCAUAUGUGCCCUUUUUCCAACAGCUCUCUGGUUCAAGGAAGGAGAACUAUGUGAGUGGAUACCAGCUCAAGCACCUUGGCUUAGAGAGUAAAUUUAAGAAUAAUUUACUCCAAAGCCAUUUCUGAGGUUCAACAUUUCGUCUUUUCUUCUAGCUCCAUUUUUCGCAAAUUGUUGCUUCUUGUGGUUGAUAGUGCAGGUUACUAAGAGGGUUGUAACAACCUCAUUGAGAUGCGAAGGAUAAUUACACAAUAAAUUUUAAUUUCCUUUCCUUCUCCUGCGGUAGAAGAUUAGGUAGAAUUGGGGCAGUCAAAAUUUUGAUUUACCCAGUGCAUCAGAUGUUUGUUUGAAUUUGUCCCUGAAUUAUUGUACUUUGAUUCUUUAUAAGUAAUUGAUCCAAGUUUCUCCUUUGUUGGAUACAUUUUCUCGUCCUGCUUAUAUCUUUGAUUAAUUGCGCAUAUCAUCUGUUUCGAAGUACUUUGAACUGCUUGCAAAUACCAGUACGAUACAAAGUGCAGUAUAGCGUAUUGUACCUGUGUAGCUUCUUGUAUUCAUGCCUCUUCAAAUCCAGCUUCUCAUUUUUUUGACAUUGGUGCUUCUAAAACUCUUAUUUGUGCAGUGGGCUCUGAAAAUUUAAGAUGGUUUGGCUUUUUCAUGCGUACCUGGCAAGGAUACAAAUGUAUCCGAAUAAAUUAGCUCAUCAAGGACAUCAAUGAGGAAUGUUUUCAGUAGUAUUGAUGCAAUUGUGAAUAAUUAUAUGGGUGAAUAUGCCAAAGAAAAAAAAAAAUCUAGGAAAAGGGGAAAAGAGAAAGAACACAUUCCAAUGUCAUUUAUAGCAGGGAAUUUUCAACAGGGGCAAGUUGAACGAAAACAAUGAACUUGGCCACAAACCUUUUAUUCCACCACUCUAAAGAGGGGAAUAUUUUGGAGUGGGGGAGCAUCCAAUCCACUCAUUUACUUUAUGUCCAGCUUUACUACUUUCCUUUUUCUUCCUCGACACAUGCGGUAAAGAUAUGUCAACACAUGAAGUAAAUAAACUUUCUCUAUUGUGCAAUGUUCACUGAAAUAAAUGUUUUUUUUUUUAAAAAAAUUCCCUUCUAAAAAGCUUACUACUCAUCCCUAUUCAAGAGUCAAGACCAAAUAUAUGAAUCAAAACUAGACAACAUGAGAUGCACUCAUCUACAGUAAACCGAUCAAAUGUCGCAUAAUAAUAUUUUUGCAUGUAAUUUAAUCUUUUAGAAGAAAUAUAUUAAUUCUUUUUUAUUAUUUUUUUUUUUUGGCAGUGGACAUAGCAAUACUAAUUUGGAGCUAUUGCGAAGUUCUAGUCUUAUAAAAAUUUUAAUUAUUUUACAGUAGAUAGAAAAAAUUGUAGCUGAAAUAAAAGGCGGAAUCAUUAUUACCAGUACCCAGAAACAAUCACCACCGUUCAUUUGGUAUAUACUACGAAUCCGUACCGAUCGAACGAUGAAGAAUAGAUAUCUAUACGUAUUCGGGUCAAAUCCUAGGCCCCUGUUUGGUUCGGGGUUAAGAAAAAGUAGCUAUUUCAGUGAUAGGGUUGAGUUCGGGGUUAAAAUGGUGUUAAAAUUUUUUUGUGUUUGGUUGGAGGUUGGAGUUAGUCUAUAAUAGUGAAAAAAAGUGUUUGGUUGGAGUAGGUGGGAUAAGAAGAUAAUGAUUGAUAAAGAAGAAAAAGGUGAGAGCUCGGGAUGCGUGCGGGGUUAAAGUUGGGAGGGGGAGUGGGGUUAAUGAUUGAUAAAGAAAAAAAAUGUGAGGGCUCGGGAUGCGUGCGGGGUUAAAGUUGGGAGGGGGAGUGGGGUUAGUAAACCCCACUAAUCCGAUUUGGGGUGGGGUUUACUAAUCCCACCCCAAAAGAGUGAUGUUUGAGUAUAAAUUGGGGGUUAAGGGCCCCUUAACCUCCAACCAAACGGUGGCUAGAGGUCUCCGUAAAAUACGCCGCGGAACACUAUACCGCGUCGAACUCCUCUCCGAUCCUUCGCCGCCCUAUAAACAAUCCCCUCCUCCCCUCUCCUCCUCCCACAAAACCUCUUCAGGUCUUUUUGGGGCUUCGAAUUUUAGGGUUUUAAUUUAACUUUUUGGGCCUUUUUUCCGAGGAGGAAUCAUGCUCGUCUACCAGGAUCUCCUCACUGGUAUGAUUUGCUUCCAAAUUUGGGGAUUUUGUGACCUAAACCACUUUGAUUUCUUUCGUUUUUUGGUGAAAUUAGUGGCUUUGGUGAUGGUUUACUUUUAGAUCGUUAGCAAAGUUUGGAUUUUGGGCGUCUUGAUCUAGAAGUUGGUGCUAUUUUACUGUUUUUGUAUUACUUUGCGGAGCCUGCUUCCUUUUUUGGGAGUAUUUUGCGUAGAAUUUUCUUGUUUCUGAUGAAAAUCGACGGUUUGGUAUUCAGUAAUCCUAGAUCUGUAGGAGAGAUUGGAUUUUGGGCGUUUUAAACCUGAAUUGGUGCUAUUUGAGUAUUAAUUUUGUGGUUUCUUGCUGAGUUUGCCUCCUAUUAGUUUUGGUUAUGCUCAACUUUCAGAGAAUUUUUGUGAAUCGCAAUAUUUUUUUCUUUUAUGCUUCGGCGUGAUUUGUUAGAAAAGCUAAUAGAAUUUGGAAAUUAUUUAGUCGAUGUGGAGAAAAAAUAGAUAUCUGAAAUUGGUGUUUUAAUGCUCUAAUAGUCGAGUCUUGUGUAUUGAUUGUGGGCGUGGAUUAUCUCACUUGAUUGUUGCUAGUUUGAUUUAUUUUGAAAAGCUUGGUAUCUGAGCUUUGCCCACCGUAAUGCUGCAUAAAUCCCCUCAAAGGUAACCAAAUUUAAUGAUAUAUGGAUUGUAGUUUGUGUGUGCUUGUGCACGAUCUAAAUAUUUGAAUAGGGUUAUGAAGUGUGAUCUAAAUAUUUGAUGAGGGUUAUGAAGUGUGAAUUUGACGGGAAAAAUAUUUUUUGGUGGCUUAAUGUUUAGUUAAGAUAAUACCAUGUAUAUUGUAAUUCAGAUGCCUUGUUUUACCUUUUUACCUCUUUCUUUUCUUUGUAACAAAUUAUGCAAUGAAACUUUGGCUGAUUUUUAGUGGCCUAACAAAUUUAUUUUGAUUGCGGACAUUGUACUUCUCUUGAUGGUUUCUGUAAAAUAGUGGAUAUACAAGAAGAUCCACUCGUCAUCUGGUCCUUUAUUACACUGACUUGCUGCUUGAACAUUUUGUAUGGCGUGAGAUUGAGAUCACGCGUUCUAUUCUCGUCGUUGGUUUGCUAAUAAACUGAUGCUAUUCAUUUAUGUUCUCUUUGUUACUUGCUAACAAUAUAUAGUUUGGAUCAUUUGAUAGGUGAUGAGCUCCUCUCAGACUCAUUCCCCUACAAGGAGAUUGAGAAUGGGAUGUUGUGGGAAGUUGAGGGGAAGGUCAGUAUUACAUUAGACCUUUUCUCCUUUUUCUCCCCCCUUUUUCUAUUUAUCAAGUUUUUUCGGGGGACAGUCACAAACUGAUUUUCUUCUGAAUUAAUGUCAUCUGUUCUUCUAAGUUGGUGCUUAGUUCUAAUGUCAUCAACAAAUGAUAUUACCAUACAUUCGAUAACAUGAAAUAACUACUGAAUAAUGCAGUGCAUCACUACCGGGAGAGCUUGGUGAAUGAAUUUAAAUGCACUAAUAGUCAGCUGACUAACAUAUUAAUCUAUUGGCAGUGGGUGGUUCAAGGAGCCGUUAGUGUAGACAUUGGUGCAAACCCUUCUGCGGAAGGUGGGGAAGAAGAUGAAGGGGUUGAUGAUCAGGCUGUAAAGGUGGUUGAUAUCGUCGACACCUUCAGGCUUCAGGUUGUUUUUCCUCUUUCAUUGAAUGAAACUGAUUUUUUUUUUUUUUUUACAUUUAUUUUGGUCAUGUAGAUAUAAGUCGCGCUGUUGUUUGUUUCUUAUGAUAUUUUCUUCUAAUAUUACUUGCUCUGUAGGAACAACCUGCUUUUGACAAAAGGCAGUUUGUUACCUUCAUGAAGCGCUACAUCAAGAACUUGACGCUCAAAUUGGACGAGGAGAAGCAGGAACUUUUUAAGAAGCACAUUGAGGGGGCCACCAAGUUCUUGCUCUCGAAGCUCAAGGACUUCCAAUUGUAUGUCCUUUAUGUUCUGGUUAUUUGUUCACCACUCUUCUACACUUUGAUAGUAUGAUUGCUCUCUCAAUGAAACCGAUUCGUAUAAUUUUUAAGGUUAAAUGUACAUACGGUCCCUAACAGUUUUAUGAAUUGCAAUUUAGUGUAACACAUUGAUUCCCAAGCAUGACCAUGACUUGAGUUUACAUUCAAAAUCUCUUCGACUUGUUAGUUUCACAGCUCCUACUAGGAAUAAUAUUGUGAGAAACUGGCUAUGUUUAAGGUAUUAUUGUCUUUUACAUUUUUAGCCCAAAUUGCAAUUUAUCGAGAGUUCAGGGCCUAUGCACAUGCUAUCAAUUUUGAAACAAUAAAUAGAACCCAAUACUUUUGGUGGUGAGUACUGAUCAUAUAUAUUAUAUAUUUUUUUCCUGCAGUUUUGUCGGCGAGAGCAUGCAUGACGAUGGUGGCUUGGUAUUUGCAUACUACAAAGAGGGAGCAACUGACCCGACAUUUUUAUACUUUGCCUAUGGAUUGAAGGAGGUCAAGUGCUAAAGAUGAUGAUGCCCCUCUAUUUCCGUAUUGCCCCAUGAAGACCUUGCUUGUUUUAUCCCUUUUUUUCUAAAAUUUCUUUUUGCCUCUUAUGCAUUGAACUAGUUUUAAUGAGUACUUGUUUGAUCUCGGGUUUAAUUUGAAUACUUUAUUGAGGAAUAAUGCUUUCUUGCUCUUUUUGAAUCCUUUCCGUAUCAGCUUUUUUUCUUUGUAGUGUCAUAAUUGGAUGGCCACUAUAAUUGGUUUUGUAGAUUUUCUUUUUGUGUGUGUGUGUGUGUGUGUGUGUGUGUGUGUGCGGAUUCUGUUUUCUCUUAUAUCACUUUGGUUAUGUCAUUCAAAACAAAUUUUUGAAUGACACAACAGCAGAAGGUUUAACCAAUCAAUGAAGAGGGUAACCGCAUUACCCUCUCUUUGGAUUAAAUGAAAUUUAAAAUUUGUUAAAAAUCAAUUGCUGAUAAUGCAUUUUUCUCUGUAUUACAAUCUGAACUUACAUCAUUAGUUGAUUUUCUUGCUCUCUCUUUGCCGCAAUGCAGUAAAAAUAGCACCUUUCGUGAUUUGGGUUCUUAUAAUUAGCUAGAUUUGUUCUUGCUGGCCAGUUUGAUGCCAUUUUGGUGUUCAGUGUGAUAUUCUUGUCUGUCUCAUUGUUCUCAGAUGAAGAGGUGAUAACUGUGAUUAGUUUAUUGGGAGCUAUUUUGUUUGGUGAAGAUUUAGUGGGCCGUUUUGGAAAUAAAUAGACGAAGGCUUGAUUCUGGUAGAGCCUUUUUCCGCAGGAUGCGAUGUUGCUGUUGUUUCUGCAGUUGAAGUUAGCAGUUUACUUUCGUCGUAAUUAUGCAACUCUGGAGUGAUGCAAAUUAGCCAAAUCUUAUGAUGAUUGUGCUCCUUCAGGCUUCCCAUCUGUACCAUUGCUUUUGUGCGAAAUGUUUAUUUUCGACAUCUUCUUGACAUAUAUUAUUACUAUUAUUAUGCACAUGAAGGGAAAGCCUUUAGUUGAAGCACGCAUCGCUGGUGAUAAAAAUCGGGAUUGGUUGUUGCUGACCAGGGAUGUCAAAUUCAAUUCCUUCAGGCUCCGUUUGGAUCGGGAAUUAGUAGGAACUAGUUAUACCGGGGACAGGUACAGGUAUGAGUUUUUAUAGGAAUAAGGGUAUUUUUUUGUUUGGAUGAAAUUGUGAGUAUAAGCUGGAACUAGAAAAAUUAUGUUUGGAUGGUUUUUGGAAAUAAGAGGAAUAGUUGGUAGUUAUAAAUAGAAAAUAAUAAUAUUAUCCCUAUAAUUGAAUUUUAAACUUAUAAUUUUAAAUUUUAACUUUUANCCCUAUAGGGAGGAAAUAUGGGUUUGUUUUUUUUUUACUACCCUUGUUCACAAGGGUGGUAUUGCCCAACAUAGACCAUAGACCAUGUUGGGCAAUACCCCUUAUCCCCCUUUUAUACCCGAGCCAAACGGAGUGUCAGUGAUAGUUACCUUUAUGAAAAUUGAGUUUUUCUUUCGGGCAUUUCGUAUUGUAUUAUCAUUGCUCUUUCAAAGCAUUUUGUUUUAACUAUUAAACGUCAUCUAGAUGUCUAGUUAAAGAUAUCAGUGUAAUUGUAGUAGCACCACAAUAUACUUCAUAGAUUUUUUGAACUUUUUAUACACUAUAUAUAUAUUUUUUUCAAAGGCAACUCUCAACCCUUUUUCUUUUUUUUUUUUCUAAUUUCUAUAUUAUUAUAAGUAAAAAAUUUAUAAUUUUGUAUAUAGAUUGUUAAAAAAUACUGAUUGAAAGUGUCGGAAUAUAUAAUUAGAGUUUGAGCUUAGACCCGCACCCAAUCUAUUCUAAUAGUUCUUUAUCUGUCCGAUUAGUAUCCCUUGUCGGUUGGUCCUGCUGCUAAUAUUUGAUAGAAAUUUUUAAUAAGGACAAAUAUAAUUUGUAUUUUUUUAUUAUUUAACUGGUAUUUUUUAUAAUAAAGUUGUUAGAUUUUAUUUGUAAUAACAGAUUUACUAACAGUAAUGGGUUAAGGAAAAUGCUAUUAAGCCUUUUAUAUAUCCUUCGCGGCGGGGCGAUUACGAAUCAGAGUCCAAUACACAGAAGCCAUCAUCGACCGCUCAUUCGGUAUAUACUACGAAUCCGUACCGAUCGAACGACGCAAAACAGAUAUCGACACGAACUCGGGUCAAAUUCUUGAGGUCUCCGUAGAAUACGCCGCGGAACACUAUACCGCGUCGAACUCCUCUACGGCUCUACAGCCCUUCGCCGCCCUAUAAACCCUCCCCUCCUCCCCUCUCGCCCUCCCACAAAUCCUCCUCACUUCUUUUUAGGGCUCCGAAUUUUCGGGAUUUAAUUUAAUCUUUUGGGCCUUUUUUCGGAGGAGGAAUCAUGCUCGUCUACCAGGAUCUGCUCACCGGUAUGAUUUGCUUCCGAAUUUGGGGAUUUUGUGCCGUAAACCGUUUUGAUUUCUUUCGUUUUCUUUGGUGAAAUUAGUGGGUUUGGUGAUGGUUGGCUUUUAGAUCGGAAGCAAAGUUUGGAUUUUGGGCGUCUUAAUCUAGAAGUUGGUGCUAUUUUACUGUUUUUGUAUUAUUUUGCAGAGCUUGCUUCCUUUUUUGGGGAUAAUUGUGCGUAGAAUUUUCUUAUUUAUGAUGAAAAUUGACGGUUUUGGUAUUCAGUAGUCCUAGAUCUGUAGGAGAGAUUGUAUUUUGGGCGAUUUAAACCUGAAGUGGUGCUAUUCGAGUAUCAAUUUUUUGGUAUGUUGCGGAGUUUGCCUUCUAUUAGUUUUGGUUAUGUUCAACGUUCAGAGAAUUUUUGUGAAUCGCAAUAUUUUUUUUCUUUUAUGCUUCGGCAUGAUUUGUGAGACAAGCUAAUAGAAUUUGGAAAUUAUUUAGUUGAUGUGGAUGAGAUUCCUGAAAUUGGUGUUUAAUGCCCUAAUACUUUUGAGUCUUGUGUAUUGAUUGUGGGUGUGGAUUAUCUUACUUGAUUGGUGUUAUUUUGAUUUAUUUUGAAAAGCUUCAUAUUUGAGUUUUAACUACCGUAAUGCUGCAUAAAUCCCCUCGUAGGUAACAAAAUUUGAUGAUGUAUGGAUUGUAGCUCGUGUGUGCUUGUGCGCGAUCUAAAUAUUUGAUUACAGUUAUGAAGUGUGAAUUUAAAAUAUUUGAUUACGGUUAUGAAGUGUGAAUUUAUGGGAAAAAUAUUUUUUGGUGGCUUAAUGUUUAGUUAAGAUAAUUUUGUGCAUAUUGUAAUUCAGAUGCCUUGUUUUACUAAUUACCUCUUUCUUUGCUUUGUAACAAACUAUGCAAUGAAACUUUAGCUGGUUUUAGUGGCCUCACGAAUUUAUUUUGAUUGUGGACAUUGUACUUCUCUGGAUGGUUUAUGUAGAGUGUUGGAUAUACAAGAAGAUCCACUUGUCAUCUGGUCCUUUAUUACACUUACUUGCUGCUUGAACAUUGUGUAUGGCGUGAGAUUGAGAUCACACGUUCUAUUCUUGUCAUUGGUUGCUAAUAAACUGAUGCUAUACUUGUAUGUACUCUCUGUUACUUGCUAAUGAUAUAUAGUUUGGAUCAUUUGAUAGGUGAUGAGCUCCUUUCAGACUCGUUCACCUACAAGGAGAUUGAAAAUGGGAUGUUGUGGGAAGUUGAGGGGAAGGUCAGUAUUACAUUAGACCUUUUCUCCUUUCCCCCUACCUUUUUCUAUUUUUCAAGUUUUUUUCUGGGGACAUUCACAAACUGAUUUUUUUUUUUCUGAAUUAAUGUCAUCUGUACUCCUAAAUUGGUGCUUAGUUCUUUCUAAUGUUAUCAGCAAAUGAUUUUACCAUACAUUCCAUAACAUGAGAUAACUACUCGAAUAUUGCAGUGCAUCACUACUGGGGGAGCUUGGUAAUGAAUUUAAAUGUACUAAUAGUCAGCAGACUAACAUAUUAAUCUAUUGGCAGUGGGUUGUUCAAGGAGCCGUCAGUGUAGACAUUGGUGCAAACCCUUCUGCAGAAGGUGGGGAAGAAGAUGAAGGGGUUGAUGAUCAGGCUGUGAAGGUGGUUGAUAUUGUCGACACCUUCAGACUUCAGGUUGUUUCUUCUCUUUCAUUGAAUGAAACUUCUUUUUUUUUUGGUAACUUUUAUUUUGGUCAUGUAGACGUAUGCCACACUGUUGUUUGUUUCUUAUUAUAUUUUCUUCUAAUAUUACUUGAUCUGUAGGAACAACCUGCUUUUGACAAAAAGCAGUUUGUUACCUUCAUGAAGCGCUACAUCAAGAACUUGACGCCCAAAUUGGACGAGGAGAAGCAGGAACUUUUUAAGAAGCACAUUGAGGGGGCUACCAAGUUCUUGCUCUCGAAGCUCAAGGACUUCCAAUUGUAUGUCCUUUAUGUUCUGGUUAUUUGUUCACCACUCUUUUACACUUUGAUAGUAUGAUUGCUCUCUCAAUGAAACUGAUCCGUAUAAUUUUUAAGGUUAAAUGUACAUACGGUCCCUGACAGUUUUAUGAAUUGCAAUUUAGUGUAACACAUUGAUUCCCAAGCAUGACGGUGCUUGAGUUUACAUUCAAAAUCUCUUCGACUUGUUAGUUUCAUAGCUCCUUCUAGGAAUAAUAUUGUGAGAAACUGGCGACGUUUAAGGUAUUAUUGUCUUUUAAAUUUUUAGCCCAAAUUGCAAUUUAUCGAGAGUUCAGGGCCUAUGCACAUGCUACCAAUUUUGAAACAAUAAAUAGAACCCAAUACUUUUGGUGGUGAGUACUGAUCAUAUAUAUAUAUAUAUAUAUAUAUAUAUAUAUAUAUAUAUAUAUUUUCCUGCAGUUUUGUCGGCGAGAGCAUGCAUGACGAUGGUGGCUUGGUAUUUGCAUACUACAAAGAGGGAGCGACUGACCCGACAUUUUUAUACUUUGCCUAUGGAUUGAAGGAGGUGAAGUGCUAAAGAUGAUGAUGACCCUCUAUUUCCACAUCCAAAGUGGAUUAUAGUCCUUGUUAAGUUGAUAUUUCUCUCCUUUUUUUGCCUCAAGAAGAUGCUGCUGCUUUUAUCGGUUUUUUUUUUCUUCUUUUUUGCCUUUUUGCUCUUUAUGCAUUGAACUAGUUUCAAUGAGUGCUUGUUUGAUCUCGGUUUGGUGUUUUUAUUAAUUUGAGUACUUGAUGAGGAUUAAUACUUUCUUGCACUUUCUGAAUUCGUCUCCUUAUCGUAUUCUAUGAUUUUGUUAGAAAAUUGGAUUGGUAAUCUAUGUGCAUUAGCUUUUAUUCUUUGCAGUGUCCAAUUGGGAUGCCAGUUAUAAUUGGUUUUGUAUGUUUUUUUUGGUUUGUGGAUUCUUCUUUCUCUGUUGUCACUUUAGAAAACUAUUGUUUUCUGUGUGUGAUGCUUGAGACUAAUGUGUCGCCAACAACAACAUGUUUAGCCAGUCAAUGAAGAGGGUAACCGCAUUACCCUCUCUUUGGAUUUAAUUAAAUUUAGAAUUUGUUAAAAAUCAAUUUCUGAUACUGCAUUUUUCGCGGUAUUAUAAUCUGAACUCACAUCAUUAUUUGAUUUCCUUGCCCUCUUUUUGCUGUAAUCUUGUAAAAAUAGCACCGUUCAUGAUUUGGGUUCUUAUAAAUAGCUAGAUUUGUUCUUGCUGGCUGGUUUGAUACCAUUUUGGUGUUCAGUGUGAUAUGUUGUCUGUCUCAUUGUUCUUUAGAUGCAGAGGUGGUAACUGUGAUUAGUUUAUUGGGAGCUAUUUUGUUUGGUUAAGAUUUAGUUGGCCAUUUUGGAAAUAAAAUAGGUGAAGGUUUGAUUUUGAUUGAGCCUUUUUCUAUAAAAUGCUAUGUUGUUGUUUCUGCAGUCGAAGUUUACAGUUUUUGUCGUAAUUAUGCGACUCUGGAGUGAUGCAAAUUAGCCAAAUCUUAUGAUGACUGUGCUCCUUCAGGCUUCCCAUCUGUACCGCCGCUUUUGUGGGAAAUGUUUAUUUUCGACAUUUUCGUGACAUAUUAUGCACAUGAAGGGAAAGCCUUUAGUUGAAGCGCGCAUCACUGCUGAUAAAAAUCGGGAUUGGUUCUUGCUGACCAGGAAUGUCAAAUUCAAUUCCUUCAUUGAUAGUUGCAUAAUCCAGGCUAGUUUACCUCUAUUAAAAUUUUAGUUUUUCCUUUGGGCAUUUUCAUAUUAUCAUCUCUCUUUCAAGCAUUUUAACUAUUAAAAGUCAUCUACAUGUCUAAUUAGAGAUUUGAGUAUAACAGUAGUAGUGCUAUGCUUUUGAAGGAUUCUGAGUGAAUCAUGCAUGGUUAACAGCACAGAAAAUAGAAUUGCGUGUACCUCUCCAAAAAGCAAACAUGCAGAUGCCCGAAAUGCAUAACCUAAGAUUUAUAAGCGUAGGGCUCUCUAUUCUAUGAGAAAAGCAGAAGAUAUGGGGCCAAGAUUCUCUCCCUUGCAAAAUUGGUCAAAACAAUUUACAACCUAACGAGGAACCCACGUUUCACGGCACCCUUAGAUUGUCUAUACGUUUACAGGAAGCAAGGAAAUUUAAGCCCCCCUAUGUAGCAAAACUUUGUCCUUCAAAUCCGACCGCAAGCGGCUGCUGCAGCUUCAAAAACAGAGCAAGAAACUUGAAAAACAAAAUGAAGCCACCACUCUCUGCCUUGCUGCUUCUUUCAAGUACCUGGAAAAGAAGAAGUAGAGUGACUAGAAAGAAAAAACUAAAUUUUCAGAAAGUAGAAAAAAAGAGAGGUAUGGACAAAUGCUGAAGGGUCAAAAACAUAUUUCUUUAGAUGCCCAGGAAAGGUCUGGAAGUUGCUGAACCUUUUUUCUGAACAGUUGUUAAGUCAACAAGAUGCCGCAUUGUCGGCCUGCCGUGUGGACAGUUCCAAGGAGACUUGAGGCCCGUCAAAUUGUUCAGUAUCUGAAGACACAAAGAUGACCAAUGAAAGCACGCUUAGCAAAGCUGCAAAACAACUAAUAAACUAAGAACACAGGUGCAAUUUUGCUGAUCGCUUUCCCCCCCUCGAUGUAGGAACAGCGGUUGUACCCUGCCAACACCUUGUCGAAUGUGUCUAUAGCCACUGCCAAUAGACUCGUAUGUGCUGGUCCAAUUAUCGACCGGAUUUGCCGACACAUGAAUCCUUGUAUACAUAUACUAUAUCUAUAUCAACAAGUUCUACUCCUGCCUUUAUUAUCAGUAAGGUUUCACUAUUCACCUUCUGCAUCUCUGUCUUUGUGAGUGGAUCGCCAAUCAUAACGGAUGUCCGGCAGGCCCUUGAAGCCAACAUAGCACGUACUCUCGAAGGGCAGAUAGAAUCAGCUGUAUCCAUUUUGUAGUUACUGAUUAUUGCACAAUCUCCUUGGCCGUCAACAAGGGUCGAGAUAAGCUCCCUCACAUCUGCGUCACGAAAAAGGAGGGAAAAAAAAUUAACAAUUAGAGACCGCCCGUGUAAGAUGUAUCCUAGUGCAAAUAUGAAUACGGUGUACCUUCAGUGCCAAAUGUUAUGUUUUUACUGAAGGGCACAGCUUUUAACAGAAAAUGGUGACCAGGUGGAGCUUGCAAAUCCUCAACUAAAAUAAAACCAUUUUUCCUGACAAAGCCAGAGAAAAAUUAGCCACUGUGGAUUGAGCUACAAUGAAAAGGAAAAUGCAGCUGAUUGAAAACUUUAUAGGCCAUGGAAAAUUUCAGUACAUUUGAGGUACGUUGUUAAUAUUCUACUUUUAUCCUCUUUUAUGGUCCAAAGUUUCAUUUUCCUCCCAUGCAAAGUUAAUUAUCCAAAAUUUCCUAGUUGAGUAAAUCACAAAUUACUGAUGAAAUGAUCACAUCAUUUGAACAAUACAUGGGGGAAGGCAAGCACGUUGCAUACCUGAUAACAUCUAUGUGCAUAGAAGCUACUACUUCCUCUUCCGGUGAUAGUUCCAACCUUAUCGGUCUGUAUUCAAACAUAUGUAAUGUGAAUUAAUAGACAGAUUAAGAAUGAAGUAAAAUGAAAAAUAACUAUAUUGAUAUUUCUAAAGAAUGACCGACCGUCUCUAGAGCAAGUAGCAAGGGCUUGGUGGUUGAUACUCAAAACCCAAGUUCGAAUUCUAGUUGAUUCACAUUUCCAGCUAAGUUUAUUUCUAAAUGAAAUAAAUGAAGCGGGUAGCGUGCUACCUAUCUCUCUCUCAAAAAAAAAAAAGAAGAUAUUUCUAAAGAAUGAUACAUAUAAAUGACAAACUCCUUACUGAAGUAGGGGCUGUAAAUUCAAGAUUGUUGAACGGGAGAGGCGCUCAAAAUUGUACUUUUCAUCAGCAGCAUGCUGUAAAGUUUAAAACAUCAUAGUGUUAUUCUAAUUCAAGUCAAAAUAGCAACAGCUAGAAUUAUUAUAAGGUUCCAAACAACAGAACUUCCAUCCGCAUUAUCUGUAAAAUUGAUACCAACGUAAUCAGGGCAUUGAAGUUCGUUGAUGUAAAAGAGAGGAAAAAUUUACCUGAUCGACAAUAAAUAAGUCUUGGUCUAAUUUUCCAAUAAUGAAACCAAGAUUGAACUGCCCAACAACCUGAAACAUGUCAGAAUACUCUAUGCUAUUAAUCGAUUCUUACAAGUCAUCCUUAUGCUGACAUUGAAAAGUAAAAUUACAUUAGAGUUAAUUGAUUCUUACCUGCAUUCGUCCAAAAUCCUCCUUUCUAAAAAAUCUCUCCAACUCAUUAGUAGCUGCAGCUAGGCAACAAGCUUUUCCCUCAUCAUUUUCCGGUUGAAAAUUCUCGAGUGUUGCAGCAGUAAAACACCUGAGAUGAGACGCAAGAAAAGGAACAUAAGCACAUAACCACAGAGGUGUGUUUGCUUGUAAAAAAUAAAACACAAACUCCCUGCAAAAAUAAUAUAUUUACAUUAUAUACCCAGUAAAACUUGAAUUAUCAUAUAUUACCCUCAAACAGUGCAAUUUCCAACAAAAAUACGGUAUGUUAAUCUACAGUCAUCCAAUUGGGUGAAAAUUGCUUUUGUACCAGAAGAAGAGCAUUAGAGAGUGGCACUUUCUGUAAGAAAAAGGGUAUACAUGUCACAAUCAAGUUUUUAAAGGGUAUAUAUUGAAAUUCAGAUUUUGCUGGGAUAUAAGAGGUAUUCAUAAGUUUAGUAGAGAUAUUGACAAGACGAGAAAGUUCAAUGACCUUCCAAUCUUUCUUUCCUUAUAUGUGGAAUCGCCUGAACAUAGUAAUGAGAGCCUCUGUUGCCUUCUUUUCCUAAGAUCACCGAGGCUAAAUUGCAAAAGCGGGUAUGUUCUCAAACCAGAGCAGGGCUUAAGAGCACAACUAUCUUCAUCACUUCUAUCUGGGAAUGGACAGGUGGUUGAAAGAUUUCCAAAAUCCCCUUCAUGAUCUCCGCCAGUAGAAGUUUCCGAUACAGAUGCUAAAGCACAAAGAUCAUGUGUUCCUGUCUGCUGGAAUAAUAGCAUUCGGUUCAGUGACUUAAAAAAGUAUUCACAUUAUAAUACCGAUGUUCCUCUUCAUCACUUUUAGUCAUCUAUUUCACUGAAGAUUGAUCUAUGAAGUAUCAAGAAUCAGAAGAACAACAAUUUACUAAAACAAAUGUUAAAAGUUUCUAAUCCUUUCCUUCUUACCAUGCUCGGACCUCCAUCAUUAGCAUCACAUUCACCAGAAAGAGGUAGUCCAACAGCCUUAGAGACAUUCGAUGGCGCAUAAUUCCAUGGAAGUUUUUUCCUAUUUCCUCGAAGCAAAUCACUUUCCACAAUGUCUGAAGUGGCUUUUGCAAUUCGACAUGAACUGGUUUCAUUCCUCAGUACGGGAACUUCAGACAGAAGACCACAACUAUCUUCAUGCUUCCUCUUAUGUACAGCCACAAACUUUGUAAGAAAAGACUGAACAAAGUUUGAAUGAGAAGGUUUAUCUCUCUGUACUUGUCUUCCAUCAGCUGUACUCUCAUCAUCAGCUUUUGCAGCAAGCUCAGAUAAGUCCUUUGGUUUCUUAAACUGGUAAGCAGAAAGCUCUACAGGUUUCCCAACUUCAGAGCUCAAGUCUUUUAGCGGAGAGCUCUUUUCGUUAGCAUGAACAAUCUCGGCUGUCAAAUUCCUUGAGAGAUCCUCAUCAUCAUCCAUUUUUGCAGUUGACUCAAAAAAAGCUUUUGGCUUCUUGAACUGGUAAGAAGAAAGCCCUUCAGAUUUCUCAACCUCAGAGGUCAAAUUCUUCAGCGGAGAGAUUUUCUCUUCAUCACUAGAGCCAUCUGCGACAGUUUCUUCUUUAUCAGGAUCUUUUAUGCUGUUAACAGAAUAACUGCAUUCAUGAGGAGAGUAAAUCUUUUCCACAAUUUCUCGCAAAGAGUGCAUUAGCGACCCCUCAUCUGAAAAGAAAAUCUUCCUCUUAUCAGGGGUAACAUUAACAUCAUACAAUGUCGUUGGGAUAAUAAAAUUCAAGACAGCAACGGGAUAUUGCUUGGCAUUUGAGCUUUUAUAUAAUUCGUUAAGAAGUUUGCCUACUUUGGGCAAAUCUACUGGUCGACCAUUAACAUAAAAGAACUGCCUAUCUCCCAAAUUACGACCACUUCCAUAUCCAGGCUUGGAAAUAAAACCUUCAAUUUUGCAGCCGUCUGAUUCUGUUAAAUUUAUAGGCUCUAAGCUUUUGAAGGUAUCUAAACCAAAUACAUUUAUGAUGUUGUCUUUGAAUGAGUUACUUCCUUGAGUUUUCAGCACGACUGAUUUUGAAACUUUACCAGUUGUGUUGGUGCAAAGUAACCGAACACCUUUGGCAAUUAGCGCGUAAGCCUGAACAGAAAGAAAGAAAAAACUAAAAGCAUAAUUAGUUAGAAAGUUUAGAAUCAGCCGUUCAUGAAGAUUGAAUUGAUUCAGAAACAAUAGGGAAGUCAAAAAAAGAACCAUGAUACAUUUCAUAAAGUAGAGAUGAAUUGAGCACAUUUCAAUGCUUGUUAAGGAGAAAUUGUCAGACUAGAUCAUGAACCAAAUAACAUGUGCAAAAGUAGAACGUACACUAAAGUUCAAAGAAAAUAGGCAAGAGUAUACUAUGAAACCCUCCAACUAUAGGUCUUUCAAAGAACCUUGAACUUCUACUUUUCCAAUUUGACUCCUAGACAACAUGCUGUUUUGAUUUCCGAAAAUCUUGUUUGGUUCUAUCAGUCAAGACUAAUAGUUUCUGUUCCAGAAGAAAAAGAAUAUGUCAUCAAGUAACAAAAUAUUCUGUGAAGCUACAGUACAAUUUUGUGAAAGUUGCAGCUACAGUUGCCUUACAAUGAAAUGUUUGUGAAUAAAAGGGCAUGCUCAUUGAGAGGUUCAAAUUCCCAAAAAUCUAAAGUUUGGGGAACUAUUUCCGUACGACCAAAAGUUGAAGGAUGUUCAUACAAUUGCACCAAGGAAAUGAAGUACCGGAAAAAAAAAGAAAAAACAUAGUAUGAAACACAGAAUUAACUCACAUUCAAUAGGGAGACAAGCUUUCCGUAUUCUCUUCGAAUAUUCCGACUAAAUUCUUUGCUUCGAACCGGAAGAGGAGAAAAUAAUUUCUCAACUAUCACAGUAGUCCCCACUUGACGUGCGGUUUUCCUCUCGGCGGAUAUUGAACCAGAAUGAUCAAAGUCCAAGUGGGUUCCAACAGGCUCUUUUUUAGUUCUCGUUUCAAUAGACAGUUUUCCUAGGGCACAAAGGGAACUUAACGCCUCCCCUCGAAAACCAAAAGUGGUCAAAGAGUGUAGAUCAGAAAAAUCCGAAAUCUUGGACGUGUGAUGCUUGAGAGCAAGAGCCUGCAGCAGCCGAGUCCGUAAGCAGAACCAAUAAAAACGAUACAACUAACGAAUAAAAGAAAAGGAAACUUUCCUCUAAACCAUUGCGAGCUGAUACUUAAAAGACGAGACAUUACCGAAGGACAAGUAACUGCCUGUUUGGCCUGGUUUUUGGAGCAGCUCCUCAAAUUUAGAAAGCAAACACGCUCGAAGCCCAGGCGUUCGGCAAACUAAAAGUCGAGAGAGCUUUUCUUGUGCCAAGAAGCUAAAGUGAGGUCCUGGGCUCUAAAAGAAGAAGCUCCAACAUGAAGCUUUUGCUUCUGUUGCAGCAGGAAGCUAUCGAGGAGAUCUAACAAAAGGGCCAUCAGUGCUGUUUUACACACCACUUUGCCAGGCCCUAAAUAUUGCCAAUAUAGGUUAAAUUUAAAAAACCCACAACUUCACUGGAGGAUAAAUAAACAAAUAAGAUGAGAACUAUACUGUAACUAAAAUGAUAGAACCACAGGACCAAGAGACACGAAUGUACAGCUUAAAUAAAAAGAAAGGAUUUUGCAAAUCAUGAUUGGAAAGAACAAGUAAACAUAUGAACUACAAACAAAAGAAAACACCCACCCAAGGCACCAAACAAUUACCUGGAAAUUAUCGGGCGAGAUGCCGCAACCAUUGUCUAUCACCUUAAAGUACUCCCCUCCAUACUCUUUGAGACUAAUCUCGAUACUGGUGGCGCCGGCAUCCAAGCUGUUCUCCACCAACUCCUUCACAGCAGAAGACAAAUCCAAAAUCACUUGGCCCGAGCAAAUCCGGUGGAUCACCGCCUUGUUUAUCGGCUUAAUGGCCGGAGAAUCGCUCUCUCUUCUCAUCUGUUGUUUCAGGGGAACCAAUCCACAUGCAUUUUCACAUAGAUUCUCAUAAAGCUUAGGUUCUGUGACGCGGAAACCGUAGAAAUUGAGGGGGACAGAAAAAAAAAAAAAAUAUCGGAUCUUUCGUACCUGGAGAGGAGGAGGCGGCCGAUAUUGGAUCAGGAUGAGGGGUUGGGGCGUAGAUUGGGGAGGGAGAUUGAGGACGAAAGCGCCCACGGAGGGAAAACCCUAGAGCUCCCGAAUAGUUCGCUCCCCCUGUGCAACGAGUACUUGGCGCCAAAUAGGAGAAAAGGUAGUGUUUUGUAGGCUCUUUAUAUUCCGAGCCUUCAAUUAUAUACAUAAUUUAUAUUCAUUUAUGAAAAUUUGCAAAGCUACAAACUUUGCAGAGAUUAUCUCCGCAGUUAGAAGGGGAAGAAAAAAAAAAAAAAGAAAAGAAGAAAGGACUAGUAUGUAGAUUUUCAAAGUUUCUGGAAGCAAGGUGAUAAUCGUGAAGGGCCCUAGGAGGCUAGGAUUGAUUUAUUUUGUAAUUUCAUUUAAUUCCUUUAUUCCUGUUAACGAUCGAUUGCUGACAAAGUAAUUGCAAUUUAAAGCUUCUAAUUUUCCUCAACGCAUUACUUCAAAAAAUUACUCAGUGGAACAACCUAAAUCAAAAUAGUAAAAGCUAACUUACAUAAAACCUCUCUAUCAAUACCUGUUUUUUCACUUUACCCUCGUGUCAUUUAAAAACUUACACUUUGUCAUCUUAUAAAAUAAAAAAUACUCACAGAGAGUAUACUAUGCCACAAUGAACAAAUUACCCUCGUCUUUUGUGGGGUGGGCGUGGACGGAGAAGUGGACUAGGACGAGGGUGAGGCAGCGGAGGCGGGCGAGGGCAUGUGUGGGCAUGGACUGAGAGGUGGGCGAAGGUGGGGUGGCGGAGGCCAAGGCAGCGUGGCUAAGGUCGGUGAGGAAGUAUGAGGGUUUCAAAAGUGUUUUGGGUAUAAAAAAUAGGAUAUAAACGAAACCUUAAUGAAACACUGACGGCGGAGAUCAAAUUGAAUAUUUUUUAUUUUAUAAGGAGACAAAGUAUAAAUUUUUAAAUAAUAGGCAAAAAAAAUAAAAAAUCGAAUAUUGACGAAAAAUUUUCUGUAAUUUAACCGAUAGUAAAAUGUUGAACGUGUGAACAAGAUAUAAAAAUGAAGUUCAACUGCCUAUUUCAAUAUGACGCCAAUGCAGGGUUGAAAUUUUUUACUGCAGCAUAAAGCUGGAACAAGCUUCAAUGGUGCAAAAAGCAAAAGCUCCUACUAGAAAGGGAGAAAACAAAAUUUGUUAGUAAUUUCGUCGAACUGCUCAUGCAGAGGACCUGUCCAGUGUCCACACACAGGCCAAACAGAUAAAAGCCACAAGAAAAUCAUUUUCCUUUGUAGUUCAUUUUUAACCAUUUAUAAUCAUAUUGUUAGCUUGCUUGUCACCUUUCCAACAGUGAAAAGAAAUAAACACAACAUCUCAUCCAAAAGGGUUGUUUGAUCCUCCCAAAAAUCCUCAACAGCAAAUUUGCAGCAAAAUAAGAACACAAGGGAUACACUACAUAGCUCAUUUUUCUGUCCAGAUUACAAAUUUACAAGAGCAAAAAUAGAGGAACAAAACCCAACAUCCAAAAACAGAAAAAAACUGCAGCAUUUCCACAACCAAGAAGCAUCGGAAACAAAGAGAGACAAAAAGUUCUUAUCCGAUAGCUUAACAGUAAAAAGUAGUCACAACUAUAUAAAGAUAAACACACAAGCAUUAUGCAACUUUUGUAGACAUUUCAAUUUACAGGAAUGUAUGAUGUUUUCUCAUCAGAAGAUGAAAAAGUAAAUUAAAGAAAAAAAGCAACAUACAGAGACUAUCCGUUUGCCCGUAAGAAUUAAACAAAUUUUAGCAGGAUCAUCAUAAAUAAACAAAUCAGACAAAUAUGAUUAAUCAGAAGUUGCAAAUUUUAUUUUCUUUUUCAUNUAUCUGUAUAUAUACAAUAGAAUUCGGCAAAAGAAAAAAAGCAACAUACAGAGACUAUCCGUUUGCCAGUAAGAAUUAAACAAAUUUUAGCAGGAUCAUCAUAAAUAAACAAAUCAGACAAAUAUGAUUAAUCAGAAGUUGCAAAUUUUAUUUUCUUUUGCCGAAUUCUAUUGUAUAUAUACAGAUAGAUAGGCCUCCAGAAAUGUUAAAAAGUGCCACAGAUUAAGGACACCCCAAGAAGAAAAAGAAACCAAAGGUUAUACUAUACCUUUAGGUGAGAUUAAGAUUGAUCAAACAUAACUUAACAUUGAUAUAAAUUACUAACAAAUUAUAAAUAAACUUGCUAUCCAAAAUUAAUUACAUUUGGAGCCUGAAAAAGAAACCAAGCAUUCGCUCUCUCUCUGCUCAUGUCUCAAGACUGUACAACAGACAGAUAGAUUGAUGGAUGGAUUGCUCUCAAACUCUACAUAAAAUAGCUGAGCGCUUUCUUCUUCCUCGAUCCGCCUUCGCCAUAUAGAUCGUUCCAUUGGAGAAGCUCAUUCAUGUUCGCAGAGUCCGAUGACACACUUGCACAUACCUACUUGAGCACGAGUUCUGAUCUUGUUAGAGGUUGUAAUAGGAUAUGCUCAUCAUCUAUUCAUGAGGCAAAAUCAUCAUCUAUUCAUCCAUAUAACAUACCCCCCAAAAAAUCCGAAUCAUUUCAUAUAUAUAUAUACCAUCAAAAGUGCAGUUUCUCACAAAGAUAACCCUUCUUUGUUUAACGUCAGAUGUCUGACCACAAAAGGAAGCCCAAAAAAUCUUGCUUAUAUCCCUUGAAAUGGGUAAACUGGAACUUCAAAUUAACAGGUCUACAAGGUAAAAGAAUUAGAAAAUUUAUAUAAAUUGACAAAGAAUUACCUGCUCCUGUGCGUAUUUCAGAUCUUCCAUGUUUAAAGGACGAAUGUCUUCAGUUCCAUGCAACCCAGGUAAAGGGCUACCUUCUGCUAGUGCCAAACUUCUCUCCUGCAGAUGGCAAAGUUAUAUGUAACAUCUACAAUAACAAAAGGGGAUUAAAGACAUGGCAUCUGCAAAAUCAACUAUUUGCAAUUUAUACACCAGUAAAAAUGAUUUUUUCAUAUAUAUAUGCCUCAAAGGUACAGUACACUUGGGGAGUCCUGCAUUUCAAUUCACAGGGUAAGUUGGUCUUGCAUUAUAGUUGUCUAAGGGUUUUGCAUUUAGAAAUUUAUAAGAGUGUAAAUUUUUUAAGAGCGUAUCUAAAAUUUCAGGUUUGAUUUGGCAGAGACAUGGAUAUAGAUAAAUUUUGCAGCGACAUAUGUAAAAAUAUCAAAUAUUUAAUUAUUUAUAAGCGCAAGUUUGUCUAGAAAAGUUCAACCAUAUAUUAUUGGUGAUUCAAUACUAACCUUUUUUUCCUUUUCCAAAAUUUCUCUAAUGGGUCGAUGAGCAGCAGUUACACAGAGAUUCUGAAAUCGAAUAGGAUAAUGCAUGUUAGCUUAUCAGAAAAUCAAAUUUCGUAAAAUGAAUAGGAAUUAAAAAGUCGAGAUAACCUUCAAAUCACUUCCUGAAUACCCAUCAGUUAUAUUUGCAACAGCUUCCAGAUCGACAUCUGACGCCAAGUCUUCCUUGGCCAAUAUCACUCUCAUAAUCUUUUCUCUAUUCGAUGCAUCCGGUAAGUUCACCAUUAAUCUGUAAAUGCGCAAGUAAACGAAUUAAGUAGCAGUACUGUCUAAAGCCCAAAAUAUAGUAGAAAGUGCCUCUUUAGCCUAUCUUCUACAUUCUAUAAAGAAACUAUCAAAAACGAGGUUUUCUAGUAACAAAUAGUCUAAAGCUUUUGCUGUGACAGAACGCCGUCUAAAGCUCAAACUUGAAAUCGCAGCUUCUGCAGCACCAAGAUAGAGGAGAUUUUAACUAAAAAAGGAAGCUACUGCUGCUGCUUCUACCAGCUCAACUGAAACAGUACUUUCUCGAAAGCUCCAGCUAGACUAAACAAUUCCUAACCAAAAGUUUUAAAAACAGCUUUGAAUCAGUAGGUUAAACCAGGUCUAACGGGCAUCAGAUAUGUUAGCAGUAUGGUCACAUCUAAAAUGCAGAAAAGAAGAAAAAACCACAUAGAUCGAUAGUUGUAUCGUGCAAAACAGCUAUACCAAUUGACCUGGAUGGUCCUGCUGAACCAUAUGCAUAAAUGAUUUCAGAAAUGGCCCUACUGUAAUAUUAUUACUUUUAAAGCUUUGAAUGCCAACUUUCCGUUCAGUCAAUUGAACCAGAUAGUUGAACUGGUAUGGAUCAGACUGAAUGCCCUUCGAUUUUUUACCAAACCGGCUUUUUAUUAAGUCCAAAUUCCGUUAUUUACCUCCGAGGAAGCCUUCUUAUGACGGCCUCAUCGAGGUCAAAAGGUCUGUUUGUGGCAGCAAGAACCAACACACGUUCUUUGUCCUUGGUACGCAGACCGUCCCAGUUCACCAUAAACUCAUUUUUCAUCUUGCGCAUCGCCUCAUGCUCUCCUGGAUUUUCCCUCCUCCCUAACAUACUGUCAACCUGUGGAAACAAAAAAGUGAGUAUUGAAAAUGAAGCAACACUACAAAACAACAAUUAUUAGAAAAUUAAAAGAACAAGUAGCUCACGUUGCGAUAAUUAAACAAAAAUAUUGCAGAGUCAUCGAACUCAUGGCCAAAAGGUCUCUCAAAACAGGGUAUUUUUGUGAGUGCAAGGGUACAUAGAUAUGAAAUUAACUUUCUUAAGGGCAUAUAUGCAACUUCGUAUUUGCAGGGUACAUGCGUAAGAUGUACGUGGAUGAUUUAGCAAGGGUACAUAAGUAAAUAUAUCAAAAUUAUCUGGCUGAUAGGAAUUAGAAAAAAUGAGUUAAAAGAAAGUUCACAAACCUCAUCAACAAAAAUGACGCUCGGAGCAAUUUUACUUGCCAAUGAGAAAACUGCUUUCACAUAUUUCUCCCCUUCCCCGAACCACUGAUAUUAAUCAGGUUCAUAUUUUGUCAGGAAAAGAAGGAAAAAAAAAGAAGACAAACAAACAAACAAACAAGCAAGCAUUGUGAACCAAAUGUAACUCAUCCUUAAUUGAGAAAAUACCUUUGAAGAGAUGCUCGACAUUGAAAUGUUGAUAAAGUUUGCACCUGCUUCUGUUGCCACAGCUUUAGCAAGCAUGGUCUUCCCUGUACCAGGAGGACCAAAGAGAAGUAUCCCCUUGCAAGGCUGUAAAAAAGAAAAGGAGAAAAAGGAAAAGCAGGCAAAGAUCAGCUUGCAAUAGAUAAACGGUCGUACAAGGGUUAAAGAGAAUUACCAUAAGCCAAGAGUUAAAAGACUAUUCUUACUUCCAAAUAAGGGUUAAAAAUGUGGGGGAAAAGCAAAUAUCAAUAAAAUUAUGCGAAUGACUUCAUCAGAUUUCUUCUUGUAACUAUAUGAAGGCAACUAAGAAAAUGUAGACAACAGAAAGUUAAAUAAUUUAAAGUAAUUUAAACAGACUUUCUUCAGUUCUUCUAGAUCUACUAAAGAACAAUUCAUCAAAACCUUUCCCUACUACAUCUUAAUCAUCAACUUUAGAGAAAUGAAUCAUAAACUUCAUCAUAUGUUUAAUAAAUUGCAUAAAUAAGCUCAAAACAAGUAACUCCAAAAUAUCAGCUAGCAACUUCUCACCAACUUUUUCAAGUUUCUUUCAAAAUUAUCUGAAGUUGAUGAAAUUGAGGGAUUAAAACUAGGGAUGCCCAUUCUCUAUAAUUAGCCCUUAAUAUCAUCAGUACAAUAUUUCAAAUGAGGGAAUACAGAAAGUUCUUAAAAGAACCCAAGUCCUUCAGCUGGAAAAGCAAAAAUAAGGGUGCAAUCCCAUGCAAGGUCACCGGUGGAUUGAAAUGCUUAUUUGAAAUAUGAUCUUACAGAUCAUUUACCUUGAGAAACAAGUAUCUCCUGGCUAGUUUAAGUGGAAAAAGAAAAAUGUAACGCACCAAUAGUCCCACAUCACAUGGAAAAAAGAUUCUUAUUGAAAAUAUAUGAGGCUUCGCACCCUGAUAAUAAUAACUAGGCUGAAGCAUUUUGGGCCGCUGAUUUGGACCCAACAUGUUAUUAUUGCUAGUUGGUCGGAUCGUUACAAAAAAUGACUUAGAUUUUCUGAGUAGGGAAAUUGCUGAGACGCUCCUACAUCAAGAUGGCCGCAGCCCAUGCAACAUAAUCAAGCCAGUUUGUACACCCACGUGUGAAUCAUCCAAAUUAAGAGGUUACUUCUCUACAAAACCAAUACCCAACAAAAGCUUCCAUCACAAAGUUAAAUAUGUCAAACAGCAUACCUUCGUCAACUGUCCUUUGCAGAACAAUUCUGGCCUUUGUAGAGGAAGCAUCACCAAUUCCUUCAAUGUGUCCUUUACAUUCUCUAGUGCUCCAAUAUCAUCAAAAGUAACCCCAAUAUCACUAGGUGGAAUGACAUCAGCCAAAAGCCUUUUUUCGAAUUCAUUCUCCGUAACCACAUCCUGAAAACAUUUACGAUAAAAUUUUAUUUCACAAUAUUAACGGAGGAACCAAACAUUGUGCAUAAGUUCAAUGAGUAACAUAGGAGAAAAAGACCUUGAGUGACUUUUUUGAACUCUUCGUAUCGCUCUGCAUGCUUUGCAGCAUAGUGAGGCCAUGCUUGAGGCUGUGAACAAAUGAUGCAUAGCAUGUCAGGAGGCAAAAAAGUAUAAAUUUAUUUAAUCAAAUAGAAUACAAACAAAAGUUGUAAAAAACAUAAUUACCUUUCACUGGACAGUACGAGUUUAGCAUUCUUGGCAGGUGCAUCAAUUUUAUUAUGCUUAACGUGAUGACUAACAGCAAAACCAACAAUUUUGUCCACAUCUAUAUAAAAACAAAAACCAACACAAACAAUAAUCAUACUAAGCUUCGUAACUAUGAGGUGAUUAGUUCAAGAGUAUACUCACUCUCAUUAGUUAGUAUUUGGUCCUUGACAGCUAUGUCUUCAAGAUCAUUACAAUCCAUUCCGAUACGAUUUAGGAACUGCGUAAGGUGGAGGGAAAAUUGAAUUAGAGAAUAUUAUAAAAUCCCUUAAUAAAAAGAGAAUAAUAAAUCACUUAAAUAUAAAGAGAAAAAUAGGAAGCAUUAAAGUGAUCUUUACCUGGUCUUGUUCAAACAAUACUGGUUUAGAAGAAAAGCAGAAAGAAAGAAAGGAAGCAAAUCAUUAUAAUGAAAUAUAAUAUCUGGAAGAACCAUAGAUGUACUCCCAGAGUUAAAGGUCAUUCCAACUUCCAAGAAUACAACACAAUAAAAACAAAUAGAAGUUAAAAUAUCAACAAUCCAGAACACUAAAAUUCUUCUUAUUAGCCUAACGCUAGUAAUUAAACAAGGACAACGUGAUCUAUUAAAAUAUCACUCCAGAUCAUAACUUUAUGCUAGAAUCACUAGCGAGCUAAUAGACCAUGAUGAAUUCCAUGACACAAUGGAGUUCAGGAAGCAACAAAUGCAAAAGUAUUACAUCACUAGUAAUAAAGUAAUUUGGAAAGGAACUAGCCUGUCAACUCAACUAGAGUAAAAGCAUUACAAAGACUAACAGAACAUACAGAGUAUAACUAUCUUUUCUCCAAAUUUCUACCAAUGUUAAUCAAGGAUAACUAAAAGAGAGUAGUCUACAUAUAAAUCCCAGCAAAAUCAUGUAAAUAUCCCAAAAGAAAAUCAAGUGGAGAUAUGAAGUAUAUGUAUGAUUUGGAAGGCAUGCAUGUAAAUAUCUGAUAGAAAACAUAAGCAUCUCUAGUUUCAAAAAAGGUAAGCAGUUGCAACUUACAGAGCGAAUGUUACAAAUAUUAGACUUGGCUUUAAGGGUUUCAACAUCCCGAUCCAAUUGUUGUUUCCAAUCCAAAAGUUGAACUUCAUCCUGAAGAAUAUUUCUGGAUAUCAUGGUCUACUUUCUAAAAGGACAAAAUCUUAGUAGUACAAAAAAGAUUGAAGGCAAAUAUUGCACCUGUGGAAGUUGAAUAGAAAUUUUAUUAGGAAAAAGUUUAGUGAGCUGCUUCAUUGCCUUAGGCAUUUCUUUGCUUCUCUCAUGCAGCCUCCCAAAGUUAUCCUGCAUGAUAGAGAAUCAAAUAAGAAAUCAAAAAAGAAGAGUAGAAAAUUGACAGGUAGACAUCUUCAAAGAGAAUGUAAUAGCCCACAAUAAGUAAAAUUUAUUGAUGACAGAGCUGCGGACAACGCUAAGGAAAUAAGACUGGAAAAUAUAAUCCAUCAAAAGAAAAUAAUAACAGAAUGCCGCAUAAAUAUGCUUACUGGGAAAGCAAAGUCAAGCAAUGCCUGGCUACUUGUGAAUUUCGUAAAAAGAAGGCCUCCAGGAUGUGACUGCAAUAAAUAACACCAACAUUAUAUUAUCAACAUACGAGAUAAAAUAGCAUAUAUAUCCCUGGAUAAUAAUGUAAAAAAAAAUGCAUACUCCUUUAACAUCUCAGUUUUUAAUAUACUCCUUGCAAGUGAAAUUUCCACAAAAAAAACCUUUUCUUCAGUUGAGUCAUCCAAUUCAAGCUGUUUUUUGCAGGGGAAAAAAAAGGUUUUUCAAAGAAGGCAAUGAUCUGUGUGUGUGUGUGUGUGCAGAAAUGUUUUUCAGGGACAAAGAAGAAAAUUCAAUUCCAAGGAUAUGAAUGUAAAUAGAUAAUUUUGCAGGGAUAUGCAUAUAAAUAUCAUCUGAUAAAAGUAUUACCUUCUCUUUGCGGCUGUCCAUCUGGGUGUGGGAACCUACUAUGAGAACACCUGGUGGUAGCAAUUCGAGUUUACUCUUCAAUGUUACAUACGAAUCUGAACUUCCAGUCAUAGAUUUCUCUAUAUCCUUAAGUAAUAUGAUUAAAGGACCAUUUUUACUUUCUUCCAAAACUACCUGAAAAACAAGACACAUUUUAGGGCUUGAUUCUGAGCCUUUCUGCAAGAACUAUUUUUUAAAUUUUUUGGUCCAUAUUAUUUGUUUUUACAACUCGAGCCUCAAAUAUUAUUUCAUAAACUGUAUGCUCAUGGCUAAAAUCUACAAUAAUAGAUUUAUUACAAUGUCAUUUUAGUAUGAUUGUGGUCCAUAAAAAGUACUUUUGGACCUAAGGUUGCCAAAACAAAGAAUUGAAGAAAAUUCAAAUUGCAAAAAUGGAAAAAAGAAGGGUUGACUGUUUUCAGAGCGACCUCUAGUAGUUCACUGACAGCUAGUCUUUCAAAUUCUUCACCAACAGAGGAAUCUGGCCGAAGCAGGUCAGCUGAUAGGAAAAAAGUAUAUAGUUGAUCAAGAGGAAAUGUAGGUUUCAGAAUAUUAAAAUCGUAAGUAUAAAUCAGAAAAGAAGAAGGAAAAAAAAAAAAGAAGAGGUGAUUGUGAACUACCAGUGCAAAAGAAACCGUGAUCUUCCUCACACAGACCCCCAAGAUCAUUACCAUCAGGUAUUUGCUUAUCAAAUCUCACUCCAACUUUGGAGGAACCAUUUUCCUCGAAAGCAAGUACUACUUUGCCUCGAUAACCGUAACUAGGGCCCCUGUAAAACAAAAAAAUCUCAGUGGACGUGCCAAUAGCAAGAUGAUAUUAUCCUAGAAACACAAUAAUUAUAAGACUAUCAGUCACUGCUUUGCUUUUGCUUUCGUUUCAGCUCCAGCUACCCGUAGUAGGGGGCUCAGCAAAAAGAAAACUUUGGAGCUUCUACUUUGGUAGGGAGCUAAAAUGUGAUUCCAGCAAUAGAAUCUAUUUGGAAUUUUGCUUCUGCUACAGAGAGAAGCUGUUAGGAAUUUUAAUGGAAAAAUCUACUGACACUACGCAAACAUUACUUCAUUGAAUAAUCCUCCACCCUACAACAGCUUCAACAGACAAUGCUAGCUUGGCCUAAUAUCUGGAACAGCUUAAUAUUUUGGCAAAGAAGUCAUGUUGAUUUUCAAGUUGCAAAACAGAGGUUUGGACAGACACAUAGAAGUGCUGGUAGAUAAAAGAAAUUAAUUGUGACCUUUGGUUAGUCGCUGAUAGCAUUUUAAUCAUAGCUUCUAUACAUACUGAUGGUACAACUUUCAUAAUAAAGUAAAUUAAUAGCUAAUUGGCAAUAUCUCCCCAUCUUUACAACCCUCUAGCUUUUGAAAGUUCAUGCAGGUAAAAGAUUGAGUAAAGAAAAAAUAAGAUGAGAAUAAAAUAGACAAAAAGUAGAAAAUAUUCAAUACAUCUAGUGCAUAUGGGCAGAGAAGUACCUCUGGGGUGGCUGGAGAGGAAAUCCUGAUGGAGGAAUAGAACCAACAUAUUUCACCCUAUCACCUAUUUUAAAUGGCACAUGCUCAGUCAGAAACUACAAGCAAAAGGUACUGAGCUGUUGAAUUUGUAUCUCGAAGAUGGCAAACAAAAUCCUCAAUAAGAACACUAAUUUGUGUUAUCCCCAUUUUGUUUGGUUUAGAAUAAAGAGACGACAGCCUGAUUUGUACUAUGGGAACAUCACAAUUCCACCACACCUUAUGGAAUUGCUGCCUUCUGGAGAUAAGGUUACACUGAGGAUGUUCUCCUUACCAAUUACACCAUUGUUCGGUGGGACACCAAAAUAUCACCAGUCCCAACCAAACACCAGGGAUAUCCGACACUACCCUGUUGUGUUUGAUAGGGAGAUAGAAUGGAAAUGAUGGUGAGUGUUCGGGCUAUCCCACCAAACAUAGUACGAUCCUUGCAAUUCCAGACUACAAUUGGGCAGCAAAAAAUCCACAUGGUCAGCUCUAAUGUUGGGAAUAGUUAUUCCAUGAGGUGGGGCAGAAUUUUGCUGUCCCCAUGGGAAGAGCAUAAAUCCAUAUAUUACUCUUCGUUCCCAACCAAAAACAACAGGGAUGACUCAUUGCAUUAUAAUCAUCAUGGAUAUUUAAGCCCUAUCCCUGAAAUACGUAUCCUCCCCAAAGACUUCAAAACGAUCACUUCACUUCACAUUUGAGGUUUAAAAAUAAAAGUCUAGUAUAGCAUGAUAGGGAGAUGUAAGCUUGCCUUCUUUGAAUGUAUAGUUCUUUGAAGAUGCCGUUGAGGACUCCUGCUUAGGUAAAGAUUGGGAAUUUGACGUAGAAGCCCCUACUAUAUCAGCUUCCACACUAGAAGCCGGUCUCCUAAAAUGAACUGUAUCGGCCAAUAUAGAACGAUGCUUAGGAAUGGCGGCUGGCCUAUCAGUCCUCCCACCAUCCUUUUGGGUUUCUGGUUCUUUCGGAGAAAAUGUCUACAUGAAAGUUGCAAUUUGCCGUUGAGUAAUUUGCAAUACCUUCAAUAAAAAUUUCAAGAUGGCUAAAUUGCAGGAAAGCACCCCAUAAACAUUACAAAUGUAGCCUUGCUCCCCACUGAAAUAUUAAUACCUACAUGCUAUCCCAUCAACCAACAAGUGAAGCCAGGCACAUAUUUCUGGAAAAACAAAAAUGAAAGGAGGUGCAGUAGUGAAAAUUUGUAGUUCUUAGGGGGCGAAUAUAUAGGCUUUGAUAUUUCAGGGUGGAAAAUGACAAAUGGGAUACUUACAAAAGGAUAUCCUGCAAUUUAGCAUUCCAAGAUAUUAUAAAAUCUAAAAAGUUGACGAAAAAGUUCACAAGCUUUUUCUUUGUAAUUUCUUUUUUGCACAGGAGUUUUGUUCAAGUGAUAGGAACUUACGGUAGGUAGCUGAAGAGAAUCUACUAUAAGUAGUUUAGAACCAAAAUGUUUGGCAAGGGCCUUUACCAAAGUCUCCUGAUAUAUUUCAGAACCUAAAAAAGUGAGUUGCAGAGAGACUUGUUAUCAUAAGUAGGAUAAUGAGCAGAUCAGACUAAACUCCACGUAAACAGAGUAAAUUAUAGCAUACCUGAGGGACCAGAUAACAAGAUUCGCUGAUUUAGGGACGAAAUGUCGGUUGUGAGUUUUAUGAGUUCCUUGCAUUUCAACUGAAUAUAUGCACAUGAUAAAAGUAUGUUUUUUGUACUUUCACUGUAGGUGAUGAAAAGAAAAAAAGAAUUAGUUAAAUUGCACGGAGAUACAUACAAAAUGAAACAAAUGGAGAGAGAAUAAAUUAAUUAGAAGGACAAGCAUCUCGCAAUUUCGUGCUUAAUCAGUGAGAUAUAUUCUUACUAUAAAUGAAACUGUUGGGGAUCAGAUUAAAAUCAAGCUUAAGGGAUAAUAUUUUUACAAAUAAAGCUCGAUGAAAUUGAAAUUUGAGUCAAACUUCAAUUACCCUAAUGUCAAAUUGCUCCUACCAACAUGCAUGGUAAACAGCUAGUACAAACUUCUUCCUACUUUCUGAUGGUUCCAAAAUUUAGGCACAAGAAAUAUUGUGGUUAAAAACCAACAAGAAAUAACUUGGAAAACCAACUAAGAACUGGCUACAUAUAAAAUUUGAGUAGAGUUCUCAAAAUGCUUUACAGUUACAUUUAAGAAAAGCACCCAAAAUCCCCAAACAUGAAAACAUAUUUAAAGGUCAAAGCAUGUUGAGCAUGUUACAAUCAACAUCAUUAGCAGGAGGUAAAAACUUUUCCAACAACAUUGAUAAGUUAAAGAACAACUCAAAAAUUACACAAUAUUAGAAUCGACCAUUACACAGCCAGCUGUCAACUAGAAAUCAACCUUCCAGUAAUUGCUUCAAUCCUCCAGCAAAUACUAGCCCAAAAUUUUCAAUGAUUUUUCUAAGAAAAUAAUCUUUUCCAAGAGCUUCUAACAUGCAUUUAUAUUUAAUUGCCUUCUACUGACAUCAUUCCAUUAAAAGAUAAAACAAAAGGCAUGCUACUAUACUCCAAAGAGACCAAAUAAUUGGUGAAGUAGAUUAGAUACACACAUAAGAUAACAAGCAUCUCACCUUAAAUAGUAAGGGAAAUUUUCAAAGGAAACAUGUAUGUCACUUGCACUAAGAAUCCCUUGCUUCAAUCCAUCCUUAAAGACUUGGCAUCGUGUUGUAGGCAAAGCUUGCGGAGAAUCAAGAUAACUAAGAAUAUCCCUAUGAUCCCCAAACACUUUUAAUAUACUACCACUCAAAUCAAACUCACGAGCAGACGAUCCUCCACCAAUAACACUAAGAAUUGGCCUUAUCUCAUAAUUUGUGCCACGAAUCUUUCCAAUUCCUCCAUCAAGAUUGUGUUUUGUGGUAUCAUCGCCACCAAUUUCAGCUGAUGAAAUAGUAGAAUCCAUAUCAGGAGGAAGAACAGAAUUGCCAUUUGGCUCACUAAUAUCCUUCCUGCUUGCUAAAUUCUUAUCAUGGUCUGAAUUCAGAUCUUCUAAUUUAUCCUCUCCACUUGUGUCCUUGAGAGGAUUAGACAUAGAAUGCAAUAUCGAUGCUCCAUCAACAUCCGACGGGUCGCCUGAUCUAGGUUCUACAUGAAUCCCUUUUAAAUUGGGAACUGGUGAUUCCAAAAUGCCGAGGGAAGAGGGUGAUGCCAUUUUGGUUACUUUCUCGUUAGAAAGUUGCUGAAAAAUCUGUCAAUAGGUUAAGGAAAAAAUUUUCUAAAGAACAAAUAAAUUAUCCCUGAAUUUUUUUAAAACUAGUUAUAUACGUGUAGCACUACAUGCACCAAAUAAACAAUAAAAAAGGGGGGGGGGAAGAAAGAGAAUCAGUAUUUCAAAUACAACCCCGCAAGAUCAUCAAUUCAUAUAUGCACGGUAAAACCUGAAUUUUGAUAUAUGACUCAAAAUUAUAGUUUCUUAAAGUUUGCCCUUCUCUUUUGCUGGGAAAUCAUCCCACUUGGAGGAGGAAAUUUUGUACUGGAGAAGGCUUUCUAAAUAAGCAUGCUUUGCAAAUAUAAGGAUAUACAUAUGGAAGUUAAGUUUCUGACAACUAGAGAGAGAGAUCUAGACUACGAUGUUAAAAGCACCAUGCCCUUAUGCUAAACUUUUCGGGCUGUUGGAUUGGGAUUAGACAUGUUCUGCCGAUCCAAAGCAUACUCCCACAGAUCCUAAUGCAGAUCCCAUUGUCAGAAAACUGCAUGCACCAAGAGCUUGGUGCUUUCGGGGAACCAUAGCCUGGCUAGCCAGAAAGAUAGAUAGGCUAAUUUCUGAAUUAACCAUCAAAUACAUCAACACCUCACACAUACCAGCUUGAAGUAUCACAGGUGGGCUGUGAAGAUAAAUACCAAAUAUACCCUUUCCGGAGGGAAUUUAUGAGGGGGAUUUAUGAAAUUUUUUAUGCCAUUUCUACAUACUUCUGAGUUUAGGUGAUACAAGGACAUUAUGAUAUUGCCAAAUUUAGAGGGCAUCUAUGAAAUUAUAUGUAUUCAUGAGGUAAGUAUAACAUUUUGCUAAGAUAAUGUAGUAGAUAAUUCUGUAUGGGAGUAUAUGAAUAUAUUUCCAAAAGAUAAAGGGGUAAAAAAUAAUAAAACAAUAUGCGAGCAGACAAAAGAUACAUAAGCAUGCCUCCCUGUUGAACUGAAAACAACUUCAUCCCCUCCUGUGAGGAUAAUGCUCGAGCUUCUGUCGAUGGGUUUACUAUUGACGCGCACAAUGCCGUUUUUACCUACAAUCUCAAGCAAGGCAACUGAAACACCUCCACGCUGAAAUAAAAUAAGAACAUAAGGAGAAAUUGGAACAUUUCAAUCCAGAUUGAAUCACUGCUAUAUAAUAGAACAUAAGUAAAGAGAAUAUGACUGCUGAAGUACCUCAACGUGCCUCAGUUUACAAAGAGUUUUGCUAACACCUUGAUCCUUCAAGCAUAAAUUGGAAUUUCUGUUUUGGCCAACAGUGAAUUGAGGGCCAGUGACGAAAAGAUGAGGGUUCUACAUAGUACACAAAGUAGAAACACAGGUAAGAGAUGAUAUAAAGAAUCUUAAGAUAUGUGGUUAUAGUGUGUAAUACAUUAAGAAUAUCUACAAUAUGAUCCAUAUCACUCAUUCAUACAAACAUUCAUCUACCAAAAUUCAAGCAAGCGUGCACGUUCCAUAGCACAUAUUAAUAAAAACACUAAUUUAAAGGCCUCUUGAUUCAUGGGGUUUACGAAAAAAGAAGUGAGAUUACAAGGGCUCAAUAGAACUGAUUCUAAGUCCCUAAAAGACCAUAGCAAGAACAAGAUAGAAAGGAUAAUACAAUCAAGCAAUUAUUUUUAGGCCUUAGUCCAACAAAUCAUGUUGGCAUCUCUCUCGAUUAUCCUGCCCAGCAUUCCUACUGGCAAGGUUCAACAGUGUAAGACAAGCAAAUUGAGCAUAUAGUAGUUCAUUUCACACAUCAAUCUCUCAAUCAACAUCUAAAACUCUUCCAAAAGCCCAAUCUGACUAUUAGUCCAGAACGCAGCAAUCUAAUGCCACGAGGAUCUUAAAAUAAAACUAAACAUGCAACUUGAGUUCACAUAAUAGUGAGUAAGCACUUGUCUCCUCCACUGGUAGGCAAAGAAUAAAAAUUCCAGUAUAAAAGAAUAUGUCACUCUAAGCCAACAAGAAAUCUAUUAGGCAAGUGAGGAAGGCCCCUAUUCAUUAAAACUAUUGGAUAUACUAAAACAUGUCAUGAAGCCAACACCAAGAAGCAAAGAAGAUCCAAGACUUGUAAAUAUCCUGUGAAUAAUCAUCAAUGAACCAAAGGCUCAAAUUACAUCAGUAUCAAUUAGCAAAAGAGAGAUAAGAUAAAGGCCAAACAGUCCACUACAUAACAUAGACUCUUCAACUUAAUCCACUAGAUUUGCAUCAAUUAAGUACGCCAACUUUAGAUUUCAGUCGCUGCAACUAAGGUGCUCCUUGCCCUGCUAGAACAAGUAGCAUUUUCAUACAAGUCUCCAGGACAACCAGAAACUGCAGCAAAAGCAGCAGCUUGCAUAUGGGCUCUCAUUUCAGAUCCCACUGCAGCAAAAGCUUCGCACUUUUUGUUCAUUAUGAACACUUGGUCGCUGCUUGUCUAAGUAGUUCUAGAAUCCAAGACAAACAGGCAUUUUUUACAUGCAAAUUUUAAAAGCAAGUUUACUCAAUUGAAGCAAUUUAAAACUUGAUAAACUUGAACGAAGAAUCUACGAUGGUUAGUGUACCGAUUUAUCAACUUGUCCAAAGACAAAAUUUUCACCCACCUCCGAGCACUGAGAGAGAAGCUUCGCCCACGGAGCCUUUUCCGAAUCCUUCUCAACCCGCUUCCUCACAAACUCCAACGGUCGUACCUCGUGUGCUGAUCCCACAGCCGCUUGAUCUGUACAAAAGGAAACAAAAAGGUUACUGAAAAAUCCUAGAGGAAAAAAGAGUGAAACUGUGCAAGCGGUAAGAAAAGGCUAAAAAUCCCACCUUUGUUCGCGAAUCCCGACACCGAGAUCUUCCCCGCCGCUCCAUCCGCAUCGUCGCCGCCCUUCCCAUCCGGAUCGGGGGAGCCCUUACGACGGUCCUCUUCCGUUUCGGCCUUCGGCGGCGGAGACGACGAGCUCGGCAGCUCGGCCUGAACCGGGGUCGCACCACAACAGAUCGCAUGGAGCACACGGCACGGAUCAGAUCGACGCCACAGAACCCAAAAUCGCAAGAGAUGGAGAGAGAGGGAGUUGGGGAUCGAGGGAUCGAACCUUGUGGCGCUUCAACGUGGGGGACGAGGAGGAGGGGGAGGAGCGCGAAGGGGAGGAAGAGGAGGGGGAGAGGGGGCGCUUCGAGGAGGACGAGGUGGCCGCAGCCGCCGCUGCCGCCGCCGCCGAGCUCCGCCGCGUCUCGACCAUGUCUUCGUCCACCCUUCUUCUUCGUCCUCUUCUUCGCUAGAGCGAGGUCGGGGAUAUUUUGUUCUCUCUCUACCUCUCUCUCUCUUUCUCUUUCUCUCUCUAGGAAGGGUCGAAAUGGGAACAACAGAGAGAGAGAAAGAGAAAGGGCUAAGAAGAGAGAGAGAGAGAGAGGAGAAAAUGGUCACCAAAUAAUAAUAAAGAGUUGGUGUGUAAAUGUGUUUGUGACGCUGGAUAUCUCUCCCUCAUUUAUUAAAUUUGUUCCCUUUCCAAAAUGAGUUUGGACGUGUCAUAUAUGUGCUAAGAUAUGCUCGAGGGAAAAAUGUGUAGUAACCCCCUCAAGUAAGGUUAUUUUAACAUGGAUCCAUUAAUUUUAUUUCUUUUUAACCUGCAAUUUUUGUUUGGUGCCCAGAGACAUCAAAGGGAGUUAAAGCGGAAGCAAAUGAAAAGACAUUUUAUUUUAUUCUCACCGCAGAAAUUAAAUUUUAAUCACAUUAAUAUAACUAUAUAAUCUGGCAUUUCUACGGAGAUAUAAAGCCAGAUGCGAAAGCUUGUAAAGAUAUAUUUUAUUACUUUUUCUGAUCAGACCGCAUAAAAUCAUAUCUUGCUUGUGCACAAAAUUUUAACUAUAUCCAUAAUUUAUUUAGUAAAAAUAACUCAAAUAAAAUAAUAAAUUUUAUAUCUGUCUAUUUCAAAGUGGUUUAUAGUUGAGUGGUCUUCAUGCAUUCUCACUUAUGUAUAUAUUAUUGAGUCGGGUCAAGUUGAAUCUGGUUAGGUCGAAUCUGGUUGCAAAUUCUAAGAUCAAAGUUGGGGCUUGGGUUAGGAUUGGGAUUUAGGCUUCGUUUGGGAUUAUAGGAAGAUUGCGUUACGUGCGGUAAGAAAUGACGAUAGAAAAAUACCAUGUUUGUUUCCGUACGUAAUAUUAUGUUCUGCAUAUCGCGAUGAGUCGGUUACGAUAUAUUUUCUGCGGUCUCACCGGAGAACGCAGAAGCAUAUCCCUAUAUGCUUUUUCCUCAACUCUAUUUUAUCUAAUAGCGUUAGAUAGAUCUCAAUACCAAACUAAGCCUUAAAAAUAUAAAAGCAAGAGUUCUCAUAAUAGAAUUUAGGUAGACGGAGCCAUGUAUAGACCCAAUCACCCAAAGGGACUACGGCCCCCAUCAACUUUUCAAUAUUACUUUAUAGUCCUUUAAUAGCUUAUAAAUUUUUAAUUAAUUUUUAAAAUAUAUAUUUUGUAAAAAAAAUUUAGUGCUAAUAUAGAGCUCUUUCUAUUCUUAUGUGUUUUAUAGAUGAAAAUAUACUAAGAACUUCUUAAUUAUAGUGCAUUUUUAAAUAAAUCUUUUCAACUUUAAAUAUUUUAUUUAUACAUUCUUAGCUUUUUAAUUAUUUUGUAUGAACUAAUUUAUUUAACUAAAUAAAAUAGUAUGCUAAAUUUAAUAACUCUAUUAGAUAUUAGUCAUUGAUUGUUAUUAUUUUAUUAAUAAAAAUUAAAAAAAAAUUAAGUUCUAACUAAAUUACUAUUAGAUUUAGUAAAAUUUCAAGUUAUUUGAAUGGAAUAAUGCAAAUAAAAUAAUUAAAGGUUAAGCGAGUGUAAAUUAAAGAAAUAAAUUUAAUAUUUUUGAACAUUAAUUAUCUAAUCACUAAAUUUUUUUAUUAAAAAUUUGAGUAGUUAAAAUCUUAUUUAUUUGCUAAAAUUUUUAUUUGUAUAUAUUUUUGGCCCAUCUCGUGAUUGAAUCCUAAUUUCAUCCCUGGAUAGAAGAAUGGUUAUUUACUUUUGAUGAAAUAGUAAAACAUUCAUAUUGUCGGGGUGCAAAAUAAAAUAAAAGCUUAGUAUGUGAAGAUUAAAGUUCUCGUGGACAAAUUCAUAUUCUUCAAUUUUGCUUUUUCGUUGAGCUCGCAUUAUAUAAUUUCCAUCAUUUCAUCAAAAAAUAAAAAAAAAAAAAUUAUUAUGUUUUGACCUCGGAUUUUUUGACCUAACAGUACGAGAAAGUCCUCGAUACCGCACUUAUUUUUCAAAUUAAGGUCGGAGUAGUUUAGGUCACAGAGUUGUUGUUCCAAGUACUGUGUCUAAGUCGAAUUUAAGUUUACAGAUUGAAGUCAACGGUAAGAGUCUAAAGCAUAACGAUUGAAAAACGAAGGACUAAAUUGAAACCUUAUUGAAAAGUUAAAGGAAUUCAUUCCUAAAGAGAUAAUAAGACCCCCUCCUUUACGGGUGCGUUGUGCCUUUUCACAAUUAGUAGUAGCAACAUUCGCAGGCAACAGAAGCAGUAAGUGAAAGGUAAAGCAAUAAAAAAAAAGUAAUGUGAAUUAAAGUGGUCCCAAAUUAAGGAUCUGAUUAAAUCCUAAGGGUGUAAAAGAGAGAGAGAGAGAGAGAUAGAUGUUAAUUAUUAUUACCUACCUCGAAUAUAAAUAAUUGGUCAGCUGCGCUAUGUACGGUUACGAUGAGUAUUGAUUAUUUAAUUUGUAUGUAACUCUAUUCUGAACUAAAAAGCCACAUGAAAAUGAAAUGAAAGAGAGUCUACGAGGGAACAACUUGGAAGAAUUUUUUCUCCUCUUGUUCAGUGGAGAUGAUAAGCAUAUGGAUAUGCUUGGCCAUAGAUGGAUUAGGCAACUAUGGGACCCAGUGAUAAUGAGUGUAAGGAGAAUAUUUUUUUUUCUCUCUCCUUUUUUUUCAAUAUAUAUAUACUAGUCAGUGCACGUGCGUUGCACGUAUAAAUUUUUCUAAUGUAAUUAAAUAAAUUAAUAAAUUAGUAAAUAAAUAAUAUUAUAUUUAAAUAAUAAUGUCAGAUUUAAAAAAUUAUAAAAUAUUUCAAACUAUAAACAAAAUACUGGAUAGNUUUAAAAUUUUGCGAAUAAAUGAAUUUUGGUAUGAAAAGAGAAAAAGUACUGCUUUUUCUUAAAAAAAAUUUGAAAAAUUUUGUUAUACUAUAAAUUUAUUGUUAAUAUUCAACUAAUAAUAAAUUACUAAGAUAUUUAUUGUUAAUAUUCAACUAAUAGUAAAUUACCAAAAUACCCUUGGUAGGAGGGGGUGAGGAAAACCUGCCAAAUAUAUUUGUUUAUAGUUAAUAUCAAGAUAUAUAGAUUAUGUGAAUUUAAACUGUAAAAUGCAUUUUUAUAGAGGAUCCCAAACCAAAUCUAAUUAAUUUGUCCAAAUUCAACAACAACUUUGUUCACUGUAUUCCUAAUUAGUAUCCAAAAUUCGUAUCAUUUCUACCAUUUUGUGAUUGCCCGGACCGGAAGGAGGGGUUUUUUCUUUUUUAUUUUGUUUUUUUGUCUUGGAAUAAUGAGAGCAUGGGUUGACCCUGGUUCACCGAAGUACAUGAAAGUCAACGGAGCAGGUUGGGUUAGACCUCAAGAAUGAAUUGCACCUAAUCUGGAGCAAACAGAAUUAAUCUGGUCCUGGGCUAAAUUAAAGUUGUGACUCAGAAAAGUAUUAUAUGACUCGCCACUUUAGAGAUCUCAAUCGGCACGCGCGGAUACUUGAAAUUUUAUCCGAAUCAGAACGAAGUGAAUUUACUCGAUACUAAAUAGAUAUAAUUUCAGAUACAAAUAUAAAAAAUAAAAAUUUGACGGAUUUGAGCUCGGGUAUGAUUUUAGAUCCGAACCCGAACUGAAUAUAUUAUUUAUUUAUUCGAAUUUAUAUUUUAAAUUUUUAAAUUUAAUGUAAUAUAUUUUGAAACAUGUUAAGGGGAAAUAAUUAUUUCGGAUUCUGAUUUUGAACUUUUGGUCGGGAUCAAGUUUGAAUAUGAAUUUUUAAAAUCCGUCAAAUUCAAAUUCAGAUUCAAAUUUUAGAUUUGUCAGUUAGAUUUGGAUUUGAGUUCGAAUUUCUAAAAAUCUGUUCUGAAUCCGACCCAUCGACAUCUCUACAUCAUUUGCUCCAGUGGUCCGGUCGCCGACGUCAGGGGCAGAAUGUUGCUAGCGCGGUCUUAGUAGUUUUUUUUUUUGAGAGAGAGAGAUAGAUAGUACACUACCUAAUUCGCUUAUUUUAUUUAAAAAUAAACUUAGGUAGAAAUGUGAAUCAAUUAGGAUUCGAACUUGAAAUCUCGAAUACCACCUAUCAAACUCUUUACCACUUGCUUUACAGGGAAGAUCUUAGUGUUGUUUUAUAAUUAGUGGAGUUGUAUGUAAUACGUAAGCAUUGGAAAAGGUUGGUUGGACAGGUAUAUAUUAAGAUAUUGUAAUUUGGUUCUGCACUUUCGACUUAAACAUGUCAAUUUUAGAACUUUCAGCCCCCUGAUUAAUUGACAGCGAAGUCCGCAGCCAGCCUUCUUCUCAAAUAAAAAAUUUCCAAUGGAACUUUCUUCUGAAAAAAUUGCUAACUUAGGGCUAGUUUUGUAUGGAAUUAAAAAUUAGGAGUUAAAUAUAUCCCUUAUAACAUUUUUUUUUCUUUUUUGAGAGAGAAAAAAAUAACAUGCUAUCCGUUUUUUAAAUUUAAUUUUUUAAAAAUAAAUUUAGCUGAAAAUGUAAAUAUACGUCAGUAUGACUUAUAACAUUUCAUAAAAUAUAUAUUACUUUUCCUCUAAAAAAAAUAUAGGUUACUUUUGUUUAUGAAUAAAAGUAAAGAAAGAGAAAAGGAAAAAGGAACGAGAUAGCAUGUUAUUUAAAGAGAGAAGAAAUAAUGACAAGAGAGAAAACAUCAAAUGACAUGAAAAAUAUAAAAAGAAUACCAAACGCUGCCGGCACUAGUUACAAUUUNUAAUAAUGUCAGAUUUAAAAAAUUAUAAAAUAUUUCAAACUAUAAACAAAAUACUGGAUAGAAAAUAUAGUAAAAUAAAAACGUAAAUUUGAAUAUUCAUACAUGAAAAUAGUUUAGAUUAAAAUGAAGUAAUGAAAGAAGAGUUAAAUUCAUUCUAAUUUUAUUAUCUUAAUUAGUUGUCAUCAUUGAUGAUCUUUUUUUUUUUUGGAAGCGAGAAAACUUUGACUCGGUGGUAUUCAUCACUAAAGGUUCGUCAUCGUCUUCAAAAAUUUUUCGAUGAGUAUAAUUUAGAGAAAAAAAUCUUACUUCUUAUUGAUUCAAAUUUAUGUUUUUUAUUUUGCUAUAUUUUCUAUAUAUAAUACUUAUGUGUAUUUUGUUUAUAGUUUGUAAUAUUUUACACGGGUACCUCUCAAUUGAUCGAGUUAUGAAAUUUUGUUAGAAAAGAAAAAACAACUAUUAGUUGAACAAAUAAAACUUUUGAUUGUAUUCCUAGAAAUAUCAACGGUCUGGAUGUAACCAUUUAUUGUUAUUACAAAAUAAAUGUCAAGUACUAAAGCAAAAUUUUUAUUAAAAUAACAAGAUAAAAGUGAUAGUUAAUUAAGGGUAAAUUACAUAAAAUUUUCUGUCAAAAUUCGAUUUUUCACAUUUCCCCCUAUCAUUUAAAAACCUACACUUUGCUCUCUUGUAAAAUGAAAAAUGUUCACUUCACCCCCUGCCGUUAGUGAUCCGUUAGAGUUCCGUUUAUAAAAUAUUAUUAUAUAUUUUUUAUGCCAAAAAUAUCCUCAGCUUUUUCUCCUGUUGACAAAAAUGAUAAGAGGCAAAAUGAUCAUUUUGUCAUCACAGUUUAUACCGUACCCCAUGUGACUACUUUUUAUUUUAGAAGGGGGUAAAGUAUGAGUUUUUAAAUGACAGAGAAAAAAAUAAAAAAAAUCGAAUUUUGAUAGGAAGAUUUUAUGUAAUUUAGCUAUUAAUUAAUUAUUUUAUAUCAUAUUUUAGAGAAGAUAAUUAAUUUACAAAGUGAAAGCAAGUUACUAUGCAACUAAUUCAUCAAAUCAUCGAAAAAUAUGAAAGUAAAUUAAAAAGAUUAUUACAAGUACAAUUUUAUCGUAUACAACUCACUCAAAUAUAAGUAAAUAAUCAUUUUUUAAAAAAAUCACAAAAAAUACAUAUUAACAAAAAAAUUUUAAAAAAAUAAUUUUACAAAACUAACUGUUCAGUAAGUGUAUAAAGACCAAUUAAAUAAAUAUCACCAAAUUGAUUAAAAUUCACAUAAUAUUCAGGAUAUUUCCUUCUAAUAGUUUUUUUCUCUUCAAAUUCAAGUUCUAAUUGAUAUCAUUGCCUAUGGCAACUUAUAUAGGAAAAAAUAGAGAAAUAAUAAAAAUAAAUAAUNAUCCUUUUAAGAAUAUAUGUCCCAUCAUGAUUGUAAAAAAGUAUUUUUAUUAUACUUUUGUUUGAAAAGAAGAAAUGUGAUUGGCUUGUUAUUGAUGACGUGGUGCAAGUGUGACAGUGUAGAAUUCCUCCUACUACGGACAGCCACCAAAUUCCUUUCAAUAUACUUCUGCGACGAUGAUUGGGUCAACACCCCACAGAAUACAAAUCUUUUUAAUGUUGACUUAAUUAUUCUUAUUAUGCUCAACAGCUCCCCUGUAGAAACCUCAAAGCACGUUGGCGCGAAACUUCCCUUAAAUUGCUCAUUUCCACAGCCAACACAAAUUUUCAGCUAACAUUGGACCAGUUUGGCUCAGCUGAAGCUUCUUUGCAAGUAUCAUUUUUGGUAUUUUCACACUUCGCACUUGAACGAAAAGCUUUACAUUCAGUGUCAAAAAACUUACUACGGAAACUAAUACAUUUUACUUAACUAAAUCUAACACUGCUCUACCUAUCUCUCAAAAAAAAAAAAAAUCUAACACUAUGCUGUUGCUAUGAUUCCAUCACAGUUCCAUAACACUAAUCAUCCUAAAAUUAUAACCGAGAAUUCAUUAGGAAGUUGUACUGAAUCGUAAGCACCUGAGUAGAGAUAUAACAAUCGGGAGAAUACCAACUAGUGCGAUUUGGGAGAGCUCCGAGGUUGUCGUUCUAAGAGUGAUGUGGCCGCUGAGCUUAUUAUUAAGUCCAACUUGAACCGCCAUCUUCGAUCUCCUUCCCACAUCAAACUGAGACUGCAAAUUCGCACCAAAAGCGGAGUCACCGCGCCACGACAUCAACGACAACCCAACGGCCGAGAGGGCUUGCCCAAUCGGAUUAUCCUUUUCUCUCAACAGCACUUCCAGGUUGGCCGCGUAAGCAGUUUCGCUUAGGGCUCGGACGGCACCCGCACUUAAAUCCAAAGACACCCUCUUUCCGAUAGAAAGUUGGUCCUCUAGCUUAACCCCAGUCGCCACAUUCUCUCCCAAAAAUGUUACUGAAAUUCCCCCAGCAGUCGUGUUUUUUUUUAAGUUCUUGAAUUUGGUCUCCCCUCGCAAUGCAUAAGUGAGCUGCUGACCAAAAGUUUGGAUAUCGAAACCGGCAAGAGUUGAACCAUUUGUGCCAUGCUUAGCCGAGAUGGAGGAAACCAAAUGGAUAAUAAAUUCCUUCUUAUCCUUCGUAAGGUCCACUGAUAUUGCAGCAGGGAACCGAUCAAUGAGAGCAAGGCUAUCUUCUACGAUCACCCCUUCAUACCCACAAUCGUGAUCCCAUCCAAUUCCGCGUUUGGGCCGGGCCAUAACUCCCAAAGUUGGGUCUAAAAAUCGGUACCUAUAAGUGGGAUUAUCGCCAUCGAACGAAAGAGGUAGUUCCUCUUCAAGCAGGUCGGGUACAGUGGCUGGAGGAGCAUUAUCUUGAUAAAACUCUCCAGGCAAAUCGGUGUCAUUGCUUUUCCCCCUCUUCUUCAUUUCAGCCAAUCUUCUUAGCAUCUUCCGCUGUUUCUUCUCAAGAAGCUUAACGCGGUAAUCGUACUCGUCGAAAUAAGCUUUUCUUUGCUUCUUGGUGAGUUUCGCAAUUUCAGCUUUACUCAGCGGCCAGAAAGGUGGAAGCUUAUCAUACUCAUCCUCUUCUUCUUGCUCUUGGUCAACUUCUGACGAGUCACCGAGAUCGGUGUCCAAGUCCCCAAUCUCACCGGUACCAUCAGUUAGGAGCUUUGGGUGCACUCUCGGCUUCAUGAGAGAAGAGAGCAGGAAAGGGAGCGGAAGCGAAUGGUGGUGGAAAUUAAAUAGCUUCUCAGGGAGCUUUGGUAGGGAAUCGGCUUCAGAUAAGAUCUUCGAAGUGUAGCACAGGAGAAGCAAUUCGGGCCUCCAUUUUAGACCAUUAGGAAGAACCCUUUCGCCCUUCGUGUUCCUCCUGCAUAAAGGAUGGUUCUCGAUUAAGACUGCAGGAUUGACCAAUCGGAAAUCGCCACUUGCUAGCUUAAUAGCCUGCUGAACUAUAAUAGAUUUCUGAGCUACAAACACCUCAUAACUCAUCGGAGAACCACUCGGACCUUCAGGGGGAGCGGAAGCAGCAUGCGUUAGAGCAACAACCGCAUUGUACCAAAUCGACGAACCCAAAGUAGUACUAAUCAAUUUUAGAAGAGGCAAAUCGUUGAAAUCAUUUGUUUGAAUAUCCAAUCUGUCCACAUAGAGAACUAUAUCGGGCGAGCAUUUCUUCACAUACUUCUUGAUCGAUAAGAGAAUCCUCCUGUUCCAUGAAUGGUCCACUAAAGAAGGUUUAAGGCCUGGAGUGUCGAUGAUCUGAAUCUUAACACCAUCUACAAUCCCGGCAAUCACUUUAACCGAAUUGGUGGCUGGUUCGAAAGCAUCAGUCUUGGACUUAUCCCCGUCAAAGAUGGAAUUUAUGGUGGCGCUCUUGCCCACUCCACUCUUUCCAAUAAGAAGUAUGCUGCAACAGAAGUCCAAAUCCUCUUUUCCCUCAGCUUCAAUCUGCAAGGCCUUCUUUUGAGAACUUUCUAGAAUGGAAUCUCGGUUCAUUUGCGUUCGGAUGCCAUCGGCUAGGGUUAGCCGGUUAAGAACUUGCGCGGCCACAAAGUGCUUGGGAGAGUGCCCCAAGCGGUGGACGAGGCGGAGGAACUUCACUCUGAUCGAUUCGACCUUAUCAUGCAAGCUCUUCUCCUUACCACUCACCUCGAUCUCGGGUUCAGCAGAGAAGAUUCUACAAGCUUCUUGAGAAGUAAUGGAGGAACCAGUUGCCGCCUUUAGAAGUGCGGCAGCCAAGGCGUCAGGAUCGAACACUUGCUGCUUCUCAUUGGCCUCCUCCUCUUCGUCUUCAUCCGAAUCUAGAAUGCCUUGUCCGUCAAUCUCUUGCGCGUAAUCUUCUCCCGAUUCGUUCAAGAGCUGCUCGGCAAAUUCAGAGCUCUCAAGGAUGGGCGCACCAACAAGCUGGUCGGAAUUCAAACAUUCAUAUCCUUCAUCAUCGUUGCCGCCAGGGUUCACAUCUUCGUUCAGCGCAGUAUCGGUCAUCAAAGUCUCAUCAGUUUCUCCAUUACCAACUAUGCAGCCCUCCGAUGAAGCCGAGUCCUCAAGCGCCAAGACUGUUUCGCCACCUUCUGCUGCAACAGUUUCUCGAUUCAGAGCAUCACUUUUACCAAUGCUCGCACCAUCAUUCAAUGGAUUAAGCUCAUCCAGAGUAUUCUCUACCGUGCUCGGAAAAGUUUGUUCGGAACUUUCACCGAACACCUUAUCUUCAUCACGCUCUCCACGAUUUGCACCGGCAAGCUUCUCUAAAGAGCCGACAUCAACACUCUGACUAUUCUCAAACUCACCAACACCAAAAUUUGAUUGGGAAGCAUCACUUACAGAGAUAUCCCCAUCGAUGCUAUCAAUGGAAGUGGAAGUCUCAUCCCCUUCUUCGUUCUCCUCCGCAUUCAUGCUCUCGAUAGCAAAAGCGGCAUCCGAGCUCUCAUCUUUCGCGAAUGGGAAAUCAGUUGCUUCCUCCUCCUCCACGCCCAAAACCCCAUCUCCACCCUCCGCGGGGACCGGAACCCUAGUUUCGAACACCGCGCCAUCUCCCUCGUCAACCAAGGCCCCGCCUUUCUCCCCCAAGGCGGGACUUCGAUCCGGGAUAAAAACCCUAGCCACGGGAGAGAACCCAUCCCCGUCGCUGUCCUCGAACGCCUCCUCGUCAUCUUCUUCGUCCAAAGUAACGGGCGCGAUCGGCAUCGAUCCCCACACCGCCAAGGGUGGCGCCGCUCCCCGGGGAGCGGCGCCGCCGCGGGGGACAUCGCCAUGCUCGUCGCCCUCGGAGGCGGUGCCGAACCCCUCCUCCUCCUCCAUCUCGUCGGGGUCGGAGGAGAAGGGGGAGUCGUUGUCCUCGGAGGAGAGCGGGGCGCGUAUGAGGAGCUUGGGGGCCGAGGAGGACGCCAUGAACGUCGAGGUGGAGAACACAAAAGGUAUUUAUUUUUGCUCUACGUUCUCAACUACUACUAUUACUAUGUGUAGGAGAAAGAGAGGCAAAAGGUAACAGCUUUUAUUUUUUCUUUUUUUUUUUUGGCUCUUUGCUUUUAUCUUCUUCCUCUUCCUCGUCCUCCGUCCUCCCCAAGUAAUUGAAUAGAAUUGAAUUGAAAUUUAUUUGAUUGGAGAGGACGAGGGAAAGGGGGGGAGCCACAAAAGAGGCGAAAGGGCGGGGCGAGGCCACGAAAAAGGUUUGAGGUGUUUACGAUUUACGAAUUCGACUAGGAUUAAGAUCGAUGAAAAUGUUCGUAAAACCCCUCAAUCCCUUGCUAUUUUGUAACUAAUCCCCUAUCCCACAAAUUAUGUUUAGAAUAAACUUCAAAUACCACCCUGUAAUUUCGUAAUUUCUAGCUUUAGUAUUCUAUAAUUUAAAGUGUAUCGAUUUAAUACAUGUGAUUUUAUUUUUGUCUCUUCGUCAGCUCCUCCGUUAAUAUUUCGUUAAAUUACAUACAAAAAAUUUCAGAUAUCCCACAUAGGUUAUCGAAUAUUCACUUUAGUACCCUUUAGUUUUAAUUUUGUAGUUGAUUUAACAAAAAAAAAUUAGUGGAUGAAAUAAUAAAAAGAGAUAAAUGAAAUCACAGAAUACUAAAUUGAUACAUUUUAAACUAUAAGUUACUAAAAUAAAAAAGUACGAAAUCAUAGGGAUGGUAUUUGAAGUUCUCCUUUUUUAUAUUACCAUAAUUUGAUUGUCUUUUAAUUUGAAUUAUUAUGAUAUUUAUAAGAAUUAAUACCCCUGUUUCUCUGUUACUUAUAUCAAUCAACCGUUGAUAUAGCCAAAUAAAAUUUACAAUACUAAUAGUUUUAAAAUUUGUUUUCUAAAUCUAAUAAAUUGCUCAAUUUAGUUGAUGAAAUAGCACAAGUAAAAAAACAUAAAAAUAAAAAUUAAAGGAUAUGGAUAGGAAGAAAACUAAUUGAGAGGCUUAUCUUAUCUCAAAUUAGUCUAUGAUCGAGAUAGAUACUGUACAUUUUUAUAUGAUAUUGAAAAUUUAUCAAGAGAACGAUGACAAAUAACGAACACAAACAAUCUUACUUAACUGUAUGUAGCUCAGUUAGCUAAGAACUCGAUAGUUGGUGUCGAAAAUUUUAAGUUCGAAAUCUAGUUUUUUCAUAUACUUUUCUAAAUUUAUUUUUAAAAUAUAAACUAAGUUUGUACAUAAUAAAGACAGAGGGAGUAGGUUUAGGUUUUCUUCGAGUGAGCACGAGAGAAGGCUCCUUCAUGGAAAGUUUUCAUUUGUUCCUUAGAAAGUGCUUUUUUUUUUUUGAGAAAGAGAUAGAGAGCUACCUACUUCAUUCAUUAAGUGAAAUAAACAUUCAUUAAGUGAAAUAAACUAAGCGUACAUGAUGGAGUCAGCUAGGGCCUCCUAAAAGGAGUGAAAAAAAGUAAAAGAAACAACCGUAAACCAAGUGUAAGUAAAAAGUAAACAAGAAAAGAGAGCUAGCAACCAAGAAAGAAGUAGGGGAGAACGGUCAAAGGUCAGAGGGAGUCAGUCCAAUCUUUCGUCAAAGACGCAACCCGUUCAAGAGCCUGGGUAGCACUGGUAAGCGAACGAUGGAAGAUAGUGUUGUUGCGCUCCGUCCAGACGACCCACCAGAUUGCCGCCAAACAGGUUAGGCUCUACAAUCUCGUCACAGCGUCGGGGAUGCUAGAAGCCUUUGUCCAUAGACGCCGGACAUCCCCCGAGUCAAAUGUACUAUGUUCUGGUCCUCCCGCACAGAUUACCGGGUAUUUGACGAAAACGCAUGUACGAAAGAGAUGGUCACAGCUUUCUGAGAAUAAAGCACAAAAAAUGCACUGCUGGUCCACGGGGCAGCCUCGGCAGAGCAAUUUGUCCGCGGUAAGUAGCCUCUUACGAAGUAGAAUCCAUAUGAAUAUUUUGAUUUUGGCCGGAGUUCUUAACCUCCAAAGAUGAUCGUACGUUGGGUCUCUCUGGCCCGCGUCAGUGAUGAAAUCAUAUAAAGAUUUAACUAUAAAAUUUUGGUUGGAGGUCCAUCGCCACUUUUGUAAGUCCGGUGUUCCUUGGAAAGUGCUAGGAUGUAAGCAUGCAUCUGCAAGUGAAGGUUACAUGAGAAUAGAUUUGUGAUUUUAUAAAAAAUGAGUAGCAACUUGCAAGUUUGUGCAAGUGAAGGAAAAAAACUAUNUAAUUUUGUAGUUGAUUUAACAAAAAAAAUAUUAGUGGAUGAAAUAAUAAAAAGAGAUAAAUGAAAUCACAGAAUACUAAAUUGAUACAUUUUAAACUAUAAGUUACUAAAAUAAAAAAGUACGAAAUCAUAGGGAUGGUAUUUGAAGCUCUCCUUUUUUUUAUAUUAACAUAAUUUGAUUGUCUUUUAAUUUGAAUUAUUAUGAUAUUUAUAAGAAUUAAUACCCCUGUUUCUCUGUUACUUAUAUCAAUCAACCGUUGAAAUAGCCAAAUAAAAUUUACAAUACUAAUAGUUUUAAAUUUUGUUUUCUAAAUCUAAUAAAUUGCUCAAUUUAGUUGAUGAAAUAGCACAAGUAAAAAAACAUAAAAAUAAAAAUUAAAGGAUAUGGAUAGGAAGAAAACUAAUUGAGAGGCUUAUCUUAUCUCAAAUUAGUCUAUGAUCGAGAUAGAUACUGUACAUUUUUAUAUGAUAUUGAAAAUUUAUCAAGAGAAUGAUGAUAAAUAACGAACACAAACAAUCUUACUUAACUGUAUGUAGCUCAGUUAGCUAAGAACUCGAUAGUUGGUGUCGAAAAUUUUAAGUUCGAAAUCUAGUUAUUUCAUAUACUUUUCUAAAUUUAUUUUAAAAAUAUAAACUAAGUUUGUACAUAAUAAAGACAGAGGGAGUAGGUUUAGGUUUUCUUCGAGUGAGCAUGAGAGAAGGCUCCUUCAUGGAAAGUUUUCAUUUGUUCCUUGGAAAGUGCUUUUUUUUUUUUUUGAGAAAGAGAGAGAGAGCUACCUGCUUCAUUCAUUAAGUGAAAUGAACUAAGCGUACAUGAUGGAGACAGCUAGAGCCUCCUAAAAGGAGCGAAAAAAAGUAAAAAAAACAACAGUAAACCAAGUGUAAGUAAAAAGUAAACAAGAAAAGAGGGCUAGCAACCAAGAAAGAAGUAGGGGAGAACGGUCAAAGAUCAAAGGGAGUCAGUCCAAUCUUUAGUCAAAGAUGCAACCCGUUCAAGAGCCUGGGUAGCACUGGUAAGUGGUAAGCGAACGAUGGAAGAUAGUGUUGUUGCGCUCCGUCCAGACGACCCACCAGAUUGCCGCCAAACAGGUUAGGCUCUGCGAUCUCGUCACAGCGUCGGGGAUGCUAGAAGCCUUUGUCCAUAGACGCCGGACAUCCCCCGAGUCAAGUGUACUAUGUUCUGGUCCUCCCGCACAGAUUACCAGGUAUCUGACGAAAACGCAUGUACGAAAGAGGUGGUCGCAGCUUUCUGAGAAUAAAGCACAAAAAAUGCACUGCUGGUCCACGGAGCAGCCUCGGCAGAACAAUUUGUCCGCGGUAAGUAGUCUCUUACGAAGUAGAAUCCAUUUGUAUGUUUUGAUUUUGGCCGGAGUUCUUAACCUCCAAAGGUGAUCGUACGUUGGGUCUCUCUGGCCCGCGUCAGUGAUGAAAUCAUAUAAAGAUUUAACUGUAAAAUUUUGAUUGGAGGUCCAUCACCACUUUUGUAAGUCCGGUGUUCCUUGGAAAUUGCUAGGAUGUAAGCAUGCAUCUGCAAGUGAAGGUUACAUGAGAAUAGAUUUGUGAUUUUAUAAAAAAUGAGUAGCAACUUGCAAGUUUGUGCAAGUGAAGGAAAAAAACUAGAUAUUAUUAUUAUUAUUAUUAUUAUUAUUAUUAUUAUGAGAAUAAAUAAAUAGUGGUGGAUGAGUUGCUUCGUUUGUAUACUUGUAUCCUGGGGAUCCAAUGAUCUAUAUAUACACACAUUUUUGCAUCCUUUUCUUUAUUAUAUUUUUAUAUUUAUUAUUUGUUAAUGAUUUAUGUGUACGAAGUGUUAGGAGAAAAUGUUUGUCCCAGUUUCGCCACGUGUGAGGUGGCUUCACCGUAGAAAAAUAUGGGCCUCAACCUAAGGAUGCAUACAUUUUUGUGUUCUUUCGUGCUAUUUUUAUUUUAUGUACAACAAAGUGGGUUUCUCUUAGCUUUCCCCACGCGUAAACUAAUUUACUGUAGACAAAUAGCGGCCCUGUUGUAGGUGAAUUGUGACCAUUUUUUAUUUUUUAUUUUUUUUUUUAAGAGAUAGAUAGCACGCUAUCCGCUUCGUUUAUUUAAUUUAAAAAUAAACUUAGCCGUAAAUGUGAAUCAACUAGGAUUCGAACUUAGGACUUCGGAUACCAAUCAUCAAGCUCUUUGUCACUUGCUCUAGGGACGGUCGGUCAUUUUUUAUAAAUUUUUAAUUGCCAUGAUUGUAAAGUUUUUGCUCUUAAGCUGUUAUUUUUAAUGUUACUAUUGCCCAUAGGUCCUAAAAAGGUUGGAGGAUUAAUUUUGUAAAUAUGCACAUUCCCGAGUUCAAAUUAACCUCGGUCAUCUGAAAGCCGCGGAGAAUAAAAAUUACUGUACUAGAUAAUAAUUCUUUGCUUUUAAUUUUUUUUUUUAGAGAAAUAGAUAGCAAGUUACCUGCUUCAUUCAUAAAGUGGGAUGAAUUAAGCGUACAUAGUGGAGACAACUACGGCCUCCGAGAAAAGUUAAGUACAGUAAAAAAGCGAAGAAGUAAAAGUAAAAGUAAAAGUAAACAGUAAUAAGAGAAGAAAUGGGAGGAAGGUGGAGCGGGGGUGGUGGCGAUCGCUCAAUGUAGUAAGGUCCAGUCACUCGUCAAAAGUUUGGCACGUUCGAAUGAUCGAGUAGCGUUUGGGGAUGAGGCUCGAAAAAUAGUCGAGUUUCUGUCGGUCCAAACAACCCACCAUAUUGCUGACAAGAUGGUCAAACCCUUGAUUCUCGUCGCAGCGUCGGGCGUUUCACAUAAUUUGGUCCAGACUUUCCGAACGUCCCCUAUAACAUCCGCCGUUACAGCCAAUCCUUCCGCUGAUAGUAGUAGGAAACGAACGAAAACACAUUUGCAGAAAAGGUGAUCGCAACUUUCUGGUAAUACCGCAUAGAAUACACAGUGUUGAUCUACGAACAUGCCUCUAGCAAGCAAUCUGUCGGCAGUGAGUAGUCUCUUUCGCAGUAGAAGCCAAAUGAAGAUUUUGAUUUUAAUUGAAAAUUUUAAAUUCCAAGUGUGUUGGUUCAUCCUGUCUCUUAUUCCGCCGUCAGUAACGAUUUGGUAAAUGCAAUUCUUUGCUUUUAAUCUUUAAUGCGAAGAAUAUAAUAGCAUUGUACAAUUUAAACUAUCCAAUUUUCUCUCGUUACUAGCAAAGCUAGUGUAUUCACAUUGUGACCAAUUGUAGGGCUACUGUAAAUUCAAAUGCGAAGGCUAAGCUCUCCCAUAGCAUAGCUCUAUUAAGGCAAAAAGGCUUAAUGAUUAGUAUUCGAGUUUCAAAAUUUAAAAUUCAAAAUUCAAAAUAUAAUUAUUUUAUUUUUUUAACUAAAUUUUUUAGAAAAAAUAAACGAAAGAGAUAACAUACAACCUCUCUCUCUCAAAACAGUUUCUAGUUGAAACUUAAGGUACCGUUUGGUUCGGGUAUAAGAUAGAACUGCUAGUUCCAGGGAUAGGUAUAAAUAUUGGAACUAGCUAGAACUAGUGUAUUUUUGUGUUUGGUUGAGUAUUAGAUUUGUACCAGGUAUAAGAAAAAUAGUGUUUGGAUGUAUAAGAUAGAAUAAGAGGAAUAAAGUAUN
rnacentral:lncRNA from 1 species